rnacentral:lncRNA from 1 species
GUCGACUAUUCCCUCCCCCCAACCAGAACGAAACAUUGUCCUCAAUGUUUUAAAGGAAAGAAGUAGAGUUUAGAAGACAUCACCUGGGUGGUGUAACACAGAAGAAAAUAUUUACAGGCGGAGAGUUAAAUCUAAUUUGUACUUCUUACUGCGGCUACUGUUACCGUCAUUAUUUGGACGCUCCAACACAAAGGUCCAUGGGUCUGGCUCCGGUAUAUAAGCUUGCAACAUAUCAAGUAGCUCAUUAGCAGUGUGAGCACAAAUAAAAAGCUUUUUCGUAUUGGAAGGAACGAAAUAGUUUUUUAUUGCAUGGUUAAGAAAUGCGAUAAAGUCAUCAUAAAAAUUAUUGACAUUUAACAAACCGAUAGGUUUCUGGUGAAUGUGCAGAUGGGCCCAAGAUGCUAGUGUGAUAAGUGCCUCUAGUGUUGCAAGAUCACUUAGAAGGAAAAUAAAAGCAUCAGCAUGAUUAAGCAUUUCAGUUACUCUUUCUUGCAUACCUGAGACGACUAACUCUUCUUUAAUCGGUGGGUCAGACAAACUGUCCAAAGGUUUUAGGGCUCUUAGGAUGAUGCCUAAGACUUGGCUUCCUUUGACAAAAGCAGCUUCUGAGACCAAUUUUGAUAACCCUCGGUUACCUCCUCCUUACACCAAGUGUAAUUUUCUCUCUGCUAUGCUUCGACCAAGAUCUAUGGCUGCCUCAACGAACUCUUUAUGUUUGACAUAGUCAAAUCUAGAAAGCACACAAAUGUUCUUGAAUUGUCUAUUGGGAUUAGCUGCCAUUGGAUUAUUUCUCAAAAACAAUUUGUGAGUGCUUAACAAAAAGUCUUAUUUAAGAAUCUUGGUGACAGUGGAUCACAACUGUGUAUGAGGUGGCAUGUCAGUGUCAAAUAACGCGUAAAGCACAUGGCUCGCGAGUCAAAAAGGAGACAGUAAAAAGAAAAAGAAACAAUGAUAAAAUAAAAUAAUUAAAGACAAUAAUACAAAUGAUAAAAUAACAGUGAAAUAAAAUAACAGUGAAGUAAAAGGAUAUUUAUAGGUAGUUGCGACUGUGGCUCACAUCUUCCUCUGGUUUUACGUCCAGAAAUGGCUUGAACGCCCUCUAUGGGUUGAGCAUAGGCUUCCCAUCCAGUUUUCUUAUAAACUGGCAAACAGGGUCGUUUAUAGUCAGAUUCUCGAGACUAUAUCGUGCAUGCUCUUCCUAGAAUAAUGGCCAUAACUGGAGAAUCGCUCUUUGCACAUAUCCACUGGGAUGCGUUUCAAGAGACAAAAGGAUAUCAUCCAAUGACUCCUUAUUCAAGCCAUCUCUAAUGAAUUGAAUCUUAUCUUCCCCGUUAUCAGAUACCAUUCCUAAAGAACAUGGGUUUUUAUCGCAACUCAUUCUGGCACACUUAUGACAAGCAACAGAAAUUCUUCGAGCUCUUUGUUCGAAAUGAUAUGACCGAGAACAAUAUCUUGUUUUACCAUAAAAUGGCACUUCUCCCAAUUUAAGACCAAGUUCUCUUCGAGACAUCUCUGCAAAACUAGUGUUAGAUGAUGUAAACAUUGAUCAAACGAGUCACAUUGAUCAAGGAAUCGUUCAACCAUAUUAGACAAAAUGCUUAAUAUGCAUCGUUGAAAUGUAGCAGGUGCAUUACAUAAUCCAAAUGGCAUCCUCCUAUAUGCAAAAGUGCCAAAAGGGCAAGUGAAAGUGGUUUUCUCUUGAUCUUUCGGUGCUAUGGGAAUCUGAUUAUAUCCUGAGUAGCCAUCUAGAAAGUAAUAAAAUACAUGGCCUGCUAAUCUAUCAAGCAUUUGAUCGAUAAAUGGUAAAGGAAAAUGGUCUUUACGUGUGACUGAAUUUAACUUUCUAUAAUCAAUGCAUACACGUCAUCCUGUAGUUACUCUAGAUGGUAUCAAUUCAUUAUCGGCAUUGGUAACUACUGUGACUCCUGACUUUUUAAGGACAACUUGUACAGGACUGACCCAUGAACUAUCAGAAAUUGGGCAAAUGAUACAUGCGUCUAAUAGCUUAAGGACUUCAGUUCUAACAACUUCUUUCAUGUUAGGAUUUAACUGACGUUGCAUUUCUCUAGUAGGUUUAGCAUUUUCAUCGCGGUGAAUAUAAUGCAUGCAGUCUACUGGGUUUAUACCUCUUAUGUCCGCUAUGGUCCAUCCUAAUGCUCCUUUGUGCUCUUUUAAAACAUCCAACAACUUACCUUUUUGUUUGUCAUUUAAGGAUGAUGAGAUGAUUACCGGCAGAGUACUUUCUUCUCCUAAAAAUGCAUAUUCCAGAGUGUUGGGCAAUGGUUUGAACUCAAGUUUCGGUGGUGAGUCUGAUGAUGGGAUGAGUUUCUUCGAUGAUGGUGCUAGUUGUUUAACUCUUGACUUCCAUUUAUUAGUGUCCAUGGAUGGUGCUAAGUCAAGUAGGGCGUUAACCUCAUCGACUGAUCUGUCAAUAUCAAAAUCCAAACCAAAGUGAGUUAAGCAUGUUUGUAAAGGGUCAUCACUAAGGUUUGAAAGAAAAGUGUCAUCAACUAAUGCUUCAAUUAAAUCCACAUCAACAAUUCCAUCAUCUGCAUUGUGAGGUUGUUUGGUAAUGUUGAAAAUGUUUAGCUCCAUAGUUAUGUUGCCGAAAUGACAACUGCAUAUUUCCAGUCCUGCAGUGAAUGUGAGCAUCCGCAGUUGCCAAGAAAGGUCGGCCUAGAAUAAUGGGGAUGUGCUUCCUUGAAUCCUGUAUUGGUUGAGUGUCAAUUACAAUGAAAUCAACAGGAAAAUAAAACUUGUCUACCUGGAUAAGCACAUCCUCCACAAUACCACAAGGUAUUUUCGUGGACCGAUCUGCAAAUUGUAACACCACUGAUAUGGGCAUAACCGACCUUGGGAUUUUAUGAUGGGCUCAGCUUUGUGUUAAUAAAAAUAAAUAUCUUGGCUUUAUGUAAUAAUUAAGUUUUUAAAUAACCUAAGAAAUCUCUAUAUGACUUUUACUUUUCUGUAAGAAAGUUUUUGUUGGAUUGUGCUAAACUUUUAAAAUUCGUAUUUAUAUUAAGAGUAAUUAUUUUUUUAAGCAUUUUUAAGUAAAUAAUAUAGUGGAGUGUUACAUCUUGAAGAUCCAAAUAAGUCUAUGUGAAGUUGUUGAAGAUAAGGGUGGGCAAUUUCGGAUUUGGAUCGGAUUCAGAUGAAUCUGAUCAUAUUUCAGAUAAUUCGGAUUGAAAAAAAAUUCAUCCGAAUUCAAUCCGACUUUAAAUCCGAUCCGAAUUAUUCGGAUCGGGUGAAAAUUUUGGAUUACUGGGAUUCAGAUCAGAUCAUAUGAGUUUGGAUUUCGGAUUACUUUUCGGCUUCGGAUUAUAUUUUGGAUUCGGAUUAAUUUGGAUUCAAAUCGGAUUUGGACCUUUUUCACAAUUCUCACAAAAAUUUAUGAAAUCUAUAAUUAAUGAAAACUUACUAACCAUUAAAAAAAAUGAAAACAAGUUGACAAAUGGCAAUGUAUUGUUUCCUUGACAAUAUGGCAUUGACAUAUACUAAGAAAACAAGCCGAUACAAAGUUUCCAUUCACAAAAGUAAAAAAAUAUAAACCAUUAAAAUGAAAACAUUUAAAUAAUAAAAUCUAAUAAUCUAUAAUGAACGGCCCAUUUAUAUUCUCAUAUGCAUUCAUUUUGUACAAACACUCCCAUUUCAUUUAAUUAGUAAUGCUCUUACAAGCUAGGUGCAUAAACAUUACUCCAAGUCCAAGCCUCCAAAUAAGCAACACAAAAUAAACAUUGCUCCAACUCUCCAAAGUCCAAAUGAAUAACACAAAAUAAACUUUACUCCAACUCCAAGUCUCCAAAUAAAUAAACACAAAAUAAAUAUUAUCAUUAUAUCAUCCAACAAUAAAAUAAACCAAAAUAAAAAUUAUCAUCCAAAAACGAUUAGAUAGACUACAAUUCUUCAAACCAAAAGUACAAUAACACCAAAUUAAACUCACAACACACUUUGAUGAGUCCAUAACUUUUGCUUUCCAACUACCAACUUCAACUUUCCUAACAUAAGAUCACAAACAAUUAUCAUGUUACAAUUGACUUAAAACCAAAAGUAAAACAAUUAUAAAUAUAAUACCUUGAAAACAAAAGAUCUAUUAAAUUUAAGAGUUACCUAUUCAAAUAUCAUGAUGAGUACUAGCACCCAUCGUUGUAAUUGUUGAAGCUUGUGAUUGUACAUACUCUUUAAAAUGAAACAAAAAACAUAAUAACUUAUAAUUAGUGCAUGAGUAAUUUAAAAAAUGUGUUAUAAUAAAUUUAAAAGGUAUUAUAUAUAAAAUGUAAUAUAAAAAAUUUACCUUCUUGUAACUCCAUUUGAUAUAUAUGAUCUUUCAACUCUUGAUUAAGGUCGUAGAUGGGAGUGGCAAAAUGUUUAGACUGUAACCAAUUUUCAAUGCAAAUCAAUGCUUCAAUCAUAGUGGGAGUUAAAGAACUCCUAUAUUCGUCAAUGAUACAACCCUCAGUUCUAAAGGCGGACUCCGAAGCCACAGUAGAUACCGGAAUUACAAGGAUAACCCUUGCUAUUUUCUGCAAUAUUAGAUACUUCGACCCGUUCACCUUCCACCAUAAUAAAACACUUAGUUUAUCAUUACUAGGAUCUUCAAUCGGGUCAAGUAAGUGUCUGUCCACCUCGGUCGUCACAAGCUCGCCCUCGUUUUGAAUUAAAACUUUCUUAGCAUAUCCAAGAAAAGAGCGAGCAACUCAUAAAGUAUCAUCACCAUGUUCCAUUAUGUACCCUUGUUGCCGAUCUGUGUCAUCUACAAGGUGCGGAGAAGAACUAGAACCGCCACUGCCACCACUGGCACUGCCACUAGGAAAACUCUCACUAGGCAAUGGUAGUGAGGAGUUCCAUCCACUAUAUGCAUCAGAAAGUGAAUUCAACAAGCCUUUCAUCACCGCGACCAUUUCUUCAAUCUUCGUACUAUUAUCGAAAAACAUCAUACUAAAAAUAUGUUUAGUAAAAUCCAUUUUGCAGCGCGGAUCAAGUAUUGAGGCAAUAAUCAAGAUUUUGUUGAUUUUCUCCGUGCACUCCCAAUAUUUGUCAUAUUUUUCCCUCAUGCUAGAAGCCAUCAAAUGCACAUAAACAUCUUUGCUUUUUUCUAAUGCACUCAAUGAAUCAUAACAAAGAUUAAAAGUGACACUCAAAGAGGCUGAAAAAGUUAAUGUAGCAUCAUAAAAGAUCUUUAAAAACCUCACAAUUCUUUCAGCAUGUUCCCAAUCUUCAAGCUCAAGUGGCCCCACCCUUUUUUUCUCAUUUUCUUCCUCUCAAAAGUAUGCUUCAUAUGGUUUAUCUACUUCUGCCAUCCUCUCAAAUGCCUCCCGAAAUUUCAAAGCAGUCAUCAAUAUCAAAUAGGUGGAAUUCCACCUAGUGAUACAAUCUAAAACCACAAUUCCAUUAGGGCCUUUCACAUGAUCUACACACUGUUUAAAUGCUUUCAAUCUCGAAGUGGAUGAUCUCACAUACUUCAUAGCAUUCCGAAUACCGGCAACUGAGGCAUGCAACUCUUUUAACCCCCCAAUGACAAUCAAAAUUAAGAUAUGUGCACAACAACGCACAUGCAUGUAAUCACCCCGCAACACAAGUGCAUCAACAUUCUUCCACAUAAGCAUUUGGUUCUUCACAUAAUCAAUAGUAACAUCAUUAUCAAUAAUUAUUGCACACACCCUCUCUAUUCCCCAUUCAAGCAAACAGGCCUCAAUCUUUUUGCCAAUCAACUUCCCUUUAUAGUCUUUAAUCACGCUGAAACUGAGAAUCUUCCUAUGUAAACACCAAUCACUAUCAAUAAAGUGAAUUGUGACUACCAUAUAACUCAUGUUCUGAACUGAAGUCCAUAUGUCAGUUGUAAGAGACACUCUCUGCUUAUUUUUACAUAUCAAACUCUUCAAAAUUCCCUUUUCUUCCAAGAACAUAUCCCUAACAUCUCUACUAAUAAUUCUCUGAGAUGGCAUAAUAAACUGAGGAACAGCUACAUUGCAAAAAUGCCUAAACCCUUUGUUGUCAACAAAAUUAAGCGGCAACUCGCCCAAGAAAAUCAUUUUACUGACUGCCCUUCUACAAGCUUUUUGACUCCAUCCUUUGGCCAAAACCAUAUUACUUGCAUUUCCUUCACCACUGUCGGCUGCCAACUUUUGUUGUCUUUCAUCUUGCUCUCGCUUCAUGUUCAAGUAUGCUUCACAUACUUUUAAAUGAGUUCCCAUAUUACUAAUCCCAUCAAACCUGGGAUGGCACUGAUAUAUCUUGCCACAAUGGUUGCACUUUGCUUUAUAUUGAUUGUCCUCAAGUACAAUGUAAUGAUUCCAUGUCUCGGAUCUUUUCUUCAUUGGUCGUCUCUGAGUUGGCUUCUUCCGCUUUGUAUUUGUCUUUUCUGUGGGUACUUGUACACUUUCAACUUCAUCAUCAUCAUUUGAAUUUGAUUUUUAAUGUCUAGUCAUAUGAAAAUACAAAAACGAUAUCAAUCAUCAUUGUUUUGUAACUUUCGUUUAUGAAUUUUCAACUACAAAAUAAAUAUGACUUUUGACCAUAUAUAAUCUCUUCAGCCAAGCUUACUAGUUAUACAAAUUCAUUCAUCAAAUUAUUAUUUGGAAAUAAAGCAAUUAAUGACAUUAACUUAUCAUAAAAUAAUUCUACUACCACAACGUACGGUAUGAAGUUGAAUUUUUAAUUUUAAAGAAUUGAUAUUGUUCCUUAGUUAUUAAUAAUUAAUAAACUAAUGUUACAAAUGAAUAAUCAUACAUUAAAUAAUGAUGAUUAUUUAAUAAUUAAUAAAUUUGAAUUUUUUAUUUUGAUGAAACUAUAUUGUUUUUUAGUUUAUUAAUAAUUAAUAAAAUUCAGCUAAGCUCCUUAAAUAAUGAAUUAUCAGACAAUGAAAAUGAAAUAAUGAAAAAAUCAAAAGAAAAAAUUUCAACUGUGGAGACUGAAGAGAAUGAAAAUAUGAACAAAUCGUAUAUUUCAAAGUUUCAAUACAUGGACAAAUAAAUUCAUCUUUUGUUGUCUUUCCCAUCGCAAUUUAUAUUUUAUAGUUAUACAUCAAUACAUAUUCAUGUCUUUCUCAACUAAUGUUACAAAUGAAUAAUCAUACAUUAGAAAAAAUAAAAGGAAAAAACAGAACAAUUCAAGAACAGUAAAUUUUUUAGUUUCCAAGUUUCAAACAAAUCGCAUAGACACAGACGUGUUAGGCCUUGAGAGAAAAUGGAGAGAGGUUGAAAAAAGCAAGAGAAAGGGGAAGAAAAAUCCUUAAACCCAUGACCAAGCGGCUAGCCGCUUGCUCUUGCGUUUGGGGGCAUUUUCCAAGCGGCUACCCGUGACUAAAGAAGCAUGAAAUUUUAAGUUUCAACUUUCAAUUGUCAUGGGUCGAGUUUAAUUGCUUACCAUGAGUAAAGUUGCUAGCUGCUCGGGAAUAGUGGAAGUGGACUAUUGGCGUUUGGCGUGGCAACUGGCCGGCUGGACGUGAUCAGUGGUUGAAGUCUUGAAGAGGCAGCUACUAGCUGGGUUUGGGUCGAUUAACUGGGUUCCGUUCGCCUAGGUUUUGCUCGAAAUCAGCUAGCUUCCAGUCGAUUGGUGUCGGCGGGCUAGCGGCAGCUGAGUUUUGGGGUGUCGUUGGACUUAGGGGUCACCGGUGGGUUAAUGGGUUCAAGACGGAUGACGGGAUGAAGCUGGUUUUGGCGUUUUGCUUUUGUCAGCUACUCGCUGAGUCGCUGUGUCUUUUGUUAAUGUUUGACAGUUUGAGUUGGUACUUGGUACUUGGCUAUGACUGAGAUCUGAGAGUGAGUGAACUAGUGAGUGGUGAAUUAGGCUUAGUCCUUAGUCGUUUAGCUUUAGGUUUAGCUUAUUUUUUUUAAUUUUCAUUUUUUUUUACAAUGCAGAUCCGAUCGGAUGAUUCGGAUUGAUCUGAAUUCAAUUCGAUCCGAACCAAAUCCGAUUGGAUCGCACAAAUUUCAACUAAUCGGAUUUUCCUUCAAAUCUGAAUCUGAUCCGAACCGAACAAAAUCCAAUCCGAACCGAACAAAAUCCGAUUGGAUCGCACAAAUUUCAACCAAUCUGAUUUGCCUUCAAAUCUGAAUCUGAUCCGAAUUAGUUCGGAUCGGAUCAGAUUUAUUCGAAUCCAAUCCGAUGCCGACCCCUAGUUGAAGAGGUUUUGAAGUAUAAAUAUGAUUUUUACGUUUAAAAGAGGUUUUGAUUUGUUUACUAAAUUAGCAUGCUUCACAAAUUCUAUCUUUUUGAAAACUAAUUUUUGGAAGACCUUUGAGUAAAUCAUUUUUGGAAAUCUUUGAUAUUAAGUCCAUGCUUGCAUGUCCUAGUCUUCUAUGUCAUAACCAACCAUCAUCAUGCAAUGCGGAAAAAUAUUUAUCAUGUGUAGAUGCACAAUCUAUAUUAAUGGUAUAAACAUUGACACAUCUAUUUCCUACAAACAAAAUCUUGCCAUCACAUGCAUUCUCAAUAACACAUCUAGUUUUAUCAAAAAUAACUUUAUAACCCUUACCACACAAUUGACUAAUACUAAGUAAAUUGUGUUUCAAAUUUUCAACCAAACACACAUUUUCAAUAAGAGUAGAGGAUACAUUACUGACAUUGCCAACACCAAUGAUCUUUCUUUUUGAAUUACCUUCAAAGGAAACAUUUCCACCGUUCUCGACCUUGGUAGAACUUGAAAACCAAUAGUAAUUCUCUGUCAUAUGUCUUGAACAUCCACUGUCUAAGUACCACUUAUUUUUCCUUUUCUUUGAUCCCUGAAGAAAAAGUUUCCAAGUUUUAGGUACCCAAAACUUCUUGGGUCCUUGAGUGUUAGCAAUAGUUCCUUUUGAAACCCAAAUACAUUUGACACCAUAAUAUGCAUUUCUUUUCACUGGAUAUAUAUUUUUCAUGUGACCAUCUUGAUUACAAUAACAUAUAACUUGAUUGUUAAUGGAGGUAUUACUCACAAAGUAAUUCUUAUAAUACUUUUGUUUCAAAUUUGGCUUAUAACCAAUACCUCCUUUGUCAAACACACAUUUUUGUGAAUUAAGUAAGUUAUCCAACAUCUUUUGCCUAUUUGUGAAUUUUAGCACAAUUUCAUUUAGCUCAUUAUUCUUCUUCUUAAGCAUUUCAUUUUCUUUUUUCAAUUCAUCAACAUGUGAUUUUUCAUUAUCAUAUGAAAUUUUUUGUUUACCUUUUAAAGAUGCAAUCCUAUCAUGCAACAUUUUAUUGUCUAAUUCUAAUUCCUUUAUAUGUUCAUUCAAUGAAUCAUUACAUUUUUGCAGGGCAUAAUUUUCAUUUGUAAGUUUUAGCAUUUUCGUUUUACCAAUUUUUAUCCACUCAUCAUGCAAUUCUUUAAAGGCAUUAUGUAACUCAUCAUAUGUUGGAAGAUCACUUACCUCAUCAAGUUCAUCAAAUAAUUCUUCCCUGAUUGCCAUGGGAGCUAGAUUUGUCAUCUCUUGAUGCUCUUCAUCAUCACUCGUUUCCUCAUCGCUAUCAUCCCAUGUGGCUACCAUUGCUUUCUUCUUGAGCUUAUUGAGAAGAGGACAUUCCGACCAUUUAUGUCCGAGCUUUUUGCAUUCAUAACAAGUAAUUUGCUCUUUCUUCUCCUUUUGAUUUUUAAAGUUUCUGAACUUUCUCCGCUCACUAGUUUUCUUGUAGAAUUUUCUAAAUAUCCUAGUUAGCAUAGCCAUCUCCUCAUCAUCCAGUUCACUUUCCUCAUCACUCUCAUAUUUUAAGCUUGAGAGCAAUGCUUUUCCUUCUUCUCCUCAUGCCCUUUUUCUAUUGUCAAGUCUUCUUCAUAUGAAAUAAGAGAGCCAAAUUAAAUCAUCAAUAGGUAAAGUAUUUAAAUUUUUGGCUUCUUCAAUGGUAGUCCUCUUAGGUUUCCAUUCUUUUGGAAGUGACCUAAUAAUUUUGUUGACUUUCUCACUAUCUGAAAAAGUUUUUCCUAGGGCUCCUAGGGUGUUAACUAUGUCCAUAAAUCUUGUAUACAUAAAAUACACACUUUUAUUUUGUUCCAUUUUGAACAAUUCGUAUUGACGAGUGUAUCUACUGAUUUUAGACUCUUUAACUUGAUUUGUCCUUUUAUAGACAACUUUAAGUUUAUUCCAUAUUUCUUGAGCACUCUCACAACUAGAUACUCUAUGAAAUUCUUUCUCAUCAAGAGCACGAAACAAAGCAUUCAUUGCCUUGGAGUUUAAAGAUAUCUUUUUCUUUUCUAACUCACUUUAUUGACUUGACAGUUUUGGAAUAUCAUCUCCUACUUCAUUUUUAGUCAUAGGCAUGAAUGGACCACCACAAACAACUUCCCUAAUUUCAUAAUCUAAAGCUUGCAAAUCAAUUCUCAUCCUAGUUUUCCAAUAUGGGUAGUCAUUACCAUCAAAGAAUGGUGGCCUAGUUAUGGAUAUUUAUUUUAUUUUAAGUCCAGCUUUAGAGUUGAUAAUAAAUAUAACUAGCAAUCCUUACUCGCUCUAUCCUACCAAAUCUGGUGCAUCCUAACGACACUACCAAAUUGUUGGCGUCGUGGCUGGGAAAUAGUAUCUAGUUUGUUUAUUACCAUUCGUUUUAUUUUUUUCUUACUUAUUAUUUUCUCAUUUAUUUAUUUACUUAUUUUAUUUUAAUUAGUUAUUUAUGUUCUAUAUUUAGAUUUUUAUGAGCAUAGAGGACAUUUGACUAAAACUCCAACAACUUAGAGCAACCUCAUCACAUUCAGAACUCGAUUUUUCCAUCCACAUUCCACUGCCGAAGAUAGAGCCAAGUAGCCAAGAACCCCGAACUAAUGGCCUAGAACAACAACUGAACACUUAAAGAGUUGGCGGCUCUUAACUUGGACCAACAAUUAUGCAUUUAGAAUCUAAAUCCUUAGGUAAACUUCGAACUCAAAUAUGGGAUGAUUCAUAUUCUGCCUAUUUUUCAUGGUCUUGUAAGAGAGGACCCAAAUAAGCACUUAAGGAAGUUUCAUGUGGUAUGCUCCACAAUGAAACCAGCUGGAGUUACUGAAGAGCAAGUUAAGCUAAUGGCCUUUUUGUUCUUUUUGGCAGAUUUAGCAAAGGAAUGGCUUUACUUUCUUCCCUCCGGUACUGUCACCACAUGGAGUGACAUGAGUCGGCUAUUUUUGGAGAAAUACUUACCAGCAUCAAAAGCUGGCAGCAUUUGAAAAGAAAUUUAUGGAAUCCAACAAUAUAAUGAAGAGUCACUCUAUGACUACUAAGAACGAUUAGUUAUGUACUAGUUGCCCCGACCAUCAGAUAAAUGAUCAACUCCUUAUUAAAUACUUUUAUGAAGGUCUACUCUAGAUAGAUAAGAGCAUGAUUGAUGCCGCUAGUGGAGGACCACUGGUAGAUGAGACACCAAAAGCAGCUGGAAAUUUCAUUGCCAACAUGGCUGCUAAUUCCUGACAAUUUAACACUGGGAACAAUCAACUACCGCCACCUAAGCGAGUUAAUAAGGUAAGAACAACUUCCCUAUAAUAAUAAGUUUCAAAUCUUACUUCCUUAGUGCAACAAUUAGCUCUAGGGCAACAGGUGAGACCGUGUGGUGUAUGGUCCAUGGUUGGGCAUGUAACUGAUAUGUGUCCUACUCUCCAAGAGGGUUCACAUGAGCAAGCCAAUGCAGUUGACGUGUUCUUAGGCCAAUCAAGACAGAGGUAUGAUCUUUACUUUAAUUUUUGCAAUGAAGGUUGGAAUGAUCAUCAUAAUCUUAAGUAUAGGAACCAACAACAAGUCGUUCCUAAUGGGCUACCCCAAACAACGGAUACAACAGCCUUACUAAAUUCGGCCACCUCCUCCUCUCUAUAAUUAAGGUACGUCCUUAGAAGAUCUCGUAAAAGCUUUUGCUACCAAUUCUAUGCAAUUCCAAUAAACUAUCCAGACACAGCUCCAACACUUGGAGAAUCAUAUUGGCUAAUUGGCCACAUCUAUGAGUAGGAUAAAGGCUAGAACUUCAGGAAAGUUAACAUCUCAACUAGAAAUUAAUCUGAAGAAAAAUGCUAGUGUCAUGUCGCUUAGGAGCGGAAAGCAGUUGGAACCAUCAUUAGCUAAGCCAUCAAAUGUGUCUAUAACAUCAUCACAUCUUAUGACUAAUCCCUUCCCUAAGGCUGUUCCUUUAACAGGAAAGGACGAUUCUCACUCUACACUGCCAGUCGUCUCAUCUGGCAAGAUAAGUACCCUUUCAUCUCAAGUUAAGACCCUUCAUGUUCCUCCACCAUUUCUUAAUAGGAUUAAACAAUCCAAAAAAGAUGAGCAAGAAAAUGAGAUCCUUGAGACUUUCUGUAAAGUAGAGGUAAAUAUUCAUCUACUCGAUGCUAUUAAAUAAGUGUCGCAUUAUACAAAAAUUUUAAAAGAGAUUACGCAACAACAAACGAAAGUUGAGCGGUAACGAAAAGGUAAGAAUACGAGAGAAUGUUUCUGUUAUACUUCAAAGAAAACUCUUUCUUAAGUGCAAGGAUCCAGGCACUUUCAUUAUCCCUUGCACUAUUGGCAAUAUCAAGUUUGAAAGAUGUAUGCUAGAUUUACGGGCUUUAAUUAUUGUUAUGACAUAUUCGAUUUAUAACUCCUUGAAUUUAGGUCAAAUGGAGGAAAAUGGUAUAAUUAUUCAAUUGGCUGAUAGAUCUAAUGUUUACCCGAAGGAGUUUGUGGAAGAUGUUCUUGUGCAGGUCAAUGAAUUGGUCUUUCCAGCUGAUUUUUAUAUCCUUAAAAUGAAGGAUGAGUGAUCACCCAAUCCCACAGCUAUUCUAUUGGGGCAACAAUUCCUUAAGAUGACCCGAACCAAGAUCUAUGUUCAGAUGGAACCCUCACAAUGGAAUUCGAUGGUGAAGUGAUCCACUUCAAUAUCUUUGAAACGAAGACGUAUCCCAGUGAUUUACACUAUAUUUUCGCAUAGAUGAUAUGAACACUUUAGUGUAGGAAAUCUUUUAGUUAUCUGGUAACGACAAUUUUAAAAUCGUCAUGAGCAAAAAUAUUAUAAAGGAGGAUUCUAAAAAACAGGUAAAUUUGUAAUAUCCGGAUGAUGAGGUAGAGGAAGCUAUGGCAAUCUUAGAUGGAGCAGCCCCAUUACAUACCAACAGGUAUGAUGUUUCUUACCUUAAAUUGCUUUAUCCAACGAGAAACUUUUACCUUCAGUUAUGCAAGCACCUAUCUUAGAACUUAAGCCACUCCCAAAGCACCUGCAAUAUGUUUACUUGGGUGAGAAUGAUACACUUCCAGUCAUCAUUGCUAAAACUCGUACUCCAAUUCAACAAGAAAAGCUAAUUAGGGUGCUUAGGGAUCACAAGAUGGUGAUUGACUAGACCAUUGCUAACCUUAAGGGAAUUAGUCCUUCGAUGUGCAUGCAUCACAUUUUGCUAGAGGAAGGGUUUAAACCAACAAGAGAUGCACAACGUUGCCUUAAUCCACUAAUAAUAGAAGUCAUAAAAAAAAGAUAUUAAAGCUUCUUAAUGUAGGAAUUAUCUAUCCCAUUUCUGAUAGUAAAUGGUAAGUCUUGUGCAGGUAGUUUCAAAAAAAAUAGGCAUCAUAGUGGUCAAGAAUGAAGAAAAUGAGCUUGUGUCAACUAGGGUUCAAACCGGGUAGAGAGUUUGCAUUGACUACUGCAAACUAAAUGCGGCCACUCGUAAGGAUUAUUUUCUUUUGCCAUUUGUUAAUCAAAUGCUUUAAAUGGUCAUUCUCAUUAUUGUUUUCUGGAUGGUUGCUUAAUUUAUAAUCAGAUCGUUAUCACUCCCUGGAAGACCAAGAGAAAACGAUCUUCACAUGCCCCUUCGGCAUAUUUGCUUAUCAGUGCACGUCGUUUGGUCUCUGUAAUGCUCCUGCCACAUUCCAAAAGUGUAUGAUAAGUAUUUUUUUCAGAUUAUAUGGAGAAAAUUUUGAUAGAUGUUUAGAUAACUUUACACUUGUGCUUAAACGACACAUUGACAUUAACCUUAUGUUUAAUUGGAAAAAAAUGUCAUUUUAUAGUUAAUCAAUGUAUUGUACUAGGACAUGUUAUUUCUGAAAGAGAAAUUGAAAUUGAUAAAUCUAAGAUAGAUCUUAUUCGCUCCUUACCACCUCCCGCUACUAUAAGGAAUGUUCAUUUCUUUCUUGGUCAUGUAGGCUUCUAUCGCAGGUUUAUCAACGACUUCUCCAAGAUAGCAUCACACCUCUGCAAUUUACUUCAAAAGGAUGUGACUUUUGACUUCAAUGAAAAAUGCCAAACAACCUUUGAGAAAUUAAAAGAGCUUUUGACAUCAACCCUUGUGAUUCAACCACCAAACUGAGAUUUACCUUUUGAGAUCAUGUGCGAUACCUGUGGCUAUGUCGUUAGAGCUGUGCUGGUACAGCGUGUGGCCAAGCUUCCUCAUGUCAUCUACUAUGCCUUCCGUAUACUGAAUGAUGCACAAUUCAACUACUCCACCAACAAGAAAGAACUUUUAGUGAUUAUCUUUGCCUUGGAGAAAUUUCAUUCUUAUUUGAUUGGAUCUAAAGUAAUCCUUUACUCUAACCACUUAGCUAUUAGGUACUUACACAUAAAAAAAAAUGCUAAGUCGCGCCUUAUUCAAUGGAUACUCCUAUUGCAAGAAUUUGACUUAGAGAUUCUAGAUAAGAGAGGUUUUGAAAAUUUAGUGGUAAAUCAUUUAAGUCGUCUUACCCAUAACAAAGAUGCACUUCCAAUGCAUGAGAACUUUCCGAAUGAGCAGUUACUACAGGUAGGUAUAGUUAUUCCUUGGUAUGCAAAUAUUGUAAAUUACUUGGUUAUUAAAACAAUACCAAAGGAGUUGACCCAUGCACAAAAGGACAAGAUAAAGAGUGAUGCAAAGCACUAUGUGUGGAACGAGCUACACUUGUGGAAGCAUUGCUCUGAUCAAGUUAUUAUAAGGUGUGUACCCAAAACUGAAUUUACUUCUAUUCUUAGCUUUUGUCAUACUUUGGCUUGUGGAGGACGUUUUGGACCAAAGAGAACAACCCUUAAGGUACUUGCAAGCAGUUUUUAUUGGCCAUCAUUGUUUAAGGAUGCAUAUCUCUUUUGCAAAUCUUGUGAUCGUUAUUAAAGAACAAGUAAUUUGUGACUUAAAAAUCAAAUGCCAAAGUCUCCCAUUCUUGUAGUAGAAUUUUUUUAUGUUUAGGACAUCGAUUUCAUGGGACAAUUUCCUUCAUCCUUUUGUAAUCUCUAUAUUGUUCUUACAGUUGAUUAUGUUUCAAAAUGGGUGGAAGCAAAAGCUACCCAAAUUGACAAUUCAAAGGUUGUGGUAGAUUUUAUAAAGUGCAACAUUUUUAUGAGGUUUGGAAAGCUUAAGGCUAUUAUCAGUGACAGAGGCACUCACUUUUAUAACAGGUGAGUAAAAGCUCUCUUUCGAAAAUACAACAUCACUCAUAAGGUCUUUACAUCUUACCAUCCACAAACUAGUGGGCAAGCUGAGGUGUUUAAUAAAGAAGAGAAAUCAAUCCCUGAAAAGACAAUUAAUCCAAAUAAAAAUGAUUAGAGCCUACAACUUGAUGAUGCACUUUGGGCUUAGAGAACCGCAUACAAGAUGCCCAUAGGUAUGUCACCUUACAAGUUGGUAUAUGGUAAGCCUUGUCAUCUUCCGGUGGAGAUUGAACAUAAAGCUUAGUGGGCUGUGAAACAAUGUAACAUGGAGUUGGAUGCUGCUGACCAACACAAGAAGCUCUAAUUGCAAGAAUUAGAGGAAAUUCAUAACGAUGCCUUGAGAAUUCUCAAAUCUACAAGGAAAAGACUAAGGUUUUUCAUGAUAAGCAGAUUUUGAGAAAGAACUUUGAAGUGGGAUAAAAAGUUUUGGUAUUUCAUUCUCGCCUUAAGUUGUUGUUACUAAUGUUUUUCCUCAUGAUGCAAUUGAGAAAGAACUUGCUAGGAAGCUUCCUCACCUAGCACCCAACAACUAUAAAUAGGGGUGAGCCCUCUUUAUUUACUCAUCACCACACCACACACACAACUACCAGCACAAGCUCUCUUGUAAUUUCUUUUUAGUGUGUAAUAAAAUUAUAUUUGCUGAUAUUGCUCUCUCUUCUUUCUAGCAUUGUCGCAAGAAUCGUUGCUUGGCUAGUUUGAGAAGAUCGAAAGGCUUACUUAGCGACUUGUGUGCUAGAAAUCGUCUAAGUGUCGCACGGGUUGGCUGCGCAAAACACUGAUCCCGUGACAUUAGGCUUACAUUGAGAAUAAUGUAAGAAUUAAGUGUGGGGGGGCGAUGAUUUCAAACGUAGUUUUUGUUGUUUUGGCAACUUUUGCAUUAAAAAAAACCAAAAACAAAUUGUUUGUCUUGAAUAACCCAAUGAUAAGAAUUUGAUUGACAAUAAAUAUGGUUCUUAGAAAGGGUUUAAUAUGGUUUUAGUUUAUACUUGAUUCUUAUGUUAAUUUCCUCACCAUGAGCAUUAAUAUCUAUUCUUUCAUAAUUUUGACUUAAACUUUAAGAUUGAUACAAACUGAGUUGAGAAUUUUAAAUUGAGUAAAUGAUUGUUUGUCUUGAUUCUUAUCUCCUGAAUAUAGUGCAGUAUACACAGGCACCAUAGUUAGAAAUAGCUACCUAUAACCCUUAAGAUUGAAGCUAUUCUUCAGUAAUUUGGGUCAAUGUGCCACCAAUAUGUAGAUGAUAAUCUAUCAUGAGGAGAAAGAUACUUUAAGGGGUAAAGUAAAAGCUCCUGACUAUAGAUGUUAAAAAAAAAAAUCAAUCAAGGGCAUGUGGUUAAAAAUAAAAAGAAAAGAAAAAUAAAAAGAAAAUGCACAUAAAUGCCUAUGAAAAAAAAAAGUGGAUAUCAAGAUGAUAAGAUUAGUUUGACCUACUCUUUUCUUUAUUCAAGGCAAAGGCUAUUGAUAUUGAAGAUUUUGGCAAUGGAUUUUGAUUGAAUUGAUUCAUACACACACACACACACUAUAAAAAUCAAAAGAGAGAUGUAAUUUACUAUUGAAUUAAAGUUAGAACUUUGAUAAUAUUUGAAAUUUUCUUUGAGCUAUAUAAGUUAUGCAAUCUUUAAGGCUUAUACUAUUCCAAAGGGAAAAAAUGAAUGAUCUUUGUGGGAUCAUCGCUGAAGUUCUCACAAGACUCUAACUCAUCCGCUAGGGCCGCCUAGGGGUUUUAAGACUUGUUGCAUAUGCUAAAUGCAAUCGUGAUUUCCUACGAAAUUGGACUAGUUUAAGUUUUCUUUUUGUCUUAUUUUAGGUUUGCUCAAGGAUGAGCAAAGGUUAAGUAUGGGGGAAUUUGAUAAGUGCAUAUUUUCUCUACAUUUUACUAAUUAAUUUCUCCAUCUUUUUCUUGUUUUGGUCUUAAAGAUUCUAAUUACUUUAGUAAAUUUUUAAUUUAGUUAUUUUCUAAUUACUUUAUUAUGUUAAUUUUAUCUUAGUUUUUAUAUUUUGUAAUUUUAAGUAUAUUCAAGGAUUAAAGAGGAAUUAAAUAAGGACAUUCAGGGAAAAAAAUAUGCUUUAAAGAAUCAGAAAGGAAAACAAUUGAAGAUUUUUGGGAAGCCAAUAAAAUUAAUUAAUGUUCAUUCGGAAGAUUAUGGCCAUCACGUGGAGACUAAGGAAGAAAUUGAAUCUAAUUCAAUUUGGUGGAUUUGCUUAUGCCCAUAUAUGAAUCUAAUUCUAAUUCAACCUAAUAUAUUUCUCUACUUAAUGCUUCCAUUAUUUUAAAUUUAAAAAGCUUGUUUUAAAUUAUUUAUUGGUUAGAGAUUAGGUGAAGAACUUGUUUUACUGAACGACAUAUUAAGGAAAGAUUGUGUAACACUCCACUAAAAUAUUUAUUAAAAAAAUGUUUUAAAACGUUGUACUUUUAAUAUAAAUACAAAUUUUAAAAGUAGUUAUACACAACAAACAAAACUUUCUUACAAAAAGUAUGAGUCAUACAGAGAUUCCUUACCAUAUUUCAAAACUUUUAUUAUUACAUAAGCUGAGAUACUUAUUUUUGUAUUGAAACAAAGCUGAGCCCAUCAUAAAACCCAAGGUUUGUUAUGCCCAUAUGCACUUUGUCUCGGUUAGGACUUGGCGCUAGCUUGCUGUUGUGAAAUUUUAAUGUACUCGCAAGCGCACGAAUCUAUUAUAGUAUAGAUCAAUGGUGACGAGUGUCGAUCCCAUGAGGAGGUGGAUUUUAAUUGUGUAGAAUUAAUUUUGUGAAUGGGUGAUUGGAUUUGUGGUGGAAAUGAUUUGGAAUAUGCUACAACUUAAAUUAAAAUGGCGAGAAUAAAUUCUAAAAUUGGUAUUGAAAUGACGAGAAGAAAUUGAAGAGAAUUCUAUUGAAAUGACGUACUUAGGUAUCUGGAUCCGUAUCAACAUGCAUCAUGGGCUAAAUAAUCCUUAUUAAUGUCAAUUAAAUCAUUAGGGGGGAAUCCACACCUCAUGAACCACGCUCUAAUCAAUAUGGUGCUAAGGGCUUAUCGUGCCAAAUAAUAAUAACCUUGUACUAGGGGGCCGGUGAAACCAAGGCGGUACUAGACAAGAAUAUUAUUAUUUGUCGACGAGAAGUCAAAACAUCCACAAAAACUAGAGGGGAAGAGAAAAUAAAUUUACCAAAUUAAGCCCAUGACACAUAUUGAGACUUCACCUUCAACCCAAGCUUGAAAGAAUAUUAGCCACUCAUAAUUGAACUAGGGGUAAAAUGGGAAUUUAUUAAAAUACGAAGAAAAUACAAGAUGGAGAAGGAAUUACAGAAAAUGGAUCCCAAAAAUGGAUUCAGAGAUAUCAAAUUAGGGGGGGAGGCCCCCUUUUUAUAGAUACAUGGAGUAAAUCAUGGCCAUCGGAUUAAAAACAGUUUGGACGCUCAGGAUUGCGCCACGUCAUCAGUCAACAGUCCACGGUUUGACCACGCGGAUGAACAGUAACGCGGUUUGGUUGAAGAUAAUCCUGUGUGAUGCAUGUACCGUACGCGAGAUUUUUCAUCCACUGAUAUGCUGCCACGUCACCAUCAACAGUACAUAAGAAUUUUAGCCCAACAGGAUCGUGACACCUCAUUAGUCAAUGCCACAUCAUCGGUCAAUGCCACGUCAUUGAUCCAUCUAUGUGAACAGUGUUGUGAACAGUAACGUAGUUAGUACCGUACACGUGAAUAGUACCGUACAUAUGAAUGGUGCCAUUUUUCCUUUUAUGCUCCUUUUAAGGUUUUCGACUAUCCUGAGUUCAAAGUGAUGUCCGUUUUGCCGUCUGAUCUCUCCUUUAUUGUGAAAUGACUAUAAUGCCCCAAAAAUACAUAAAAUACUUAAUUAAAAUAAAACACAUGUAAUUAAAUCACAAGAAGGUUAAAUACAUAAAAGUAAGGGUUGUUAGUAAGACUUGAAAUGUAAAAUGACGGUUUUCUCCUUUAUAAAUAUGCAUUUUCUAACACUCAACACACCCCCCAACCAGCUUAUUGCUAGUCCCUAGCAAAUGAAGCGAAAAUAAAAUUCAAAUUCAAAAUGAUUUUUUUUUAAAUUUAGAAACACUCGUGUUUAUUCAAUGAGAUUAAUGAUAGCAAUCAAAUAAAAGUAUAAGCAUUAUCUCCAGUCUAAAGUAACAUCACACCCACAUCAACCAUCCACAUGAAUCAGCCCAGUAGACUUUGUUAUAGCUACUUUCAAGAAUGACAUGUCAAACCCCAAAAUCUCACUAGAAGUAGUGACACUCUCACAAAGAAAUUAAACCCAAUAAAAAUAGUCACUCCAAUGAAUGAUAAUUGAGAGAAAAUAAUGAAGAAGUGAUAUCACAUGCUCUCACCAAGAUGAAAUAAAUAUGCCCUCAGCUUAAAAAUAAUACGAUCUCAAGUCAAAUAAAAACUGUUAGUCAACCUAAUUUAUUUUUUUUUUUAUAUGCACCACUACAUCUUUUUAGCCCAUAUAACUAGCUUCUACUUCAGAUUAUAGUUCCCUAAAAUCAGGAAGGACUUUUAUUAGGAUGUAACGUAGGCUAGGGACAUGGUUAACAAAGAAAGGAAAUAAGGAAAACAAAGUGUAUGUUUGAGAAAAAUGCAGAGAAUUUUUUUUUUUUUUUGGAAGUUGCAAGGUGGAUUUCACCUAUUAUUGUUAUUUUUAUUCUUUUGAAACAACAACUUUUGUUUUGUUAUUUUUUUUUUUUGCUUUUUUUUUUUAGUAUAACUUCACUGAAGAACAUAAUUAUUUACAUUUUCUCAAACAUAAAUAGGUGAUGGAACUUAUAAGAUAUCGGGUAAUACUCCAAAUCGGAGUGGGUCAAGAUGAUAAGUUGACAAAGAAAAUGUUUUUUUUUUAAAGGCUCAAAAGGGUUAACUAUGGAUAUUUAAUAAAAGAGAUGGCUAGAAAGGCUCAAACGGAUCAAAGAUGGCCUUUCCAUCGUCUUUUAGGGCUCUAAAUAACCUUCCAUAUGUACUAGUUAGAUGGGCCUCCAAAUGUAGCAACACACUUUUUUUUCUUUUUUUUUAUUUUUAUUAAGGGUUAACUCAAAAGAAAUCUAGAAAUCGUGUAUACAAUAAUAAACUGUUAAGCUGUAUAAAGAAUGGGCAAAAGGGUUACUCUCCAAGAAAAAUGAUAGGCUCAAAAACUCACUUGGUACUUAUUAUGACAUGUUCAUUCCUUCAAGCAACUCAUAUAUGUCUCCGACAUCAACAUGUAGAGUAGCAAACAUAAUGUAACAUCACUUAAGACCAAAGAUAAUACAAAUACUAAAAUUUAAAAUUAAUCAUGUCACCCAAUGUUAAACCAAAUCACACAAUUUUUUUUUUUUAAACAACAUUCUACCCCCCAACCUAUUCUAAACAUGAAAGGAAAAUAUGCAUGCAGAAAUGUGAAAAUGAUGCAAAAAAAAAAAACUAAUUAGAAAAAGUACACUUAAAAUGAUAGAAAAAGAAAAUGAUUUUUUUUUUUUACUAAGAAGAUGCGUUUCUAGAGGCACUACACUCCAUAUUCAACCAUCUUCGACUCAAAAGUUGGAAAAUAUAUAUUCAUAGAGGAGAAAUUAAUAAGAAGAAAAAUAAACAUCAAAACUUAAUAAAGAAAAAGAAAAUGUGUAAAUUUUUUUUUGAAUUUUUUUUUUCAAACGAUGAAGAUGCGUUUCUAGAGUAACUACACUUCAUAUUCAGCCAUCUUCAACACAAAAAGUUAGCAACAGUUAGUUUCUACAACAAAAAAUCAGUAAAAACCUAACCAAGAUUCCACAAUUGUCGACUAUUCCCUCCCCCCAACCAGAACGAAACAUUGUCCUCAAUGUUUGAAAGGAAAGAAGUAGAGUUUAGAAGACAUCACCUGGGUGGUGCAACACAGAAGAAAAUAUUUACAGGCGGAGAGUUAAAUCUAAUUUGUACUUCUUACUGCUGCUACUGUUACCAUCAUUAUUUGGACGCUCCAACACAAAGGUCCAGGGGUCUGGCUCCGGUCGAUAAGCUUGUAACAUAUCAAGUAGCUCAUUAGCAGUGUGAGCACAAAUAAAGAUUUUUUUCGCAUUAAAGGGAAUGAAAUAGUUUUUUAUUGCAUGGUUAAGAAAUGCGAUAAAGCCAUCAUAAAAGUUAUUGACAUUUAACAAACCGAUGGGUUUCUGGUGGAUGUGCAGAUGGGCCAAGAUGCUAGUGUGAUAAGUGCCUCUAGUGUUGCAAGAUCUCCUGGAAGGAAAAUAAAAGCAUCAGCAUGAUUAAGCAUUUCAGUUAUUCUUUCUUGCAUACCUAAGACGACUAACUCUUCUCCAGUUGAUGAGUCAGACGAACUGCCCAAUGGUUUUAGGACUCUUGGGAUGAUGCCUAACACUUGACUUCCUCUGAUAAAAGCUGCUUCUGAAACCAUUUUGGAUAACCCUCGGUUACCUCCUCCAUACACCAAGUGUAAUUUUCUCGCUGCUAUGCUUCGAUCAAGAUCUAUGGCUGCCUCAACGAACUCUUUAUGUUUGCCAUAGGUAAAACCGGAAAACACACAAAUGUUCUUGAAUUGUCUAUUGGGAGUAGCUGCCAUUGUGAUACUUCUCAAAAACAAUUUGUGAGUGCUUGACAAAAGAUAUCACAUUUAAGAGUCUUGGUGAUAGUGGGUCAUGGUUGUGUAUGAGGUAAUAUGUCAGUGUCAAAUAACGCGUAAAGCACGUGGCUCGUGAGUCAAAAAGGAAACAGUAAAAAGGAAAAAGUAAACAGUAAUAAGAAAAAAGCAAACAGUAAUAAAAUUAUUAAAGACAAUAAUGCACACAAUAAAACAAUAGUGAAAUAAAAUAACAGUAAAGUGAAAGGAUAUUUACAGGUAGUUGCGACUGUGGCUCACAUCUUCCUCUGGUUUUACGUCCAGAAACGGCUUGAACGCCCUCUAUGGGUCGAGGAUAGGCUUCCUAUCCAGUUUUCUUAUAAACUGGCAAACAGGGUCAUUUAUAGUCAGAUUCCCGAGACUAUAUCGUGCAUGCUCUUUCUGGAAUAAUGGUUAUAACUGGAGAAUCGCUCCUUGCACAUAUCCACUGGGAUGCGUUUCAAGAGACAAAAGGAUAUCAUCCAAUGACUCCUUAUUCAAGCCAUCCCUAAUGAAUUGAAUCUUAUCUUCCCUGUUAUCAGACAUCAUUCCUAAAGAACAUGGGUUUUUAUAGCAACUCAUUCUGGCACACUUAUGACAAGCAACAGAAAUUCUUCGAGCUCGUCGUUUUCUUGCAUAAUUUCCUUUACCACAACCAGGCAUGUAUGCAAUAAAUUUUGGAGGUAACUCACCUGCCGAUCGUACUUUAGCCUCGAUUAACCAACGGAUGUCAGCAAGUAUGUUAUUCCUCAUGAGUAAUCGCAUGCGUUCGGACCGAGCUUUAUAAAUCGUAAGGAGGGCAUUCUGAGGAAGUGAAGGGAAUCGCUUGUGAAGCUUCGCUAGAAUCUCAUUUCUGUCCAUACUUUCGCCUCAGAAUAUCAGUUAUUAUGGGAAACUGAAGUAACCGACUUGAUUGUCACGGAGUACCGUUAUCCGCCACUUCACCGGGGUAACAAACUAAAGCACACAAAUAGAAAAACAAAUUAAAACACACAAUUAAAAUCGUCCUCUUAUUGAAUUUACCUCAAGCUCCAACUGGAUGUCGUAAACACUUCUCUCAAUGUCUCUGAGUUGGCGUUCUAAACCCUCAACAUAGGCUACUAACUCUGGUGGUUGUAGAGCCCAAAUGCGUUGUGUUUUACAAAAUUGAAUCUGCCUUUUGAGAUGAGUUUUGACACGUUGAAGUGGUUUAAGAAUGUUCAGGAGGAACGGUCUAAGUAUGAGACUCAUGAUUAAAAAUGAUAAGAGAAAACUUAAUGGUAAAAUAAACACACUUAUGCAAAAACAAUUUCAAUUAGCAAAAGAAUAAUAAUAAAAAGAAAGAAAGAAAAAUCAAAUCAACGAAAAGAAAAGAAAAUCAAUUCAAAUUUGGUGGGUCACUCAAAUUUAUUUCGGUGUCUUCGUCAUGUGGUUGGUACUCUAGAUAUGGCUUUAAUCUUUGACCAUUAACUUUAAACGUGACACCGUUCUUUGGGUCCUUAAUUUCAAUUGCCCCAUGUGGAAAAACAGUAUGAACAAUAAAGGGACCAGACCAACGAGAGCGUAACUUACCUGGGAAUAGGUGCAAGCGAGAAUUAAAUAAAAGCACUUUCUGACCUGGAGUGAACAAUUUUCUCAUAAUUUGCUUAUCAUGGAAGACUUUCAUUCGUUGCUUGUAAAUCUUGGCAUUUUCGUAUGCAUCAUUGCGAAUUUCUUCAAGUUCUGCCAACUGUAAUCUUCUUUCUGAGCUGGCUUACUACAUGUCAAAAUUGAAUUUCUUGAUGGCCCAAUACGCACGAUGCUCGAGUUCCACAGGUAGGUGGCAAGCUUUUCCAUACACUAGCCUGUAGGGUGACAUCCCAAUCGGGGUCUUGAAAGCCGUUCUAUAUGCCAAUAAUGCAUCAUCAAGUCUUAAUGACCAAUCUUUCCUGUCUGGCCUCACCGUUUUUUCUAAUAUGUGCUUUAUUUCUCGAUUGGAUAUCUCAACUUGGCCACUGGUUUGCGGAUGAUACGGAGUUGCCACUUUGUGUGUGAUUGAAUACUUUGUCAAAAGAGCUUUGAAUGCUUUGUUACAAAAGUGGGCACCACCAUCACUGAUUAUCACUCGAGGGAAUCCAAAGCGUGAAACAAUGUUGCUUUUUAAAAAUGCUAUCACCACCUUGUGAUCAUUGGUCCUACAUGGAAUAGCUUCUACCCAUUUUGAUAGAUAGUCAACAGCAACCAAUAUGUAUUGAUGACCAAAAGACGGGGGAAAGGGUCCCAUGAAGUCGAUACCCCAUACGUCAAAAAUCUCAACCACUAAAAUUGGAUUUAGUGGCAUCAUGUUCCUUCGCGUAAUGCUCCCCAUUCGUUGACACCUAUCACAUGAAGAACAGAAAGUGUAAGCGUCUCGAAAUAUAGAUGGCCAAUAGAAACCACAUUGUAAAACUUUAGUCGCUGUUUUCUUAGCACUGAAAUGGCCUCCACAAGCUUGUUCAUGGCAGAAUAAAAGGAUAUUCUGAAUUUCACUUUCUGGGACACAUCGUCUAACAAUUUGGUCUGCACAAUACUUGAACAAAUACGGGUCAUCCCAAAAGAAAUUCUUUAUCUCUGCAAAGAAUUUAGCCUUAUCUUGCUUGGUCCAAUGCUCUGGAAGUUUACCUGUAACAAGAUAAUUAACUAUAUCAGCAUACCAAGGUAAUACUUCCACAUUCAUUAAUUGUUCAUCUGGAAAUGACUCAUUCAAUGGUAAUGAUUCUGUAAUUGUGUCAAAAUGGAGACGAGAGAGGUGGUCCGCCACAACAUUUUCUGUCCCUUUUUUAUCUUUGAAUUCCAAGUCAAAUUCCUGCAAAAGUAACACCCAACGAAUUAGUCUAGCUUUUGCAUCUUUCUUUGUGAGAAGAUAUUUAAGAGCAGCAUGAUCUGUGAAUAUAAUUAUUUUACAACCAAUGAGAUAAGAUCGAAAUUUCUCCAAUGCAAACACUACUGCUAGCAUUUCUUUUUCAGUAGUUGAAUAGUUCAACUGUGCAUCAUUCAAUGUCAUACUAGCAUAGUAAAUAACAUGCGGAAUUCGAUCAACUCUUUGUCCUAAUACUGCUCCUACUGCAUAGUCAGAUGCAUCACACAUGAGCUCAAAUGGUAAGCUCCAGUUUGGGGGCUGAAUUAUGGGUGAUGAUGUCAACAAAUGCUUUAAUUUUUCAAAUGCCACAAGACAUGAAUCAUUAAAGACAAAAGGUGCAUCCUUAGCAAGUAAAUUGCAUAAGGGUCUAGAAACUUUGCUAAAAUCUUUAAUGAAACGUCUAUAGAAACCAGCAUGCCCAAGGAAAGAUCUUACUUCUCUGCCUGUUUUGGGUGGAGGAAGAUUAGAAAUGAGAUCCACCUUGGCUUUGUCAACCUCAAUACCUUUGCUCGAAAUGAUGUGACCGAGAACAAUACCUUGUUUUACCAUAAAAUGGCAUUUCUCCCAAUUUAAGACCAAGUUCUUCUCGAUACAUCUCUGCAAAACUAGUGUUAAAUGAUGUAAACAUUGAUCAAACGAGUCACCAAAGACAGAAAAGUCAUCCAUAAAGACUUCAAGAAAUCGUUCAACCAUAUCAGAAAAAAUGCUUAGCAUGCAUCGUUGAAAUGUAGCAGGUGCAUUACAUAAUCCAAAUGGCAUUCUCCUAUAUGCAAAUGUGCCAAAAGGGCAAGUGAAAGUAGUUUUCUCUUGAUCUUUUGGUGCUAUGGGAAUCUGAUUAUAUCCUGAGUAGCCAUCUAGAAAGCAAUAAAAUUCAUGGCCUGCUAAUCCAUCAAGCAUUUGAUCAAUAAAUGGUAAAGGAAAAUGGUAUUUACGUGUGACAGAAUUCAACUUCCUAUAAUCAAUACAUACACGCCAUCCUGUAGUUACUCUAGUGGGUAUCAAUUCAUUAUCAGCAUUCGUAACUACUGUGACUCCUGACUUUUUGGGGACAACUUGUACAGGACUGACCCAUGAACUAUCAGAAAUUGGGUAAAUAAUACCUGCGUCUAAUAGUUUAAGGACUUCAGUUCUAACAACUUCUUUCAUAUUAGGAUUUAACCGACGUUGCAUUUCCCUAGUAGUUUUAGCAUUUUCAUCAAGGUGAAUGUAAUGCAUGCAGUCUACUGGGUUUAUACCUUUAAUGUCUGCUAUGGUCCAUCUUAAUGCCCCUUUGUGCUCUUUCAAAACAUCCAACAACUUACCUUUUUGUUCGUCAUUGAGGGAUGCUGAGAUGAUUACCGGUAGAGUACUUUCUUCUCCCAAAAAUGCAUAUUCCAAUGUAUUGGGUAAUGAUUUGAGCUCGAGUUUCGGUGGUGAUUCUGAUGAUGGGAUGAGUUUCUUCUCUGAUGGUGCUAGUUGUUCAACUCUUGACUUCCAUUUAUUAGUGUCCAUAGAUGGUGCUGAGUCAAGCAGGGCGUUGACCUCAUCAACCGAUCUGUCAAUAUCAAAAUCAAAACCAAAGUGAGUUAAACAUGUUUGUAAAGGAUCAUCACUAAGGUUUGAAACAAAAGUAUCAUCAACUAAUGCUUCAAUUAAAUCCACAUCAACAAUUCCAUCAUCUGCAUUGUGAGGUUGUUUGGCAAUGUUGAAGAUGUUCAGUUCCAUAGUCAUGUUGCCGAAGGACAACUGCAUAUUUCCAGUCUUGCAUUGAAUGUGAGCAUCCGCAGUUGCCAAGAAAGGUCGGCCUAGAAUAAUGGGGAUGUGCUUCCUUGAAUCCUGUAUUGGUUGAGUGUCAAUUACAAUAAAAUCAACAGGAAAAUAAAACUUGUCUACCUGGAUAAGCACGUCCUCCACAAUACCACGAGGUAUUUUCGUGGACCGAUCUGCAAGCUGUAACACCACUAGAGUUGGGUGUAAUUCUCCCAGUCCAAGUUUCACAAAUACUGAAUAAGGCAACAAAUUUACACUAGCUCCUAAAUCCAACAAAGCAUUCUCAAUUGUGCGGUUCCCUAUACUACAUGAGAUAGUGGGGGAGCCUGGGUCUUUGCAUUUUAAAGGAAUUUUAUGUUGGAGUAUAGAACUAACGUUUUCUAUUAAAAAUGCCUUCUUUUGAACAUGCAUAUUUCUCUUUUUAGUACAAAGGUUUUUAAGAAACUUAGCAUAAGAUGGAACUUGUUUAAUAGCAUCUAGCAAAGGGAUGUUAACACUUACCUGUUUGAAGAUUUCAAGAAUCUCACCUGUGGAUUUUCCCUUCUUUCCUUUCGCUAACCUCUGAGGAAAUGGAGUUUUAGGAACAUAUUCUCGUGGGUUGGUUUCUUCUUUUUCCUCCGGUGGUGAGUCCUCAACAUUCACAAGUACGAUUUGAUUUUCUUUUGUCACCGGCAUCUCCACUUUGUUGUCGACUUCUUUUCCUUUUCGCAAGGUCAUGACUGCUUUGACUUCUCCAUGCUGCUGUGGUGAACUGGUACUUGCUUCAUGCACUCCUUUAGGGUUAGACACUGGUUGACUUGGAAAUUUGCCUUUCUCAACAGUCAUUGCCAAGGUCUGAACUGAAGAAGCAAGUUGUCCCACCAUCUUCUCGAGGCUUGAAACUGAUUGAGCUUGUGAGUUGAAGCCUGCUCUCAACUCAUUUCGUAGUCCAUCAAUGGUGCGGUUCUGUUGCUCAAUCGUGGAGUGAGUAACAUUCCUGAAAUUCUGGAAUGCAUCCUCCCAUGGUCUAGGUUGAGAGUGGUUUUGGUUCUGAUUGUAUGGUCUAAAUGCUGGCUGAGAGGCUUGAGGAUUUUGUGGAAUUGGUGGAGCUGGAGCUGCUGGUCCGUUCUGUUGGAAUCCUUAAGACCAUGAAAAAUUGGGGUGGUCUCUCCAUCCAGGGUUAUAUGUGUUAGAGUAUGGGUUGUAAUUCGAUGGUUUUCUCAUUACACCUAUGGCAUUGGUUUGAUCUGAGUAUGAGUCAUGGUCAUGUGGCUCUGUUGAUUUAGCAAUCGAUAAUGAUGCUAUUUGUCGAGAGACCUUCAAUUAUCGCUUUGACUUCUUUAAUUUCUGAACUUGAUUCGCCAAUGUGAACCUCAUUUACUCCCUUAAUUCUUCUAGUAUUCCUGAGUGAUCGACUCCGUUGUUGGGAAUUAUCCGCUUGUCGCUGGAAGAAUUCCCAAAUCUCUGAUGCACUUUUUGACAUUAGCUCUCCUCCACUUGUUGCCAUUAGCCAUUCUUGCACAUUCGGCAAUAAUCCCUCCAAAAAUUAUUGGCAUUGGUGCCAUUUCUCGUACCCAUGAUGUGGACACUUCAAGAGUAGCCCAUUGAAUCGCUCCCAUGUCUCGAAAAAUUGCUCGUCCUCUCUCUGGGUAAACUCCGAGAUUUCCCUGCGAAUAGCAUUGGUUUUAUGCACUGGGAAAUAUUUAUUCAAAAAUUUCGUUACCAUUUGUUCCCAUGAUGAAAUGCUAUUAGCAGGUAAAUAUUUAACCAUGAACGAGCUCUAUCUUUUAAAGAAAAUGGGAAUAAUCUAAGUUUAACAUCAUCAUCUGAAAAAUUCUCAUAUUUAAAUGUUUGACAAAUUGCAUGAAAAUCAUUCAAAUGAUUAUAUGGGUCCUCAUUUUCUAGGCCAUAGAAUGUGGGGAGACAAUUUAGCACACUAGGUUUUAGUUCAAAACUCCUAGCAGCUACAUUUGGGUAUCUUAUGCAUGAUGUGCUCAAAUUAGCUAAGGGACUAAAAUAGUCCUUAAAUGGCCUCUCCUGUGGUGCUUGUAAAUCCAUUUUAUUUUUAAUUUGUUUGUGUGUGCGAAGUGUUUUUUCUAAUUCAAGGUCUAUAGGUUCAAGAUUAGGUAAUAAUGACCUACGACCAUGCAUGCAAAACAAAUAAAAUAAAAAUAAGGAUGAGAACAAAACAAAUAAAAAUAAAGAAGAGGGAGAAAUUACGAUACUAACCUUCUUGCGCUAUUAAAACCUUUCUAUAAAAAUACACAAAAACAAAUACGUGAAAUAAAUUAACUAAAAAUUAAAUUAAUAAAAUAAACAAAAAAAAUUACAAAGAAAAAUAAAUUGAAAAUUAAAUUAUAGAAUUUUAAAGAAGAGAAAAAAUAAAAGAAAUACUAACCUUUAAAUGUAGAUUCACUCUUUUUUUUCUCUUUUUUUUAUAAUAAAAAAAAAUACAAGAAAACAAAUAAAAGAAAUUAUUCACAAAAAUUAAUCCUAUUAAUUAAAAUUACUUACCUCCCCGGCAACGGCGCCAAAAACUUAUUGUGUAAAUUUUAAUGUACUCGCAAGCGCACGAAUCUAUUAUAGUAUAGAUCAAUGGUGACGAGUGUCGAUCCCACGAGGAGGUGGAUUUUAAUUGUGUAGAAUUAAUUUUGUGAAUGGGUGAUUGGAUUUGUGGUGGAAAUGAUUUGGAAUAUGCUACAACUUAAAUUAAAAUGGCGAGAAUAAAUUCUAAAAUUGGUAUUGAAAUGACGAGAAGAAAUUGAAGAGAAUUCUAUUGAAAUGACGUACUUGGGUAUCUGGAUCCGUAUCAACAUGCAUCAUGGGCUAAAUAAUCCUUAUUAAUGCCAAUUAAAUCAUGAGGGGGGAAUCCACACCUCAUGAACCACGCUCUAAUCAAUAUGGUGCUAAGGGCUUAUCGUGCCAAAUAAUAAUAACCUUGUCCUAGGGGGCCGGUGAAACCAAGGCGGUACUAGACAAGAAUAUUAUUAUUUGUCGACGAGAAGUCAAAACAUCCAAAAAAACUAGAGGGGAAGAGAAAAUAAAUUUACCAAAUUAAGCCCAUGACACAUAUUGAGACUUCACCUUCAACCCAAGCUUGAAAGAAAAUUAGCCACUCAUAAUUAAACUAGGGGCAAAAUGGGAAUUUAUUAAAAUACGAAGAAAAUACAAGAUGGAUAAAGAAUUACAGAAAAUGGAUCCCAAAAAUGGAUUCAGAGAUAUCAAAUUAGGGGGGGAGGCCCCCUUUUUAUAGAUACAUGGAGUAAAUCAUGGCCAUCGGAUUAAAAACAGUUUGGACGCUCAGGAUUGCGCCACGUCAUCAGUCAACAGUCCACGGUUUGACCACGCGGAUGAACAGUAACGCGGUUUGACUCGGAUGAACAGUAACACGGUUUGGUUGAAAAUAAUCCUGUGUGAUGCAUGUACCGUACGCGAGAUUUUUCAUCCACUGAUAUGCUGCCGCGUCACCAUCAACAGUACAUAAGAAUUUUAGCCCAACAGGAUCAUGACACCUCAUCAGUCAAUGCCACAUCAUUGGUCAAUGCCACGUCAUCGAUCCGUCUAUGUGAACAGUGUUGUGAACAGUAACGUAAUUAAUACCGUACACGUGAAUAGUACCGUACAUAUGAAUAGUGCCAUUUUUCCUUUUAUGCUCCUCUUAAGGUUUUCGACUGUCCUGAGUUCAAAGUGAUGUCCGUUUUGCCGUCUGAUCUCUCCUUUAUUGUGAAAUGACUAUAAUGCCCCUAAAAUACAUAAAAUACUUAAUUAAAAUAAAACACAUGUAAUUAAAUCACAAGAAGGUUAAAUACAUAAAAGUAAGGGUUGUUAGUAAGACUUGAAAUGUAAAAUGACGGUUUUCUCCUUUAUAAAUAUGCAUUUUCUAACACUCAACACUUGCCCUACUCAUCGUUACCUGCAAUGUAAGGAUUUUGUGAGCUAAUUCCCAGUAAGAUAACACUUUGAUGCAUGUAUAAAUUAUUAUUCAUAUGGAUGAUCAUAUUAAGUUUUUAAAAGAACUUAGAAAAUACAGAACAACUUUAUUAGAGCCCUGAUUAGUUGAUCUUUUGGGCGUUACGUAUCGCCGUCCCCAAAAGAUUUCUUUUUACUUAGCUUGGAGGGUUUGUCCUCCUUAAAAACUUUGCCACCUGGUAGUACAACCACUCAUUUUUCAUAAAAUCAUUUUAUGAAACGUCUUCUUCAUAAAGCAAUCCAUGAUAUGCAUGCAUCCAAUGCAACUUCUGUCAUAAUAUUUGAAGUUCUUAGAUGCACAACAUAAUCAACACACAACACCAUUUAAGGAUAACAAUCUUUAAUAUAGGCGGCAGUACCGUCCAUACAGAGAUUAAACAAAAUGGAAUUAUAGUAUAGGCCGCAGAGCCGACCAUAACAUAAUUAAGUAUCAUAGAUUAGGCGGCAUAGCCGACUAUAUAAGGAUAAGUAAGAAUUUACUAUAAUAUAGGCGGCAUUGUGUUGAGUGUUAGAAAAUGUAUAUUUAUAAAGGAGAAAAUCAUCAUUUUACAUUUCAAGUCUUACUAACACCCUUACUUUUGUGUAUUUAAGCUUUUUGUGAUUUAAUUACGUGUGUUUUAUUUUAAUUAUGUAUUUUAUGUAUUUUAGGAGCAUCAUAGUCAUUUCACAAUGAACGAGAAAUCAGACGGUAAAAUGGACAUCACUUUUGAACUCAGGACAAUCGAAAACCUUAGAAGGAUCAUAAAAGAAAAAAGGUCACUGUUCACAUGUACGGCACUAUUCACAUGUACGGUAUUGUCCAUGUUACUGUUCACGACACUGUUCACAUAUACGAAACGAUGAUGUGGCAUUGACCGAUGAUGUGGCAUUGACUGAUGAGAUGUCACGAGGAGAAAAUUCUUAUGCACUGUUGAUCGGUGACGUGGCAACAUGUUAGUGGACUAAAAAUUGCGCGUACGGUACAUGCAUAUACACAGGAUUAUUUUCAACCAAACCGCGUCACUGUUCAAGCCGGUUGACUGUUCAAACCGCGUGGUCAAACCGUGUCACUGUUCAAACCACGUGGUCAAACCGCGUACUGUUCACUGAUGACGUGGUGCAAUCCUGAGCGUCCAAACUGUUUUUAAUAUGAUGGCCAUGAUUUACUCAAUGUAUCUAUAAAAAGGGGGCCUCCCCCCUUAAUUUGGCAUCUCUGAAUUCAUUUUUGGGCUCCAUUUUUUUGUAAUUCCUUCUCCAUCUUGUAUUUUCUACGUAUUUUAAUAAAUUUUCAUUUUGCCCCUAAUUCAAUUAUGAGUAGCUAAUUUUCUUUCAAGCUUGGGUUGAAGGUGAAGUCUCAACAUGUGUCAUGGGCUUUAUUUGGUAAAUUUGCUUUCUCUUCCCCUCUAAUUAUUGUGGAUGUUUUGACUUUUCGUCGACAAAUAAUAAUAAUCUCUUCUAUAUACCGCCCUGGUUUCACCGGCUCCCUAGUAUAAGGUUAUUAUUAUUUAGCACGAUAAGCCCUUAGCACCAUAUUGAUUAGAGUGUGGUUCAUGAGGUAUGGAUUUCCCCCUCAUGAUUUAAUUGGCACUAAUAAGGAAUAUUUAGCCCAUGGUGCAUGUUGAUACGAAUCUAGAUACCCAAGUGCAUCAUUUCAAUAUAUUUCACUUCAAUUCAUUUCCGUCAUUUUAAUUUAAGUUUUAGAAUAUUCCAAAUCAUUUCCACCACAAAUCCAAUUACCCAAUUUAAAAAUUAACUCUACACGUAAUUAAAAUCUACAUCCUCGUAGGAUCGACACUCGUCACCAUUAAUCUAUUCUACAAUAGAUUCGUGCGCUUGCGAGUUCAAUAAAUUUGCACAACACAUAGCCGUCCGUGUAGAAAUUGAGAUCAUAACAAAUCACAUCAUAAUAGUCAUCACAAGAUUAAGAAUUAAUUAAAGUGGAAGUUAAGUAUAAAAAGAAUUUUUUCCUUACACUGCAGUUGAAGUGUUACCUCUUGACCUUGACUUUUCUAGACCUCUCUAAAUUGAGGAUUUCUGUACUCUUGAUGUUAUGACUUAGAAUAGAGAGGGUAAAAUUUCUAGAUUGCAUUAAAAAUUAAAGGGGGUAGGGGGUAUUUAUAGGAUUUCUUAAGGCUAAUGAAUGACUAGAAUUUUGCCACCAUAACUCUUGAUCAAUGGUUGAGAUUGUCCUUCAUAAAUACCUUAUUAAAUUCUAGAAUUCUUAACUCUCUCUACAAACUUCUCUACAUCAUCACUUAUGUCACUGCUUACGUCAUCAUUACUUAUGUUAAAAUAAAUUCUAUUACAUUUAAGUGAGAAAAUUGUAUCUCACAUAUUGAGACUAAUAGAGCUUAUUAUUAUCUACGGUUGAUAGUUUCAAUAGAAAUUGAUGAUAGAAUUGAUAUAUCAUGUGCAUGUUUGGUGGUGGCGAAUGAUCGUUUAACCAAAGUUUUCAUCAUUAUUAUUUCUUUCUCCUUUAAUUAGAGUUUUUAUUAAAUUAUUGUUUUCGUAGUUUUAAUUUCUUUAUUUCCUGCUAUUUAGUUAAAAUUUCAUAAAAACCUCCCCUUUAUUUAUAGUUGGCAUUUUCUUUAGUUAGAUUAAUUUUUAUUAUUAUUAUUAUUAUUAUUAUUAUUAUUAUUAUUAUUAUUAUUAUUAUUAUUAUUAUUUUAAGUCCUGCUUUAAAGUUGACAACAAAUAUAACUCACAUAGUCUUCAUGGGAUCGAUCAUUACUCGCUCUAUACUAGUUGUUUUAUAUUAUUUGCAAGGUUUUAUAGUCGAUGCACCCUAACGACACUACCACCAAACUUUCAUAUGAUUGGGGGUUUUAGUGUUUAAUUUUAAUUUCAAUUUCACUUUAUUUGGGGCCACCCUUUUCUUUUUUUGAAUUUAAGUCUUAUAGAAUUUGUGGAGAUUAUUGUUUGGGUUUCAUGGUAAAAUUAAAUUUAUAGUAAAAAAUGGCUGAGAUAUAAUUUUGUUUCCACAUAUUUAUUAAUUUUAUUUCCCUUAACGUAUAUUUUUUGGUUUGAAAUCAAUCAUUCUUGACCUCAUUCUUGUAGUUGGAGAUGAAUUUCAAUUGGCUACAUUUCAUCUUAGGAUUAGCUAGAGGACAACAAAUUCAAGCUUUGCGUAGUCUAUGAGUUUGCCUUCCUAUUUUAUGUUUCGAGAGAAAGUUCCACAAACAUAUCUAGCAUUUGUUUGACCCAAAAAACGUUUUGACUCUAGUGUUGACUUGUUAGCAAGUAUUAGGCUUUAGACAAUGAUCUCUACUAUAGAUAGUGGUGUAGGAGUUGAUGAUGUUCACAACAUAAUAAAGAACUUUUGUUAAUGAAUAUCUAAGAGACUAAUCCAGUGGUGAGCUCUAAAGAAACCCUAAUUGGGCCUGGACUUUAAGGAUAAUGUUUUGAGAUUUCCAUAUCCUAAAAGAUAGGAUUUAAGAUUCUAUAAUAUGUUUCUAAGAGUGAUGUUGUGUUGGAGAAGAUCUUGAUACCUUUUCUCGCUGGUUUUAUAUACAGUUACUUCGAUUAAGAAUAGGUCUAUGAGGUAAAACCUUAAUCCUAUUAGUUAAGAAAUUGAUCCCUACAAAAUAGUUGGAAUCCUUGACGAAAAAGGUAAGUGAUGAUUAUCAUGAGGAAUAUAUUGUCUUUCCUUUCUUUGGAUGAGGUCAUGAUUCUUUUAGAAUUGGAUUACCUUUCCUACCACCGGACAACAUGAAUUGUGUGGAUAGGCUAUAUUUAGGAUAAAAUUAGGAUUUAGUGAGUCUUCUAGAAGGUCUUUUAGGUUAGGCCUAAGAUUACAUCAAAGUAAUGAUCUUUAUGUAGCCCAAAUAUGGGUAGUGCACUAAUGGGUUGUUUAAGUCACUUAUGGGCUUUAUAGGGUUAUUGAUUCUCUAUUAGCCCAUUCUAUAAGGCAUGCCCUUCUAGGCAAAGGUCCUCUAAAUGGACUUAGUUAAGAGUUUAAUAUAAAUUGAACUCUGAACACAUCUAUGUCUUGUAAACCACAACCUAAAUUGGAUGUCGUAAUAUAGUGGCUUGAGUCUACUAUAGUAUCAAUUUUUAGAUAAUAACAAAAACUUACAUAGUCUGGUCCACCACUUUAACAUAAGUCGGUGUCCAUGACCAUUCAAAUAUUGUCAUUUGGAUAGGUUAGUGGAUUCAGUAUGGGACCCACCAACUUUAACAUUGUAAAAUAUUUAUUUAAAAACAAUAAAUUAUGCCCCAUUAUCCGAUGGCAAGCUUUUAGUGAUUAUGCUCAAGUGGUGCACCCGACUCAUAUAAGUAGCUAACCUUAAUUACAAACUUAUAUGAGGGUUUCUAAAAUAUUAUGUCUUUAGUGUAAUAAGUUGUUGCACCUCACAAAUAAUCUAAAUUAUAGCUCAAUACUUGAAUUAUUAUUUUUUUUUUUGGAAACUAAUUGAAUAACCUUUAACAAAUCCGACUCUACCACCAAUAAAGACAAAUUAUUCUCACCAGUGAGUCAUUUGGACAGGUUAGUGGAUUCUAUUCUGGACCCACCCACUUUGACAUUGUAGAAUAGUUAUUUAAAACAAUAAAUUAGCAGGUCUCAAUGUGGGAUCCACUUUAUCUAUCUAAAUUACAAGCUUCUACUGAUCAUGCUAAGGUGAUGCGCCCAACCCAUAUAAGUAACUAUAACUUAAUUAAAAACUCUUAGUAUAUGAGAAAUUCUAAAAACAAUAUGUCUUUGGUGUAAUUAGUUGUUGCACCUCCAAAAUAAUCCAAAAUAUAGCUCAAUACAUUAAUGAUUCUUUUUUUUCUAAAUAAUUGAAUAACCCCUAACAAAUCCGACUGUACUAGCAAUAGAAAAACUAUAUUCUCAUGAGUGGGUCAUAAGCUUAAAUCCGCAUCUAAAAUAUUUAAUUAUGUUAAGAAAUAUGUCGCAUUUUUCAAUAAGGCUUUAUGUUAUGAAAAUACUAGGAAAUAUGUCUCCUAAGAUACUUUCUUAUUUAGAAGGAUUCUUAUUUUAGGAAUAAGUAAUUUCCUUUUAGGACUUAACUUAUUCAAAGAGGAAUACAAUUUGCAUAAGGAAAUGAAUACUUCUCUUGCAAAAAAAUAUUCUCUAUAUAUAAGGAUGUUAGGUUAACUUGUUUGUAUGAAUUUAGAAUAUUCAAUUUUCUUUGCAAGUAAACAGUAAGUUUAUUAAUAGAUUAGGUGUUAUCAGGGUUUUGAGUGUUGCCUCUGACCUUCAAAGAGGAUGAACGUUGUGAGCAUCUAGAAAAGAAUACCACCAGAUGAAAUGUUGUUCUCUCAAACGACAUCACCUGGAAAUGCAUAAUGGAUUUUUUCUUUGUCCAUUUGGCAGUGAUGGUUUUUCCAAUAUAAGAGUUUCCAUGUAAAUUCUUGUGUUGUAUGAUUAAUUUUAUUCUUCUUUUUUGUUUUCUAUUUGCUAUUUGUUUGAUUUUUUUUUGCUUGAAGAAUCAUAGUUUGGAUUAUUGUCGUAAACAAAUUAAUCUUUGACCCAUAAUUAAUUGUUGACCCAUACUGUUCUAAAUAAUUAAUCUUUGACCCAUAACAUUAAGAGUGAAGUUGUCUUUUGGAAGCACGAUCAACGACCAAAAAUUAUAAACAAGCCUUAAUUUGUUAGAAAUUCGAUAUUGAACAUGUGUACUUGGAGUUUCAAAUACAUUUUGUAAUUAUACAUUUUCGAUUCCCCCAAUUAUGUAAAAUUGAUGUUUUAUGCUUCUAACACGUAAUUUGAUAUUGAUAGAAGAAGUUGCAUGGACACAAGACGAUAAAAAGCCAAAACACAAAACUAAUACCAUAGUGUAUAGGGGGGAUUGCCACUUUCCCCCCUACAGUAAUUAACAUAUACCAUUUACACUCUUUCUGUUUUUAUAAUGGCCAAAAACCCCACUGACAACAUAAGUUUACAAUAUUACUCUUAUUUUUAAUUACUCUUUUAUUUACAUUUGUUAUAAAUUAAAUAAAUUGUAUGAAUAGAAACUAAAUAAAAAAUUAAAUAUUAAAAACAAGAAAUUUAUGUUUUGAUAUGAGCAAAAGAAUUAAUAAUAAAUUUUUUUUCUUGUAAUUAUUUAUUUUGUGAACAUUUUCUUAUAAUAAACAUUUUGUAAUAUUUUAAAAUUAAAUGUAAAAAGUAUAGGCAAAAUAUUUUAUUAUUUAUCUUAUAAUAAAUUUUUAUUUGUCAUUCAAAUUUUCUUAUAACAAUUUUUUUAUCAUUUUAUAAUAACUUUCUUAUACAUUUAUUAUAAGAAAAUUUUCACAAAAUAAAUAAGUACAAGAACAAAAUUUUAUUAUUAAUUUUUUUUCUUAUAUCAAAACAUAUAUUUCUUAUUUUUAAUGCUUAAUUUUUUAUUUAGUUUCUAUUCAUGUGAUUUAUUUAAUUUAUAAUAAACAUAAAUAAAAGAGUAGUUGAAAAUAAGGAUAAUAUUGUAAACUUAUGCUAUCAGGGAGGUUUUUGGCACUUAUAAAAAUAAUAAGAGGAAAAUGGUAUAUGUUGAUUACUGUACGGAGAAAAUUGGCAAUCUCCCUAGUGUAUAGCACCAAAUAAUAACUGCGUUUUAUUCCAUGCACAAGUUAUGAAUAACACUCGAACCAUCACCUCGAACAAAACGUCAAAACAAAAAUCCACAUAGCAUGCUGUGAAUUGCCUCGACAGAAACCACCAACCAAACCAAUAUAUGACAAAAUACGUAACUACAGCAAAUUAAAGAGAAUCUACCAAUGGGAACCGACAAAUUUUAUGAAUAUAUUUCUUUUCUUCUUCUGAAACUUAUUGUAAGAAAUAAAUCAGCAACACCAAUAUAUUUUUUUGGUCCUUCUUCAUUAUGUUAUUCACCCACUAGCAUCAAUAUUUUUGCUUGUUUUCUUUGAAUAUCAUAAUAAUAACACUUAAUUUCAGUUAGUGAAUUCCAAAUGAGAAACUUGGUCACCAGUAAAAGUAGUAGAAGUACUGUUGGAAGAACACCACGGAUCAUCUGUGAUGAACUGCAUCCAUGAAUCAUCUUUGUCUUCCUCAUCAAUGCAAGAUGAUGAAUUUAUUGGAACAUCUGGUGACAUUGUUUCACAUUCAAUGCUGAUUCCAUGACUUUGCUGCGAGUUCUCCAUUAAGGAUGAUGAUAAACCACUACAUUGCCCGUGCUGAUCUUCCAUUUCAGAGCAAAUUCCAUUUUUCUUGAAUACUCGACACAAUGCAUAAGAAUCCUGCCAAAAACAGCCAAAUAUAAUUAGUAAAAUAUAUGUCAAAAAUUGAAUACUGAAUAAAAUAGUAACAAAUUAAUAACAUUAUUGCAUGCAUUAGUGGAACCUUAACAUUGGAUUGUGAGAAACAUACAAAGUGAUCUUUAUGUGUAUUUCAGCUAGCCAUAUAUGUGCUUUUGCACCUAUGUCACCCGAUUUUGAGUAAUAAUAAAGGUAAGAACUGGUGAUUAGUGUGUUCUGUUCUUCGUCCUUAAAGAAACUUCAGAGGAAAAAAAAAGGUUCAAAUUUAGCUUGUAAAGGGUAAAGGUCUUAAACCAAAUCCUUGUUGAUAGCAAUGCCUAGAGUCAAGAUAUGAAAGUGAAGAGUCAAUGUUUUAGGUUGAUCCUAGUGGGUAGUGGCAAGUAGAUAUAUUGUUUCCAAAUAAUAGACGUCCAAAUGAGGUAUCCUAAUGCAACUUAAUUAUCAGAAGUCAACCUAUAAUUUUUCCUGUUGAGUUGUGUCCCACAUUAAAUAGUAAAGGAAGUUACUUGGGUUUGUAAGUAAGAUAAGUCACUCCACCCAAUAGGUUAAUCUUUUGAAUUUGAUACCUAGAAAGUAUAAAUCCUAGGACAAGUCUCCCAACAAUUGCUGUCAGAACUAGACUCUAGUAACCAGAAUAUAGCGGCGGAACAACUCAAGAUUGUUGACCGGGGUCCAAUAGUGUGGGGUGGGGAGAGUUACUUGGAUUUAUAAGUAGAAUAGAUCACUCUACCCAAUAAACUAGUUUUUUGGAUUGGAUACCUAAAAAUCUUAAGUUAAGCCCCUCAACAUUACCGUUAUCAUCGAAAAACAUUCUGUAAAUUAGUAACAACUUUUUUAUUCUACUAAAUACAUAAAUUGUACACACAACAAAAAAUUGUUACGAAUUAAAAAAAAAAGUGAUUAUUUUACUUACAAAUGCUGCAAUAUAAUAUAGUCACGCACAAUUAGCUCAUAAAUUGUACAGACAACAAAAAAUUAUUACAAAUUAAAAAAAAAAGUGAUUAUAUUACUUACAAAUGCUGCAAUAUAAUAGAGUCACGCACAAUUAGCUCAUGUUGAUAUUAGAUAAUAAAUAUGGAACGUGAAACAAAUUAAAAUAGGAAAAUGAAGGCUAGGUUAACCAAUGAGAUAUUCAGAUCAGGGCAUGCCUCUAGAUUUUGAUAUUCGUUGGCUUAUUUUGGUGUUUGGAAUAAAGUAAAAAAGCAGCCGACAACAUUCUUCACCAUGAAAGUGAUGGAGAAGCCGCUUUUUGGGUUUGCUCUAGCAUAUAAACAGCCUAAAUGAUUUACAUAAGACAUUUUUGACAGAAUCUACAAUCAUAGAUCAGAGAGUUUUAAAAAAGAUAAAGUAUGUUGAAUCAAAUUUAAUACAAGUCGUGGCUUCUGAGGGGAUACUGUUUUUGUCUCACUAAAGAAAAACAAAAUCGAAGUUUAGCCAAUAUUUCCAACUUAAGAGAUCAAAGAUCUAUUCUAGAGCAAGCAACGAAUAUGUCAGCGAUUUUUGUAUCUGAUUUUUAUUGCAAAAACAAAACAAUUAAAAACAAUUAAAAGACAUGAAAUGUGAGGGAACAGUGACGCUGGCUUCUUACUUUCCAUGCACGUCAUGCACUUUUCACGUUUGGAGAUUUCAUCAUUACCGUAUAUCAUUGAUGCUGCCUAAUCCUAAAAUUUAAUUGAACAAUUUUCCAAUCAUCCAUUUUACUAAUCAUUUUUUUACAAAUAGCGAAGGCCUAAAUAUGAAUGACCCUUAAUUAAUUCUUCCCACUACUCUAUAAGAACAUUUUACAUUGUAAGAGUUUUAAUUUAUCUACGAUGAUGAUGAAAUAAUGAACUCCAAUGAUAAAGUUAAUUUUUUUGUCCUUAUCUUCUUUGAGUUGAACUCAAAUGGUCAGUUAAAUAAAUUUACAUGAAAAAUACACGAUCAAGCCCUUAGGUGAAUAGAGGAAACUUUAACUUACUUUAUGUACUUUGUACCAUAAAGAAAUGAUUAAAAAAAUACUUUUCUCAAUGGUUACGGCAUACAUUCAACUGAAUUUUAUGCCUUGAGAGAUAAAAUUAUUAAGACUUAUUAGUUCACCUGCAACUCAACCGAGGUCAUAUAAUUGUCAAAAUUAAUGAAACAAACUAAAAGAAAAUAAAAUUAUUACAGACAAAAGUUUGCAAAUUUAGAAUUUUAAAAGACAGAAUUUGUUUCGUAAGAUGGAAGAAGAUAUUCAAAAACAAGUAAUUGGCUGAGAGUCGACAACCGCUUCUAUCCAAAAAAAGUUAAUUGUAGCUAAAAUUAUGUGUGUUUAAUUUUUAUUUUCAUAGUAAAUUCAAAGUUGAUCUUUUAACCAUAGGAUGGUAUGAAGAAAGCCAAUGAUUUGGAAAUUAAAAUGUUCUGUAAGCUAGCCAGGACUGAUUAAAAAGAAUUAUACAUACGAUGAUGAUGAUAAUCAUAUAAAUUAAUUAAUCAGUAAAUAUAUAUGUGUGUGUGUGUAUAAAGAUUGAGUAAUGAUAAAUUUUAUAAUGUACCAACUACCUGAAUUCCAGCAGAGAUAUCGUCACAUUCUUUGUCAUCAAGGCGAUAUUCAUGCAUGACCCAAUCAGUUCUAAUUCCCUGAGGAGCUCGCCCCCUGUAAUAAACUAGCGUUUUCUUCAUUCCAAUGGCUCGACUCUGGUACGUAACUCUCCGGUCUUUGCCGGUCGAUUUCCAGUAUCCGGCUCUCGUUGCUCUAUUUGUUCUGAACCCAUUCGGAUAUUUCCGAUCUCGCGGUCCGAAGAAGUACCACUCUGGAUCUCUACUUGGUAAAAAUGAUUUUUCUACAAUAAUGCAAAUGAAAUUACGACAAGAAAAUAUUAUAGUAAGUUGUAAUGAGAAAUUAAUACAAGAGAUAUACAUCAAACAGAAAUUAAUUAGUAAAGACCUGCUAAUUCCCAGGGCUCACAUUUGUAAAGAUCAACUUCAGGGAUAAUGUCAAGUUCGAUCUCUUGGCCGUUUAUUUUUCUCUUCAGAUAAUAAUUCACAAGCUCUUCAUCCGUCGGAUGAAAUCUAAAACCAGGAGGUAAUCCUACAGGUGCCAUUUUAAUUUGUUGUGAUUUUCCGACCUUAUGAUUGAGCACUUGCUCUCUGUGCAAAGUGUAGUAGUUAUACUCUUUUCUUUUUAUCUCUACAACUAUCAUGACUUGUAAUUCAUAAAUAAAGGAUUCAAAGUCCCCUUCUCUUUGGUUCAUUUUCACUUUGCCUUUUAAAGAUUCUUAGACAAACGUUUCUUGCAAGCCCUUUCUUCUUUCUCAUAAAAAUAAUGCUUCGAGUUCUUUAUCCAUUAACUCUUCCACAUCUUUCCAACUCUAAUAACCGCCUAUUUAUAUAUUCUUGAACAUCGGUUCAUAUGUAUGUGGUGGUCCAUGCACGCCAUUGGGUUUAUGCAUGCUGCUAUUUAAGUCCAUAUGUAUAUACAUAUAUGGAAUAUGAAACAAAGAGAAAUAGGUUUACGCACGCCGUUAGGUUGAUGUUUAUGUUUUUUCUUUAUUAUUUAUUGGGUUCCUCUAUGAUGCUGUAAUUUUUUUACAGCAUCAAUAAUGUUUUUAAUUGUGUACCAUUGGAUUUAAUCAAUGGUACACAAUAUUUGUACUAAAAAAAAAUUUAAAAAUAAUGGUAAACGUGUAAUGGGUGGAGAAUUUUGUAAAAUAACUAUGAUCAUCCUUAGAGUUUGAAACAAUUUCACUUAAAUAGCAUAUUGUAUUUAAAAUUAUUUUUCAAUCCUCCUUUAAAUUUGAAAUGUGAUAAUCUUUUUUAAAUAAAUCUUCCAAAAUCUAUUACCAUUAAGUAUAAAAUAUAAUGGUAGGUUAUUUAAUACAAAUCAAAUAAAUAAGUUGCAAUUGAAAAUUUUAUAUAUGAUAUAAUAGUAAUAAAUAACACAACUAAGUACAUAUACUUAAGUAAAUAUCAUAGUUACAUCAAUAAACUCAUUGUUGAGAUUGCUUGUAACAUAAAAAUUACUUGAUCACACAUGUUUUAAUAAAAUUUAAUAUCGUAUAUUAAAAUAUUCAUUAUUUUAUAUAAUAUUAAGGGUCAUUGUAUAAUUGAUCAUGAAGUAUGUAUUAUUUUUAAUACCCAUUUAACAUACUUAUUCUCUUAACUUUAUAUUUAUCUUACAAUUAAUAUCCUUACAUGAUAGGAAUUUUAUGUUUUAUAAGCCUAUAUAUUUUCAUUUUAAUUUCAAAUAUCACUUUGUUAAUUUCACAAAAGUUAAAUCUAAUAUAUAUUCCUAAUGAGCUUUAGUUUAUGAACCGUGAAAAAUUAUUUUAUUGAUAUCCUUAGAUUGUAAUUAUAAAAUUUUAUGUUAUUAAGAAUCAUUACUUUUGUUGUGAUAAUUAAUAGUGACAAUAAAUAAAAUAUUGCCUCCAAUAAUAUUUACGUUGGAAAAAAAAGUGAAGAAUAUCAUGUAUAUUUUUAGAUUUUUAUUAACAUGGUAGGAAAUUAUCUCAGCCUUAUAAAAUUUAACUUUCACAAGUUUGUUUUCAUUUUAUUUUCAAAUGUCACUUUGUUAAUUUCAUAAAAGUUAAAUCUAACACAUAUUCCUAAUUAACUUUAGUUUAUGAAUCAUGAAAGAUAAUUUUAUUGUUACUCUUUGAUAGUAAUUAUAAAAUUUUUAUGCUACGAAGAGUCAUUACUUUUAUUAUGAUAAUAAAUAGUGACAAUAAAUAAACUAUUACAACAAAUAAUAUUUAAUGGACAAAAUGAGGAAAAAAAUCAUUGUAUGUUUUUAUAUUUCUAUUAUAAAGAUAUGGUUUGGAAUACUUUAACUUAAAAUUAUGGCACAAUAUUUGACCCACUAAUAUCUCAUACUCUAAUGGUUGAUAUUGAAAGUCAAAGCAACAUUUUAUAAUGUUAUAUCCUCCACCAUUGAAUCGCAUGAAAUAAAUAGUUUAAUUUUUUGAUAAAAAUUUAAAUCAUAAUAUUUCUCACUCUAUAGUUAUAUAGACAUAUAUUUUUCAAUAAUAAUUGGUGAAUAAAAUAUUUCUCAUUUGUUAUGACUCAUAUAGUAUUAUUAAUAAAACACAUAUAAAAUAGUUUAUUGCAAUGCUUUCUAUUAUCAUUAUUGUUUAGGUAUUAAUGGUUUGUAAUUAAAUUCAUACAAUACAAAUUAUUACAAGACUUUGUGUUAAAUAACCUACUUGAUAUUAUAUUUUAUACUUAAUGGUAACUGAUUUUGAAAGAUUUGUUUAAAAGAGAUUAUCAUAUUACAAAUUUAAAGGGGGGCUGAAAAGUAAUUUUAAAUAAAUAUACUAUUUAAGUGAAAUUGUUUCAAACUCUAAGGGUGAUCACAAUUAUUUUACAAAAAUUAUCCACCCACUUGAACGGUUACCAUUAUUUUUAAAUUUUUUUAGUACAAAUACUGUAUACCAUUGAUUAGAUCUAACGGUUCACAAUUAAUACAUUAUUGAUGCUGUAAAAAACUUUACAGCAUCAUAGAGGAACCCUUAUUGUAUAUGUACAGACAUUCACACAAACGUGUAUAUAUAUAUAUAUAUUUUAUAUGUUUAUAUAUAUAUCCCGGAGUAAUUUAAGAGUCUCGGUCUGCCCCUGAUCCCAUGUUAUUCAAUAGAGAUAGGUUUCAAAAUUAAGGAUAUAAUGGCACUCUUUUCUGUAGUUCAAUCGGUCGUACUUUCUGUUUCUUUAAAUCCCCACCCUAUUAUGAAAUAAUUGCUCGGGGAACAAUCAAUCUUCGAUCUGUUUACAUUUUUUUUCAUAAUCUGUACUUUUAUCUCUUUCCUCUUCAUUUUACAAUCUUUCAAGAUUUUGUCGUCAAUCAAGUGGAAAAAGAUGGUUUAUCAUUUGACAUCUCUGAAUUACUUUUGCUCUUUUGCUAGCUAUGGCCUGUGUGGUAAAAGAAAAGCACUUCUAUAUUAUCUAAUUUAUUACAGUUAAUUUCUUUCAAUUUGUUUUCUUUAUAUCCUGGGCUAUUAGUAUUAUAAGCAGCUUCAACAAUAAGGUCAACACAAAAGUGAAGGAACGAGAUAACACACACACACACACACACACAUAUAUAUAUAUAUAUAGGCCAUAUGAUGAGCAUCUAAACAAGUGGCAGAUUUAUGAGAUUCAUUGAGUACUGUUAGAAGUGUGGACACUAAUCGAACAGUGCCAUGUGGCACGUGUACAUGUUAAACUUAAUUUUUUCUUCCACUUCACUCUCACAUAUACAAAAUCCUCUUUCAGUUUUGUAUUUUGAUUCUUGAUGAGGUCGGAAAGGUUAUUAGCAUUAGAUCGCCGCAAAGUGAUUCAUUAUCCUCAUGUUUGAGCCAUUUUUAAUUGCAAAAAAAAAAACAGAAGGAAAAGAAAAAAAAUGCAAUAAUGCAUGUGAAUUUUAAGAUUUUUUAUUUGACCUUACAAUUAAAACUCUACUAAUAUUUAUAAAUAUACUGAGACAAUUUAGAUAAGGUCUAUUAUGGCAUAAUCUAUAAAUAUUGGAGGAAAACUUACUCCACUCAUAGUGGAGGAAAUGACUACUACCUAAUUUUGGAAUUACGAAGGGAGAAGAGUCCUAGCGUAUAUUGGAAUAAAGAAGGGAGAAGAGUCCUAGCUAUCAUACGUUAGGACUCAAAACCAAGCCCUAAAAGUUCUUUUAAGGUAUGGGUUACUUGUAAUUAGAGAUGGCCAAUGGGCCGAACGGCACGUGGCAUUGGCACUAACAUGGCACGUGUCUGUACAACAUGGCAUGACACGAGCACGUUUCAGUGGGGCACGCGGCACGGCAUGACAUGCAUGUGGGAUGGGUCAGACUUAAAAUUUUAGGCACGCAGGCCUUAAAAGCACGGCACGAUGAAAAAGCCCGCAAUAAGUACGUUUUAUUCUUUAAUGAAAGUAAACUUAAAAUUUUAUGAUUUUACAAAUAAAUUGAAAUUGAAUUUUUUAAAUUCAUUUAAUUCUUAGUUUCAAAAAAAAACUAUAAUUGAUAUCAUGAUUUUAAUGAAUAAAAUUAUAAAUAUCACAAUUUUAUAAAUAUGCAUUAAUAUUAUUGUGAACUAUGAUCUAUAACUUUAUGUAGGUCCAAGUUAACAAUUAAGUUAACCCUUAAGAAAAAUUUAUUAUUAUUAUUACUGUUAAGUAUUAAAAAAAUUCUAAUACUAUAAGGUCAAACUUAGUAAUUAAUAUUACAUUCUCUUACUAUUAUUAGUUUAUUAUUAUUGAAUAUGGACUUGAGUUUUCAAUUUUCGAUUAUAUUAAAUUUAAUUAAAGGCAUAGAUCUCAAAAAGCACAAAGACCUAAAAAAAUAUGCCAACAGCUUAGAAUGCACUCUUAAAAAAUUAAAAAAAGAAAAGUUUAUUGGGCUUUUUUUCUUAGGCACGGCAUGGUAUAUGUGGGCACGGCACAAGUGAGUGUGGCACGUGUGCCGAGCCGGGCCUAAGCAAAAGACAAAAUUGGCACGGCGUGAAACACAUAGUGGGCACGACGCGACACGGGCACAAACACACAUGAGCCCAUUGGUCAUCUCCACUUGUAAUAUCAUAUAUUGCUGGUGAGAGAGUUCUUAAACUAGUUUAUAAGUCAUGAGGUCUCCUAAAUAAGUAGACUAUGGACAUAAUUGAAUGCAAAACCAAUAACAAAAAACCAUAACAAAUUGUGUGUCCAAAGCGAACAAUAUCAACUUAUUUUUGUGGGUAUGGUUUAUUAAGGGGCAAAGAGCUCAUUAGAUCAGAUUUCAUGAUUUUUUUUAAGAGAAAAAUAUUAGAGGGUUUAAUUAGAAGUAGAGCUUCCAACCCUUUUAAAAUUCUUAUGAAACCCUUUUAAUAGAGUUUUAAUUAAAAUUUACUAUCAUUUAGAAUAAGUUACUAGAUUCUAAAUAUACUUUCUCAAGAAAAAAAUCUUAUUAUUAGGUAAUAUAUUUCUUCAUUGAUUUUGAUUUUGUAAAAAAAAAUUUUAAUUAUAUCAUAUAUUAAGAUUUAAAGGGGUCAUUAUUUAUAAAGACAUUUUAAUUUAAUUAAAUUAUAAAAGUCCUUUAUGUAACUUUAUCUAGUAAUAGGGUGUCAAAAGCAAUACUCUUUAUUUGGAAUAAUAAAUGUCUGUAUUUACAAUGCCAUGCAUGAGGGUUUUAUUAGGAAAAUAAAAGGGUGCUGAUAGCGCUAUUCUAAAACAAGGAAGCCACAAAAGCGCAUCUUCAUUUAAAGCCCAUGAGAACCCCAAAAAAUUGGAGAGUGAGAAAUCCAAGAAGGACAAGAGUUGGACUAUUGACACCCCUUUAAAACUUUUAUCAAACUCUUAUUUAUAUAUUUGAAAUUUCACCCUUCAUACUUGAAAACAAACUAAUUAAACCCCACGUUUCUUCCUCAUAAGACACAACAAAACAAAAAAAAAAUCACUGGUUUACUAAAAGUUAUAAUAUUUGAUUCUUUUAUUAAAAAGAAUGCCUAAAAAUUUGUUCUCAAUUAUUUAAGUAAAAGUCUCUACAAGAAGGGGAAAAAAUGAUAAGUAUCCACCGAUAGCUAGUUUUUUCAUACUUUUUAAAAAUAAACUUUUUUUUUUGCAGAAUUUCAUCUGAAGUUUACAUUUGUUGCACCUAUCCAUAGGGGUGGGUGUUUGAAUUAGGUUUAUCCGAACCGAACAGAAGUUUGCAACCCGUUUAGGUUGAAAAUUCAAACCUGAUCGAGUUGUAUUUCGCUUCGGGUUAACCAAGAAAAUUAAAAAAGUAUAUAUAAUUUAACAACGUUUUCAUAGCCCUAACAACACGUCACAACUCCCAAAUAUACACUUAUCAACCGCCACCUGACACCUCCACUUCUUUAUUCUCUUUCUUAUUUUUUUUCUUCUUUUCUUCAGCCACUGCCAAAUAUCAUCUUCUUCUUUUCUUUUCUUCUUCUUUUCUUUCUUUUUUUCUUCUUCUUCAUUUCUCCUUCUCUUUUUCUUCUUCUUCUUUCCUUCCGCCACUGCGAAACAUCAUCAUCUUCUUCUUCUUCAAUUCUUCUUCUCUUCUUUCCUUCCUUACUGCCAAACAUCUUCUUCUUCUUCUUCUUCUUCUUCUUUUCUUCCUCCACUAACAAAUAUUUCUUCUUCUCUCUCUAAUCUCCUAUUAAUUAAUUAUUUAGUAAUUUCUUUAAUUUUUAGUUAAUUUCUUAAUUUUCUUUUGUUAAUUGUUGUUAAUUUUUUUGUUAAUUGUUAAAUAUAGAAUUCUUUAUGUUAAUUGAUUAGUUAAUAUAUGAAUAAGAUUAUGAGAAAUUUGUUUCAUAUUUAGUUAAUUAUUUUUUUAUGGAGAUAAAAUUAGGCUUUUUAAUAUGAAUGAACUAGAAUUUAUAACCCGAACCAAAAUCUUAUUUGCCCACCCCUCCUGUCCACUUCCCUCUUCACUCAGUUAAGAGAAUUAACAGAAUAUUGGUCAAAUGACAUUAUUGCCCCUCAAACGUAUAAUAUUCUCUUGCCCUAAAUAAGGUAGAGUUACCGAAAUAACCCUAAGUUGUGAGCACAAUAACGCCACCAACCUCCUUGAUCUUCUUCUUAGUGGUAUAGAAACAAGCUUGGACUUGACAACGAUGAGCUAGUUCUCUGAUAAAACACCUUUGCCCAAAGCCUUAAAGUAGUCAAACUGAGUGACAUUAAUCAUUGGAAUGUUGCCCUUGCUGGCCUUUGCUUUCACGUCUUGUGGGAGUAUGGACAAAAUCUUGUCGAUGUUGAUGAUGGGGUAAUGGUACUUGUUGUGGAGCUUGUGGAAUUACCUCAUACCUACUAUAGUAAAAAAAAUUGAAUGAUACGUUUUGAAGAGGACUCUGUGGUGGUGCAUGUCUCUGGCAUUAUUGCUACCUCCAAGAUCCUUUUUGUAUUUCCCGAUAUGACCAUGAAUGGCACUGAGGUGCCCUCUCUUCUUGUUGUUCUUCUUGAAACAUGCGUCAUUUUAGCAAAAUCUACAAAGGAUACGAGGUUAAUAUUGAGGUGGCAAAGUGACUUCGUAAUUAUAUUUGUUUCCUCUUAUUGAAAGCUUCCCAAGCCCCCUAUGCCCACUUGUUCUAACAGCAAUUACAGCAAGUCUUAGAUUUGUUGCUUUCUUCUUAUCCAAGCACAUAGUAAGAUAACCAUUACCAUCUUCAUCGAAUGAGACAAUUUCAACAUAAUUAGAAACUGAUGCAACCACUUCCUUCUCCAACUUCUCCAACUUGCAAAUUUCAGGUGCACAAAUAUUGGUCAAUAUCAUAAGCCAUUUUUGGGAGACACUCGCAACGAAACUCUAGACCACUUUUGCCAUUUUUUCCGUUUCUAACUUAUUUUUUUCUACUCGAGUCAAAUGACAAUUUUAUCCAUAUGACAUCAGCAAGGUCUUAAUAGGUGACAAUAGAAAUAGACGGGUGCAACACAAUGUAAACUUCAAGUGGAAUUCUCCAAAGAAAAAAAGGAUGUGUAUUUUUUGAAAAAGUAUGAAAAAAUAAGUGGUCAGUGGAUAAUUGCUUAAAAAAAGAAGUAUAUUCGAAAUAUAAACAAAUGAAUAUCAAAAUAUUUUUUUCAUCUAUAAUUUGAGAAAUGCACAAAUAAUUUUUUAUUAUGAGAGAUAAUACAAAUGUAAAGGAAGAUUCAUUAGCAACUGAAGAAUUUAAGAACAAGCUUUAAAAUGUUCUAGUUAUGAAGAGAGAAUGAAAUGGAGCCCUAUGAGAGAGAGUGAGAUUGGGGUUUUUAGAGAAAAAAAAAUGUGGGAUUAUAACUGCAAUUAUAGGGGGGGUUUUUAGACUGAAACCGAUAUUUUAAUAGCUUUAAAUGGGAUAUCCUCAUAGAAAAAAAAAAGGGGGUAUCCUAAGAAGUGGGGUUUUAUAAGGAUUUUUAUAAGGUGCAAAUAGUACCACUUUAAGGAUAAAAUGAGUAAAAGGCAAGAAAAAAAAACAAAGAGAAAGAGUAGAGAGAGAAUAUUACUAUUAAAAGUAGGAACUACACAAAUUUACUCUCUAUACCUAAUAACUCAUUAGACACGGUAUUAAAAUUUUAAGAUUAUAUUUUUACUUUAAACAUCCAUCAUAAUUCCCAAAAUAUCCUCCAUCAUCUUCCAUUUUCUCAGUCAAUCACAGUAAUUUUCUACUCAAUUUCUCAUGUCAUAUGUAUCAAUACAACUAUAUCUGAUAAGAAUGAACUUGCAAUAUUUUUAAAGACCAGCCUCUCGAAGAUAUUCUUUUAGGUUAUAUUUAUUUAAUAACUUUUAUCAUCUAAUCAUUAGUUGAGCCGUGUUUAUAGUUUUCAAUGUUUAAUAGCAUCUCCAUAGAUAUAUAGAAUAAGUAUCAUCGUGUUAAGUCUAUUCUAUAUAAUUGUAAACUGCGAUAGGUUGGUCGUAACCAUUAACCAAGCUUUCAAAGAAGAAUUUUGCAAAAUAAGUAUCUCCAUAGAAGAAUAUUAUGAAUAGAAUCAUUAAGUUAAUAGAUUGGUGAUGUUUUGUCUGUAAAGAUGAAAGACUAAGUUUUCCAUGGAAAAUAAUUGAUUGGAUUGCCUAAGAUGAUUUGUCCAAAAGGAAGAUUAAUUGAAUUUGACUUCCUAGAGAGACAAAUUUAAUACUAGGAAAGACGGAUGAAGGACAAGAACAAAUGAACUCUUUACAAGUAAUUUUUUUGAAGGACAUGUUUGUAAUAAAAUAUUGUAAAAUUUAUGGGUUUGAUGAAUAAUUUAUUGGAUUCAAAUAACUCCACUCUUAUUAUCAUUAGAGUUGGACUUCUGGCACCCUUCAAGAAAUCUUUUAAAACCUUUUUUUUUCAUUUUUGUAUCUAUUGAAAAAAUGGAAUAAUGAGUUGCUAUUUAAAAGCAUAAUUUUGAGUAUGACUCACUUACUGUAAAUAGAAAGUCAAGGAUGAUUCAAAAUUUCCUUUGUGAGUACUUCAAGAUCAUAUAUUUGUACACUCAAAAUGAUGCUAUAGUGAAUGAUAACUUAUCCCUUAAAGUACAACCUUAACUUCAUUGAAUAAAAACAAGAGUUAUAAAAAUUAUAAUGGCUAGUUAAAUAUGAAAUCAAUUCUAGAAUUUAUUAUGUGCAACUACUAUUUAAAUUUAGAAUUUAUUGUAACAUUAUAACAGUAAAUUAAUUCAUAUUUUAAUAUGAAACUAAAUCCAAAAUUUAAUAUAUGGUUAAUGAGGCAACAUUUAUAUUUUUAAUUUAAUUUAAGAAUUAAAUCAAAUGUUUAAUAGGGUUAUGCUUUUAAUUAUAUGUUAAAAGUAAUGGUUACAAGUGGGUUUAAAAAAACUUAAAUCAAAAUUUAUGGAUAAAAAUGCCCCUCUACUAAAUUCUAUAAAUUGCCUUUCUUUUUCAUUUCAAGAAAGUGAUAAUGAGAAACAAGAGACAUAUAGAAUGUCCAAAAAGAAAUGACAGAUAGAAGAAUAGGAUUACAUAAUCUUUAAUUCAUAUUCUUCCCUUGUCACAUAUCCAUUUUGAUAGAGUUCAGACACAGUGGAAGUUUGCUUUGGCAUAACUUGAUUGUGCACCAAAGUUAUUAAUCAUCAUUGUAUCUUAGGAAACAGACGUCAUUUAAAUCUUAAAACACUUGACUCUAAGAGUUGAAUUUAAUUUAAAGAAACUAUAGUAUUAGAUAGUCCUUGGUUUGCAUUAUAUUCUUUUGUCUUAUUUUUUGUUAUUAUUUCAUUGCAGUAAAUGUUAUUUUAGUUGUAAUAUUUGUUAUUUUGUAAUGUCCCAAUUUAUGUUUCUAAAUUCAGAAUUUGUUUCUCUUAUAUUGUAUAGCAUGUAUUUUUCCUACAGUAACAAUAUUUAAAAAUAAUAUAACUUUCUUAAAACACACCACUAUUAAUGACUAAAACAACCUUAUUUUAAACUACUAUUCUCCAUCAGACAGUGAAGCUUUCCUCUUCCAACCCCAUAUUGAUAGGUUUAUUCAUGUUGCUCAUAAUAUUUUUUUCCUCUUUUCUCUCAUCUUUUGAAUCUUCCGUCCUCUCUUACUAUUUUUUUUUUUUGGUCACUCAUCUUUAGAUUCUUUUUAUCUAGGCCAAGACUACUUUGCCAAUGGGAUAACAUACCCAAUUAGCUUGCGUUUUAACAAGGUCAUUUUCAAGAGUGUGUUUAGAUCCUAAUUAGAGAAUCAGAAUACGGAAUCAGAAUCGUUCACAGCUUUUAAUUUAUAAAAUAAGGGUGAGAAUCAAAAUCAGAAUCAGAAUCGGGCGCAACCCACAAAUUUGGGAAUCAUUCCCAUUGAUUUCAUUCCCAAGGGAAGUUGAGAAUCAAAGUCCAAUUCCCAAAACUAUCUAUUUUCCCUAAUUGAAUUUUUAUAAUCCCUAAAUUGCCCUACAUCAAGUUCCAUUAUUUUUACAUUUUGGUCCCUAAAAAAAUUAUGAAAAUACCUAAAGUUUUGUAUUAUUUACAAACAAGUCUUUUAUUAUCAGUAAUAGAAUAAUAGUAGUAGUAAUAAUAAUAACACAACAAUUAGCAAAGGAUAUUUUAGUAACUUGUAAUAGUCCAGUUCGAUUUUAAGAUAAAGUAAACACAUCAAUAGGAAUGUAGUUCAUUCAAAUUCUAAUUCGUUUAGCUUAAGUAAACAACUUAUUUUUAUUUAAAUUUCCCAUUCUCAUUCCAGCUCAUUCAAAUCCCCACCUAUUCAGAUUUUCGUUUAAUAAACACACCGUAAAUAUCAUCUCAUAGUUGGUAGAGAAACAUGCAGUCAAUUAGGAGUAACCUAAAAAGCAGGUUAUGGGCCGAUCACUUACAGGCAAAAAAUUGUUUGCUUAAAAAAUAACUACUUCAUUGAAAUUAACAACUGAUGACAUAAUAAAUUCAACCAACCAUUAUAUGCAAAAUAAAAGCUACAAACUACUUUUGUAACCUACAAGUAAUAGUUUCACUAAUAUUAAUAUAUAAUUUCUUUAAAUAAUAUCUUAAGUUUUUGCAAAUGAUCAAGUACUUUGCUACUACGGGUAAACAUCUUGUCUUUGGUCUCUGUCAAUAUGUACGUGACAUUUUUUUUAUUUCUUAAAUUUUUUUAAAGCUAGAGGAAUCAACAAAGUGCAAUCAAAUUUCUUUUGAACCUUCUACCCUAUAUAUAAUUGAACUCGAGUGACCAACCAAAUAAAAUAACUUGAAAGCUACUCAAUUAACAAAAUAAACCACUCAACCAGAUUAUGUUAAUUAUGAUAUAAUUUAUCCAAUAUUAUUCAUCAUAAAUCAUGCAAAAUUCAUAAAAAUUCACUAAUUGAUGAUCUCUUACAAAUAAGACGAACAAAAUUCCCAUUGAUUUUUCUUUUGUGUGAUAUACAAUAUAGUAAGUAACUUAUUUUUUAUGCACUAGCAUCUAGUGAUGAAUUGCAUUUGUUUUAGCGUUCAAGCUUAGCAACUUUGGCUCUGUUUGAAAUUGAGGUGCUAUAACUUAUUGUUGUAGCAAAAAUGUUAUAACUAUAAAAUAAAAGUUAAUAUUAUUUAGUAAAUAUAAUUUUUAAAUAAUAAUUUUGAGAAAAUUAAUAAAGAUAUAAUAGAUUUUUUAUAAGUGCAAAAUCAAAUCAACUUAGCUUUCAAGUUACAAUAACUAGUUUUACUAAACAUUUUAGUGCUAUAACUUUUAAGUCACAGCUGCCUAAUCUCAAUCCCAAACAAGUGUUUUGUAUUAGUAUUAAUUGUUAAAGUUCAUACUUAAUCAUAAAAUAAAAAGCAGAAUCACAUAUAAGUAAUAUUAAUGCAAUACAUGAUACAAUAUUUAUAAUUAAUACUAAUCCAAUUAGUAUCAGGCUAUCAGCUUAUAUACUUUACUUAUUUAACAAUAUUAUUUCAUUAUUUUCAUAAUAUAACUUUAAAAUCUCAUCUAUUAAAGUAAUUUUAUAAUUUUUAAUAAAAGAUUUCAUUGACAACCAAAUAACUAAAAUUUUUUCGAACAAAAGUUUUAUUUGUAAAAGUUCUACUUAAAUAAGUUAUAUUUGAAAAAUCUAUACCAAAAAGAGCCUUAGUGCAUGUUUGGUAUUGCUUAUCUAACAAGCAUAUUUAAUCUCAUAAGUUCUUUUCAAAAAGUUUGUUAUUGUUUAGUUGUUUUUUGAGUUGAGGUUUUUAUGAUUAAAUAAGUUAUUUUACCUCUAUUAAAAGCUCUCAUAAUGCACAUAAAGGAGGAGUCGUAUGAGAUUUUCAUCUCAUGUAUGGUUUUGAAACGGAGAAUUCUUUGAAUCGAAUGACGACCAUAACAGAUGUUUUUAAACUUUUGAGAGUAGAGGUUAAAACAAUUUUGUAUAGUGUUAAAAUGUCUAAAAUAUCUUUCAUUUAUUUGAUGGUUUUAUUUCAUUUUUUUCAUAACAUAAGUUUAGAAAAGAUUAUCUAUUAAAGUAAUUUUUAUUAUUUUUAAUAAAAACUCUUAUUAACAAUCAAAUAACUAAAAAUCAUUUUGGUAAAAGCUCUACUUAUACAAACUCCAAUAACAAAAGUACUAUUUAAAAGGAUAUACUAAUUACUAAUAUUAAUACAUUUAGAAUACCAUAUACUUGUAGAUAUUUGAGUAUAUGUCUAAGCUUUUAUCAAAAGUUAAGUAGUUGAUGAUUUCUUUCUCAAUGUUACAUUACAAGUAUGUUGGCCUAUUGAAGCCCAACCAACUUCCAACCAAGUAUAAAAGAGUAAAUUUCAUUGUGCCUCCCUACUAAAGUGACUAUCUUCAAAAUACCCCCCAAGGAUACUAAAACAUCACUCUACACCCCAAUUGCCGUGAUCUUCUCGUUUAAUUUAUGAGCUUAAAGGGUAAAAUUGUAUUUGAACAAAUACCGUAACGAGCGUUAGCCUAAAGAAUUAUGACAUGUCAAAUCAAGGUAGUCUUUCAACCACUCCUUAGAAUUUUAUAAUUUUAUAUAGGGUAAUAUUUUUAUAAUAAAUUAUUUUCAAAUUUUUUAAUGAGAAAAUAUAUAAGUGGUUAAAUGUAAAAACAGUAGAGGAUACUUUUCUCUUGGCGCGAACCAUCAUCUUGUUCACAGUUUAGAGAGAGAAACUUUGAAACAGAGCAUCAAAAUAUUGGCCAUAAACAACUCAUUUUUUGUUCGAAAGACAACAAAAAAAGUGACCAUUGGAGAGUGAUUGCUGGUAACAACAACCUUACGAUGGCAGAGGUAAGGAAUUUAAUUUUUUCAUUCAGUUAUUUCCAUUAAAAUCGGUUUAGCAUCAUUUUUUUAAAAUGCAGGAGAAUAUUAACUAUAACAAUGACCUGUAUAUAUGAAAAAUUUGUACUAUUAUUGUUAUUAUUUGAAGAAAAAUAGGUUUAAACCCUAGUUCUUAGUGAAUUGGGGCAUUUUGUUUUCAUUGUACCAUUAACAAAAUUUAUAGUAUUUCCUUCACAAACAAGUUGCUGCUGGAGAUUAAAAAAAGUGGUUGUUUAGCAAACAUAACUAAGAAACUGAGUUAUUGAUAUAUUUCUUGUAUGUUUUGGUUUUGGUGAUGAAUAUUUUGGUUUUGCUUUUAAUUUUAGAUAUCAUGCUUACAUUGGUGUUGUUAUUAAUAUUUGUAAUGUUUUUGUUAUGGAAGGGGCACUUGAGGGUGAAAUGCAUUGUCAGCUUUCUUAGUGAAACUUUUAAGGUUGACCUCAUUGACCCUGACUUUCUAAAUAGAAUCGUUCUGAUCAAUGCUGCAAUGAAAAAAAUGGUUGGGAGAAACAAUUAUAGAGAUGAGAGAUUCAUCAUUGAAGUUACACUGCCAUGGAAUGAGAAGAAAGGUACAAUAGAUAAUGAUCAUGAGCUGUAUCAGAUAUGGCAGUUGUGCAAUGAGAAGAAGUUUACAGAGAUUGUGUUUGACAUGACCAUCAUACCACUUAAUGUGACGAAUGUAAUUAAAAGGAAGUUGUUCGAGGAUGAUAUAGAAGAUAUUACUACUGGGCCUGAUGCUGAACCUUAGAGUGUGUUAUUUGUGUUUCAGAGGCAACCAACCGACAAUGUUGAAGCACAACAAUAGGUACAUGCAACUGCUACUGAAAAAAGAGGUGGUAAAAGAAAGUCAAUGGCAAGAAAGUGUUCAAGAAAAAUUUCAAAGACCAAAUUUUGUAGGCUUUCCAUUUCAGAAUCAGAGUCUACACCUGAGGCCACCACUACAGCAAAAGAUAAUCUUUAAACACAAAUCAUAACUGAACUUGAUACUACAACAAAAGCUGACAAUCCUGAAACACAAACCAUAAUUAAACCCACCACUGCAGCAGAACCUAAGCCUGCAACACAAACCACAACUGAACCCACCACUACAGCAAAACUCGAGCUUGCAAAACAAACUACAACUGAACCCACCAUAGCAGCAGAACCUGAGAUUGCAACACAAACCACAGCUCAAAUCACCAGUUUUAAGUCCACACCACAUUCGGAUCUUACUCAUGAGUCCCCACUAAAGUUGAACAUGAUAUUCAAACUACACAAAAGGUACUAGAGAAAUUGAAGGCACCUAUCAGCAACUAUAUACAACUCAAUGUGUUUGGUCCCUUUGUCACUCCUACAAAAGGGGCUACAGAUAAAACAUUUCCAUGUUUUAAUCAAGUCACACCAGAACUACCACUACAUUUUGAUCAAACCUCAUUCUUAAUACCAGCAACAACAGUACCACCUUAGUUUGAGGAAACCUCAUUAUCAAUACCUACAUUUAAUCAUCCUUUAGGUGAUGGUGGUCUAGAAAAGGGUGCUGAUGAGGGUAAAACUAACUCUGUACACCUUUCACAGCAUAAUGAUCACUUAUAUGAUUUUCAUGUUGUUGAUGAAGGCUUGGAUGACUUUGCAGUGGAAGCUAAUGAGGAAGAUGUUGAGGCUGUUGAUCCACCAUUGUCCCAAUCUUUAAAGAGUAAUACAUCCCAUAGGUCUAGAAGAUCCAUGGUUGCACAUUCUCAAUCAGAGGUAGCAAUUGAUCAAGCAGAAGAUACAGUGCCUACUAAUGAUUUACCAUCAGAGAUUGUGCAAAAUGAACCUUGUAAAAGAAAGAGGAAAAAUGUCAGCAAGUCACCUAUUACUAUCACCCAUUCACAUAGGCAAGCUAACAAGAAAAAGUCUAUUGUUGUCCAAAUUAGAGCUUCUCAAAGGAUUACAAAUCAGAGGAUGCCUCAUUUUACUACAAUUAAGGCUGAUAAAAAGACCAUAAAGAAGAAGAGAAUGGCUAACUUUGUAGAUUCUGAGCAAGUCAUACACAAGCCCAAGGCAAGCAAAAAGAGUAAAUCAAGCCACUUGGAUGAUGGUGCUGGCCCAACAAGACAUACAGACAAAGAUGAUGAGAUGCUACCAGUUGAGGAAAUAGACUUCCACAUCCAGUCUGAAUUAGAAGAUGACAUGUGUGAAGCCACAAGAGCAUAUAAGAGUCAACUUGAAGACGAAGUUCAAAACAAAGAAGAUGAUGACUUACUUGAUGGAUAUGAAAGUGACAAUGGUGACUAUGGGCCACUUUGACACUCAGAGGAUGAGCAUUCAUUUAGCAGGAUGUCUCAUGCAUUGUGUGAGCACAUGUUCAAUAGAAUUUAGAGAGGGAAUAGUGUUCAAGAAUUUCAGAGAAUUUGCAUGGGCUCUGAAGGAUUACUGUAUUCAACAAAAUUUCAAGGGUAUGAGGAUCAAGUUCGAGAGAAAAAGGAUUUUGUGUGGUUGUUAUGCAGACAAGUGCCCAUUUAGAGUAUAUGUUGCACUUCAAAACUGGGGCAAGUGCUUUCAGAUUCGGACUUUGCACAACAUACACACAUGUAAAGGUCUCGAUAACAAUCUUAAGGUAACUGAAGCUUGGAUAACAAGAAAGUACCAUAAUAAAGUGCUUGCUAAUCCAAAGAUAGGUGUUGACAUACUUGUGGAUGAUCUGAAAAAAAAAAUGCAUGGGGUGACCGUUGCUCCACAAAAGGUUUAUAGGGCAAAGAGAAGAAUUUUAAAAUCAGCUAUGGUGGUGACCAUGUUGAGAGUUUCAAGUCAUUGUAGGAUUAUGCAAAUGUCAUCAAACAGCAAAUGCCAGGGGCAUUGGCCUUGUUGAAAGUGACAAAUCAUGACACACCCGCUGAUAAGUGCGGGUUUCAAAAGAUUAUGGUAAACUUCCUAGGCCUUAUAUAUGGGUUCAAGGAGGGUUGUAGGCCAUUCAUAGGGCUUGAUGGCUAUCACUUGAAGGACCAUUUAAAGGUGUGUUGUUUUUAGCAGUAAGUUUGGAUGCAAAUCAAAGGAUAUUUCCCAUUGCAAUUUGUGUUUGUGAAUAUGAGAAUACUGAAAGCUGGACUCGGUUUUUUAGCCACUUGCAAGAGUAUUUAGUUGAUGAUAGGCAGUUGACAUUCAUGACUGACAGACAAAAGGAGUACUUAAUGCACUUCAUUUGGAGUUCACUAAAGCACAAAAUAGGUUCUGUGCAAGACAUGUGUUUGCAAACCUCGAGACAAGAUUCCUAUAAGUGGAGUUAAGGGAUGAGUUUUGAAGGGCAGUUAGAGUAUCAACUAAAGAUAUUUUUGUAAAGGCAAUGAAUGGUAUAUGAAAAAUUGAUGAAGAUGCAUUUCAGUGGCUGAGAAAGUUAAAUCUCAAGCAUUAGUCAGUGCAUGUCUUUGAGUAAAGUGUAAUCACACAACAAACAACAUGACAAAAAGUUGGAAUGCAUGGCUUGGUGAAAUGAGAAAAGCACCAGUUAUAGCUGUAACACUCCACUUAAAUAUUCAUUUUAAAGAUGUUUAAAACACUGUGCUUUUAUAAAUAUGGAUUAAAAAAAAUUCACACAACAAACAAAACUUUCUUACAUAAAGUAAAAGUCAUACAGAGAUUCCAUAAUUUAUUUCAAAAUUGGAUUAUUACUUAAAGCUAAGAUAUUUUUUUUAUUAAAACAAAACUGAGCCCAUCAUAAAAUCCCAAGGUCUAUUAUGUCCAUAUGCACUUCGUCUUGCCUAGGACUUGGCGCCAGCUUACCCUAUUUAUCAUUACCUGCAUUGUAAGGACUUUAUGAGCUAAUGUCCAGUAAGAUAACACUUAGAUGCAUGUAUAACUUAUUAUGCAUAUGGAUAAUCAUAUUAAGUUUUUAAAAGAAACUUACAAAACAACUUUGUUAAAGCCCUAGGUAUGUUGCACUAUAAGGCUGACACUUUUAUUCUUUAAACGUUAUGCCCUUGGGCCUCAUUAGUUUAUUUUUUGGGCGUUAUGUAUCACCGUCCCCAAAAGAUUUCUUUUUACUUAACUUUGAGGGCUUUCCUUCCUUAGAAACUUUGCCACCUAUUUUUUAUAAAUUCAUUUUCUGAAAUAUCUUCUUCAUAAUGUAAUCCAUGAUAUACAUGUAUCUAAUGCAACUUAUAUUAUAACAUUUGAAGUUCCUAGAUGCAUAACAGAAUCAACACAACACUAUUUAAGAACAAGAUUCUUUAAUACAGGCGGCAUAGCCGACCAUAGCAUAAUUAAGUAUAAGUAUCACAGAUUAGAUGGCAAAGCCGACCAUAACAUAGCUAAGUAUCAUAGAUUGGGCGGCAAAGCCGACCAUAACAUAAUUAAGUAUCAUAGCUUGGGCGGCAGAGCCGACCAUAACGUAACUAAGUAUCAUAGAUUAGGCGGUAGAGCCGACCAUUACGUAAUUAAGUAUCAUAGAUUAGGCGGCAUAGCCGACCAUAUAAGAAUUUAGAUUAUAACUAAUCACAUCAUAAUAGCCAUCACAAUAUAAAGGAAUGGUUAAAACUGAAGUUAAAUAUGAAAAUAUUUUUUUCCUUACAUUGUAGUUGAAAUGUUACUUACCUCUUGACCUUGACUUCUCUAGAUCUUUCUAAAUUAAGGAUUUCUCUACUCUUGAUAUUAUGACUUAGAAUAGAAGAGAAUGAAAUUUCUAGGUUGGAUUGAAAAUGAAAGGGGGUAAGGGGUAUUUAUAGAAUUUCUUAAGGCUAAUGGAUGGCUAGGAUUUUGCCACCAUAAAUCUUGAAAUGCUUGAGAUUAAUCUUCAUAAAUUACUUACUAAAUUAUAUAAUUCUUAACUUUCUCUACAUACUUCUUUUACAUCAUCACUCAUGUCAUUGCUUAUGUCAUCAUAUUUAUGUCAUCAUUACUUAGAAUAAAUAUUUUAUAUUAUUAUUAUUUUAAUACUUAAGGGAGCUUGUUAACUUAAAAUAAAUUAUAGGGAAAAUAUCACCGUCCACCAAUUUUUUUCAACUUUUUUAAAAAUACACAAUUCCUUCUUUUUUUGGCUGGAAUCCACCUAAAGUUACAUUUUGUUUCACUUUUCCACUUCCAUUUGGAAUCCGUUAAGAAAACUAACGGAAACUUAAAAAAAUGACCAUUUUACCCCUCAAAACGAAAAUUAUAAUUUCACCUUAAAAUUUGUCAAAAAUAAUUAGAUUAAAUCUAAUUAUUUUCUCCAUCGGUUAAUAAAGAAAUUAAUUCCCCAACCAUCAAAUGCAUGUUUUUUUUUAAAUAUGUCUGUAAUUAGAAUGCUAAAUUAUAACAGUAGUAUUAAAAAUAACACAAUCUCACAAACCAUGAAUUGAAUUUAAGAUAAAUAGAGUUUUAUUAUUCAUUGAGUUAUAAUCUCUAGUAAUUAAGAUUUUUUUGUACUUCAUUAACGUACCAAUAAUGAUAUUCAUCAUUAAAUCUGAUUAUUUUUUGUAUUUUUUUGGGUGAAAUUGUAAUUUUCAUUUUGGGGGUAAAAUGAUCAUUUUUUUAAGUUUCUUUUAAUUUUCUUAACGGAUUCCAAACGGAAGUGGAAAAGUGAAACAAAAUGUAACUUUAGGUGGAUUCCAGCCAAAAAAAGAAGGAAUUGUGUAUUUUUGAAAAAGUUGUAAAAAACAGGUGGACGGUGGAUAUUUUUCCUAAAUUAUAUUAUAUUUAAGUGUGAAAAUUGUACCUCACAAUAGCUUUGGUGGAGCACACUAGAAAGAGCAUGAUGAAAAUAAUAAUUGAGAGAAGACAAACUUGUUUGAAGUGGUCAAGUGAUAUUCCUGCUUUUAUUAAUAAGAAGAUGAACAGCAUGCUGAAGGUUGGUAGAAAUUAUCACGUCAUACCAACAAGUGAUGCCUUAUAUGAAGUUAAAACAGGCCAAUAGUCUUAUAUUGUCAACCUUGAAGAGAAUACAUUUAGUUGUCGGCUGCGGCAGAUUAGUGGCUUACCUUAUAAGCAUGCAAUGCCUAAUAUAGCUCAUAUUUGGGCUACUUAUGAGAAGUAUGUUGCCCUUGUUUCCUAAAGUAUGUAUAUUUGAGAUGUUAUGCUGGCAUUAUUCAUCCAUUGCCGGACAAAUCUAAAUGGCCACAUGUUGAAGCUAAUGAAAUAUUACCUGCAAUUGUUCAAAGACCACCUGACAGACCUAAAACAUGUAGAAGAAGGGAGGUUGAUGAACCACUAGUACAUAGAAGAAGGUUUGUAGUAUGUUGUUCAUACUGUCGAGGUAAGAAGACAACGCGUAUAUUGGUAAGUUUGAAUUUGCUUACAAUUUAAUUUUUUAUUUUUGAAAAUAUUUUUAGUUACUGUUACGUUAUCUUCAAAUUGCCCCUAUCUAGAGUGACUACAUAUGGGAGGUAAGUUGAUGUUUUUACAUUUUUUGGGAUGUAAAUUGAAGUUUUGUCACUAUAUGUUGGGAGUAAUAUGAAUUUAUCAUAAGGAUUAGGUGUACUAACAUUAUAACUAUAAAAUUUACUUUAACUAUACUGAACAGAAGCAUCGCAAGAACUUGGCAGCAACCUCUAGCUUAGAAUCAUCAUUUACAGGAGUGAACGUUGUUGGAAACUCAGCAUCUGAUGGAUCAGCAGUUGAGCCAUCACUUAAUACUUCUGCGCCUACCCCAAAACAAUCAACAAGGGGUUCAGCAACAAAGGAAGCAGCAGGAAUAAGCAGAGGAAAAGAUAGACGAAAGAAUGCAUCAACAAUAACAAACACACCUUUUGAUCAAUUUUCAGUGCCACAAACAAGUGGCAUUAAAAUUAGAGAGGGAGACAAAUAUGGUGGGACCACUUCACAAUCUGCCCUAGUUCAAACAAAGAGAGAUUUGAAGGGCAAAGCAGUCGCUCAAAUUGGUUGUAAGUUUUUUCUUUUUCUUUAAAAAUUAUAUAAGAUAUUUUUUUUUCUUUUUCUUAAAAAAUUAAUCUUUUUUGUUUUGCCAAAAUGGUAACUACUAAUUGGGGAUUUAUGUUGUAGAGAAAUACUGCUACAGUAAAUGGCAUGAUGGCAACAGUAUGGACAUUUAUAGAAAAUAGUGCUGUUGAUUUUGAUAUUUUGAUGCUUUUGAAUACACUACUACGACAGUGCAUAUAUAUAUAUGUAAUUAAAACCUAAUUGUAGAUUUAAAAAACUAAGAUGCAGUAUGUGUGCUCAUGUUUUUGUGUAAUUGUUAAUUUGAUAAUUUUAUCUAAGGGAAAUUAUAAUUGCCCCACCUCUGUUUUACCUUACGUUCAUCCAACCACCACAAAAUUCGAACAUGUUUUCUGCACCACAUUUUUUUUUAUUUUAUAUCAAUUAGCCACUUUUUCACUAACGCUGUUAAAUAAUUUAAAAAAAUGAUAAUUUUACCCCUAAAUAAAUUAACAGACAAUUUUAUCUUAUAAAAACCUUUGAAAAAUAAAAAAUUAUAAUUAUAAAAAUAUCCCUAAUUUUAAUAAAAAUAAAUCUCAACUAGAGGUGCUCAACUAAUUUUUAUUAAAUUUAGAUUUUAUAAAAAUUUUAAUAAUUAUUUUUAUUAGAAAAUUAUAAUUUUGUAAAAUUUUAAUAAAAAAUAACUGAAUUUAUUUAUUAAAAAAUGUAAUUUUACAAAAUUUUAUUAAAAUAAAUGAAUUUAUUUAUUAAAAAAUAAAUCAAAAUUUUUAAUAAUUUAGGGACUUUUAUUAUAUCCAAAAAUUUUGCAAUUAUUUUUGUAAUUAUAUUUUUUUAUUAAAAAUAAAAAUUUAAUUUUGAGAUUUAUUUUAAUUAAAUUUAGGGGUAUUUUUAUAAUUAUAAUUUUUUUUAUUUUUUAAAGUUUUUAUAAAAUAAAAUGGUCUUCUAAUUUAUUUAGGGGUAAAAUUAUCAUUUUACUUUAAUUAUUUAACGGUGUUAGUGUAAAAAUGGCUAAUUGAUACAAAUUUAAAAAGAAAAGUGGUACAGAGAACAUGUUAUAAUUUUGUGGUGGUUGGAUGAACAUAAGAGUAAAUAGAGGUGGUGUAAUGAUAAUUUCCUUUUAUCUAAUUAGUUAGGCUAAAUUACUAUUUCUUGGGGUUGUUGCAGUUAAUAUUUGGUCUGGUUUGUAAUCCCUUUUCAUAGAAGUUGGAAAGGCAAAAUGUAAUAUGCUACUAGUGAUGGUGAAUAUUAACUACAACAACAUAAGUGUAAUAUUUUGUUGAAUUGAAAAUACAUAUCACUAAAUAUAAUACAUGAGCUUCUUUGGUACAUAAAAGUUUUUCAUUCAGCUAUUUAAUUUAAUUUAAUUUCUACUAAUUUCUACCCUCAUACUUCAGUUAUGAGCAACACUAAGCAUAUACAUCAUGCAAAGUACCAGCAUGAGCAAGAUAAUAUGCAGUACCCUAAUGAUUGAAUGUGAUUUUGCAAUAAGUUUAUUAAUUCCCAUCUCCAGCAUCUUCUUGUCUUUAAUUCACAUAUCAUCAUCACUUUUCGAAACCGUCAUGUAACUUUCCCAAUCCUCUUAUAAGUAAUCUAUACUCGUACAUACUUAGUUUCCACUAUCUGAAGAAAUUACAGCCUUUAUUAUUGCAUUUGUAAUACAGCUUCUUAGGAUUUGCAGCAGACUCUAAGAUGUAUAUAGAUGCAUGUUUACCAUAAUCUCUGCAUGUUUUGUUUCUGAACUUGAGCACCUUCUCAUUGAUCUCCAACUUCUCUUUUUUAUCUUCAUCUUCGUCUUCUACAUUAAAUCAACUUCCUCUUGAAGAUGACAUACCUACUGUUAUUUUUUUUUUUUUUGUUAUGUCAUGUUUGGGAUUUUGCUAAGUAUGGACCUUGUUCAAAUCUGUAAAAUAAUGGUCAGUUUGAUUUUUGAAUACAAAUUGUAAUAGUCAUGGAGAGAGAAGGAUGAUUUUGAUUUUUGAAUUCGAAUUGUAAUAGUCAUGGAGAGAGAAUGAUGAUUUUGAUUUUUGAAUUCGAAUUGUUAUAGUCAUGGAGAGAGAAUGAUUUUUUUUUUCAAAAUGAGUGGUUGAAAUCACAGAGCAAAUCCCAGUAAAUAAGUGUUAUUUAAUGGCAUGUCUUGUAAUUUUCUUGAAUCCAAAGCGCAAAUAAGGAAUCAACUUAAAACUUUUUGACUAAACAAGUAAAUAUACAUUUUAAAUAUUUAUAAGGCUAACACUACCACAUUUUUUGACAGAGAUGUCACAUCAAAACCUCACACAAUAACACUAUUAGAUAGAAUAUUAUGUUUCUCAAGAGGAUAAUCUCGUAAUUUAAUUAUUCAACAUUAGUCAACCGUUUAAAGUCACGACAAUUGGGGGGUAGAGUGAUGUUUUCAUAUCCUUGGGGGCUAUUUUGAAGAUAGUCACUCUAUUAGGCGGCACAGUGAAAUUUACUCAUAUAAAAAUUACCUUUUUUUAUUUGAAGAAAUAUAAGGAGAGGAGAGAAAAAAAAAAGGAUGAGAAGGGAAACAAAUAAUGAGAGAGAAAAAUUUCAUAUCUAACCAAAUAAUGAAAAUGAUAUUAACUAUCUUUUUCACUUAUUUUCCCUUCCUCUCUUUCUUUUCCAUUCUUCUUCUCUCUUACCAUUUUUUCUAACCACACAUGGGCAAAAUACAAGAGGGAAUUUGAACCCUUGGCCUCAAUAAUGAGGUAAAAAGAUAACAACUACCAAGAUAGAAAGUAAUGAUCUUGUCAUAAAUUAAUUACUAUAAAUUCAGAACACCUAAUAUUGUUACUCAUUUUCAUGAUCAAACUUGGUUAAUCAAAAUAAGUGUUAAAAAAAAAAGACAGUAUAUUUUGAUAAUACUUGCUAUAUUUAAAUUUUUUACAUGCAAUAGAACUGUAGUGUGAAGUGUGGACCACCGAUUAUUUUGAUCAUUGGCAAUGAUAUUUAAAGAAGGAUAUUUAACAGAAAAUGUGUUGAAAUAUUUAUAAAUCAGUAUCAAUUUAUGGGUCCAGCUAUUGUGCCCCUGCGACACCAUUCCUCCGGUUUUGGCUUUUGUGAGAUAAUUAUUGGCAAAUUAAAGUUUGCUCCUUACUUUCUCAUUCAUCUACAUUUUUUACUUCAAUAUAAUAAAAAAUUACAGUUAGCUCAUUACUCAAACCCCUAAAAUUACUCUUCAAAAUUCAAAACCAUUUUCAUCUAAAAUUUUAUAUUCCUAAACUAUUCUCAUAUAAAAAAUAUUUUAUGAAUUCAAAUAAUCUUAUCCUUUAACUUUUAGCAUUCACUCAUCUUAACUUGAAAUGACUAAGAUACCCACUAAUAUUAUUUUAAUGUUUAAUCAUUACUCUUUUCUUUUCUCUCUUUUUCUCUCCACUCUCUUCUCAUCUCCUCCACUUUCCUUCAUUUUCUCACUUCCCAAACAUCCAUUAUAAAGUAGAUUUUUUUUAGAUUUUAUUAUUUUAGAGAAUUAUAUUUUGUACAUGAUAAAAUAACUUUACUUUUUAGUAUUCAUUUGCAUAUAAUCAUUAUAAGUUAAAAAACAAAUUGCAUACAAUCACCGCCAAUUUUAUUAUCAUGAUUACAAAUAAUAUGUUCAAACUUUCUAUUUCAACAACCAAACCUUUUAGCCGCUUCUAGGCAUGAAAAAUUUUGAUUCAUAAUUUUUAGGUGUAAUUGCAAUUGCAUAUGCCAUGAGACAUAUGAUAUGGUUAGAACAAAAAGGAGAAAUUCAUUUUUGAGACUGAAUGUGAUGGUGAUUAAAUCUUUUUCUACCUUAAUUUUAAUAAGGGUAUAAUUAAAUUUUAUGUGAUUAAAGUGAUAAAUAAAAAAAUCUCACCGAUGAUGAUGGGCUAAUCACUUCUAAAUGUUGAGAGUGGAGUUAUAAAUGUCAAUUUAUUUAGCAUGCAGUUAAAUUUAUCAUGUGUUAAAUAGUGAUCACUAAAUAGUACAUAGAUAUAUUAUAUAUUAAAUUAAUAAUAUGCAUUAAUGCAAAUUUAAAAAAAGUUAUUAAAAAGUCAAAUUAGGUAAUGCACUUAAGUGUAAAAAUUUUAAAUAAUCGAAAGUUAUGUGUCAAAAUAUUGAAAUUUCAUCAUUUUUAGUGUGCAAGCAAAUAAUAGAAAUCAUAAAGUUAACAACUAUAAAAUCCAUCUAAAUCAUCAAAACUAGUUUUAUGUUGAAUCUAAUGGUUCAUAGGAACUGAAAAGAAAAGGACAAAAUAUGGGGUAUGGUGCCAAACGAACACCAUAGCUGAUGGAUCCUCAAUUUAGGGUUGGGAAAAAUUGGAUUCGGAAUCUGAUCGGGUUUCGGGUUAAUCGGAUUGGGAAAAAUUUCAUCUGAAUUCAACCCAAACUUAUAACCUGAUCCGAUCUUAUUCGAAUAUAUUCUGAUCAGAUCAGAUCGAGUAAAAAAAUCAAGUUGAAUUCGGUUCAGAUCGGGUUCAGAUUAGAACAGAAUAAUUAAUUUCAAUUCAUAUAUAACAAAAAUUUUAAUUGAAAACAUUCCUUGGAUUAACAUUUAAGCUGGAUGUUACAAAUUCAAAAAAUAUAGAUUCGUUAAUUAGUCGAAAGAAAAACACAAUGUGAAUUGUAAACCCAUUGUCUUUUGAAAAAAAAAUUAAAAAAAAACAUAUAUGAUAAUAUGAACAAGUAAUCCCCAAAGCUUAAACAGUUGCUGAGCAUAUAUAAACUUUAGCAAUUUACAUGAAAAUUAGUAUAUACCAUCAAAAUUUCAAAGGACAAAUUUCGAAUUGAUAGGUUGGAGUGGAUCUUAGAUUUGGAGGAAAUUGGUGAUUGUGCAGGCACGGAGCAACAGAUCUGGUGGCUGCAUUUGCAAAUGAUGAUCGACGGUGACUACACUGCAUCUGUAUGAGUGUGUGUGUUUUGCUCUGUUAUUGAGACAGUUGAGUGUUGAAAGUUGACUUGAGGUUGAGGCUUGAGGGUAAGCUGGUGAAGGAGGUUGCAACUGGUCUGUGUGUGUGGUGUGCAUGUGGAUAGUGUGGUGUGUAUUUGUGUAAAUUGUAAUUUGUGUCUGUAUACGUGUGUGUAUGGUGUGGUAUCGGGUUUGUUUUUGUGUGAAUACUAAAUUGUGAUUUGUGUGUACGAGUGUUAAGUGUUUUUUUUUUUUUUUUGAAGCCACCGGAUCGAGUUUUCGGAUCAGAUCAGGUUGGCAAUAUUGCAUCUGAUCAGAUAUAGCCUUCAAUUCAAUCCGAUCCGAACCCAAUUUUUUUCGAAUCGGAUCGGGUCGGAUCGUAUCGGAUAUUUUGCCCACCCCUACCUCAAUUUAUUCACGUCAUUGAAAAAACACAAUAUUCUAAUUUAUCACUUUUCUUAUUUGUGCUCCAUUAAACAAUCCGUGCAUUUUUCAAUUGUCACCGACGAUUGAGCGAGUGGUUAAAAGGAGGAAAAUAAAUGGACUAGUGAUCGGACCUCUCUGGAGAAAGUGAAAGACAAUUACGGCUAUAGCUUAAGAACGGUCAGCUGACUAGAUGAGUGUUCUCCACUCGCGACAAUGCACAGCAGUAGUACACACUACACAACAACUUGGCAAGGAAGCAGAAUAAAGAAACUUCUAAAAAGCAUCGACCAAUAUAUAUAAAUAUUUGAAACAAAGCAUCGACCAAAUUAAAUAAUAAAGUUAUAUUAUCGAUAAUUUGUUUGAUUGGAUACUGUUUAGCAAUUAUAAUCCAUUUGACCUCAAUUAAUUAUUUUAAAAGACAAACCACGAAAGUAGUCGUAAACGACACUCGCUAGACGUAUCAACACGUGCCGCACAAAAGAAGCGAGUAAAUAAAAGACGCGCUUAAGAAACCUUUUUUAUUUUUAUUUUUUUGUCAAUGGAAAUUAAAUGCUAACCCCAGUGUGGCCUCGUGUCCAAUCAUGUGAACCGCUUCAAAAUUCCACCAAGCUUGUGUGACACGUCAGCUGAAGCCACGUAAUCACCACUAAAAAUCUGGUGGAUUGCCACGUCAGACUCCAGGUAACGAGCGUAGAACGAGAGAGAGAAAGGGUUUGGGCAAGGACGGAGUUGUCAUUUUCGAGCACCUACCGCCUUUUUAUAAGGGUUGUGGAUGGCGUUGUUGGGGUUUUCACGGAGCAAGGGAGAGAGAGAAGACAGUUCAGUAACCUAAAGAGAGCCUCUUCCUUUUCCCUUAUUAUUUUAUUUCUAUUUUCUCUUUCUUCUCUCUAAAUAUUUUACUUUCUUAUUAUCUUUGAAGGAAAGUUUAAGAGAGAGAGAAAGGAGACAGUGUGUGUUUGUUUGUGAGCUCGUGUUGUUGUUGUACGAGUGGCCCUUUUUAUUAAUAUUUAAAAAUCAUUUCAGACAGCGGUUUUCCGAUAGCGGUUUCGAGGUAAUAAUGGUGGUUUUGGGGUUUAUUCAUCCUUAUCACGACGUAUUACUCGUUUGAUGAAUGUGAUUCUCUUUAUUGAUGUUUGUUUAUCUCCCGUUAUGGAUCUGGCCUGCUAGGGUUUUAGUUUAUGUUGUUGUUAGCGAUUGUGGACUGUUUCGUCCGGAUCUAUUUUGUUUGGUACUUAUUUGCUGAAUGACUUGUAUUAGUAUUAUUGUCUUCGUUUUUACUCUCCUGUUGCUACUUUUUGUGUGUUAUGUACUUUUGCUGGAGAUCGUUAGAUCUUCUCCGUUUGUGUUUAUUCUGAAUUUUGAUUCUAUGUUUUCAAUCUGUGGGUCAGUCUCUUGGUUCUGAGGCAAGUGCUUUAAUUUUUUCUUCAGUUAUUAAUAUAUGACUGGAUAUUUUUGAAACUCUUUACUUCAAAUUUUUCUUACAUAUUUUAUUGAGAAUUCAUUAUUCAGUGUUGUGGUGAAGAAAUGUUCAUGUUUGUAAUUUUUGUUUUAAAGCGCAUAAAUUAACUAAUGUUGUUUUCAUAUAUUUUUCCUUUCAUGUUGCCUUUUGCGUAAGUGAGCGCACUUGUGAUAUACACUAUUAAUGUUUCAGUCCUAUUUCCUGCAGUAGUUGGUACUACAUCUCUUUUUCUCUUCUUUUACACUGUUGAUGGCUAAGAUAUAUUGCUUCUGUGACUAUGAAUGUUCAUAGUUUUUGGUAGAUGACUUAAUUAGCUCAGUCUUUUUACAUGCAAUGAAAUGUCAGGGUGCAGUUUCUGUCUUUGUUGCCUAAUGUUUUCAUGAUCUUAAUUUUUCUUUUUCAUUGUUUUAUUUGGUAAUCUUUUGUGUUGGAUUUUAUGACUUCCUUGUGGUAUUCUAUCAUAGUUGAUUAUUUUUUUGUUGCAUCCAGGUAUCAUUAUGGUGAGGAAGAAAAGAACUGAACAACCGUCUACUGGGGGUGAGAGCUCUGAAUCCCAGGAAACUAGUGCAGGUGGUGGUCGUGGCUCUCAGCGCCCAUCUGAAAGGAGUGCUCCACCUUCUCAGGGAGGAGGUGGAGGCGGAACAGGAUACCAAGGUAGUGGAAGAGGCUGGGGUCCUCCGUCGCAGCAAGGAGGCCGUGGAGGUUAUGGCGGUGGUCGUGGUCGCGGUGGACCGCAACAGCAACACUAUGGUGGAACCUCUGAAUAUCAAGGCAGGGGAAGGGGAGGGCCACCCCAGCCUGGAGGUCGUGGUGGGUAUGGUGGUGGUCGUGGUGGUGUUGGUAUGGGUAGUGGUGGCCGCGGAGGACAUUCUGGUGGCCCAACCAGAUCUUCACAAAUUCCCGAGCUACACCAAGCAACCCCAACUCCUUUUUCAUCUGGGGUGAUGACUCAGCCCACCCCAUCUCAGGCAGGUUCAUCAUCCCAUUCACCUGAACUGUCAGAAGUUUCUCAGCAGUUUCAGCAGUUGUCUUUACCAGAAGAAGUUUCUUCGAGCCAAGUUAUUCAACCUGCGCCACCCUCGAGUAAAUCUGUGAGGUUCCCACUUAGGCCUGGCAGGGGUAGUACUGGGACAAGGUGUAUUGUCAAGGCUAACCACUUCUUUGCCGAGUUACCUGAUAAAGAUUUACACCAGUAUGAUGUGAGUUCUCUAUUUUUGUUUCUAUCUUUCCAUCUUCUUUAUAUCUAGUACACUAGGUUAAUAAUUGAAGGUGUUAAUGCAAUAUUAGGUUACCAUAACACCUGAGGUCACUUCUCGUGGUGUCAACCGGGCUGUGAUGGAGCAGCUGGUGAAACUAUACAGAGAAUCCCAUCUUGGAAAGCGUCUUCCUGCUUAUGAUGGAAGGAAGAGUCUGUAUACUGCUGGGCCUCUUCCCUUUUUAUCAAAGGAGUUCAGAAUCACUCUCCUUGAUGAUGAUGAUGGACAAGGUGGCCAAAGGUUUGUAUUUUGUCAGAUUUUUCUAUUAACACUGAAUUUUCCUUGCUUCCAUUUGCACAUUAUUGCAGUUAUCUUCUUUUUUAUGCAGGAGGGAGAGAGAAUUCAAAGUUGUGAUAAAGUUGGCUGCUCGUGCUGACCUACAUCAUUUAGGACUCUUUUUGCAGGGGAGGCAAGCUGAUGCCCCUCAGGAAGCCCUGCAGGUUCUCGACAUUGUUCUGCGCGAAUUACCUACAACUCGGUAGUGAUAUUUUUUUCCCCCUCUUGUAGUAGCAUGUGCGAUCACGUGUGCGAUCACGUGCACUUAUUUUUUUAAUUUUUUUUUAAAAUGAUAUUGAGAGAUUGUUGGUUGAUAGGUACUGUCCUGUGGGUCGUUCAUUCUAUUCUCCUGAUCUGGGGAGAAGGCAACCACUGGGGGAGGGAUUGGAAAGUUGGCGUGGUUUCUACCAAAGUAUUCGUCCAACUCAGAUGGGCCUAUCCCUAAAUAUUGGUAUAAAACUUUUGGUUCAUCUAUUUUGGUGUGGAUACCUGUUUGGCAUAUUUGUAAUAUGUUUUCCUCCAUUUCCAGCUAUUAUUUUUUAUCACAGUUGCAGAAGCCGGGACGUUCCUGACUAUACACCUUCUAUUGUUCUAAUUAUCGAUUAUUUUAUAGUUUUUGGCUUGCAUCUCUUUAAGUUUCUAGUUCAUGCUGCUUAUACUCCAUCUUUUUUCCUCACUGUGUAAAAUAUGUAUUAUGCAGAUAUGUCCUCUACUGCCUUUAUUGAGCCUUUGCCAGUGAUUGAUUUCGUACAGCAGUUGCUGAACCGAGAUGUUUCCUCAAGACCAUUAUCUGAUGCUGAUCGUGUUAAGGUCAGACUUCCCUUGUUUUCUAUCCCCAACAAGUUGUAGUCGAUCAAAUUUGUUUUCUUUUGCUUUUGGAAUUCAGUUUUUUUUUUCUUGGAUUUAUGGAAGUUUAUUUGUUCCAAAAUCAACUUAAUUCAUUUGCAGUUUUGGUAUACUAAUAGUUCUUUGAUCAAUCAAAAUCGCUGUAGUAUCUAUAAUUUAUUUGUUAUGAGAUGUGAGCUGGUUGCUUUAUUUAUGUCAACAGAUCAAGAAGGCUCUCAGAGGAGUUAGGGUUGAAGUUACGCAUCGAGGAAAUAUGCGUAGGAAGUAUCGUAUAUCUGGCUUGACAUCGCAAACAACAGGAGAGCUCACGUGAGUAAUAUAAUCUCUUUGCAAUUUGUUGAGUGUGUUUUUAAAUUGGUUGUUGUCUUGGUCAUAUGAAAACACGGUUUGAAACUUUCUUUUCUAACAUGAUUUGUUUGUUGUAGUUUUCCGGUUGAUGAAAGUGGUACCCUGAAAUCUGUUGUUGAAUACUUCUACGAAACCUAUGGUUUUGUUAUUCAACAUACUCAGUGGCCCUGCCUACAAGUGGGAAAUCAGCAGAGACCAAAUUAUUUGCCUAUGGAGGUAAACUUGUAACUGUAUCCUCGACUUCUAUGAAGCAUGUAUCUGCAUGCUAAUUGAUUGCUUUCUGGAAAAUGUAGGUUUGCAAGAUUGUUGAGGGUCAGAGGUACUCCAAGAGAUUAAAUGAGAGGCAGAUUACUGCUUUGCUGAAGGUGACCUGUCAACGUCCUCAUGAAAGGGAGCGCGAUAUCAUGCAGGUCAGCUACGGUAGUAAAUUGCUGGUGUUUGCCUUUAGCAUGUAUUUAUUGACUUUGUUAAUAACCUGAUGACAUCUACCUACUUAAUCUCACGGAAGCAUUGUAUAAUGGGUUUUUGUAGACUGUUCACCAUAAUGCUUAUCACGAGGAUCCUUAUGCUAGGGAAUUUGGAAUUAAAAUUAGUGAGAAGCUUGCAUCAGUUGAAGCUCGCAUCCUGCCUGCCCCUUGGGUAUAUUGUCUUUUACAUAAUUUAAUUUUUGUUGCAUGCCUUAUAAAUUUUAGCUUUAAAAUUGUGGUUGUUACUGUUUGACUCUUAUCUUCUGUUUAUGUAGCUUAAAUAUCAUGAUACCGGUAAAGAAAAGGAUUGUCUGCCUCAGGUUGGGCAGUGGAACAUGAUGAACAAGGUAUCUAUGCUGCUAUGAAAUCAUUAUUUCUUCCCAGUUUCCUUACACUGGAUUAAAAUUAUCUGGGAAAUGUUUGUUGUGCAUUAUUUGAGACUUCAACAAAUAUACAAACAACAAUCCUGAUCUCAGUAAAAUCUAAUGUUGAUUGGAUUACCUAAUGUAGUUAUAUUUGUUAGAUGAAUUCUGCACACAUGCAUGAUAGUUUAUUUACAAAGUGUGCAGGUAUUAAUCACUUUGUAGUGAUUUAAAACCUUUUCUGGACAAAUUAUAAUCAUUUUGGUUAAAGAAAAUUGAUUUAAGAUGGAAAUUGUAUGAAAUAUUGGAUCUGCAUGCACUUUUUGCCAUCACAUCUUUUUCCUGAUUAAUCUAUGUUUCUUUGCAGAAAAUGGUUAAUGGAGGAACAGUGAACCACUGGAUAUGCAUCAACUUUUCUCGGCAUGUCCAAGACAGCAUAGCUCGUGGGUUUUGUUUUGAGCUUGCUCAAAUGUGUUACAUUUCUGGCAUGGUGUGGAACUCGCUGCCAUAUGUUCUUUUUGGUUUUUGACUAAUUUAUUUUGAAAGGGUAAAAGAUUGAAAAAAAUUAUAUAAUUUCAGAGAUGUCUUGACCUUAGAUCUGGAUGUAUGCAGGCGUUUAAUCCUGAACCUGUAAUUCCUCCGAUUAGUGCUCGUCCUGAGCACGUGGAGAAGGUCUUGAAAACUCGGUACCAUGAUGCAAUGACCAAAUUGGGUCAGGGGAAGGAGCUUGACCUGCUUAUUGUCAUUCUCCCUGAUAAUAAUGGCUCUCUUUAUGGUAUGCCACUAAAAUUAUUUUCACUUUUCCCUUUGCUGCAUUGGUUAUUUUCUAUUAAUCCGGAUUUGUUUCCACGAAUCUUGUAUCAAUUUCAUUUUUCCUUCACUCUUUUUGGCUUAUUUUAGCGCUACCAUUCUUUAAUCUAAAACUUAAUUAUGUUGCAGGUGAUCUUAAGCGGAUUUGUGAGACAGACCUUGGGCUUGUCUCCCAGUGCUGUUUGACUAAGCAUGUUUUCAAAAUGAGCAAGCAAUACAUGGCCAAUGUGGCUUUGAAGAUAAAUGUGAAGGUUGGAGGGAGGAACACUGUGCUUGUUGAUGCAAUAUCAAGGCGUAUACCUCUAGUCAGUGACAGACCCACUAUCAUUUUUGGUGCUGAUGUCACCCAUCCUCACCCUGGAGAGGAUUCAAGCCCGUCUAUUGCCGCUGUAUCUCUUCAAAUCCAUCUCUACAUUGUUUCUGAAUGCUUUUUUUCUUUCCUUGCAUUUUCCUGAAUUAGGUUGUUAAUAUUUCAAUCCUUGUUAAUGAGAGCCUUUUUUGAAUGUAAAACAAAGGUCGUAGCUUCUCAGGAUUGGCCAGAGGUCACAAAGUAUGCUGGAUUGGUUUGUGCUCAAGCCCAUAGGCAGGAGCUCAUUCAAGACUUGUUCAAGACAUGGCAGGAUCCUGUAAGAGGAGCAGUGUCUGGUGGGAUGAUCAAGUACGAUUGAUCUGUCUUUUAUCACUUAUUUCCUCUUGUGUGCACACACUGAAACUUCAUUGUCAUCUACAUCGUCACCUUGGCUUUUAUACCUAUUGAUGUGGAGCAGCAUUUGGAAACCGAUGUUUGCGGUGCUAACUGUUCUUAAACUUUGUGGGUAGUAGUAUAACACUUCCUUCUUUUUUCCCUUUGGGGGAUGCAGGGAACUCCUUAUAUCUUUCCGUAGAGCUACUGGACAAAAGCCUCAGCGCAUAAUCUUUUACAGGCAUUGUCAUAAUCUCUGAUAUUGUCCAGCAUGUCAAUGGUCAUUCUUGCUAUUACUUAUUUAAUGUUUUAUCUGCAGGGAUGGUGUCAGUGAAGGACAGUUCUAUCAAGUAUUAUUGUAUGAACUUGAUGCUAUCCGUAAGGUAAAGUUUUUUUGCCGGUCAAUUUUCUAAUAUGUUUCUUCCAAGUUUGCUCAAGAUUGUAUUGAAAUUGGUUUAAAUUCUGAAGUUCAUACAUCCCACUUAUUAAUUCUCUCUGAUUUAACUUAAUUCCAGGCAUGCGCCUCCUUGGAACCAAACUAUCAGCCUCCUGUGACUUUUGUUGUGGUUCAGAAGCGUCACCACACUAGGUUGUUUGCCAACAACCAUCAUGAUCGCAAUGCAGUUGACAGGAGUGGAAAUAUAUUGCCUGGUAACUGAUUUGGCUUGACAGUUUCAUGAUUUUGUGGUUAUAGUAUGAUUGCUGAGAUUUCAGAUGGGGUGUGAAACUCUUUGUAAUAAAUUCUGCAGGUACUGUUGUGGAUUCAAAAAUUUGUCACCCAACUGAGUUUGACUUUUACCUCUGUAGCCAUGCUGGAAUACAGGUUAGUUAUUUUUUAAGGUUCUGUUUUUGAGGUAGUGAGAUUGCAUUUCUAAUAUUCCCAAUAUGACAACAGGGUACAAGCCGUCCUGCCCAUUACCAUGUUCUAUGGGAUGAGAACAAGUUUACAGCUGAUGGACUACAGUCCCUCACAAACAACCUCUGCUACACGUAAGUUGAUUGAUACCUCAAUAUGUUAAAAGUCCCUCAUUGAAUUGUAAUAAUCUGCUGGUUGUCAUGGUUUCCUAGGUUUUUAGGUUGAAAAUUUAUCACCUUAUUGAUUUUUAGCCUAAGAUUGUGACAUUGAGUCGCUGCUAUUCUGUAUUAUUGCAGAUAUGCUAGGUGCACUCGUUCUGUUUCCAUUGGUAAGCUCUCUCUCUUGCCCGCAUUCUCGUAUUCAAGUGCAUGCACACAAAUGCAGAUGCACAAUCUUGCUUUUUCUUUUUCCCAAUUAUUUUUAUGCAAUGUUGUGUGAGGUUUCUGUUGUAUGUUGCAGUUCCCCCAGCAUACUAUGCCCACCUUGCAGCAUUCCGAGCUCGUUUCUAUAUGGAGCCAGAGACAUCAGACAGUGGUUCAAUGACCAGUGGAACUAUUGGACGUGGAGGCAUGGGUGGAGGGGUCGGUGCAAGGAGCACACGUGGACCUGGAGUUGGUGCUGCUGUCAGACCCCUUCCUGCCCUGAAGGAGAAUGUCAAGCGGGUUAUGUUUUACUGUUAGGGUUGCCUUUCCAUGAGAUAAGAAUUCGACAUUUGCCCUGAGCUAAGGAUGUCAGGAUUUAGAUCUAUUUUGAGAACUCCAUAGAUGGUUUGCCUUACAGUGUAUUUCAUGCGAUACUUGUCUGUAAUGGAUGCCAGUGAUAUUUUAAUUGUGCAAUUGUGACCUGAAUUUUGUGCCGUGCUCUGCUUGGACUGGACCUUACUAAACAGGUUGCAAUCAAAAGAUGAAUGAAAGGCUUGGAUCCAUGGGGCUGAUCCUGGUUAACUUUUGUUCUUGUAAAAUUAAAGGAGCAUGCUUCUACAAUGGUGUUUGUUGGGAUUCCCGUAUUCCAUCAAACAUCUGGUUAUUGAUAUGAACGUUCUCUUUGUGCUUUUACACUAUUGCAUUACACUGUUAAUUGUAUUGCAUUAAGGUAUAUUGUACUAAGUUAUAAUUUAAUGAAAUAAUAUUAUUUUAUAUUAAUGUUAAAAUUAAAUUAAUAUUAUUUAAAUUUAUAAAAUUUUGAGGGUUUUAUUAUCAAUGUUUGAAAUUAAGUAGUAAAUAAUUAUUAUAUAUAUAUUAUUUUUUAUAAUAUAAAAAUGAUUUAAUAAUAAUAUAUUAUUAAAUAAUUACAUUAUAAUAUUAUGUCAUAUUAUUAAUAAUAUUUUAUUAUAAUUUAUUUUUAUAUAUUAGUCUCUCGUUUAGUUUAUUUGUUUAUUUAUUUAUUUGUGUAUUCAUUAAAAUUUUAUUAUUAUAAUUACAUUAUAGUACGAAUUUUUAAUUCUAUCAUUCUAAAAUGAUUUUUGAACUAAUCUCGUAUGUUUUAAUUAUUUAUUUAUGUUGUGAUAUUAUUUAGAGGUUAUUCAAUUGCAUUAUUAAAAUUGAUCUUUAUUUCACAGGUUAUAUAUUUGGGAAAUGUUGCCAAAAAUUUAAGACCAGAAGCUUAAAUCUUUAUGAAGAGUUAUGAUUUUUUUUAACAUUUAUACUAAAAAAAUAAUGUUAAAUUUCUAAAAUUUAAGAAUUUUGUAUUUAGUAUUUUUCUAAAUACUAAUAAAUGUUAUUUUCUAAAUAUAUGAUUUAAAUUAAUCACCAAAGAAAUUAAUAUAGUAUAGUGCGGGACCAAAUAUAGUAUAAUUAAAAAUUAAUAUAGUACAAUGUAGCACCAUAUAUUGUACAAUAUUAUUAUAAAAUAAUGUUAAUGCAAUACAGUAUAAUAGAAUAUAUCUAUAUUAAAAUAAUGUAAUAUUUUAAUUUCGUUUUUGCUUUGACUGGGAAUUGAAUCAAUAAAAAUAAAGAGGUGAAAGAAAGAUAACGAACGAAGAAUUCAAAAAAGGGUUUCCAAAAAAGAAAUGGAAGAACAAAAGUCAUGGAUUUACAAAAAUCAUGUGUUGUGCCUCUGGAUCGAAACUAAAAAAGAGAUAUCUAAAAAGUUUUGAUGAUUCAAUAAUAAUAUUAUAGUUAUGCCAAUUGGGAGUUCUUAGUUACUUUGGCUGGGCAAAUCCUAGUGACGGAAUAAUUAAGUCAUAAUUUAUUGAACAAUUGUAUCAUUAACGAUUUCUUUAGUUUUUCUUUAUUUUAGUGCGAGGGACUUAUCAUGAAUCCAUUGAUUUCUGCAGCUUCCGUUAUUGCUGCUGGGUUGGCUGUUGGGCUUGCUUCUAUUGGACCUGGAGUUGGUCAAGGUACUGCUGCGGGCCAAGCAAUAGAAGGGAUCUUGAGACAGCCCAAGGCGUAGGGGAAAAAUACGAGGUGCUUUAUUGCUUAAUCUGGCUUUUAUGAAAGCUUUAACAAUUUAUGGACUGAUUGUAGCAUUAGCACUUUUAUUUGCGAAUCCUUUUGUUUAAUCCUAGAAAUAGGAAGGGAAAUUUACUUAUUUUUUUCUCUUAUUUAUUAUAUCUGUGUUUUCUGACUUUUUUGAAUUCUAUCAAGAUUUAACUCUUCCAAUUGGAAGGACUAAUUUGAGGAUGGGGAAUUAGGAUAGGCAUACCAGUUCGCCCUUUUCUUUCCCUGUCUCAGUCUAAAAGAAACCCUCUUUUUAAGUGAUAUUGCAACAAAUGAGGGGUUUUGCAAUUGACAGUAGUCUCGGCCCCUAAUACUAAUAAAUAGGGAAAUUAUCAGUCAUAUACUCUUAAAUGAUACUCGUAUCAAAUGUAUGUGAACACUUUUCAAGUGUAUCACUCGUAUACCAUAAAUUGACAAAACACUUAAGUUGACAAAACACUUCUGCCUUUCACCAAUCUGUUAACUGCCAUUUGCAAGCAUGACAUCAUAAGGGUAAUAUAGUCUUUUAAGAUAGACGAAACUUUGAUUAAAUAAAACGACAUGUCAUCCCAUUUAGCUAGUAACAAAAUGACAUGUUAUAUGAUAUAUAUUGAUAAAAAUGACAUGUCAUCCCAUUUAUCAGAUAAUUGUUAAUAAUUGCUAAAAAAAAAUUAUUUUACAACUGAAUCUACUCCUAAAAAAUUUAAGCUAAAUUUUUUAAGAUCUACUCCUCCAAGGUCCAACUGGAUUUUUUUUAUGGUAUAAUAUGUAUAAUUGUAAAUAAUAUGUUAAUAUUUUUUAUGGUAUAAUAUGAUUUUUUUAUGGAUAAUUAUUAAUAAUAUGCACCAUUAAUAAUUCAUUUUUUUAUUAAAAUAAUGUAUUGUUAAUAACAAAAUAAAAAAAAUUUGUGUAUUGAAAAUUUACAUUAAUUUUUAGGGUAAAUUUAUCUUUUUACCUCAUUUUGAGUUUCAAGAGCGAAAUAGUCAAUUUGCCACAAUUCUGUUAACUUUCUAAUAGAAGUUAAUGGAUUGAUGGAUGACAGAAGUGUUUUGUCAACUUAGGAUAUACGAGCGAUACACUUGAAAAGUGUUCACACGUUUGAUACGAGUGUCAUUUAAGGGUAUAUGACUGAUAAUUUCCCUAAUAAGUAUCCCUCUUAUCGGGAAUCCCCAAUUGUCAAUUCAAAGAAAGGAUUUCGAAAUCGAAUUUUUGACCUUGUUUUGAAAUAGGUAAAUUACUAAAAAAAAAAAUUAAAUAAAUAUAUAUUACAUAGAAACAAAAAAGAAUAAUAUAAUACAGUGUACCAAUAGCACCCUUAAUAUCUUACAUACAUCAAGAGUUUUAAGAAUGUGAUUUUCGGUGACACAAGAUUGAGUAUGUGCCAAUAGCACCCUCAGUAUCUUACAGACAUCAAGAGUUUUAAGAAUGUGAUUUUUGGUGAGACAAGAUUGAGUAUUUUUCACCAAAAGUCUUAAUUCAAUCAUAUGAUCUUGUUUAUCCUCUCUUGUUAACAUAUGGGAAAUGUUGGAUGGAAUCUAAGCAACCUUAAUUUACUAUAUAAACCAUCGAGACUAGAGAUGGUAAAAAGUCCCUGUGAGUAUGGAGCUCGUUGGGGCUCAUUUUGUUAGGGGCAAGUAUUGGAUUUAAUUAUAUUUCUAUUUUACAAAAAUGAUCGGGUACAAUAUAAUUUUUUAUACCCAGUAAUUGGGCAGUUUGGAUAUGGGCAUAAAAUACUGAUACUCAUAUGCAUUCACUAAAUUCAUUUGACUAUUGAUGAUUUAUUUUUUAAAAAGUUUUAAAAGCUAAAAUUAAUAGCUAAAUCUGAUAAAUAUUAAAGUAAAAAAUUGAAAACCUAAAGUAUAAACAUUAGCACUUGGCAUCUUAGUAAGAAAAAAAGACCAUUUAACAUGAUAUUAUGGCAGACGUUUAUCGAAAUUUUAGUCAUUUAAAGAAUUAGGCAUUUAUUAGACUAUUUAAAAUAUUGUACUAACAAGAAAUAAAUGAUAAUAUGAAACUUGUUUGAAUUAGGGUUAGUUGAAAUAGGUGAAGAAUGGACAAGGAAAUUCCAAAGCGUAGACUUUUGAUUUUGAUCCAAAUAUUUAGUAGUACAUUGAUUAAAAUUGAACUACAACCAUCAAAUUAUAAUUAAUAUUUACCUAAAAUUGAAACUAUUUUUUAAAAAUAUUUUAGAAUAAAAUGUUGCAUGUUCAUCUAAAGCUAAAUAGUUGAGAUAUCAUUUUUUCUUUUUUUAGAAAAUAAAAGGGGACAUAGGGGAUAGGGGAAGGGAUGAAUAUCUGCUAAUUUUUAUUGGGGAAUCCCUAAUAUGUGCCCAUUCAAGCCCACAUUAGGUAAGGAUUGGUAAUGGGGAUGUCCCUGACCAAAAGAUGUACGGGGUACAUAUAUUAGCAUUUUCGCAUAAUACCUAGCCUGUUGCCAUCCUUAAUCGAGACUAGAGGUGGUAAAAAUACCCGUCUGGUCCGGAUUCGCACUGUACCCGGACGUUGUGGGUCGGGUAUUAUCCGGCUCUGGUAUGAAGCCGGAUCGGUCUUGAGCAUCACUUGAUAAACCUGGAACUCAAAUUUUAUUAAAAAAUAUUAUUAAAUAUAUAUUAUUUUAAAUAUUUAUAUUUAUUUGACUCAUUUUUUAUACAUAUAUAAAGUUUUAAAUACUUAAAGUUUAUAUUUUCAUGUCAAAUUUUAUUGAAAUAAAUUUAAAACUUAUAAAAUUAUCAAAAAAUAAAAAAUAUAUACACAUAUAAUAUUAAAAAUAUAAAAUUUCAAAAGUUCAAGCCCUGGUUAGUACAAAGGAAAACCACAUCAUACUUCACUCACUACGAAAUUUCAAAACCGAAGAAAGAACAACGAGCACACACAAUAAAAUGCAACGAGGUACUAAAGGAUUUUACAGAAGUAACCUAAUCUAUUCCAACCUGUUAUUGUAGAUAAAGUCAUAUUUCUGUCGGAAAGAAACCAAACAUAGUGCCCGUGAAUAAACAUAAAAGUCUAACAAAAACACAAUAAAAUAUAUAUAAAAAAAACCAUAAAAAACCACUGCUAUCAAAAAAUUCCCUAGAAAAAGCCUCUUGAUAAUAAGUCCUUGCACCUCAAUGCGCCACCAUUAGGCCACUUACUGACUGCAAUAUAGGCAUGAACGGAUCCAAUUCAGGCUCCAGAGAGGCUGAAGCCCCUUCUGGGCCAUUAACUUUUCUUUUAAAUGUAUCCCAAACCCCUUAUGAAAAAGUUAGAUAAAAUAAUAUAGAUACAUUUUUUGUAUGUUUAAAGAUUUGUAGUUCAGUGGUAAGAGUGAUAUUUGAUUGUUUUAAAGUCUUGGUUCAAAUCCCAUAGCCACAUUAUUUUAUUUUUUAAAAUAUUUUGUAGAAACUACUUUAAAAAAUAAUAUUUUCAUGCAUUUAAAAUAAAUAAUUUAACUCUUAAGUUAAAUAAAAUUUUUUAAACUAAGUCCUCCUAAUUUUAAUUUCUGGAUAUAUAGGCAUAUCCUCUUGAUCCGAAUACUGACACGUCCUGAAUCCAAACACUGAAACAAAACCAUCUACAGCCACCGGAAGCACCUUGAGAGGAUCAGAAAAGCACAACCAACAACACCCACAAAAACAAAACACAACACCCAACAUCCAAAUUCGCCGCCGCUACAAUUCUGUCUCCACAUUCCACAAACAACAAUACAUCAACAGAAUCAAAGAAACAACAAACAAGCAAUCUACGUCCAAAAUGUAUGUAUUUACUUACACUGAUAUGAGAUUUUUUUUAUUUCCAAAGAAACAACAAACAAACAAUAUACGUCCAUAAUGUAUGUAUUUACUUACAGUGAUAUAUGAAUUUUUUGUGUUAUUUUUUUUUCUUUAUUAGUUGGUUUCAUUAAAUUCACGUGCGUUAAAGUAAUGGUCCAUCUCAUAGGAUAAUAAUCAAAAUUCUCACGUGAGGCGUCAGGAAAAAUAAACUAAUGAUAAUAAUAAUAAUAAGAAGUCACAUCCCAAAUGUUCCUUAAAUUCUUUCCCUCCGCUUUCAAAAAAAUAUUUAGUUAAAAAGGGCAAACUCCCAAUCAGAAAAUUCCUUUCUUGCUUUCAAUCUUUCUUUCCCCAUAUUUGGCACCAAAGAAUGUUCUUUCUCCUCUAAUCUCAUUUUUUUAGCCAUUGUACUCAACUUUUGUCCCAUCUGUUUCUCUAUAUAAGCACAUUAAGCAACAAUAACAAGCACAUAAAAACAAACAGCUAGCGUUCUCAGUUCAAAAUCUCUCUUUCUGAAAUUAUCAUUUUUUUAUCAUUAUUAUUAUUAUUAUUCUUCUUGCAACAAUGUCUUCGUCUCCAUCACUGAAGCGAUCAGAUACAAUUGCUGAUACCAUGCCUGAUGCCUUGAGGCAAAGCCGGUACUAUAUGAAAAAAUGUUUUUCAAGGUACGUACGUACUUUCCAAAUUGUUAGAUCACAUGCAUGUUAUUUCAUCGACUCAGUUUAACUUUAUAAUUAUUUUUUUCUUGGAAAAAAAAAGGUUCGUUGCAAAGGGAAAGAGAUUGAUGAAACGCCAUCAUUUGAUGGAUGAAGUUGAAAAAUCAAUAGAAGAUAAAAUUGAGAGAGGCAAGGUUUUAGAGGGCUUACUCGGUUAUAUCCUUAGCUCCACUCAGGUAUUUACACGUAAUUUUAUCUAAUUAGGAUUCAGUCCUCAGCUUAUUUUUUGCUAACGAAAGAAUCAGUAAUCAAAAUUUAUUUUAUGUUUUUAUUUUUUAUUUUUCUUACCUAAUAACUAUUGAUUCACAUUCAAUAAAAACUCAGCUCAGCAUUGAAUUCUUAUCCAAUUUUAUCUCUUCAUAUGGUAUGUUUAUUUAAAUCAUGCAUGUAACAUUUUCUCUAAAAAUUUGCAGGAGGCAGCGGUUGUUCCACCUAAUGUUGCAUUCGCUGUGAGACCGAAUCCAGGUUCCUGGGAGUAUGUUAAGGUGAAUUCUGAAGAUCUAACAGUUGACGGCAUCAAUGUUUUGGAAUACUUGAAGUUCAAAGAGACAAUUUUCGACCAAGACUGGUACGUAUAUAAAUAUAAUUGUAAACAUAUUAUGUAACAAAUAAAUAUCAGUCCCCAUUUUUUUUUCUUUUUUUCGCUUGAAAAAUGCAGGGCAAAAGACGAAAAUGCAUUGGAGUUAGAUUUUGGAGCAAUGGAUUUCUCUAGUCCUCACUUGACUCUUUCAUCUUCAAUUGGAAAUGGAGUCAAUUACGUCUCAAAGUUCAUGUCCACAACGCUUAGUGCCAACUCUGAGAAAGCAAAGCAAUUCCUGGACUAUCUACUAGCUCUUAAUCACAGAGGAGAGGUAACAGCACUAAUAAGUUUUCAAUAAAAUAUAAAAAUUAAGAAACCAAAGGCUAAGUCAAUAUGCAGAAACUGAUGGGAUCUUGUAUUUUCUGACAUGCAGCAACUGAUGAUCAAUGAUACGCUGGAUACAGUUGAUAAGCUUCAGGCAGCCCUUAUUGCAGCUGAAGUUUCCAUCUCCGAUUUACCAAAAGACACGCCAUAUCAGGAAUUUCAGCAGAGGUCUCGCUUUUCUAUCAACGUUAUACUUCUGUAAGUGGGAAACCGUUUGCUGACUGCUUUCUCAUUGUUAUCCGUUUUCAGGUUCAAAGAAUGGGGCUUUGAGAAAGGAUGGGGGAAUACUGCAGAAAGAGUUAGAGAGACAAUGAGGCUGUUCUCAGAGGCGCUCCAGGCGCCAGAUGCUGCGAAAUUGCAAGUGCUUUUUAGCAGGCUUCCCAACAUGUUCAACGUCGUAAUCUUCUCUCCCCACGGCUACUUUGGGCAGGCAGAUGUUCUCGGAUUGCCAGAUACAGGAGGCCAGGUACAUAACUGCAUAUUUCAAAACACAUUAUCAUAGUCGUUUAUGAAAAUUUUGUGGAAUGACAUCCUGGACUAAUAUCUUUCUAUAUGCUGAAAUAAUGUAAACAGGUGGUUUACAUUCUUGAUCAAGUAAGAGCUUUAGAGGAAGAAUUGCUCCUCAGGAUCAAGCAGCAAGGACUUAGUGUGAAGCCUCAGAUUCUAGUGGUCAGCAAAACUCUACAACAAUCAUUCAAUCCGAAGAUGAUAUACAAAAAAAUAAGCAUUACACCAAAAACUAAUGCAUUUUCACUUACUCUUUAGUUUUACAUAUGUGCAGGUAACACGUCUAAUUCCAAACUCAAAAGGAACAAAGUGCAGCCAGGAAUUGGAGCCUAUUUAUGAUACCAAGCACUCUCACAUUCUCAGGAUCCCAUUUAAGACAGAGCAAGCAAUUCUCCCACAAUGGGUUUCCCGUUUCGAUAUCUACCCUUACCUUGGCAGAUUUGCACAGGCAUAUUCCUCACUCGCCUCAAACAUUCAUCUUCUUCUGAUUAUUUUUCCCCUCAAUACUUCAUACUUAUUUUAAAAUCUCUGUUUUAUCGAAUCAGGAUGCCACGGCUAAGAUCCUUGACCUCAUGGAAGGCAAACCAGACCUUAUAAUUGGGAACUACAGUGAUGGAAACUUGGUGGCAUCUCUAAUGGCUUCAAAACUUGGAAUAACACAGGUCAAAACCGUUAUCUCUGACAGUUUCAACAACAUUCUGAAAAUCACUCACUUUCAAUUGUAUGACAUAUGUUCAUCUUUUGCUUCCACAAAAUCCAGGCAACUAUUGCACAUGCUUUAGAAAAAUCAAAAUAUGAAGAUUCAGAUGCCAAAUGGAAGGAAUUAGAUCCAAAGUACCAUUUUUCAUGUCAAUUCACAGCUGACUUAAUUGCAAUGAAUCAAACUGAUUUUAUCAUAACCAGCACAUACCAAGAAAUUGCUGGAAGGUUAGUCUGCUACAUAACCUCAUAUACCCCAGAACGGAUCAGUAAUUGCUUGAAAUAUUAACUGGUUUUUUCUUUUCUCAGUAAGGAUAGGCCAGGACAGUAUGAAAGCCAUACUGCCUUCACAAUGCCAGGACUUUGUCGGGUUGUUUCAGGCAUCAAUGUCUUUGAUCCAAAGUUCAACAUAGCUGCCCCUGGGGCUGAUCAAUCUGUCUACUUUCCCUACACUGAGAAACAAAGACGGCUAACCUCAUUUCAUCUGACAUUGAGGAACUACUAUACAGCAAAGAGGAUAACAGUGAGCACAUGUAAGUCUCCCAGUUUGUUUCAUCUCAUGCAUAACACUAAUAAUACCAGAAAAGAAGCUUAAAAUGCUUACUGUUGAAACUAACAAUGUCUGGGACAGUGGAUAUCUGGCAGACAGGAAGAAACCAAUAAUCUUCUCAAUGGCAAGACUUGAUACUGUGAAAAACAUUACAGGACUGACCGAAUGGUAUGGAAAAAACAAGAGGUUGAGAAAUAUGGUGAAUCUUGUUGUGGUGGCCGGAUUCUUUGAUCCAUCAAAAUCGCAUGACAGAGAAGAAAUUGCAGAGAUCAAGAAGAUGCAUACUUUGAUUGAGAAAUACCAACUUCAGGGCCAGUUUAGGUGGAUUGCGGCUCAAACUGAUAGAUAUCGAAACGGAGAGCUUUAUCGCUGUAUUGCAGAUACAAAAGGAGCUUUCGUGCAGCCUGCACUAUAUGAGGCUUUUGGUCUGACAGUCAUAGAGGCAAUGAACUGCGGCUUACCCACUUUUGCAACCAAUCAAGGAGGUCCAGCAGAAAUCAUCAUUGAUGGGGUCUCAGGCUUCCACAUUGACCCAAACAAUGGUGAUGAAUCAAGCAACAAGAUUGCUGAUUUCUUUGAAAAAUGCAAGACGGAUGCUGGAUACUGGAACCAGAUGUCAGCAGCAGGUCGCCAACGUAUAUAUGAAUGGUAAAAACAUGGCACUCCACCAGGAUGUUUAAAUUACAUACCCUUGGAUUUUCUGUAUAAUUUAAUAUGUACUAUGUUGUAUUGUAGCUAUACAUGGAAGAUUUAUGCAAACAAAGUGCUGAACAUGGGAUCCAUUUAUGGAUUUUGGAGGCAGAUAAACAAAGAACCAAAGCUAGCUAAGCAAAGAUACAUCCAGAUGUUCUAUAGUCUCCUGUUCAGGAAACUAGUAAGUUAGCUCAGCCAAUUACUUCAAAAAUUUUCGAGCAUUAGAUAGUCAUUAUUUUAACACUCACAAUGUUUCAGGCAAGUAAUGUACCCAUCAAAGUUCCUGAACCUCUACAAUCAGCACAAACUGCACCAGUUGAAUCCCAGCAACCUGCAGCAGCAACAGGGAUAGCUAAACCCCAGCCACCAGCAUCAGCAGUAAUAGAUAAACCUAACCAACAAGAAAAGACCGCUCAGCAAAAGAAAAGGCAUGUACGGAAAACUAUGACUGUUAUAUGAAAUUUUAAUUUUAGGAGACUAAUUCACAUGGAAAAUUUUGAGCUAGACUGGACAAUUUUCAGAAAAUUAAGAAAAAUUAAAUAAAUUGUAGCACUGACUUAGUCGUCUUUGCUCUGACUCAUCUUUGCAUUUGUCUUUGGUUGAUUUCUGAGUCCAAACUGGCUUUACUGUAAAAUCACACGGGUUUUGGUUCACAGGGAAGAAGGUUCAGAGCUGAAGCCGCCUAGCUCUCAGCAAAUAAGGAAUCCUGUACGUGACCUUUGGACCCAGUGGGGCAUCACCAUUGGCUUUCUCUUCAUCAUCUAUUACCUUCUCAAGAGAUUGUAUUGCAUGUUUAUGUAAAUGUAUCAUCAAGAUAGUGACACAUAUGCCGUUAUUUGUAAGCAAUUUGUUCACAAUAAUAAGAAAAUCCCAGCCUUCUAUCUGAAAGAGGUUCAUGCUGCUUGCAAUGCAGUCUGAAAUUCAAAAUCAUUGAGGGUUCUGUGAAAUUUCCCCAAUAAAUUAUCAUUUUGAUUAAUUUAACAAUUACUCAACCUGCUAAUAAUUCAGUCGCUAAGAUGGACAAAUUUACACAAUGUAUGGGAGCUUAGAGCAUUGAAAUGAACCAAACAGAAAAUAAAAUAAAGGACGCUAAAUCCCGUAAUCUCACACAUAUUUAAAGAAUGAAAAAUUGAAAACAAAACCUCAUUUUAUUGUCUUUCACUUGUUCCUUCAUUAGUUGGCUCUUUGUCUUGCAUUUGAAAAGAGAAAGGGAAAACAAAAAAAAAAAACUACAAGAAAGUACAAGUUGCCUCAGGCAAAGCAACAGCUCCCCUUCCAGGUUUCCAAGGUUUAAAUUUCACUGCCUUAAAAUGAUAGAAUUGGCAUCAGUAAAGCAUUAAAUCACCUUCCACCUCUCAAAUUCUGCAGAGCUUAACAUAAAGGAACUGGCAUUACGAUGUCCACCACCUCCGAAUUCCUACAAGGGAAUUGCAUAAUACAUUUCAGUAGUUUCACCAUAAUUACACCUAUGACCACGUUAACCAGCAAUAAAAUGUAUAUGAAAAGCAAUACAGCAAAAAGGAUGAACAACCUGUGCAAUAGCCGUUGUAUCUUCACUAUCUACACUCCUGAGGCUUAUUUUCACCAACUGAUCAUUUUGGAGUUCUGGGACUCUAUAAACAACAGCUCCUAUGCCUCUGAGAGAACAAUAAUUUAAUGGCUUGGUGAAGGGAAAAGAACAACAUCAGGAAAGCUACUAUGUUGAAUAAGUCGAGAAGAUAACUGAAUGAGAAAAAUAACAUGAAUAAUUGAACAGUAAUGAACAUUAAUGUAAUUUUGCCCACAACUCUGAUUUGCUGGUUAUUUAUUUUAAUUUUAAUUUUUAUUUUUUGAACUUCGAACUCUGGACAUCUUUUCUGCAUUAAAAAAUGCUUGUCUCAUUACAAUAUGAGUAAAUAAAGUGCCACCAAAACAAACUUGUGACUAUAAUUUUGAUUGGUGCAAAACAUAUUCCAGCCCUACUAAAAGUCUAAAGCAUCCCGUCACGAACAAUUAAAUAAACCAAUGCCAAUUUAAACAAAAUCAUCACGACACUUUGCAAGGAACCAUAGGGGAAGAGAAAAGCAUUAAGCAUUUCAUAAUUGUAUGAAUCAAAAGAAAAGAAUAAGAAUCUAGUAUAUGCAUCAUUUAAGUGUUCAAAACCUCAAGUUUAAAUCAUGACUUUUUGUUGCUAACUGGUGUCCCAGUUCACUCCGCAACUCUGCAACAGCAUCUGCAUCGACAGCCUACAAGUAGAAGAAUGAAAUUAGAAAUCUCUUCAGGGUUGCUAUAUAAGAUAGACACAUCAAAAAGUGUGUAAUGCAAUAAUUGUGAUAACAAAAUUUUCAUUAUAAUUAAUAGGAUACUAACCAUUUUAGGUACCUCACCACUAAGUAUACUUCAAUGCGUAUAUUCCUUUAUAGGGUAUGAGGGUAAAAUGAAACAAUGUUUCAAUGAGCACGGGCGGCACUAAUGGUCUAAGGAUGUUCAUGGUCUAAAUUGACAAGAAAAUAGAAAGGUUUAAUAGAGAUCUUUAAAUGUGGUCCAAAUUGUCUUUUGAAGGAAGCUUUAAAUAAAUGGUCAGAACUAUUUUAUUUUAAAUUCAUAAGCUUAUAAUUAUUACUUUAAGCCCUAGAGGUUAAAAGUCAUGAAAGUGAUAUACACAUGACCCCCUAACACUUGAUGUUAAAAAGCAUUUCAAGAUCUCUUAACUGAUUUUAUGAUGAAAACAUAUCAAGAAAUGCAAUACAUACAGUAGCCAAAGUCUAGAGCCGAAGCAAAAACAUGAUCAAUGUGUUGAAACUUUCUACCUCUAUUUCAUGAUCUUCUCUUGCACUUUAGAAAGCUAGAUUUCUCUUAUUUUCACACAAAUAAUAUUUUAUCACAAAAACCAUACAUUGAACCUAAUCCUUUCCUCCCUCUAUUGUCCAAUUCAAUCAUCAUGAAACUCAAAUAACCUCAAAUCGUAGGUCUUUCUUCCCUAGUUAAACCUAAUCAAGCUUGAGAUGUUAAACCUUCCCAUUAAAAAGCCUUUACUAGUAGCUUGAACACCGGUUCAGUUGCCUAAAAGGUACCCAAUUUCACAUGACUCUUAACUAGUCGCAUUUUAAGCAGUUUUAUUAUACCAAAGAAGAAAGCCUCACAUCCCUUUUUUACACUUGUUUACCAAAUAGAGCCUAAACUUAUAACAUUUGGAUACCUCAAGUCCAUUGCAUCCCAAGUCCAAUACUAGUUAGCACUAUCUAUUCUGAAUAAAGUUAAGAAAAUAAAAUAAUAAAGGGAAAAUAACAAAAAAGGAAUGCAAGCAUGAUACCAAGCAAUGUCCGAAUGCUCCACCUCCAAGUACAAUUUCAUAUGAAUGAGCGAGAGUCUCUUCAAUUAAUCUUUGCUUGUGUGAUAGGCUCACUAUGCCUUGACUGAUUACAGAUUCCAGGUCCAAGGAGAGUAACUGUCCAAAUUUAUCAUAUUUUAACUCAUUUAAAGUAAAUGUAAAUAAACCAUCCACAAAAGCAUUGGUAAGGAAUGUAGUACCUGCUCAAACAAGCAAGGGUUUAAUUGAAAACUAAACUCAAUGUUUAAAUCUUUUAAACCACUACUAAAAGCUUUGCUGUUUUCAAGUCUCCAUCUCCAAAGAUCUCCAUCUUCAAUAUAAUCAAAAAGCAAACUUAACCGCUCGAAUUCUCUAUGUAAUUGUAAUCCAUUAUCCAAAAAUUUAUUCUUGAAAUAAUCAUAAGCAAUUGUCGCUCCACUUCUCUCCAUAUCAAUUGUCUUACUCACAUUUUCACCUUCGAUUGGAGCCUCAAGAGCAGUUUUGUGAUGGUCCAAUAUCACCACCUUUGAAACUUUGGAAGACACUUGCUGAACAAAACCAGAGGGACCCACAUAAUCAAGAAGGUAAAGAUCAUCAAUUUCAUGCAAAGGAAGAUUGUUUGGGCUAAUAGGAUUGUAAACAGUGUUGGGAAAGAAGAGAGCGGGAACUGAAGAGGAUGAGAAGUAAAGGUGAGCGGCAAGAGCCGCGAAUGCACCGUCUGGGCAAGGGUAGUGGUAUAGCACUGCUGGUUUUUUCUUCAUCAUGUUCAUGAUACUACUUGAUGGGAUGGCUCUUGCUAUUGCUGCUACCAUCGCAUGAGUAAUUUCAAACAUAGACAAGUUCAGGAGUUCAUCUUCCGCCUCAGACUGUCAACUCACCUGUUUCACUCUCUACUUCUGACUUCUGUACAAUAAAAUAAGGACACGUUUGGUGAAUGUUUGUGGGAUUGGGAAUUUGGGAUGAUAAGUUUAGGUAAAUAAAUUAAAAUAAUUCAUUAUUAAAUUAUUAUAUUAUCAAAAAUAAAUAAUUAAAUUAUUUUUAAAAAUUAACUUUUAUAGUAAAAUGUUUCGUAAUCGAAAUACUUUGCAAGAAAAAUUUAAACUAUUUAAAUAUUUAAUAAAAAUAAAAAAUAUUUUUAUUAAAUAAAAUAUUAAUUUUGAUAAUAUGUUCGAGGCAUAAUAAAUAAAAAAAUUCAAUGUUGUAAAAAUUUUAAACACUUAUUUUUAAUAUUUUAAAAAUAUAAAAUUUAUAUUAUUAUUUAAAUAUUUAUUAAUUUAUUUGAAUUAAUUUAAUUUAGUUACUGUUAGAGGAAUAUAUAAUAGCUAAUUUUUUUAUUUAAUAUUACUAUAAUAAUAAACUUGAGUGUUUAAUCUAGUCCAAUUAAAUGCUACAUUGAACAAAAAAUUAGGAAACAUUAAUGCUGCGUUUACUAAAUUGGAAUCGAAAUGAGAAUAGGAAAUGAAAAUAAGAAUAAAUUAUUUACUUGAAUUGUAGGAUUCGAAAUCAAAAUAAGUUGGAUUGCAUUUAAUAUGUUUACUUUAUCUUCAAAUUAAAAUCAGAAUGAGUUAUAUUGUAACAAAUUACUAAAAAGUAUUUAAUGAUUAUUAUCAUAAUUACUAUUUUAAAUUUUAAUUAUAAUGAUUAUUUAUUCAAAAAUUAUUAUUAUUAAUUAUUUUCAAUAAUAUAUUGAUAUAUUAAUUAAUUUUAAAAUUAUUAAUUAAUUUAUUAUAAUAAUAUACUAAUUAAUUAUAAUAAUUAUAUUUAUUAUUAUUAUUAUAAAAUAUAUUAAUUAAUUAAUAAUAAUAUUGCUUAUUUAAUUAUAAUAAUAUAUUAAUUAUUGUGAUUAUUUAUUCAAAACUAUAAUUACUAAUAUAUUAUUGCUAAUAAUGUAUUAACAUUUUAAUUAAUAAUAAUUAUUAUAUUAAUUAAUAAUAAUUAUUAUAUUAAUUAAUAAUAAUAAUAUAUGAAUUAAUAAUAAUAAUUAUAUUAAUUAUUCUAAUAGUAUAUUAAUUAAUUAAUCAUAAUAAUAAUAUAUUAAUUAUUGUGAUUAUUUAUUCAAAACUAUAAUCACUAAUAUAUUAUUGCUAAUAAUGUAUUAACAUUUUAAUUAAUAAUUAUUAUUAUAUUAAUUAAUAAUAAUAAUAUAUUAAUUAUUGUGAUUAUUUAUUCAAAAAUUAUAAUUAUUAAAAAUUAUUGUUAAUAAUGUAUCAAUAUAGUAAUUAAUUAAUUAUAUUAAUAAAUCAAUUAAAGUGUAAAUAAGGACAAAGUGGGCAUGUUUUUAAUUUGGGGAGGGGUAAAAUGGUUAAUCAUGGGAAUGCGAGACUCAUUCCCACCCCAGCCCUUGGGAAUAAGUCUCCCAUUCCCCAUUCCCAAAUUGUGUUGCGGCCCCACGAUUUCAAUUUCGAUUCUCAACUCAAUUUUAUGAAGUAAACGUUGUCAAUGAUUUUAAUUUCGGAUUCCAAUUUCCUAAUCCAGGAAGUAAACGCAACAUAAACAAAUAAUACAAAAUCCAAUCAUAUCAUGUAGUAUUUCAUCUUAUCCCAUCCUAUUUAAACAAAUUCAAUCCAAUCUCCUAAACUAACGUAUUCAGACAAGUUUUGUUACUUUUAAUUGUUGACAUUUAAGUUAUUGACUGCAUUUUUUUAUUUAUUAUUUUUAUAUAUACACUUAUAUGUAUGUUAUAAUCAUAAAUGUACUCAUAUUUAUAAUUGCAAAUAAGUUGAGACUACCUCAGAUCAAAUUUAUUGUGACAAAAUUCGAAUUUAACGUCACUUAAUAUCGGAUAGAUAUCCUACUCCAUCACAUUAGUAAGGGAGAUAUCACCGAUUAAAUUGAGAGGGAAAAUGAGUCUCAACAAUUGCCAAGACUUGAACUCAUGGUAUUGUUGGCACGACUCAAAAGUGUUCAUUACUCCCAAAUAUAAGAAUAUAUAAUUAUAAUAUAACCCGAUGAAUCCAAGGUCGAAUCAUAGGGAAUCUAAAAAUCUAGUAGUCAAUUAUUAAAUAAAAUUAAUUUAUAGGAAAAGAAAUUACACAUUUAAAAUGUUCUAAGGUUAUGAGGUCCACUCUUAAUGUUAAAACUAUGAUCAUAAUAUUCUCUCAUAUUAUAUUUUUACUAAUUUAAGUACUAUAUGACCUAAUUAUUAAUUAAUCACUUAUGGAUAAAUAUGGGAAUAAGUACAUAAUGUGCUGCACCAAUAUGGCAUGUCGAUAUUAUAUCUAAAUACCAUAUAGAUUCAAAGUGAAUCUAAAUUUACAGAUUAAAAUAAAAUGUAAGUAACUGGUGAAAAAAAUAAUAUGUAAAUAAUAUAAUAUAAACUUACUUGAGAGAAUAAUUAAUUUCAUAAUUUAAAUCAUUGAGCUUCACUUUUCACCUUAGCUUAUAAAAUUAACAACUCAUAUUUACAAACAAAACAUCCAUUUUAUUUAACGAACUCCUGAAAUAUAUUAUAAAAAAAUUAACUACAUAAGAAAAGAUAAGAAAUUGUUUUCUCAGCUUCAGUCUUCCUUUUUUCCUCUCUUCCUCCUCUCUCCUUCUCUUCCUCUUCUCCUUUUAUAGGUGCCAGUGUCUCUUCUCAUACUUAUUUUAUUAAUAUUUAAUUUUUUUUAUUAUAAUAAUGAAAGAAAGGAAGAGAUAAGUGAUUAUCCAAAGUGGUGGCUGCCACUCGACUAUCACUUAUCAAUUGGCUCAACUUCUUCUUUUUUUUCAUUUUUUAUUUAAUUUAUGCAAUCCGUCUUUUUUGUCCUCCACUUUUGACUCCGAUUUAUUCUUUAUUUUUAAAAUAUAUCUACAAUAUAAAAUUAAAAUAAAAUUAACAUACUAAAAAUUAAUUUAACAUAAAAUUAUUUUAGGAGGUCAUUAAAAUAAUUUACAAGUUGAGUGCAUAAAUCAACACUAUAAGUGAAAAAUUAUAUAAAAAAAUGAUAAUUUUAACCUUUAUUAAAUGUACACUUUUAGUGUUAAUCACACUUCUCAAUUAGCUUGCUGCGAGUCCCUAGUAAAUUAAGCAAUAAUAUGUAACAAAAUUCAAACCCAGAUUGGAUUUUUUUUUUAGGGCAAUUAUGUUUUACUUCUUUAAUCAGAGUAAUGACAACAAUCAAAUAAAAGUAUAAGCAUUAUCUUCCGCUUAUAAGAAAAAAAACACUCUCACGUCAACCAUUCACAAAAUCAGUCAAGUAAACCCAUGCAAAAUGAUCAAUUAUCAAAACUAUAUUAAUUAAGCCACUUUCAAGACUGACACGUCAAACCCCAAAAUCUCAUAGGUAAGAAUGACACUCAAAAGAAAAUAAACCCAAUAAAAACAGUCAUUACAAGAAAUGCUAGAUUGAGAGAUAAUAUGAAAAAUAAUAUCACACACUCUUACCAAAAUGAAAGAAUAAUAUCCAUAACUUAGAAAUGAAUGUGAUAUGAAUUAUAAAGUCAAAUAAAUUAGUAGUCCAACCAAUAAUAUUAUUUGUAUUUAUUUUAAUGCAUCAUCACAUCUUUUAUUAGGAUGUAAUGAGGGUACGGGCAUGGCUAACAAAGAAGGGAUGAUAGGAAAAAUAAAACAUAUGUUUGAGAAAAAAUUAGAUCUUUUGGAGACUGCAAGGUGCUUUUCAUUUUUUGUCAUUUUUCAUUAUUUAUUUAUUUUGCAUUUAAUUUCUUUUCAAUUGCACUUUUUUUUUGGUAAUGCACCAUUUUUUGAAUAAAAUAAUCAUCCAUAAUUUUCUCAAACAUAAAUAGGUGGGCGAAAAUAUAGAAUAUAUGGUAAUACUCCAAAUUGGAGUGGAAUAUGAUGAUAAAUUAACAAAUUAAUUAUAUAUAUAUAUAUAUAUAUAUAUAUAUAUAUAUAUAUAUAUAUAAAUAGGACUUUUAGAACUCUAGUCAAAUCUACUAAUUCAAUGGAUUUUCAUAUAUAAUAAUGCACAAAUGUUUUUUUAAUCUUUGUCAUUAAUUAAAACAAACAAAAAAUAUGGAGAUCGUGUAUAAAAUAAUAAAAUGCUAAGAUAUGGAAAAUAGUAAAAAAAAAAAGUUACUCUCCAAGAAAAAUAAUAAGCUAAAAAACUCACUUGAAACUAUGACAUGUAUAUUUCUUCAAAUCGUUCAAUCAAUUUCACUCAUCAAAUCUCUCAAUUCACACUUGUCACCAACAUCAACAUGCAAAGUGACAAACAUGGUGUAAUAUAAUUCAAAGCUAAAGAUAAUACAAAUACUAGAAUUUCGAAAUUAUCAUGUUAUCCAAUCACACAAAAUACUUUAAUUUUUUUUUGUUAAUAAACAAAACAAAUACUACUCCCACCCCAAAGUUUAUUUAAAUGUUGUCCUUACAUUUUAUAAUCCAAAGUCAUGCAUGCCAAAAAAAAAAAAGAAGUUGUAGUGAUUACACAUGAACUAGCUGCAAAAGCUUAAAAUAAUAUGACAAGAACAAUAAUUUUUUUUAUUUUUUAUUUUUUUGACAAACAAAACAUAACAAAUACUAAGAUGUAUUUGUAGAGUCAUGACACUCUAUUUUCAACUAUCUUUAACUCAAAUUUAUUCAAAAUUACUCUUUAUAACAAAAAUCAGUAAAAGCAUCACCACUGAACACAACUAUCAGUUAUUCCACAAUUGUUAACUAUUCUUUUUCCCAACCAGAACAAGACAUUAUCUUUAAUGUCUUCAAGAAAAAAAAGUAGAGUUUCGAAAAUAUCAUUUAAACAGUACAAGAAAAUAUUUACAAAUAGAGAGUGAAAUCUAAUUUGAACUUCUUACGAGGGCUACUGCUACCGUCAACCAAUACAAUGCCAAGGUCUUAGGAUCUGACUCUAUUUUGUAAACCUGUAAAAGAUCAAGUAACUCAUUUGUAGUAGGAGCACAAAUAAAGAUUUUUUUGAAUGGAAUGAAAUGAUUUUUAAUUGCAUGGUUAAGAAAUGCUAUCAAGUCAUUCUAAAAGUUAUUAACAUUUAACAAAUCGAUGAGUUUUUGAUAAAUGUUCACAUGACCCAAGGUACAAAAAUAAUUAGCGCCUCUAGAGUUGCAAGUUCAAAUGAGCCUAUAUUCCAGGUGCAACUUUCUCUUGGCUAUGACACAACCAAUAUCUAUAGCUGCUCGAACGAACUCUUUGUAUUUUCCAUAGUGAAACCCAGAAAGUAUGCAAAUAUUCAUGAAUUGUCUACUCAAAGUUGCUGCCAAUAGGAAAAUCUUCAAAAGCAAUCUGUGAGUAUUUGAAAAAAGGAGUUCGUAUUUAAAGAUCUUGGUGAUCGACAAAAAUGAUCCACAGCUGUAUAUAGAAUAGUAUGUUUGUCAAAUGACACAUAAAGCUCGUGGCUCAAUAUUCAAAAGCAAAGAGUAAAAUGAUACAUAUAAUGAUUAGGUAUAAAAUCACACCAUUAAAAGCAAUAAUGCAAGCAAUAAAAGAAAUAUUAAAAUAAAAAGGAUAUUUACUAGUAGUUAUGAUUGUGGCUCACAUCUUCCUCUAGGUCUAUGUUCAGUAGCAGUUUGAACCAUAUAUUUCUUAUAAUUGGCAAAUAAGGUCAUAUAGUUAAAUUCUUGAGAUUGUAUCGUGCAUGUUCUUUUUUGAAUAAUGGCCAUAACUGGAUAAUUACUCUCUGUAUGUAUCCACUAUGAUGCAUUUCAAGAGGUGCAAGGAUAUCGUCCAAUGAUUCUUUAUUCAAGUCAUCCCUAAUGAAUUGAAUCUUGUAUUUCCUAUUAUUAGACACAAUUCCGUCUAGUUCUUCAUUUUCUUGAAUAGUUUUCUUUCCUGCAACCAAGCAGGUAGGCAGCAAAUUUUGAAGGUAACUUUCCUGCCAAUUGUACAAUCUAAAGGAGUAGGGUAAAUAGCUUGUGAAGUUUUGCAAGAAUUUCGUUCCUACGUUGGCGUGAGAAUGUCAAUGAUUAUGGAAAACUGAAGGAAUUGACUUUAAUAGUCACAGAUUACUGUUAUUCGCCACUUAACCUGGUAACAAAUUAUAGCACACUAAAAAAAUUAACUUUACAAAAUCAAAUCAAACGUGAAAGUGAAUAAAAUGACAAAGUGAAAAUACACUAUGUAAAUGAAUAUAAUCGAAUACUUAACUCACUAUCGUUGUUUUAUUGAGUUAACCUCAAGUUCUAAUUGGAUGUCACAUAUAUCACUCUCUAUUGCCCUAAUUUGUGUUUCUAGAUCCUCAACAUGGGAUAUUAGCAUUGGCGGUCAUGAAUUCCGAACAAAAUGUAAUUUACAAAAUUAUAUCAGGCCUUUCAGGUGAAAUUUCACACGUGAAGUUCUCCAAGAUGCUUGAAGAGGAUUUGUCUCGCUGAGGUACUCAUAACAUAUAUAAAAAAAUGAUGAAAUAAAAUAUAGCUGUCAAACAACAAGCUUAAACGAGAAACAACAUGAUACUCAAAAGAUGUGCAUUCGCAUCAUUCAAGAUAGAGAAAUAAAUGUUUAAACAAUUCAAAUAAUAAAAUAAUAGUAAAAUGAAUUGACAAAAAGUAAAAUCACCUAUUAAAAACAAAAAAAAACUUAAUCAAGAUUUGGUGGGUCACUAAAAUGAAAUAUUAACUAGGCAACCAAAGAGGGAGGGUGAAUUGAGAUUCUAAACAUUUAAGCAACUAAAACUUAAUGCAAUUUAAACUAAGCAACUAAAUUCAAAAUAAACAAAUUAAUGUGUAAUGAAAAAUAAAGAGAUAGGGUAAGGGAGAGCAAACACGCAAUUUUUACGUGGUUUAGGCAACAGAGCCUACGUUCACGCCUCCAAGCUCAUCGGGCUUUAAGAUUUCACUAAAGGAGCCUCUAAGGUUUCAACAACUCUUACAAUUAACUUCCAAGGUGUCAAUAGACCUUUACAAUAAGAGAGUAUUCUUAAUCUAUUGUCCCAAGUAUAUCCUAACACUUAUAAUCUCUCAACUUGAUUUUACAAAAGAGAUUACAAGUAAAUUUCUCUCACUCAAUAUGUUUGAUUACAAAUGAAAGCUCAAUGUGUGAAUGAAUGAAACAAAAACAAGUUUAAAGGUCAAUAAGAAUUGUAUAUUCAGUAGUAAGCUCAAUGAUAACUCUUGGAUCACUUCUUGUUUUUUUAAUUUUUAUUUUAAAAGGUGGGGCGAGGGGGGGGGGGGGGGAGCCCAAAUACAUUUUUUACCCCCCUUACCACCCCCAAGAAUUGAACCCAAGUUCUGGUAGAGAAUACAGCUGCACUGCAACCAACUCGACCACGCCCUUGGGGGGGCUCACUUCUUGUUUGAAUUUGAUUGAGCGAUUUUAUAGUUGGAGCUAAAAACUAGUCAUUGUUGACUUUCUGCACAUAAUCGGAUCGCCGUUAGCUUUUAUCGGAUUGCCAUUUUGACUUGAGCAAGUGACCGUUGUGCUAUAAUUUCAAAUUGUCCGAUCACCGUUUUCCAGAUGUCGGCUUGCCGUCAAUGUCCAGAAGUUAAUCUUCAAUUUUGUUCGAUGUUGGUUAACUGUUUUCUCCUAAAUGGUUAGUCGUUUGCUACAGUGAAACUAUUUUAUAAAAUUAUAGUUUUGCCUUAAAACUUUUUGUAAUUAUACUAUAACCUAAAACUUUAUGAAACUUUUCAAAUAAGUCCAUUUUUAGAAUUUCAAGCAAUACUUGUUGAUUUCAAAGUUCUCAAAACUUUUUCAAUUUAGAUCAUGAACUGGAAAAACAACCAAUUUCAUAAAAUCAUUUUUCCUUUAAAUAUAAAACCUUUAUAUUAUGAAAAUAAUGAUUUAUUUAAAAUGUAUGAAAAAUAAUUUGAGCUUUUAAAAGCUUAAUUAUUUUUAAUCUUGUUUGUUGUCAUCAAAAUCAUCAUUAUAGACACAUUCAUGUUAACAUCAAAUUUAUUUGGUAUUUUCUUCAUGUGGUUAGUAUCUCAGGUAUGACUUUAGUCUUUAGCUAUUAACUUUAAAUGUGGCAUUGUUCCUUAAAUUCUCAAUUUCUACGGCCUUAUAUGGAUAUGCAUUUUUCACAACAAAUGGGCAACUCCAUUUUGACUUUAACUUCUCUGAAAAUAAAUGAAAAUGAGAAUUAUAAAGCAACAUUUAUCGACCAAUCUCAAAUGUUUUUUGAAUUUUUUUUAUCAUGAAAAAUUUUGUAUCUUGCCUUAAUAAUUCUUGAAUUCUUAUAUGCAUCAUUCCUUAAUUCCUUAAGUUCAUUCAAUUGUAAUUUACACAAAUCACCAGCAGCAUCAAGAUUUGAAUAAAAAGUUUUGAUAGCUCAAAAUAAUUUAUGCUCAAGUUCAACUAGUAAGUGGCAAUGCUUACUAUAAACCAGUUGAUAGGAUGACAUUCCUAAAGACGUCUUGAAUGCAGUACGGUAAUCCCAAAGUGCAUCAGUCAAUUGAAGAGACCAAUCUUUAUAGCUCAAGUUAACCGUCUUUUCUAAAAUUAAUCUCUCUAUUUGUUAACUUAACUUGACCACUUGUUUGAGGAUGAUAAGGGUAGCAAUUUUAUGUGUGAUUCUUUAUUUCUUCAUUAAAGACUAAAAUGACUUGUUAUAAAAAUGCUUACCUCCAUCACUGAUAAUAACUCAAGGGAUUUUCUUUUAAAGAUGGAUCAUAGUUUUAUUACCGUUGUGCCAAUAAGGAAUCACUUCAAUUCAUUUUGAAACAUAAUCAACACCAACCAAAAUAUAUAUAAAACCAAAUGAUAAUGGGAAGGGACCAAUGAAAUCAAUUCCUUCACAAUCAAAUAUUUCAAUGAUAACGAUGGGUUUUAAAGGCAUCAUGUUUUACUUUGAGAUGGACCCUAACAUUUGACAAUUCUUUAACAUUUGACAAUUCUUACACAUUUUACUAAAUGCAUAUGAAUUUUUAAAUAAUGUGGGCCAAUAAAAUUCAUACUACAAUAUUUUUGCAGCUGUCUUCUUUGAAGAAAAGUGGCCACCACAAGCUUCAGCAUAACAAAAUUAAAUGACGCUACUUACCUGGCUGUUUGAUAUGCAUUUCUAAAGAACAAUACUUAAACAAGUAUGGUCCUCCCAAUAAAACUUUUUCACAUCCGCUAAGAAUUUCUUCUUGACUUGUGAGUUCCAAUCAGAUGGCAUUUCACUUGUUGCAAGAUAAUUAACAAUGUUAGCAUACCAUGACAUAUUGUGUAUAGAAAAUAAAAAUUCAUUAGGGAAGGAAUCAUUGAUGGGUGGUGUAUCAAUAGAAGGCCUUUUGUAAGUCCGGACAGGUGGUCUGUGAUAACAUUUCCACACUUUUCUUGUCCUUGAUUGUGUGGUUGAAUUCUUAGAGUAACAAAAUCCAUCAUAUUAAUCUUGGUUUGGCAUCUUAUUUAGAUAUUUAUUAUCUAACAGUAGUAUAAUCAAAAUAAACAAUAACAGAUUAGACAAUUAAAUACGAUUCAAAUUACACCAAGUAGUUCUUUUUUAGAGGUAUUCACUUGGGUACUAUUCAACGUUUUACUUGUGUAAUAAAUACCAAAGGACUUGCUUUCCUUUCUUUGUCCCAAAACAGCUUCAAUGGUAUAAUUGCCAGCAUCACCCGUUUGCUAAAAAAGUAAAGACCAAUCAGGGGGUUGCAUUAUAGGAGUUGAUGUUAAAAGAUUUAUUAUUUUUUCAAAGACUUUCUGCCUUUUAUUAGGAGAUUACAAUAGUGGUCUAGAUAUAGUACUAAAAUCUUUUAUAAGGCUCCUGUAAAACUUGGCAUGACCCAAAAAAAAAAAAAAAGCAGAGUUCCCUAACUAUCUUUGGUGAGGUUAAAUUUGAGAUGACUUCAACUUGGAUUUAUUAACUUCAAUUCCAUUAGAAGACACUGCAUGGCCCAAGACAAUUCAAUAAAUAGUCAUGAAAUAUUUUUCCAAUUUAAAACAAGUCAUCUUUCUUGCAUCUUUUCAAACGUUUUCCAAAUUAUCAAGACAUUUAUCAAAAGAACUUCCAAAUACAGUUAAAUUAUCCUUAAAAGCCACCAAACAAUUUUCAACCACGUAGCUAAAAAUGUUUAGCGUACAUCUCUGAAAUGUUGUAGGAGCAUCAUAGAGUUCGAAAGGUAUUCUCCUAAAUAUAAAUGUUUCGAAUGGGCAUGUGAAUAUGGUCUUUUCUUGAUCUUUUAAGGCCAUAAAAAUUUGAUAAUAAGCCAAGUGGCCAUCAAGAAAGCGGUAGUAGGGGUGUCCUGUGUUGUGCAAAUUUUAAUGUACUCGCAAGUGCACGAAUCUAUUGUAGUAUAGAUCAAUAAUGACGAGUGUCGAUCCCACGAGGAGGUGGAUUUUAAUUGUGUGUAGAAUUAAUUUUGUAAAUGGGUGAUUGGAUUUGUGGUGGAAAUGAUUUGGAAUAUGCUAAAUCUUAAAUUAAAUUGGUGAGAAUAAAUUCUAAAAUUGGAAUUGAAAUGGCGAGAAUAAAUUGAAGAGAAAUCUAUUGAAGUGACGUACUUGGGUAUGUGGAUCCGUAUCAACAUGCAUCAUGGGCUAAAUAUUCCUUAUUAAUACCAAUUAAAUCAUGAGGGGGGAAUCCACACCUCAUGAACCACACUCUAAUCAAUAUGGUGCUAAGGGCUUAUCGUGCCAAAUAAUAAUAACCUUAUACUAGAGAGCCGGUGUAACCAAGGCGGUAUCUAGACAAGAUUAUUAUUAUUUGUCGACGAGAAGUCAAAACAUCUACAAAAACUAGAGGGGAAGAGAAAAUAAAUUUACCAAAUUAAGCCCAUGACACAUGUUGAGACUUCACCUUCAACCCAAGCUUGAAAGAAAAUUAGCUACUCAUAAUUGAAUUAGGGACAAAAUGGGAAUUUAUUAAAAUACGUAGAAAAUACAAGAUAGAGAAGGAAUUACAGAAAACAGAGUCCAAAAAUGGAUUCAGAGAUAUCAAAUUAGGGGGGAGAGGCCCCUUUUUUAUAGAUACAUGGAGUAAAUCAUGGCCAUCGGAUUAAAAACAGUUUGGAUGCUUAGGAUUGCGCCAUGUCAUUAGUCAAUAGUACGCGGUUUGACCACGCGGAUGAACAGUAACACGGUUUGACCCGGGUUGAACAGUGACGCGGUUUGGUUGAAAAUAAUCCUGUGUGAUGCAUGUACCGUACGCGAGAUUUUUCGUCCACUGAUAUGCUGCACGUCACCAUCUACAGUACAUAAGAAUUUUAGCCCAACAGGAUCGUGACACCUCAUUAGUCAAUGCCACGUCAUCGGUCAAUGCCACGUCAUCAAUCCGUCUAUGUAAACAGUGUCAUGAACAGUAACGUAGACAGUACCGUACAUGUGAAUAGUGCCAUUUUUCCUUUUAUGCUCCUCCUAAGGUUUUCGACCGUCCUGAGUUCAAAAGUGAUGUCUGUUUUACCGUCUGAUCUCUCGUUUAUUGUGAAAUGAUCAUGAUGUCCCUAAAAUACAUAAAAUACUUAAUUAAAAUCAAACACACAUAAUUAAAUUGCAACAAGCUUAAAUACAUAAAAGUAAGGGUUGUUAGUAAAACUUAAAAUGUAAAAUGAUGAUUUUCUCCUUUAUAAAUAUACAUUUUCUAACACUCAACACACCCCCCAACCAGCUUAUUGCUAGUCCCUAGCAAAUAAAGCGAAAACGAAAUUCAAAUCCAAAAUGAUUUUUUUUAAUAGAAACACUCGUGUUUAUUCAAUCAGAUUAAUGAUAGCAAUCAAAUAAAAGUAUAAGUAUUAUCUUCAGUCUAAAGAAACAUCACACCCACAUCAACAAUUCAUAUGAAUCAGCCCAGUAGACUUUGUUAUAGCUACUUUCAAGAAUGACAUGUCAAACCUCAAAAUCUCACUGGAACUAGUGACACUCUCACAAAGAAAUUAAACCCAAUAAAAAUAGUCACUCCAAUGAAUGGUAAUUGAGAGAAAAUAAUAAAGAAGUGAUAUCACAUGCUCUCACCAAGAUGAAAGAAAUAUGCCCUCAGCAUAGAAAUAAUACGAUCUCAAGUCAAACAAAAAUGCUAGUCAACCCAUUUUAUUUAUCUCUUUUUCUUUUAUUAUUAUGCACCACUACAUCUUUUUAGCCCAUAUAACUAGCUUCUUCUUCAAACUAUAGUUCCCUAAAAUCAAGAAGGACUUUUAUUAGGACGUAACGUAGGCUAGGGACAUGGCUAAUAUAGAAGAAAAAUAAGGAAAACAAAGUGUAUGUUUGAGAAAAAUGCAAAUAUAUAUAUAUAUUUUUGAAGUUGCAAGGUGUAUUUCACCUAUUGUUGUUAUUUUUAUUCUUUUGAAACAACAACUUUUGUUUUGUUGUUUUUUUUUUGCUUUUAUUUGGCAUAACUUCACUGAACAAAAUAAUUAUUUAUAUUUUCUCAAACAUAAAUAGGUGAUGGAACUUAUAAGACAUCGGGUAAUACUCUAAAUCAGAGUGGGUCAAGAUGAUAAGUUGACAAAGAAAAUAUUUUUUUUCUUUUUUUUUAAAGGCUCAAAAGGGGUAACUAUGGAUAUCUAAUAAAAGGGAUGGCUAGAAAGGCUCAAACGGAUCAAAGAUGGCCUUUCCAUCGUCUUUUAGGGCUCUAAAUAAUUAUCCAUAUCUACUAGUUAGAUGGGCCUCCCAAUGUAGCAACACACAUUUUUUUCUUUUUCUUUUUUUUUUAAUUUUACAAUUUUUGUUUUUUAAGGGUUAACUCAAAAGAAAUUUAGAGGUCGUAUAUAAAAUAAUAAACUGCUAAGCUGUAUAAAGAAUAGGCAAAAGGGUUACUCUCCAAGAAAAAUGAUAGGCUCAAAAACUCACUUGACACUUAUUUAUGACAUGUUCAUUCCUUCAAGCAACUCAUAUUUGUCUCCGACAUCAACAUGUAAAGUAGCAAACAUAGCGUAAUAUCACUUAAGACCAAAGAUAACACAAAUACUAAAAUUUGAAAUUAAUCAUGUCAUCAAAUGUUAAAACAAAUAACAUAAUUUUUUUUAAACAACAUUCUACCCCCCAACCUAUUCUAAACAUGAAAGGAAAAUACACAUGUAGAAAUGUGAAAAUGAUGUAGAAAAAUUAAUUAGAAAAAAAUGUUUUUUUUUAACUAAGAAGAUGCGUUUCUAGAGGCACUACAUUCCAUAUUCAGCUAUCUUCGACUCAAAUAUUUGAAUAUAUUUAUAAAUGAGAAAUUAAAAAGAAGAAGAAAAAUGAACAUCAAAACUUAAUAAAGAAAAAGAAAAUGUCUAAUUUUUUUUUUGAAUUUUUUUUGUUUUUUUUUCAAACGAUGAAGAUGCGUUUCUAAAGUAACUACACUCCAUAUUUAGCCAUCUUCAACAUAAAAAGUUAGCAACAGUUAGUUUCUACAACAAAAAAUCAGUAAAAACUUAACCAAAAUUCCAUAAUUGUCGAUUAUUCCCUCCCCCCAACCAGAACGAAACAUUGUCCUUAAUAAUUGAAAGGAAAGAAAUAGAGUUUAGAAGACAUCACCUGGGUGGUGUAACACAGAAGAAAAUAUUUACAAGCGGAGAGUUAAAUCUAAUUUGUACUUCUUACUUCGGCUACUGUUACCGUCAUUAUUUGGAUGCUAAUUAGCAGUGUGAGCACAAAUAAAAAGCUUUUUGGCAUUGGAAGGAACGAAAUAGUUUUUUAUUGCAUGGUUAAGAAAUGCGAUAAAGCCAUCAUAAAAAUUAUUGACAUUUAACAAACCGAUGAGUUUUUGGUGAAUGUGCAGAUAGACCCAAGAUGCUAGUGUGAUAAUUGCCUCUAGUGUUGUAAGAUCUCCUGGAAGGAAAAUAAAAGCAUCAGCAUGAUUAAGCAUUUUAGUUAUUCUUUCUUGCAUACCUAAGACUACUAACUCUUUUCCAGUUGAUGAGUCAAACGAACUGCCCAAUGGUUUUAGGACUCUUGGGAUGAUGCCUAACACUUGACUUCCUCUGACAAAAGCUGCUUCAGAGACCAUUUUUGAUAACCCUCGGUUACCUCCUCCAUACACCAAGUGUAAUUUUCUCUCUGCUAUACUUCGACCAAGAUCGAUGGCUGUCUCAACGAACUCUUUAUGUUUGCCAUAGGUAAAUCCAGAAAGCACACAAAUGUUCUUGAAUUGUCUAUUUGGAGUAGCUGCCAUUGGGAUACUUCUCAAAAAAAUAAUUUGUGAGUGCUUGACAAAAAAAAAUCACAUUUAAGAGUCUUGGUGACAGUGGGUCACAAUUGUGUAUGAGGUAACAUGUCAGUGUCAAAUAACGCGUAAAGCACGUGGCUCGCAAGUUAAAAAGGAAAUAGUAAAAAGAAAAAAGCAAACAGUAAUAAGGAAAAAGCAAACAAUAAUAAAAUUAUUAAAGACAAUAAUGCACACAAUAAAACAAUAGUGAAAUAAAAUAACAGUGAGGUGAAAGAAUAUUUACAAGUAGUUGCGAUUGUGGCUCACAUCUUCCUCUGGUUUUACGUUCAGAAACGGCUUGAACGCCUUCUAUGGGUCGAGGAUAGGCUUCCUAUCCAUUUUUCUUAUAAACUGGUAAACAGAGUUGUUUAUAGUCAGAUUCCCGAGACUAUAUCGUGCAUGCUCUUUCUGGAAUAAUGGCCAUAACUGGAGAAUCGCUCCUUGCACAUAUCCACUGGGAUGCGUUUCAAGAGACAAAAGGAUAUCAUCCAAUGACUCCUUAUUCAAGCCAUCCAUAAUGAAUUGAAUCUUAUCUUCCCUGUUAUCAGACACCAUUCCUAAAGAACAUGGGUUUUUAUUGCAACUCAUUCUGGCACACUUAUGACAAGCAAUAGAAAUUCUUCGAGCUCGUCGUUUUCUUGCAUAAUUUCCUUUACCACAACCAGGCAUGUAUGCAAUAAAUUUUGGAGGUAACUCACCUGCCGAUCGUACUUCAGCCUCGAUUAACCAACGGAUGUCAGCAGAUAUGUUAUUCCUCAUGAGUAAUCGCAUGCGUUCGGACCGAGCUUUAUAGAUCGUAAGGAGGGCAUUUUGAGGAAGUGAAGGGAAUCGCUUAUGAAGCUUCGCUAUAGUCUCGUUUCUGUCCAUACCUUCGCUUCAGAAUAUCAGUUAUUAUGGAAAACUGAGGUAAUCGACUUCAUUGUCACGGAGUACCAUUAUCUGCCACUUCACCGUGAUAACAAACUAAAGCACACAAACAGAAAAAUAAAUUAAAACACACAAAGAAAAUUAAAAUUGUCAUCUUAUUGAAUUUACCUCAAGCUCCAACUGGAUGUCGUAAACACUUCUCUCAAUGUCUCUGAGUUGGCUUUCUAAACCCUCAACAUAGGCUACUAACUCUGGUGGUUGUAGAGCCCAAAUACGAUGUGUUUUACAAAAUUGAAUCUGCCUUAUGAGAUGAGUUUUGACAUGUUGAAGUGGUUUAAGAAUGUUCAGGAGGAACGGUCUAAGUAUGGUACUCAUGAUUAAAAAUGAUAAGAGAAAGCUUAAUAGUUAAACAAACACACUUAUGCAAAAAUAAUUUCAAUUAACAAAAUAAUAUAAAGAAAGAAAAAGAAAAGAAAAGAAAAAAAAUUAUCAAAUCACCGAAAAGAAAAGAAGAAAAAAAAAUCAAUUCAAAUCUGGUGGGUCACUCAAAUUUAUUUCGGUGUCUUCUUCAUGUGGUUGGUACUCUAGAUAUGGCUUUAAUCUUUGACCAUUAACUUUAAAUGUGACACCGUUCUUUGGGUCCUUAAUUUCAAUUGCCCCAUGUGGAAAAACAGUAUGUACAAUAAAUGGGCCAGACCAACGAGAGCGUAACUUACCUGGGAAUAGGUGCAAGCGAGAAUUGAAUAAAAGCACUUUCUGACCUGGAGUGAAAGAUUUUCUCAUAAUUUGCUUGUCAUGGAAGACUUUCAUUCGUUGCUUGUAAAUCUUGGCAUUUUCGUAUGCGUCAUUGUGAAUUUCUUCAAGUUCUGCCAGUUGUAAUCUUCUUUUUGAGCAGGCUUACUGCAUGUCAAAGUUGAAUUUCUUGAUGGUCCAAUAUGCACGAUGCUCGAGUUUCACAGGUAGGUGGCAAGCUUUUGCAUACACUAACCUGUAGGGUGACAUCCCAAUCGGGGUCUUGAAAGCCGUUCUAUAUGCCCAUAAUGCAUCAUCAAGUGUUAAUGACCAAUCUUUUCUGUCUGGCCUCAUCGUCUUUUUUAAUAUGUGCUUUAUUUAUCGAUUGGAGAUCACAACUUGGCCACUGGUUUGCAGAUGAUAUGAGGUCGUCACUUUAUGAGUGAUUGAAUACUUUGUCAAAAGAGCUUUGAAUGCUUUGUUACAAAAGUGGGCACCACCAUCACUGAUUAUUGCUCGAGGGAAUCCAAAGCGUGAGACAAUAUUGCUUUUCAAAAAUCCUAUCACCACCUUGUGAUCAUUGGUUCUGCAUAGAAUUGCUUCUACCCAUUUCGAUACAUAGUCAAUAGCAACCAAUAUAUAUUGAUGGCCAAAAGAAGGGGGAAAGAGUCCUAUGAAGUCGAUACCCCAUACAUAAAAAAUCUCAACCACUAAAAUUGGAUUUAGUGGCAUCAUGUUCCUUCGUGUAAUGCUCCCCAUUCGUUGACACCUAUCACAUGAAGAACAAAAAGUGUAACCAUCUCAAAAUAUAGUUGGCCAAUAAAAACCACAUUGUAAAACUUUAGUUGCUGUUUUCUUAGCACUGAAAUGACCUCCACAAGCUUAUUCAUGGUAGAAUGAAAGAAUAUUCUGAAUUUCAUUUUCUGGGACACAUCGUCUAACAAUUUGAUCAGCACAAUACUUGGACAAAUACGGGUCAUCCCAAAAGAAAUUCUUUAUCUCUGCAAAGAAUUUAGCCUUAUCUUGCUUAGUCCAAUGCUCUGGAAGUUUACUUGUAACAAGAUAAUUAACUAUAUCAGCAUACUAAGGUAAUACUUCCACACUCAUUAAUUGUUCAUCUGGAAAUGACUCAUUCAAUAUUAAUGGCUCUGUAAUUGUGUCAAAAUGGAGACGAGAGAUGUGGUCUGCCACAACAUUUUCUGUCAUUUUCUUAUCUUUGAAUUCAAAGUCAAAUUCCGGCAAAAGUAACACCCAACGAAUUAGUCUAGCUUUUGCAUCUUUCUUUGUGAGAAGAUAUUUAAGAGCAACAUGAUCUGUGAAUAUAAUUAUUUUACAACCAAUGAGAUAAGAGCGAAAUUUCUCUAAUGCAAACACUACUGCUAGCAUUUCUUUUUCAGUAGUUGAAUAGUUCAACUGUGCAUCAUUCAAUGUCAUACUGGCAUAGUAAAUAACGUGGGGAAUUCGAUCAACUCUUUGUCCUAAUACUGCUCCUACUGCAUAAUCAGAUGCAUCACACAUGAGCUCAAAUGGUAAGCUCCAGUUUGGGGGCUGAAUGAUGGGUGAUGAUGUCAACAACUGCUUUAGUUUUUCAAAUGCCACAAGACAUAAAUCAUCAACGAUAAAAGGUACAUCCUUAGCAAGUAAAUUGCAUAAGGGUCAAGAAACUUUGCUAAAAUCUUUAAUGAAACGUCUAUAGAAACCAGCAUGCCGAAGGAAAGAUCUUACUUUUUUGACUGUUUUGGGUGGAGGAAGAUUAGAAAUGAGAUCCACCUUGGCUUUGUCAACCUCAAUACCUUUGCUCGAAAUGAUAUGACCGAGAACAAUACCUUGUUUUACCAUAAAAUGGCAUUUCUCCCAAUUUAAAACCAAAUUCUUCUCGAUACAUCUCUGCAGAACUAGUGUUAGAUGAUGUAAACAUUGAUCAAACGAAUCACCAAAGACAGAAAAGUCAUCUAUAAAGACUUCAAGGAAUCGUUCAACUAUAUCAGAAAAAAUGCUUAACAUGCAUCGUUGAAAUGUAGCAGGUGCAUUACAUAAUCCAAAUGGCAUUCUCCUAUAUGUAAAUGUGCCAAAAGGGCAAGUGAAAGUGGUCUUCUCUUGAUCUUUUGGUGCUAUGGGGAUCUGAUUGAAUCCUGAGUAGCCAUCUAGAAAUCAAUAAAAUUCAUGGCUUGCUAAUCUAUCAAGCAUUUGAUCAAUAAAUGGUAAAGGAAAAUGGUCUUUACGUGUGACAGAAUUCAACCUUUUAUAAUCAAUGCAUACACACCAUCCUGUAGUCACUCUAGUGGGUAUCAAUUCAUUAUUUGCAUUCGUAACUACUGUGACUCCUGACUUUUUGGGGACAACUUGUACAAGACUGACCCAUGAACUAUCAGAAAUUGGGUAAAUGAUACAUGCGUCUAAUAGCUUAAGGACUUCUGUUCUAAUAACUUCUUUCAUAUUAGGAUUUAACCGACGUUGCAUUUCCCUAGUAGAUUUAGCAUUUUCAUCAAGGUGAAUGUAAUGCAUACAAUCUACUGGCUUUAUACCUUUAAUGUCUACUAUGGUCCAUCCUAAUGCUCCUUUGUGCUCUUUUAAAACAUCCAACAACUUACCUUUUUGUUCGUCAUUUAGGGAUGAUGAGAUGAUUACCGGUAAAGUGCUUUCUUCUCCCAAAAAUGCAUAUUCCAAUGUGUUGGGCAAUGGUUUGAGCUCGAGUUUUGGUGGUGAAUCUGAUGAUGGGAUGAGUUUCUUCUCUGAUGGUGCUACUUGUUUAACUCUUGACUUCCAUUUAUUAGUAUUAGUGUCCAUGGAUGGUGCUGAGUCAAGUAGGGCGUUGACCUCAUCGACUGAUCUGUCAAUAUCAAAAUCCAAACUAAAGUGAGUUAAACAUGUUUGUAAAGAAUCAUCACUAAGGUUUGAAAGAAAAGUAUUAUCAACUAUUGUUUCUAUUAAAUCCACAUCAACAAUUCCAUCAUCUGCACUGUGAGGUUAUUUGACAAUGUUGAAAAUGCUUAGCUCCAUAGUCAUGUUGCCGAAGGACAACUGCAUAUUUUUAGUCCUGCAUUGAAUGUGAGCAUCCGCAGUUGCCAAGAAAGGUCGGCCUAGAAUAAUGGGGAUGUGCUUCCUUGAAUCCUGGAUUGGUUGAGUAUCAAUUACAAUGAAAUCAACAGGAAAAUAAAACUUGUCUACCUGGAUAAGCACGUCCUCCACAAUACCACGAGAUAUUUUCGUGGACCGAUCUGCAAGCUGUAACACCACUGGAGUUGGGUGUAAUUCUCCCAGUCCAAGUUUCACAAAUACUGAAUAAGGCAACAAGUUUCCACUAGCUCCUAAAUUCAACAAAGCAUUCUCAAUUGUGUGGUUCCCUAUGCUACAUGAGAUAGUGGGGGAGCUUGGGUCUUUGCAUUUUAAAGAAAUUUUAUGUUGGAGUAUAGAACUAACGUUUUCUGUUAAAAAUGCAUUCUUUUGAACAUGCAUAUUUCUCUUUUUAGUACAAAGGUCCUUAAGAAACUUGGCAUAAGAUGAAACUUGUUUAAUAGCAUCAAGUAAAGGGAUGUUAACACUUACUUGUUUGAAGAUUUCAAGAAUCUCACCUGUGGAUUUUCCCUUCUUGCCUUUAGCUAAUCUCUGUGGGAAUGGAGCUUUGGGAACAUAUUCUCGUGGGUUGGUUUCUUCUCUCUCCUCCGGUGGUGAGUCCUCAACAUUCACAGGUACAAUUUGAUUUUCUUUUAUCACCGGUAUCUCUACUUUGUUGUCGACUUCUUUUCCUUUUCGCAAGGUCAUGACUGCUUUGACCUCUUCAUGCUGCUGUGGUGAACUGGUACUUGCUUCAUGUACUCCUUUAGGAUUAGGCACUGGUUGAUUUGGAAAUUUGCCUUUCUCAACAGUCAUUGCCAAGGUCUGAACUGAAGAAGCAAGUUGUCCCACCAUCUUCUCGAGGCUUGAAACUGAUUGAGCUUGUGAGUUGAAGCCUGCUCUCAACUCAUUUCGUAGUCCAUCAAUGGUGCGAUUCUGUUGCUCAAUUGUGGAGUGAGUAAGAUUCUUGAAAUUCUGGAACGAAUCCUCCCAUGGUCUGGGUUGAGAGCAGUUCUGGUUCUGAUUGAAUGGUCUAAAUGGGGGCUGAGAGGCUUGAGGAUUUUGUGGAAUUGGUGGAGCUGGAGCUGUUGGUCCAUUCUGUUGAAUUCCUUGAGACCAUGAAAAAUUGGGGUGGUCUCUCCAUCCAGGAUUAUAUGCGUUGGAGUAUGGGUUGUAAUUUGACGGUUUUCUCAUUACACCUAUGGCAUUGGCUUGAUCUGGAUAUGAGUUCGGGUCAUGUGGUUCUGUUGAUUUAGCAGUUGAUAACGAUGCUAUUUGUCAAGCGAGACCUUCAACCAUCUCCUUGACUUCUUUGAUUCCCGAAGUUGACUCGCCAAUGUGAACCUCAUUUACUCCCUUAAUUCUUCUAGUAUUCCUAAGUGAUCGACUCCGUUGUUGGGAAUUAUCCGCUUGUCGCUAGAAGAAUUCCCAAAUCUCUGAUGCAUUUUUUGAAAUUAGCUCUCCUCCACUUGUUGCGAUUAGCCAUUCUUGCACAUUCGGCAAUAAUCCCUCCAAAAAGUAUUGGCAUUGGUGCCAUUUCUCGUACCCAUGAUGUGGACACUUCAAGAGUAGCCCAUUGAAUCGCUCCCAGUUUCGAAAAACUACUCGUCUUCUCUCUGGGUAAACUCUGAAAUUUCCCUGCGAAUAGCAUUGGUUUUAUGCACUGGGAAAUGUUUAUUCAAAAAUUUAGUUACCAUUUGUUCCCAUGAUGUAAUGCUAUUAGUAGGCAAAGUAUUUAACCAUGAACGAGCUCUAUCCUUUAAAGAAAAUGGGAAUAAUCUGAGUUUAACAUCAUAGUCUGAAAAAUUCUCAUAUUUAAAUGUUUGACAAAUGGCAUGAAAAUCAUUCAGAUGAUUAUAUGGGUCCUCAUUUUCUAAGCCAUAAAAUGUGGGGAGACAAUUUAGCACACUAGGUUUUAAUUCAAAACUCCUAGCAGCUACAUUUGGGUAUCUUAUACAUGAUGUGCUCAAAUUAGCUAAAGGACUACUUUAGUCCUUAAAUGGCCUCUCCUGUGGCUGCAAAUCCAUUUUGUUUUUAACUUGUUUGUGUGUGCGAAGUGUUUUCUCAAGUUCAAGGUCUAUAGGUUCAAGAUUAGGUAAUAAUGACCUAUGACCAUGCAUGCAAAACAAAUAAAAUAAAAAUAAAAAUGGGAACAAAACAAAUAAAAAUAAAGAAGAGGGAGAAAUUAUGAUACUAACCUUAUUGCCCUAUUACAACCUUUCUAUAAAAAUACACAAAAAUAAAUACGUGAAAUAAAUUAACUAAAAAUUAAAUUAAUAAAAUAAACAAAAAUUACAAAGAAAAAUAAAUUGAAAAAUAAAUUACAGAAUUUUUAAGCAGAGAAAAAGAAAAGAAAUACUAACUUUUAAAUGUAGAUUCACUUUUUUUUCUUUUUUUUUUUCAAAAAAAUACAAGAAAACAAUUUAAAUGGAAUUAUUCACAAAAAUUAAUUCUAUGAAUUAAAAUUACUUACCUCCCCGGCAGCAGCGCCAAAAACUUGUUGUGCAAAUUUUAAUGUACUUGUAAGUGCACGAAUCUAUUGUAGUAUAGAUCAAUAAUGAUGAGUGUCGAUCCCACGAGGAGAUGGAUUUUAAUUGUGUGUAGAAUUAAUUUUGUAAAUGGGUGAUUGGAUUUGUGGUGGAAAUGAUUUAGAAUAUGCUAAAUCUUAAAUUAAAUUGGCGAGAAUAAAUUCUAAAAUUGGAAUUGAAAUAGCGAGAAUAAAUUGAAGAGAAAUCUAUUGAAGUGACGUACUUGGGUAUGUGGAUCCGUAUCAACAUGCAUCAUGGGCUAAAUAUUCCUUAUUAAUACCAAUUAAAUCAUGAGGGGGGAAUCCACACCUCAUGAACCACACUCUAAUCAAUAUGGUGCUAAGGGCUUAUCGUGCCAAAUAAUAAUAACCUUAUACUAGAGAGCCGGUGUAACCAAUGCGGUAUCUAGACAAGAUUAUUAUUAUUUGUCGACGAGAAGUCAAAACAUCCACAAAAACUAGAGGGGAAGAGAAAAUAAAUUUACCAAAUUAAGCCCAUGACACAUAUUGAGACUUCACCUUCAACCCAAGCUUGAAAGAAAAUUAGCCACUCAUAAUUAAACUAGGGGCAAAAUGGAAAUUUAUUAAAAUACGAAGAAAAUACAAGAUGGAGAAAGAAUUACAGAAAAUGGAUCCCAAAAAUGGAUUCAGAGAUAUCAAAUUAGGGGGGGGAGGCCCCCUUUUUAUAGAUACAUGGAGUAAAUCAUGGCCAUCGGAUUAAAAACAGUUUAGACGCUUAGGAUUGCGCCACGUCAUCAGUCAACAGUACGCGGUUUGACCACAUGGAUGAACAGUAACACGGUUUGACCCGGGUUGAACAGUGACGCAGUUUGGUUGAAAAUAAUCCAGUGUGAUGCAUGUACUGUACGCGAGAUUUUUCGUCCACUGAUAUGCUGCCACGUCACCAUCAACAGUAUAUAAGAAUUUUAGCCCAACGGAUCGUGACACCUCAUCAGUCAAUGCCACAUCAUCGGUCAAUGCCACAUCCUCGAUCCGUCUAUAUGAAUAGUGUCAUGAACAGUAACAUAGACAAUACCGUACACGUGAAUAGUACCAUACAUGUGAAUAGUGCCAUUUUUCCUUUUAUGCUCCUCCUAAGGUUUUCGAUCGUCCUGACUUCAAAAGUGAUGUCCGUUUUGCCGUCUGAUCUCUCGUUUAUUGUGAAAUGAUCAUGAUGUCCCUAAAAUACAUAAAAUACUUAAUUAAAAUCAAACACACAUAAUUAAAUUGCAAGAAGCUUAAAUAUAUAAAAGUAAGGGUUGUUAGUAAAACUUGAAAUGUAAAAUGAUGAUUUUCUCCUUUAUAAAUAUACAUUUUCUAACACUCAACAUCCUGCUACUCUCUCAAGAAUUUAGUUUAAAAAUGAAAGGGGAAAAUGGUCUUUUCUAGUGGCAUCCUUUAAUUUUCUAUAGUCAAUGCACAUGCGCUAACUCGAUAGGAUUCAUGUUGGAAUUUGUUCAUCUUUUUCAUUUUUCACAACAUUUAUUUUAGAUUUCUUUGGUACUACAGUUGUUAGAUUUACCCAUUUACUAUCAGAGGUAGGAUAGAUAAUUCCUACAUCUAGUACAUUUGUUAGACUUACCCAUUAACUAGAUAGGAUUCGCGUUGGAAUUUGUUCAUCUUUUUCAUUUUUCACAACAUUUAUUUUAGAUUUCUUUGGUACUACAUUUGUUAGACUUACCCAUUUACUAUCAGAGGUAUGAUAGAUAAUUCCUACAUCUAGUAGUUUAAGGACCUCAUGUUUUACCACUUCUUCCAUAUGAGUUUAGUUUUCUUUGUGGUUGACAGGUUGUUUUGACAUUUUCUUCUAAAUGUAUUCGGAUUGUGCAAAUUAAAUGAUUAAUGCUUGUUGUACGAAUUUUAUUGUACUCGCAUACACAACAAAUCUAUUGUAGUAUAGAGUAAUGGUGAUGAAUGUUGAUUCUAUGAAGAAACAGAUUUAAUCAUAUAUAGGAUUAACUUUUCAUGUUUGUAUGCGAGUUGAUUUAUUUAUCUUAAGAUUUAAAAUAAAAUGGCAGAAAUGAUUUGAAGAUGAAAUAAUGCAAAUAAAGCACUUAAGUCUCUAGAUUCACACUCAACAAUUCAUCAUGGGCUUAAUAUUCCUUUUUAGUUCUAAACAAUUUAGGGGGGGGGGAGAUUUACACUCCUCAUAGUCCUCAUUCUGGUAAACAUGGUAUCAAGCACUUAUUGUGUCAGGGGAAAUAAUUUUCUGUUAAAUGUGGUAUCAAGUAUACAUUGUGCUAGGUGAUAAUAAUCGUACUGUUAACAAAAUGUAAUGACUAUCCACUAAAUAACUUAUUAAGCCCAUGGAUCAUGUUGAAACUUCACCUUCAACCUAAGCUUCAAACUAAAUUAGCCAAACAUUUUGAACUAAGGGUAAAAUGAUAAUUUUAUAAAAAUACGUAGAAAAAUGUAAGAUACAACAUGAUUUAGACAAAAUGGAGCUACAAUUUGGAUUUAGAGUUGUUGAAUUAAGGGGGAUCCUCCUAUUUAUUAAUACAACAGGUAAAUCAUUGCCAUAGGAUGAAAAUAAUUUAGACGCUGAGGAUUGCACUACGUGGCAAGCUCUGAAUUGGAUAGAUCACAUCGUCAAGGCUAUCAUUCCGUGUAUGCGUAUGUAUUGUACACACAUUUUGGGGUCCACUAAUUUGCUGCCACGUCAGUAGCAAAACAAAGGUCAAUUUUUUGGUCCAAUAAUGUGCUAUCACGUCAUCAGUCAGUGUCGCAUCAUCUUGGUCAAUACCACAUCCGCAUUUUUCAGUCCACUAAGAUGUUGCCACAUCAUUAGUCAAUGUUGUCAUGUCAUUAACAAAUGCCAUAUCAUUAGUCAAUGCCACGUCAACUAAGCCCCAUUAAAAUUCUAAAAUUAUCGUUUUUGUUCUUUAUGUCAUUCCUAAGGUUUUUUUUAACUAUUUUGAGCUAAAAAAUAUUAUCUGUUUUGCUGUCUAACUUCUCGUUAAUUAUGGAAUAACUAAAAUACCCUUGAAAUAUAUAAAAUACUUAAAUUAUUACAAAACACAUAAAAUCAAAAUUUUGAAGGACUUAAAUACAUCAAAGUAAAAAUAUUAAUGAGAUUUAGAAUACAAAAUUAUGAUUUUACCCUUUAUAAAUAUACAUUCUCCAGCACUUAACUCACCCCCAACCAGCUUAUUGUUAGUCCUUAGCAAAUUAAGCUAUAAUAUCUAGCAAAACCAAAAUUGAAAUCUUUUUUUUGGGCAAUUGUGUUUAUUUCUUUAAUCAAAUUAAUAAUAAAAAUCAAAUAAAAGUAUAAAUACUAUCUCCCGCUUUGAAAAGACAAAUUAAUCAUGUAAACUUAAGCAAAUGAUUGAUUAUCAAAUCUACAUUAAUCAAGCCGCUUUUAAGAAUGACAUGUCAACCCCCAAAAUCUCACGGGUAUGAAUGAUACUCUCAAAAGAAAAUAAACCCAAUAAAAACAAUCACUUCAAGGAAGGUAGAUUGAGAGAAAAUAAUAGAAAAACAAUAUCACACACUUUCACCAAGAUCAAAGAAUAAUGUCCGUAGCUUAGAAAAGAAUAUGAUCUUAAGUCAAACAAAUUAAUAGUCAAACCAAUAUUAUUUGUAUUUUUUUCAUGUAUCACCACGUCUUUUAGUCCAUAUUACCAACUUCUACUUUAGACUAUUGUUUCCUAAAAUCAAGGACUUUCAUAGGAUGUGAUAACUGCAUAGUUUCUCCAUAUUUUACUAUUAAUUUCUCCAAUUUUUUCUUGUUUUGGUCUUAAAUACUCUAUUAGUUAAUUUUUAAUUUAGUUAUUUUAUUAAAUUAUAUUUUAUAAUUUUAAUUUUUGUCUUAAUUUUAUAUUUUAUUAUUGUAGAUUUUAUUCUUAAUUUAUAGUUGUUAGUUUAUAUUAUUUUAUUUGAUAGGGAAUUAGUUGGAGAUUAUGGAAAAAAAGGCAUAAAAAAUUUAAUUUGGGAAGCAAUCAAGAUUAAAUUGGAAACCAACUAAAAGACAAGGGGAAAUAAAGUCAAGAAGCCGUGGCAAGCUAGCAUUCGGCGGACAUGCAUUAGCAAAUUAAGAAUUGGAAUUGGCAAUUGUAAAUGCAUGGCUUUAUAUGAUAUGGAAAGCAAAUUGAAGAAAAAGGAAAUUUCCAUAUUUAAUCAAGCGUGCACAUUAGGAAAAAUGGUAAUUAAAUGGCUUUGAUUUGAAAUCAAAGUGGACGGCAUGUGGAAGGCAUUAGUUUCCUUGUUGAUCAUGGAUUUGGAGAAGGCAAAGUAUGGGUGUCAAAAAAGUCUGCCUGGACCGAAUCUGGCCUGGGCAAAAUCCGGACCGCAUACCCUAAAAAAAGGGACCCGGGUUUGAAAUUCUCGAACCUGGACAUUUCCAGGUCCGGCUCAACACCAAAAACCCGGAACCCGGACCCGGUUUCUUAAUAAAUUAAAAAAAGAAAAUAUAAAUAUAUUAUAUAUAAAUAUAUAAUUAUGAACUUAUGAUAUGUUGGAUGUUAUUUAGAUUUAUUGUGUUGUUGAAUUUAAUUUUUUUUUCUAUAGAUUGAAUGAGUUUAGGUUAGAAAUUGGAUGAAUUUAGGUAUUAGAAAAUAGAUUGAAACAAUUUUUAUUUAUUAUUUGUAUAAAAUUUGCAUUGUUAGUAUGUUAUAUAUUUGUAUUUGACUAUUUUCUUUCUUAAAGCUUGAGAUUGAAUGAGUUUAUUUGACUAUUUUCUUUUUUAAGAUUUGCAUUGUUAGAGAAAUGAAAGAAAAAAUUGAAGACAUGCAGGCUUAGAAGCCCGGAAUCGGGAGCUACCAGGCUUGUGCCCGGACCGCACGUGUAAAAGCCGAGCUUAACCCAGGGCCGAGUUGCCAUUUCACUCACUUGGUCCGGUCCCAGGCAGCACCAAACCCGGAUCGGACCCGGGGUUUUGCCAAGCCUAAGGUAAAGGGUGUGAAAUAAGUAGACCACCAAGAACUAUACAAGCCAACCUUUGGCUUUAUGAAGAAAUAUACAAUCGGCAGCCAAGAGGGAUUGAAGAGAGAGUAGCCGCAAGAAGAAGAAGAAAAGGGGAGAAGUCGAAAGGAAUUAAAUUGGUGCAGAGUCAGCCCUUUGAAUUAAUCUCCAUGAUUGGUUUUAUCAACUCUUUUAUUUCUAGUUCAAUUAUGUUAGGUUAGAUUUUCUAUUUGGCUGAGGGUGAAUUCAAAACCCCAAACAUGUCAUAUGAUUAACGUUCAAUUUCUAUCAUUCAAUUUAUUUAAUUGAGAUUGUUUAUGUUUUUAUAUAAUUAAUGUCUAUGAUUUUAUUCUUGUCUUAUUUGAGUGGCCAAUUAGAUAGGACUUGAAUAAAUUCUAUUACUAGGUUAAAUUCUUGAUCCGUAAUUGUUUUGAUAUUUUAAGGGAAAUUAUCAUUCGUAUACCCUUAGUUUACUCCGUUAUAAAAAAUACUACAACACUUUGAGUGUGUAUCAAUCGUACACCUUAAGUUGACAAAAUGUAUUUGCCGUCCACUAAAUCAUUACUUGUCAUUUAAAUAUGAUGACGUCAGAGGGGUAAUAUAGUCUUCUCAUAUGAUACAAGUGAAAAUUUAAGGGUAUACAAGUGAUAAUAAGAGAAUUUAAGGGUAUACAAGUGAUAAUAAGAGAUUUUAAGGGUAUAUAAGUGAUAAUUUUUCUUUACUUUAAUUGAAGUUUCAAGGGUAAAAUCGUCAAUUUGCUAUAAUUCCGUUAACUUUCAAACGACAGCUAACAGUUUAGUGGUCGACAAAUAGCUUUUGUCAAUUUAGAGUGGACAAUUGAUACACCCUCAAAGUAUUGUAGUAUUUUUUAUAACAUUGUAAAUAUAGGGUAUACAAAUGAUAAUUUCCCAUAUUUUAAUCAUCCGUAGCAGGUUGGAAUCAGUGAUUUCAAUUGGAGAACAUAACCUAAGUUAAAUAAUCUAAGUUUGUGUGUUUAUUGCCUAGAUUAACCUAAUGUCUUUCUCUACUUCCAUUAUCUUAAAUUUACAGAGCUCGUUUCAAUUUAUUUAAUGGUUAGAGAUUAUGUGAAAAGUUUAUUUUACCUAAUGACACAUUAAGGAAAGAUUGAGACUAACAAAACUUAUUGUUGUCUACGGUUGAUAGUUUCAAUAGAAAUUGAUGAUAGGAUUGAUAUAUUAUAUGCAUGUUUGGUGGUGGCGGCGAAUGAUCCUUUGACCAAAAUUUUCAUCAUUAUUAUUUCUUUCUCCUUAAUUAGAGUUUUUAUUAAAUUAUUGUUUUUGUAGUUUUAAUUUCUUUAUUUCCUGCUAUUUAGUUAAAAAUCAUAAACCCCCCUUUUUAUUUAUAAUUGGCAUUUUCUUUAGUUAGAUUAAUUUAUAUUCUUCUUCUUCUUACUACUACUACUACUAUUAUUAUUUUAUUUUAAGUCUUGCUUUAGAGUUGAUAAUAAAUAUAACUAGCAUAGUCUUCAUGGGAUCAAUCCUUACUUGCUAUGUACUGGUUGUUUAUAUUAUUAGUAAGGUUUUAAAUUUAGUGCACCAUAACAACACUACUAGGAUGUAAUGUAGGCUAGGAAAAUGGUUAACAAAGAAGGGAUAAUAGGAAGAACAAAAUAUAUGUUUGAGAAAAAAUAUAAAUCUUUUGGAAAUUGCAAGAUACUUUUAUUUCUUUCUUUCCUUCUUUAUUUCUUUCUUCAUUUUUUCUUUUUUUCCUUUUUCUUCUUUUUUCUCUUUUUUUAAUUAUUAAAUCGAAAAAGAAAAAUCUUUCAUAUUUUUCUCAAACAUAAACAGGUGAUAGAAAAUAUAAAAUGUAGGAUAAUACUCCAAAUUAGAGUGGGAUAAGAUGAUAAGUUAAUGAAGAAUUUUUUUUUUAAAUCGGCUUAGAAGGGGUAAUUAUGGAUACUUUAUAAUAUGGGUUGUUGGAAAAUGCUCAAACGGAUAAAAAAUGACAUUUCUAUAAGUUUUUAGGGCAUUAAAUAGUCUUUCAUGUCUAUUGCUUCAAUAGACUUUCAGGUGUAGCAACAUACAAUUUUUUUUUAUUGGUCAACUCAACGGAAAAAGAUACAGGCCAUGAAUAGAAUAGUAAACUGCUAAGCUACGAAAAAGGGUUGCUCUCCAAAAAAAAUUAUACGCUAAAAAAUUCAAUUGAAACUUAUUAUGACACGUACAUUCUUUCAAAUAACUCAAUCAAUUUUACUUAUCAAAUUUCUCAAUUCGCACUUGUCACCAACAUCAAUAUGCAAAUUGGCAAACAUGGUGCAACAUAACUCAAAGCCAAAGAUAAAACAAAUAUUAAAAUUUAGAAGUCAUCAUGUCAUCUAAUGUCAAAAGAUCACACAAAAUGCCUCAAUUUUUUUAUUUGUUUAAAAUCUCUAAAACUAAGAAGAUGCAUUUUUAGAGUAAAUAAACUCCAUAUUCGGCUAUCUUCAACUCAAAAGUUUUAGAAAGGUUAGUAAAAACACAACUGUUAAUUAUUACAAAACUAUCAACUAUUGCCUCCUCUAACCAGAAUGAGACAUUGUCUUUAAUGUCUGAAAGGAAAGAAGUAGAGUUUAGAAGACAUUACCUGAAUGUUAUAACACAAGAAAAUAUUUACGAAUGGAGGAUUAAAUCUAAUUUGUGGUUUUUACUACUACUGAUACCAUUAUCAGUCAACUAAAUGCAAGAAUCUUAGGAUCUGGAUCUGGUCUGUAAGCUUGUAAAAGAUUAAAUACCUCGUUAGCAGUAGGAGCACAAAAUAAAGAGUUUAUUCACUGUGAAUGGAAUGAAAUAAUUCUUUAUUACAUGGUUAAGAAAUGCUAGCAAGCCAUCAUAAAAGUUAUUAACAUUUAAUAAACCGAUGGGUAUUUUAUGAAUGUUCAAAUAGGUUCAAGAUGCAAAUGUAAUCAGCGUCUUUAGAGUUGCAAGAUCUCCUGGCAAGAAAAUGAAGACGUUAGAACGAAUUAACACUUCGAUUAUUCUUUUUUGCAUAUUUCAAACGACUGGCUCUUCUUCAAUUCGUGAGCCGGGCAUACAUUCAAGAGGUUUCAGGGCUUUUGGAACAGUACUGAGCGCUUGGCUCCUUCUACUGUAAACAACUUCUUAGACAUGUCUUGAUAACCCUCGAUCACAUCCUCCACAUACCCAGUGUAUUUUUCUCUCUCCUAGUACUCGACUAAGAUCUAUAGGUACUUGAACAAACUCUUUGAAUUUUCCUUUAAAAAACCAGAAAGCACACAAACUUUUUUGAAUUAUCUAGUUGAAGAAGGUACCAUUGGGGCAAUUGUCAAAAAUAAUUUGUGAGUGCUUGAAAAAGAAGCUCAUAUUUAAAGAUUUGGCGAUAGAUAAAAUGAUACACAACUAUAAAUGGGGUGGUAUGUUUGUCAAAUAAUGGAUAAAACUUAUGGCUCAAUAGUUAAAAGUAAACACUAAAAAGAAAUGAACAAUGAUUAGAUAUAAAAUUACAUUAUUAAAAGUAAUAAUGAAAACAAUAAAAGAAUAGUAAAAUAAAAGGAUAGGUACUAGUAGUUGUGAUUGUGGCUUACAUCUUCCUUUUGUUUUUAGGCCCAGAAAUGAGUUUAAUCCCUUCUAUGGGUCGACGAUAGGCUUAACAUUCAGUUUUCUUAUAAAUUGGCAAACAAGUCCGUCUAUAGUCAGAUUUUUGGGAUUGUAUUGUGCAUGUUAUUUCUAAAACAAUGGCCAUAAUUGAGAAAUUACUCUCUAUACAUAUCCACUAGGAUGCAUUUUAAGAGUCAAAAGGAUGUUAUCUAAUGACUUUUUUAUUCAAGUCAUCCUUAAUGAAUUGAAUCUUAUCUUUCCUGUUGUCAGAUACCAUUCCCAAAGAUUACAUGGAUGUCUUUUGCAUUUCAUUCGGGCACACUUAUGAAAAAAAACUUCAAGUCUUGUAACUCUUUGUUUUUAUGAAUAAUUUCCUUUCCUGUAACCGGUCAUGUAGGCAACAAAUUUGUGAAGUAACUCCCCUACUAAUCAUAUUGUGGCUUCAAUUAACCAAUGGAUGUCAAUAGAGAUGUUAUUUCUCAUAAUCAAUUGCAAGCGUUCGGAUCGAGCUUUAAAGAUAGUAAGGAGUGCAUUUUGAGGAAGAGAGGAAAAUCGUUUGUGAAGCUUUGCAAGAAUUGCGUUCCUAUCCAUAAAUUGGCUAAAGAAUAUCAGUUAUUGUGGGAAAUUGAUGGCCACUAAAUUGAUUUAACAAAUGACAAUACCCCAAAGAAAAAGAUUAAUCUAUCAAAAAUAAAAUAUAUGUGAAAGCAAACAACAAAAUAAAAACACACAAGGAAAAAAGUAGGUUGUUAACUCACCAUUGUCCUCUUAUGGAGUUUACCUCAAGUUCUAAUUGGAUAUCAUAUAAAUCAUCCUAUAAUGCCUUCAUUUGUCUUUCUAGCUCUUAAAAAUGGGAUACUAACGCUGAUAGUCAUAGAUCUCAAAUAGAAUGUGAUUUAAAAAAUUGGACAGGCCGCUCAAGUGACGUUUCACAUGUAGAAGUUCAUUAGGAUGGUUGAAGAGGAUCCGUUUCAUUGAGGUAUUCAUAACAUAUAGUACAAGAGCAAAUAUAACUUUUAAACGAACAUAAUUUAGCAGGAAACAAAUAAUUUCAAUCAGCAAAGGAGUUGUAAAACAAAGUGACAAAGAGUUAAGUUACCAAAAAUAAAUGGGGAAAAGUCUCAAUCUAAAUUUUGUGGGUUACCCAAAUUUAUUUCGAUGUCUUCUUUAUGUGGUUGGUACUCUAGAUAUGGUUGCAAUCUUUAACCACUAACUCUAAAAGUGACACCAUUCUUUAGAUUAUUAAUUUCAAUAGCUCCAUAUGGAAAAACAAUGUGAAUAAUAAAUGGACCAGUAAGAAUUGAAUAAAAAUACUUUUUGACCUUGUGUAAAAGAUUUUCUUAUAAUCUGCGUGUCGUGAAAGACUUUCAUUCGCUGCUUGUAAUUCUUGGCAUUUUUAUACGCAUCAUUGCGAUUUUUCUAAAGUUCUGCUAGCUAUAAUCUUCUUUCCAAACUAGCUUGUUACAUGUCAAAGUUGAAUUUCUUGAUGGCCUAACAUGCAAGAUGCUCGGGUUUCACUUGUAGAUGAUAAGCUUUUCCAUACACUAGCCUAUAGGUAGACAUCCUAAUAGGUGUCUUGAAAGCUGUUUGAUACUCCCAUAAUGCAUCAUCUAGUCCCAAUGGCCAGUUUUUUCUAUCUAGUCUCACCGUCUUUCCUAAUAUGUGCUUUAUUUUCUUAUUAGAAAUCUGGACUUGGCCACUGGUUUUUGGAUGUAGGGUUGCCACUGUGUCUGAUGGAGUAUUUUGCCAAAAGCGUUUUGAUUAUUUGCUGCAAAAAUGGGUACCACAAUCACUGAUUAUUGCUCGAGAGAAUCCAAAGUGUAAAACAAUGUUGCUUUGCAAAAAUAUCAUCACUACCUUAUGAUCAUUGGUUCUACACGAAAUUGCUUCUACUCAUUUGGAUAUGUAGUAGACAGUGACCAAUAUGUAUUGAUGGCCAAAAGAAGGAGGAAAGGAUCCUAUGAAAUCGAUGCCUCAUAUAUAAAAAAUCUCGACCACCAAAAUAGGGUUUAGCUGCAUCAUGUUCUUUUGUGUAAUGUUUCCCAUGUGCUAACACCUGUCACAUGAAAAACAAAAAGUGUAAUCUUCUUGAAAUAAAGUUGGCCAAUAGAAUCCACAUUGUAAAACUUUAGUAGCCAUUUUCUUGACACUAAAAUGGCCUCCGCAAGCUUAUUCAUGGCAAAAUGAAAGGAUGUUUGAAAUUUUCUCUCUGGGAUGUAUCGUCCAAUAAUUUGAUCUGCACAAUACUAGAAUAGAUAAAGUGAAAUACAAGUAUGCAACCCAAGAGAGGGGGGGGUGAAUUGGGAUUCUAAAAAAAAUUAUUCAAUUUAUAAAGAAAAACUUGAUGCAAAUAUAAUCCAAAUUCAAAGCAAUAACAAUUAAGUUUAUCACAAUAUAAAAAGAUAAGGUAAGAGAGAUUCAAACACAGAGAUUUUUACGUGGUUCGACCAACCUCGCCUACGUCCACGCCUCCAAGCUUUCCGGGCUUGAGGAUUCCACUAAGCAAGCCUCCAAGGCUUCAAAUGCUUACACUUGACUUCCAAGGUGUCAAUAAACCUUUACAACAAGAGAUUAUCCCCAAUCUCUUAACCCAAGUGUAUCCCACCACUUAUAAUCACUCAAAGUAAAAGAUUACAAACUGUUUGCCUCUCACAAUAUAUAAGAUUACACAAUGAUGCUUAAUAUGUGAAUAGAUGAAGCAAGAAUGUGUUCUAAGCUCUAUGAAGAUUGUAUUCUCGAAUAUUAGCUCAAAUGGUCGUGUUGUGAUCAACCUUCUUUGAAUUUGAAUGAGCUUAUUUAUAUUUGGAGCUAAAAAUCUAGCCGUUACAAACUAUCAGACAGAAAACGGUUUGCCGUUAACCCUAAACGGUUAACCGUUUCGGUUGGUCAAAGUUACCGUUGGGCCAGAUUUCAAAUAAACGGUUUGCCGUUUGGGAUUACCCUUUCGCCGUUAACUUCCAGAGACCUGCAAGAUGAGCAUUAGAUAUCCGUUUACACUAAACGGUUAAGGACUUGCGUGAAGUAACGUUUCUGGAUAUUAUCGGUUAACCGUUGGUAAUAAAUGGUUAGCCGUUUGGCUCCAGUAACCUGCAAAACAAUUUAGCCUUAUCAGUUUUUGUUAAUCAGUGCCAGAGGAGGACAACCUUCAAUUCUGGACGUUAUCGGUUAACCGUUUAAAAUAAACGGUUCACCGUUAAGUUCCAGUAGCCUUUCCAUUCUUGGUGAUUUUCGUUUUUCAUAAACGGUUAGAGCUUUAGGCAAUAUGUUGCUCUCUGGUGUUAAUCGGUUAACCGUUUAAAUAAACGGUUCACCGUUAAGUUCUAGUAACCUUCCCAUCUUUUGUGUUUUCUGUUUUUCAUAAACGGUUAGAGGUUUAGAAAAUAUGUUGCUCCCUGGCAUUAAACGGUUAGCCGUUUGAUGGAAAACGGUUUACCGUUUAUUUUCAGAAUCACACUUUAAAACAGAUUUUACAGAGAAUCAUUUUUGAAUUUGAAGGUCCAUCUUUUAUGAAACAAUGAAUGGAAUAAUUAUCAAGGCUUUUGUUUAUUGAAGAAUAACUCUAAUAAUUUUAUCAAAAUAUAUUUAAAAUUUGUUAUCAUCAAAAUCAAUAUUAUUAACAUAUUUAUGUUAACAAUCUCCCCCUUUUUUAUGAUGACAAAUUCUAAUCAAUGUUUAGCUCCCCCUUAAUAUGUGCUCCCCCUAAAUGUAUGGCCAAAUUGAGAAAUGUUCAAUAAAAAGAUUUUUGCCAAAAAAAAAAUUCUUAAAUCUCCCCAUUUUAAAUCCAUCUUAAAAACCAUAAUUAUCUCCCCCUUCAUCAUCAAAAAGAAAAGAGAGAAUAAGAAAUACGCAAAUCCGUUAAAGAAGUUGCCCGGUUUUAGCGAGCGAAAAUUUUGGCAGAGUUUCCCCUUAAAAAUGAUCAAAACCACUUAUACAAAAUGAGAUAAAACACUUCCAAAAAUAGAUUGACACCAACUUCUUCUUUCAACAAGCCAACAACUCCAUGAACAAAACAAAACAACACUCCAAUAUCCACAAACAUACCAACAUUACAAUAUCCACAAAUAAAUUAAUACUUCAAUGACCAACAAUCAGUAAUCAACAAUCAUCAAUCAUCUAAUCAUCAAGAACAUCACACACAUAUGCAUCAAAGUCCAAAAAAAAUAUAAAAAUGCUAACAACCAAAAUGUAGAAUGUAUGUACGAAAACAGAACUCAGAAACUAUGGAGGCGGAGAAGAUGUGCUCCCCGGAUCAUAGCCGAAAUAGCUGAGAAGAGUGCGCUGUCAGGCGAUAAGCUCGAGCUGCUGGUCAAUGCUCUGCUGUUGGAAAAUUUAAAAGUCAGAGCGGAGCUGCUGGUGAUCAUGGGAAAUGAUGUCCAACCGAUCAAGAAUCAGCUGUUGUCGCUCCAAAAUCCGCUGAACAUCAGUAAUCAGCUGUUGCACCGCGUCUGAAGCAGGGGGCUGAACUAGAGCUGGAGGCGGCAUAGAGGCAGAUGGCUGCUCAGGAACAGCAGAAGGCUCAGGAGCAAGAGGCGGCUCGGAAGAGGAGAGGAUGUCAGUAUAUAUCGAAUGCUCCUCAGGGUCAGAGUCAGCUGGAGGCCGAGGGACAAAGUAGCGACGCGGAGGAUGAGGAAGAGCUCCUAAUCUAAAGUCAGGAAGCUGAUCGGAAGGAUAUAUAUCGUUGAGCAUCCGAUCGUCCUCUGGAGCAAUCAAGGUAUCCCGGUUUUUGGAGUUGCUUGUCUUUAUCCACACUCCAUUCUUCCUAGAGAAACUGAUACUAGUCAUGGCCUCGGGACCAAUCCGUUGAGUCUCCAUAUGUCCAGUAUCAAGAAGUGGAACCUUAAAGCGUUGCAGUAUCUUAGUGAUGAUACUGCCAUCAGGAAGCAAGCGGUGAUUGACCGCAGGAGUACUCAACAUAUAUCGCACAAUAAUAUACCCGAGGUUAAUGGGACGAUCUGUAAGAAGGCUAUCUAAUAGGGCAACGUCCAACCUCGUAACCUCAUCCGAGUGACCCUUCCUAGGUGUCACUAUGUGCUGUAAAAUAGUGUGAAGAAUACGAACUUGGAGAGGUAAAAGUUGAGACCAAAACGGAAGCAAACAAAUUUCAUCCGAUAAGUCUCGACGACGACAUAUAUUACGGACACCAUCAGUAUGACGAAAAGUGUCAAAGGAAAGGGCUUUCCUAGAGGUGUAAAUAUCAAGCCCCUCACAAGGGAUACCAAGAAAGUCAGCUAAGUCCGUAUCAUCAAAUUUUAUUGGCACACGGCCGACUUGAGUAACUAUCUUAUUUGGGCGAGUAUCGGAGAUUUCCAUGUUGGAGUAAAAGACUCACACUAAAUUUGGAUAAACCCGGUCAUCAAGGUCAAUGGCAGCCUCCCAAGGUUGAAGCAUAUCCCGAAUGCUUCUACCACAAACAACUAAAUUGCGGAAAUCAUCCAUGUCAACAAAGAAAGAGUCAAGUACCUUUCGACUAUCGAAGCGAUCUUCGAACCGCUUGGCCAAGGAAGGUGUGGGGAAGUGAAUCCUUGCAAAUUCAGAGACUUCUCGAGGAGGUAUAGGAUUCCUUGGAGGCACAGAUUUACGCCUGGGGUUUCUCCGAGAGGGUUCAACCAUGGAAAAUGUAGGAGAGAAGAAAAUGAAUUGAUGAGGAGCUUAUGGAUGAAUAGGGGAUGAGAGUUGGGUGCUCAAUUUAGUUGAAGAAAGGGAAGAAUCGGAUCAAAAACGAAGAAAUCCGACCCGCGACAGUUAGGGUUUCGAUUUGGAAUUUUUGAAUUUUGGGCUUGAUUUGUCGUUUUGGAUCAGUGAAAUUGUUCUAAAGGUGAUAAGAAAUGAUGUUGAAGGUUUGAUUUGGCAAGAAAAGCAAGAAAAAUGAGGGUUUGAGGGUAGAGAGACCUUCGGCUGCGCAACAAUGGCUGAAACGGUGAAGGGAUAACUGGAGAAGGAGAAGAAAACCUUUGAACAGUUUUUAUACUCACGAAAACGGUUAACCGUUUAUUUAAAUAGUUAAGGGGUAACUUCCAGAGGCUAAAGAAAGGGCAACGGUGAAAGCCUAAGUGCUUAACGGCUAAGGAGUAACUGUUAGAAGACUCUCUAUAUACAAACGGUGCACCGAUUGUAGCAAACGGUGAAAGGGUAAACGAACAGACACAUUAUAUCAUUUUUGGAACAAAACGGUUCACCGUUUAUUGGAAACGGUUAUCCGUUUAUUUUAUAUGUAAUUUCGCGCAUUUGAUUUAAUUUUUGGCCAUCAAAUAAUAUAUUCCAAGAUCAUUUUAUUGAUCUGGAAAUAUUUUAUGAGCCAUUUUAAUGCAUGAUUCAUGAACAUAUUUUCAAUCAAUUAAUUCAUAUAAUCAAGAGUUAUCAAGGCAAAUUCAUCAUUUGACUAUCAAGCUCAAGCAUUUCAUAAAUAAUAGUUAAUCAAUUCAGUACACUCAAUAGCAUGAAUAGAGACAUUAAUGCGAAAAUUUUAUCAUCCCAAGUUCAUGCCGAAUUUUUGAAAAUUGUUCUUGGCAAAGCGGUUUUGUGAAAAUAUCGGCAAGUUGUUUUUCCGUAGAAAUAAACUCUAAUGCAAUAUCUCCCUUUUGAACAUGAUCUCUCAAGAAAUGAUGUCUAAUUUCUAUAUGCUUGGUUCUAGAGUGUUGAAUGGGAUUCUUUGAAAGAUUUAUAGCACUAGUAUUAUCACACUUAAUAGGAAUUUGUUCGAGAUUAAUGCCGUAAUCUCUAAGUGUUUGUUUCAUCCAAAGUGCUUGUGCACAACAACUUCCGGCAGCUAUAUAUUCAGCCUCGGUAGUUGAAAGUGCAACAGAAUUUUGUUUCUUGCUAAACCAUGAAACAAGAGAGUGUCCUAGAAUAUAGCAAGUUCCACUAGUGCUCUUCCUAUCCACUUUAUAACCAGCAAAAUCCGCAUCCGAAAAACAUGUUAAAUCUAUAUGAGUUCCCCUAGGAUACCAAAGGCCAAUAUCUAUGGUUCCACUCAAAUAACGGAAAAUUCUUUUAACAGCGAGCAAAUCAGAUUCCUUGAGACAUGACUGAAAUCUUGCACACAAAUAUACACUAAACAUGAUAUCGGGUCUACUUGCAGUCAAAUAAAGUAGGGAUCCGAUCAUACCUCGAUACAUUUUGAUAUCCACUUCUUUACCUUUUUCAUCUUUGUCCAACUUGGUUGUUGUGCUCAUUGGUGUAUUCUUGGUCUUUGAAUCAUCAAUGCCGAAUCGUUUGAGUAGAUCCUUUACGUACUUGGCUUGAUUUAUAAAAAUUCCUUCCUCGUUUUGUUUGAUUUGAAGUCCAAGGAAGUAUUUCAACUCUCCCAUCAUACUCAUCUCAAAUUCUUUGCUCAUACACGAUGAAAAUUCUUUACACAACAACUCAUUAGUAGAACCAAAAAUAAUAUCAUCAACAUAAAUUUGAACAAUAAGUAUGUCUUGGUUCUCAUGCUUAACAAAUAGAGUAGUAUCCGCUUUACCCAUAGAAAAGUCAUUUUCUAGCAAGAAAUUUUUAAGUCUAUCAUACCAUGCUCUAGGUGCUUGUUUUAAUCCAUACAAGGCUUUAAGCAACUUAUAAACAUGAUUUGGAAAUUUUUCAUUUUCAAAACCAGGAGGUUGUUUCACAUAAACUUCCUCCAAAAUAUAACCAUUUAAGAAAGCACUCUUGACAUCCAUUUGAUAUAAAAUAAAAUCCUUAUGACAUGCAUAUGCUAACAACAUCCUAAUGGAUUCUAACCUUGCUACAGGUGCAAAGGUUUCAUCAAAAUCAAUUACUUCUUCUUGGUUGUAACCUUGAGCCACUAAUCUAGCUUUAUUUCUUACAACCAUACCGGAUUCAUCCAUCUUAUUUCUAAACACUCAUUUAGUACCUAUUAUAGAUUGAUGUUCUGGUUUAGGAACUAAUUCCCACACAUUGUUUCUUUCAAAUUGAUUUAACUCCUCUUGUAUUGCCAUAGUCCAAGAUUCAUCAUUUUCUGCAUCCUCAAAGGAUUUUGGUUCAAUUUGAGAGAUGAAUGCAUUAUGCUCACAAGUAUUUCUAAGUGAUGAUCUAGUUGUAAUACCUCGUGAGGGAUCUCCUAAAAUUACAUCUUUAGGGUGAGAAGAGACAUACCUCCACUUCUUGGGGAGUGUUUAAGAAGUACCUUCAUUUUGCUCCACAUUUGGUUCUUCAUGAUGUUCCUCUUGAAUUCCAUGUGGUGCGUCUUCUUGGUUGUCAUUUAAUGCUUCUUUUGGUUGUUCUUCUUCUGCAUUAUCAUCAACAACGACUUUCUCCGUAGAGGAGGGGUUAAACUCAUCAAAUGUGACAUGCAUAGAUUCUUCCACAACUAAAGUUCUUUUGUUAUAGACUCUAUAAGCUUUGCUUGAAUUUGAGUAACCAAGAAAAAUACCAACAUCAGAUUUUGGAUUAAAUUUACCAAGAUUAUCCUUUGUGUUCAAAACAAAACAUUUGCAUCCAAAAACUUUAAAAUAGCCAAUGUUGGGUUUUCUAUCUUUCCAAAGCUCAUAUGGAGUUUUAUUAAGAUUAGGUCUAAUCAACACCUGAUUUAAAAUAUAACAAGCGGUGUUGACGGCUUCGGCCCAAAAAUAUUUUGGUAAUGCAUUUUCAUUUAACAUGGUCCUAACCAUUUCUUGAAUAGACUUAUUCUUUCUCUCAACAACUCUAUUUUAUUGUGGAGUUCUAGGUGAUGAAAAUUGAUGCUCAAUGCCUAGAUUAUUGCAAAAACUCUCAAAUGCAUGAUUUUCAAAUUCUCCUCCAUGAUUACUCCUAAUGCAUACAAUACCAUGCCCUUUUUCAUUUUGUAAUUUCUUACAAAGCACUUUAAAAGCAUCAAGAGCAUCAUCCUUAUUGGCUAAGAAUAAUACCCAUGUAUAUCUAGAAUAAUCAUCCACUAUCACAAAUGCAUAAUAUUUGCCAUUUAGACUUGCAUAUCUAGAUGGCCCAAAAAGAUCUAUGUGAAGAAGUUCAAGUGGUUUUGAAGUAGAAAUAUGGUUUUUAUUCUUGAAAGAAGUUUUAAUUUGUUUUCCAAAUUGACAAGCUUCACAAAUCUUAUCCUUUUGAAAACCAAUUUUCGGAAGACCUUUAACUAAAUCAUCUUUCGAAAUUUUUGAAAUCAAAUCCAUACUUGCAUGUCCUAACCUUCUAUGCCAUAACCAACAAUCAUCAUGCAAUGCCGAAAAACAUUUAUCAAGAGUAGAUGCACAUUCUAUGUCAAUGAUAUAAAUAUUACCACAUCUAUUUCCAACAAAUAAGGUUUUGCCAUCACAUGAGUUCUCAAUAACACAACUAAAUUUAUCAAAAAUAACGUUAUAACUUUUUUCACAUAAUUGACUAAUGCUAAUUAAGUUGUGUUUCAAGUUUUCAACCAAACAUACAUUCUCAAUUAGAGUUGAAGAGACUUUACCAACAUUUCCAAUUCCAAGAAUUUUUCCUUUUGAGUUGUCUCCAAAAGAUACGUCUCCACUAUUUUCAAUUUUGGUGAAGCUUAAGAACCAUGCAUAGUUUCCGGUCAUGUGCCUUGAACAACCGCUGUCCAAGUACCAUUUAUUUUUCUUCUUCUUCAAGCCCUACAAGAAAAAGUCUCAAGUUUUAGGUACCCAAAGCUUUUUGGGUCCUUGAGAGUUAGCAACGGUUCCUUUUGGAACCCAAAUGCAUUUGACACCAUAAUAUGCAUUCCUUUUCACGGGACAUCUAAAUUUCAUGUGACCAUUUUGAUUAUAAUAAUGACAUACAAUCUUAUGAUCAUUUGUGGAGGUAGCUUUAACAAAAUAAUUCUUAUAAUACUUUUGUUUCAAGUUAGGCUUAUAUCCAAGUUCUCCUUUAUCAAAAACACAUUUUUGUGAGUUAAGCAUAUUAUCCAACAUCUUUUGCCCAUUUGUAAAUUUCAAAACAAUUUCAUUCAAUUAAUUACUCUUUUUCUUGAGCAAUUCGUUCUCAUUUUUCAACUCAUCUAUGUGUGAUUUCAAAUGUUCAUGUAAGAUGCUAGGUUUCUCAUUUGAUAAUGCAAUUUCAUCAUGCAAUGUUUUGUUUCCUACUUCUAGGCAUACAAUUCUUGCAUUUAGAGAUUCAUUUUCAUUUUUAAGCUUUUCCAUUUCCUUUUUAAGACAUACAUUCUUUUUACCAAUUUUCAUCAACUCAUUAUGCAAAUCUUGAAAAGCAUCAUACAAUUCAUCAUAGGUAGGAUCACUUACCUCAUUGAGAUCAUCAUCCCCUCCUAUUGCCAUGAGUGCUAAGUUUGAUACUUCUUGCGAUCCUUCAUCAUCAUUUGAUUCUUCCUCACUAUCAUCCCAAGUUGCAACCAUUGCUUUCUUCUUGAGUUUGUUGAUAAGUGGGCACUCCGAUCUUAUAUGUCCAGGCUUAUUGCAUUCAUAGCAAGUGAUUGCCUCAUUCUUCUCCCUAUGGUUCUUGCAGUUUCUGAAAUUUCUUCGCUCUCCGGUUUUCUUGAAGAAUUUUCUGAACCUCCUUGCUAGCAUGGCUAGCUCUUCAUCAUCUGGUUCACUCUCCCCAUCACUCUCAUAUUUUGAAGCUUUGAGAGCAAUGCUUUUCUUCUUCUCCUCAUGUCCUUUUUCUGCAGCUAAAUCCUCUUCAUACGAAAUAAGAGAACCAAUUAAAUCAUCAAGAGGUAAAGUAUUUUAAUCUUUGGCCUCUUCAAUGGCAGUUAUUUUAGGUCUCCAUUCUUUUGGAAGUGACCUAAUGAUUUUCUUAACUUUCUCACUAUUUGAGAAGGUUUUCCCUAAGGCACCUAGGGUGUUCACUAUGUCCGUGAAUCUAGUAUACAUAGAAUACACAUUUUCAUUUUGUUCCAUUUGGAACAACUCAUAUUGACGAGUGUAUCUACUGAUUUUAGACUCUUUCACUUGAUUUGUCCCUUCAUAGACAACUUCAAGUUUGUUCCAUAUCUCUUGUGCACUUUCACAACUAGAUACUCUAUGGAAUUCUUUCUUAUCAAGGGCACAAAACAAAGCAUUCAUAGCCUUGGAGUUUAGAGACAUCUUUCUCUUUUCUAACUCACUCAAUUUACUCGAUGGUUUAGGAAUAUCAUCUCCUACUUCAUCUUUAACCGUAGGCAUGAAUGGACCAUCGCAAAUAACUUCCCAAAUUUCAUAAUCUAAGGCUUGCAAAUAGAUUCUCAUUCUAGUUUUCCAAUAAGCAUAGUCAUUACCAUCGAAAAAUGGUGGUCUAGUUGUGGAUUGCCCUUCUCUAAAGGUUGAGUCAUUUAGGGUUGCCAUGGAUCUUUUACUCUAGACGAUUAAGUCUUAACAAGAGAACGAGACUCUGAUACCAAUUGAAAUACAAGUAUACAACCCAAGAGGGGGUGAAUUGGGAUUCUAAAAAAAAUUAUUCAAUUUAUAAAGAAAAACUUGAUGCAAAUAUAAUCCAAAUUCAAAGCAAUAACAAUUAAGUUGAUCACAAUAUAAAAAGAUAAGGUAAGAGAGAUUCAAACACAGAGAUUUUUACGUGGUUCGGCCAACCUCGCCAACAUCCACGCCUCCAAGCUUUUCGGGCUUGAGGAUUCCACUAAGCAAGCCUCCAAGGCUUCCAAUGCUUACACUUGACUUCCAAGGUGUCAAUAAACCUUUACAACAAGAGAUUAUCCCCAAUCUCUUAACCCAAGUGUAUCCCACCACUUACAAUCACUCAAAGUAAAAGAUUACAAACUGUUUUGCCUCUCACAAUAUAUAAGAUUACACAAUGAUGCUUAAUAUGUGAAUAGAUGAAGCAAGAAUGUGUUCUAAGCUCUAUGAAGAUUGUAUUCUCGAAUAUUAGCUCAAAUGGUCGUGUUGUGAUCAACCUUCUUUGAAUUUGAAUGAGCUUAUUUAUAUUUGGAGUUGAAAAUCUAGCCGUUACAAACUGUCGGACAGAAAACGGUUCGCUGUUAACAGAAAACGGUUAACCAUUUUGGUUGGUCAAAGUUACCGUUGGGCCAGAUUUCAAAUAAACGGUUUGCCGUUUGGGAUUACCCUUUCGCCGUUAACUUCCAGAGACCUGCAAGAGGAGCAUUAGAUAUCCGUUUACACUAAACGGUUAAGGACUUGCGUGAAGUAACUUUUCUGGAUAUUAUCGAUUAACCGUUGGUAAUAAACGGUUAGCCGUUUGGCUCCAGUAACCUGCAAAACAAUUUAGCCUUAUCAGUUUUUGUUAAUCAGUGCCAGAGGAGGACAACCUUCAAUUCUGGACGUUAUCGGUUAACCGUUUAAAAUAAACGGUUCACCGUUAAGUUCCAGUAGCCUUUCCAUUCUUGGUGAUUUUUGUUUUUCAUAAACGGUUAGAGCUUUAGGCAAUAUGUUGCUCUCUGGUGUUAAUCGGUUAACCGUUUAAAUAAACGGUUCACCGUUAAGUUCCAGUAACCUUCCCAUCUUUUGUGUUUUCCGUUUUUCAUAAACGGUUAGAGGUUUAGGAAAUAUGUUGCUCCCUGCCAUUAAACGGUUAGCCGUUUGAUGGAAAACGGUUUACCGUUUAUUUUCAGAAUCACACUUUAAAACAGAUUUUACAGAGAAUCAUUUUUGAAUUUGAAGGUCCAUCUUUUAUGAAAUAAUGAAUGGAAUAAUUAUCAAGGCUUUUGUUUAUUAAAGAAUAGCUCCAAUAAUUUUAUCAAAAUUUUUAAAUUGUUAACAUAAAUAUGUUAAUAAUAUUGAUUUUGAUGAUAACAUAAGGAUCAUCCUAAAAGAAAUUCUUUAUUUCUACUAAAAAAAUUAUUUUGUCCUGCUUGGUCUAAUCCUUUAGAAGUUGACCUAUAAUAAGAUAGUUAACUAUAUCAAAAUACCAUGGUAGUACUUCCACACUCAUUAGUUGUUUAUUUGGAAAUGAUUCAUUUAAUAUUAAUAGUUCUGGGAUUGUGUCAAAAUUGAGGCAAAAUAGGUGAUCUGCCACCAAAUUUUCUGUGCCUUUCUUAUCUUUAAACUCAAGGUCGAUUUCCUACAAAGGUAACACCCUGCGAAUUAGUCUGGCCUUUGCAUUUUUCUUUGUAAGAAGAUAUUUAAGAACAACAUGAUCUGUAAACACAAUUAUUUUACAUCCCAUAAGAUAAGAUCAAAAUUUUUCUAAUGCAAAUACUAUUGCUAGUAUUUCUUUUUCAAUGGUUAAGUAAUUCAACUAUGCAUUAUUUAAUGUCAUACUAGUGUAAUAAAUGACAUGGGGGAUACAAUCAACUCUUUGUUCUAAUACUGCUCCUAUUACAAAAUUAUAUGCAUCACACAUGAGCUCAAAAGGUAAGUUCAAUUUGGGGGUUGAAUGAUGAGUAAAGGUCAACAAUUACAUUAAUUUUUGAAACACAUGAAGACACAAAUCAUCAAAUACAAAAGAUACAUCCUUAGUAAGAAGAUUUCAUAAAGGUCUAGAGAUUUUGCUAAAAUAUUUAAUGAAGCGUCUAUAAAAUCCAACAUGCCCAAGGAAAGAUCUUACCUCUCUGAUUAUUUUGGGUAGAGAAAUAUUGGAAAUGACAUCUAGUUUGGCUUUGUCAACCUCAAUACCUUUAUUCAAAAUGAUGUAACUAAGGACAAUACCUCGUUUUACCAUAAAAUGACACUACUCCCAGUUCAAGACCAAAUUCUUUUCUACACAUCUCUACAGAACUAACGUUAAAUGAUGUAAACACUGUUAAAAAAAAUCACCAAAUACAGAAAAGUCAUCCAUAAAGACUUUAAGGAAACAUUUGACCAUAUUAGAAAAAAAUGCUUAACAUGUAUCGUUAAAAUGUGACAGGUGCAUUGCAUAAUCCCAAAGGCAUUCUCCUAUAUAGAAAAGUACAAAAGGGCAAGUGAAAGUAGUUUUCUCAUGGUCAUUUGAUUCUACAAGGAUAUGAUUAUAUCCUGUGUAGCUAUCUAAAACAAUAAAAUUUAAAACCUACUAAUCUAUCAAGUAUUUGAUCGAUAAAUUGUCACUCUAGUGGGUAUUAAUUCAUUGUCGACAUUAGUAAUUACUAUGAGUCCUAACUUUUUGGGGACAACUUGCACAUGGCGUACCUAUGAACUAUCAGAAAUGGGUAAAUGAUACCUGCAUCUAAUAGUUUAAGGACUUUAACUCUAACAACUUAUUUCAUGUUAGGAUUUAACUAACGUUGCAUUUCCUUAUUAGAUUUUGCAUUUUUGUCAAGGUGAAUGCAAUGCACAGACUGAUAUGUCUAAAGCCAACAUUGUUAUUCCAAAACCUAUCCAAUGGAAAGAUGUCAAUCUUCCUGAUGAAUGGAUUCUUGAAGGAGCCACUGCUCCAGUAAUCCCAAAACAACUUGAACCGAAUACAGAGUUGCAAAAUGUGACUCAGUAUUCCGAUGGUAAAGUCAAAUUGUCCUUUAAGAGAUCUACAUCAACCAGAUUCUCCGAUAAAGAUUCAUGCGCAAGCAUUCCUUCAAUGGAAAGAAAAUUUUCAAAAAUUCCUUCUGAAAUAAAUCUCCCUUUCCAAUCUGUUAAAAGUCAACCUAGGUUUUCUACUUCAGAUAUACCUAGUCCCUGUUUUCAUUCUGUUGACUAUACCACUAGUGUUCUGAAGAGCUAGAGAAAGAUGAUGCUCUACAGAGUAGAGAAUCCAUGGAGUAAAAAACUAAAGUCUAUAUGAAUGCCUAUAGGUAUGGUUUUACAGCCCUAAACGGAUCCUCUUAUCCUAAAGCGGGACUUACUACCAGUAAAAGAUUCAGCACACACAUAGAAAAUAAUUUUAAACAACACAGAUUCUUUACAACUAUAUCACAUAUACUCCCCCUGGCUUUGACACCAGAAGAAAAAUAGGAUCGAAGGAUGGAUGUGAUUAUGCAGAAUUUUAAAUUUAAACUUUAAUAAUGCAAUAGGUAUGUGGCGUUGUGACCAGAUCGAUGCAGAACUUAAUCUGCCUUUGAGACCAGAUCUGACUUAGAACAGAUCAAUAUCUCGCACGUUCUGUUUUCCAGCCGAUAUACCCUUUUAAAUUUCUAGUGCGAGAUAUUGAUCGAAGGGUAUAUCUGAUAAAAAUUUAAACAAAACGUGAUUUGCCAAAAAAAACAUUUUCUGUUUAAAGUUUGUAAAUAAAUUGGUAUAUCUCUUAGGACAGCAAGUAUGGAAGUAUUAAGAAAAGUUUAAACAGAAAAUGAUAAAAUGACAUACACUCAGCACACACAUAGAAAACAAUUUUAAAUAACACAGAUUCUUUACAACUAUAUCACAUAUGUCUGAAUACAACAUCUUAGGACUGUUGCAACAGAUGACCAUGGCAGCCAAUGCCUAGAAAACCCAGUCGGGAACUUCUGAUAGAGCCAUAGCAGAAAUUUUCAUCGCAGGGUUUACUGGUCAACUUAAAGGUUGGUGGGAUAAUCUUUUCACCAAACAACAGAACGUGCACAUGUCCCUUCGAUCAAUCAUUGGAUUUCAUCCAAUGAUUUCCAGCCGAAAAUACCUGAUUAAAAUACACUUUAAAAGGGUAUAUCUGAUAGAAAUCGGCUCUGAUACUAGAAGAAAAAUAGGAUCGAAGGAUGGAUGUGAUUAUGCAGAAUUUUAAAUUUAAACUUUAAUAAUGCAAUAGGUAUGUGGCGUUGUGACCAGAUCGAUGCAGAACUUAAUCUGCCUUUGAGACCAAAUCUGACUUAGAACAGAUCAAUAUCUCGCACGUUCUGUUUUCCAGCCANNNNNNNNNNNNNNNNNNNNNNNNNNNNNNNNNNNNNNNNNNNNNNNNNNNNNNNNNNNNNNNNNNNNNNNNNNNNNNNNNNNNNNNNNNNNNNNNNNNNUAAUACUCUAAAUGGUUGGAGGGAGAAAGAAGAUACAACAGAAGACAGAGAUCUGGUCUCCUUGCUUCUGAGGAAUGUAACAAUUUAUAUGGCAGAUCUGAUACAAAUCAGUCUGCAAAGCAUGUAUGAAAAUUUAAAUGCUUUAAAAUAAAUUACGGAAAUUAAAUUGCAGAAAUUUAAACAUACAGAACUUUAAAUUUAUUACAAACUUUAAAAGGAAUUACAAAUCUUACAUUUGAUUUUUCUUGCUUUAUUCUUCUUUAAAGAAAAGUAUUACAAAAGAAAUGGGAAAUUAAUCAGAAGACAGGAAAAUUCCUUGUCGUCUUCCGAUUCCUGAUUCCCAGAGAGAGAGAGAGAGAAUUUGAGAAAAAUGAAAGGAGAGAGUUUCUAGGUUCGGAAAAGAAUGGUGAGUCUAAGUCUUCACCUCUUCUUUUAUACACUUGAAGCUUUACAAAAGAAAAAAUUAAUAACUAUCUUUACAGCGUGUCUUCACAUGCGUUGCUGGAGGAGAGUGGGACCAGACCAUGAUGAAAGUAGUGAGUGGAGACAUCAUGAUUUUCUGCUUUAUGGACUUUCAGAAGGCUUCACGUGAGUGGGGCCAAUGCUUUAAGAGAGAUUCCUGGAAGUGGGCCUUGAUGCUUUAAGUAAAGUUAUUUGGGUGAAGAGACAUGUGCGCUCUCACUUGUGUCCAGGGGACCACCCAAAAAGGUACAAAGUGCAUAAUAAUAAAUAUUUACCUUUUUUUUUUUAACAUACAAUAAAAGAAAAUUAUAUACUACGAAAUUAUAUACAACUUUAAUGCUUUAUUGGAGGAAAGAUUCUGAAGCAAUCGUCAUCGUUGUCGUCUCCAAGGGAAAUAAAGGGCUCUUGAUCGGGCUCUUCAUCUUAAUCAGAGGACUCAGCAAUAGAGGAUUCUGAUCUUGAGGCGAGGAGCUGUUGCAUAACUUUAAAGUAUUCAUCUUCAGUUUUGGCACUGGCCAAAAGAGAUUGGGCUUUGGAUUUUUGGGUAAGGAAGGCUUCUUGGGCUUUAGAAUGUUUAAUGGUUGGUGCAAGAAAGCCUUUGGAACAAAGCCAAUUUCGAAUCAUGGUGUCAGUCAAUUUAGACUGUUCAUCAAACUUUGACCACCAUUUUACUUUAAAGGUUCUUUGUAAGAUAAGUUGGGUUUCUUGGGUGUGAUACAUGAAGUUCCACAUCUAUACCCAUGGAAGGAAGAAAUUUGUACAGAAACAGAGAAAGGGAGGAAACCUUUUCUCGGAUUCAGAGGGAAUAUAAUGGGCUUUGAACAAAUUUAAACAGUGGAUGGCAUUAGGUGUUAGAAUAUCAGGGAUUGGGCCAAAAUAGUUCCACCAUUGUUGAAACCAAUUCGGGAGGCUUUGGACGGUUAUUUUUGAAUUGAAGAAAAAUAACCAUGAGUGGGUCUUUUUUGGGUUUUGUAUAAAGAAUGUGUUAAACCAGGCUUGUUGAUAAUCCCAGUAGGAAUAAGUCAAACAAUGUGGUAAACGCAUUUGAAAAUUGGCGGGAAAUUUCUUUUGGUUGUGGAGUAGAUCACCCCAUUGUUUUGGGCUCAAGACCUUUAGUAUUGUGGCCGCAGAAUAGGCCGGCUCAGAAUGGGAAUCACUGAGGUAAAAAUGUUUGAAUUUAACUGACUCAGUAGAUUCUAAAAUACUUUGGUAAUAAGGCUGGGGUUUUGUUAAAUCUCAAGGUUUAAAAAACCAGCUUUUGGGGAAAAACUUUGCAAGGGCUUGAAAUGGGUCGGUGUGGUAAAAACCAUCCUCCAUCAUUAAAAUGUUUUGGAAAUGGGUUUUAUCAAACCAAUUUGAAGAUUUCUUUGAAAGCUUUGUCUGAGAAAGAACAAUUUGUGAAGAUGAACUUUCCCCAGAAAGAACUAUAUUUUGAUAAGGUGUUUUUGUAAUUUCUUUCGAAAUAGGUUUUUCUUUUUCAAUAUCAUCUUUAGGAGAAAUUUGGCUUUGAGAAAAACUUUGUAAAGCGAGCAUAAGCUCGGGAGAAUUAGAAAUGGAUUUCAUCCAAUGAUUUACCUGUUCUUGAGUGGUAAGGGCUUUAAACUUUGAUUCUUCAUCUUCGAUCAUGUCAAUCCAAGAUUUAAUUGGCAUUGCAGAUGAAAGUAAUUUUUCUUUAGGAGGAGAGGAUUGGGUGUCUUUAGUCUGGGAUACAGGGUCUUUGAGAAUCCCUUUCCCUUUGUCCCUUUUCUUUGGCGGCAUUAUCUGUUUUGAAGAAAUUCCCUGGUUAAAAAAUUAGGGAUAGAAUUUGUAUCUCCUUUAAUAAAUUCAAUAUCAAAAUCAAAAAAACUUAAAAUAGCUUGCCAACGUGCAAAAAUCUAUUUUAAUGCAAUGUUUUGAACAUCUUUUUCUAAAACAUGUUUUGCAGCUUUGCAAUCAAUUCUAAGUAAAAAUUUUUGAUUUAACAAAUCACUUUGAAAUUUAGAAAUGCAUAAAACAAUAGAAAGAAUUUCUUUUCGAUAGUAGAAUAAUUUUUCCGACAUUCAUUCCAAUGGGCAGAAACAUAUUGUACUAUCUGUUCUUUAUUAUCUUCCUUUUGUUUUAAUAUACCUCCAUAACCUAAAUCUGAUGCAUCUGUUUCAACGAUUUUAGGUAAAGCAGGAUUUGCAAGAAAUAACAUGGAAUGUUCCUUACAGAAUUCUUUAUUAGUUUGACAACUUUAGUAUGUUCAUCUGUCCAUGCAACAGGAUUCUUUUUUAGCCGAUCAUGCAAUGGUUUAGACAUCCUAUUGAUGUUAGGGCAGAAAUUAAGAAUAUAAUUUAAACUACCAAGAAAUCUCUACAAUUGAGUUUUAUCAAGAAUUUUAUCAUGAAAUUUAUCAGCAAAUGCAAGAGAUCUUUCAAUAGGGGUAAUUGUUCCUUUAGAAAUGUAAUGACCAAGGAAUCGGACAUUUGUUUGGAAUAAUGAGACUUUAGAACUAGAAAUGGCUAGUCCAGCCUUUCUAGUGGCAAGGUAAAAAGUUUUUAAAUAUUUGAAAUGCUGAUCAAUCGUUUGAGAAAAAAUCAACACGUCGUCUAUAUAAACAAUACAAAACUCAGAAAAAAGAUUAUAAAUAUCAUUCAUGAUUCUUUGGAAUUCUAAGGGUGCAUUUUUUAAACCAAAUGGCAUAACAGUCCAUUCAUACUGUCCGAAAGGAACAGUAAAAACAGUUUUAUAACGGUCUUUAGGGUGAAUUUGGAUUUGCCAAAAACUAGAUUUCAUGUCAAAUUUUGAAAAAAUAAAGGCAGAACACAAUUUUUGGAGCAAAUCUUUUUUAUUAGGUAUAGGAUACAGAAUCCAUUUUAAUGCUUUAUUUAAGGGUUUGUAAUUUAUUACAAGUCUUGGUGUUCCUCUUUCUAUCUCGGAAUUUUUAUUUAUAUAAAAAGCGGCACAAGACCAUGAGGAUCUAGAUUUUACAAUGAGUCCUUUAGUUUCUAAAUCUUUUAUCUCAUUUUUAUAGUGUUGUUCCAAUUCCAUGUUCAUUUGGAUUGGACANNNNNNNNNNNNNNNNNNNNNNNNNNNNNNNNNNNNNNNNNNNNNNNNNNNNNNNNNNNNNNNNNNNNNNNNNNNNNNNNNNNNNNNNNNNNNNNNNNNNAAUGCCAUACUUAAAUCUAAACAAAAUGACUUGCUUUGUUUAAAAAAGGAUUUAAGUUUACAAAGAAUUGAAAGCCAAUUACAAAAAGACUUUAUACAAAGAAAAAUCUCUGAUUUUAAAGAUCUCAUUGAAAAAGAAAUAUGUGCUGAUUUACCAUCUGCUUUUUGGAACAGAAAACAACAUUUGGUAGAUUUGCCUUAUGAAAAUUCUUUCGACGAAAAACAAAUACCGACUAAAGCUUGUCCAAUCCAAAUGAACAUGGAAUUGGAACAACACUAUAAAAAUGAGAUAAAAGAUUUAGAAACUAAAGGACUCAUUGUAAAAUCUAGAUCCUCAUGGUCUUGUGUCGCUUUUUAUAUAAAUAAAAAUUCCGAGAUAAAAAGAGGAACACCAAGACUUGUAAUAAAUUACAAACCCUUAAAUAAAGCAUUAAAAUGGAUUCUGUAUCCUAUACCUAAUAAAAAAGAUUUGCUCCAAAAAUUGUGUUCUGCCUUUAUUUUUUCAAAAUUUGACAUGAAAUCUAGUUUUUGGCAAAUCCAAAUUCACCCUAAAGACCGUUAUAAAACUGUUUUUACUGUUCCUUUCGGACAGUAUGAAUGGACUGUUAUGCCAUUUGGUUUAAAAAAUGCACCCUCAGAAUUCCAAAGAAUCAUGAAUGAUAUUUAUAAUCUUUUUUCUGAGUUUUGUAUUGUUUAUAUAGACGACGUGUUGAUUUUUUCUCAAACGAUUGAUCAGCAUUUCACACAUUUAAAAACUUUUUACCUUGCCACUAGAAAGGCUGGACUAGCCAUUUCUAGUUCUAAAGUCUCAUUAUUCCAAACAAAUGUUCGAUUCCUUGGUCAUUACAUUUCUAAAGGAACAAUUACCCCUAUUGAAAGAUCUCUUGCAUUUGCUGAUAAAUUUCCUGAUAAAAUUCUUGAUAAAACUCAAUUGCAGAGAUUUCUUGGUAGUUUAAAUUAUGUUCUUGAUUUCUGCCCUAACAUCAAUAGGAUGUCUAAACCAUUGCAUGAUCGGCUAAAAAAGAAUCAUGUUGCAUGGACAGAUGAACAUACUAAAGUUGUCAAACUAAUAAAGAAUUCUGUAAAGAACAUUCCAUGUUUAUUUCUUGCAAAUCUUGCUUUACCUAAAAUCGUUGAAACAGAUGCAUCAGAUUUAGGUUAUGGAGGUAUAUUAAAACAAAAGGAAGAUAAUAAAGAACAGAUAGUACAAUAUGUUUCUGCCCGCUGGAAUGAAUGUCCGAAAAAUUAUUCUACUAUCAAAAAAGAAAUUCUUUCUAUUGUUUUAUGCAUUUCAAAAUUUCAAAGUGAUUUGUUAAAUCAAAAAUUUUUACUUAGAAUUGAUUGCAAAGCUGCAAAACAUGUUUUAGAAAAAGAUGUUCAAAACAUUGCAUCAAAACAGAUUUUUGCACGUUGGCAAGCUAUUUUAAGUGUUUUUUAUUUUGAUAUUGAAUUUAUUAAAGGAGAUACAAAUUCUAUCCCUAAUUUUCUAACCAGGGAAUUUCUUCAAAACAGAUAAUGCCGCCAAAGAAAAGAGACAAAGGGAAAGGGAUUCUCAAAGACCCUCUAUCCCAUACUAAAGACACCCAAUCCUCUCCUCCUAAAGAAAAAUUACUUUCAUCUGCCAUGCCAAUUAAAUCUUGGAUUGACAUGAUCGAAGAUGAAGAAUCAAAGUCUAAAGCCCUUACCACUCAAGAACAUGUAAAUCAUUGGAUGAAAUCCAUUUCUAAUUCUCCCGAGCUUAUGCUCGCUUUACAAAGUUUUUCUCAAAGCCAAAGUUCUCCUAAAGAUGAUAUUGAAAAGAAAAACCUAUUUCCAAAGAAAUUACAAAAACAUCUUAUCAAAAUAUAGUUCUUUCUGGGGAAAGUUCAUCUUCACAAAUUGUUCUUUCUCAGACAAAGCUUUCAAAGAAAUCUUCAAAUUGGUUUGAUAAAACCCAUUUCCAAAACAUUUUAACGAUGGAGGAUGGUUUUUACCACACUGACCCAUUUCAAGCCCUUGCAAAGUUUUUCCACAAAGGCUGAUUUUUUAAAUCUUGGGAUUUAACAAAACCCCAGCCUUAUUACCAAAGUAUUUUAGAAUCCACUGAGUCAGUUAAAUUCAAAUAUUUUUACCUCAGUGAUUCCCAUUCUGAGCCGGCCUAUUCUACGGCCACAAUACUAAAGGUCUUGAGCCCAAAACAAUGGGGUGAUCUACUCCACAACCAAAAGAAAUUUCCCGCCAAUUUUCAAAUGCGUUUACCACAUUAUUUGACUUAUUCCUACUGAGAUUAUCAACAAGCUUGGUUUAACACAUUCUUUAUACAAAACCCAAAAAAGACCCACUCAUGGUUAUUUUUCUUCAAUUCAAAAAUAACCGUCCAAAGCCUCCCAAAUUGGUUUCAACAAUGGUGGAACUAUUUUGGCCCAAUCCCUGAUAUUCUAACACCUAAUGCCAUCCACUGUUUAAAUUUGUUCAAAGCCCAUUAUAUUCCCUCUGAAUCCGAGAAAAUGUUUCCCCCCUUUCUCUAUUUCUGUACAAAUUUCUUCCUUCCAUGGGUAUGGAUGUGGAACUUCAAGUAUCACACCCAAGAAACACAACUUAUCUUACAAAGAACCUUUAAAGUAAAAUGGUGGUCAAAGUUUGAUGAACAGUCUAAAUUGACUGACACCAUGAUUCGAAAUUGGCUUUGUUCCAAAGGCUUUCUUGCACCAACCAUUAAACAUUCUAAAGCCCAAGAAGCCUUCCUUACCCAAAAAUCCAAAGCUCAAUCUCUUUUGGUCAGUGCCAAAACUGAAGAUGAAUACUUUAAAGUUAUGCAACAGCUCCUCGCCUCAAGAUCAGAAUCCUCUAUUGCUGAGUCCUCUGAUGAAGAUGAAGAGCCCGAUCAAGAGCCAUUUAUUUUCCUUGGAGACGACAACAAAGACGAUUGCUUCGGAAUCUUUCCUCCAAUAAAGCAUUAAUGUUGUAUAUAAUUUUGUAGUAUAUAAUUUUCUUUUAUUGUAUGUAAAAAAAAAAAGGUAAAUAUUUAUUAUUCUGCACUCUGUACUUUUUUGGGUGGUCCCCUGGACACAAGUGAGAGCGCACAUGUCUCUUCACCUAAAUAACUUUACUUAAAGCAUCAAGGCCCACUUCCGAGAAUCUCUCUUAAAGCAUUGGCCCCACUCACAUGAAGCCUUCUCAAAGUCCAUAAAGCAGAAAAUCAUGAUGUCUCCACCCACUACUUUCAUUAUGGCCUGGUCCCACUCUCCUCCAGCAACGCAUGUGAAGACACGCUGUAAAGAUAGGCAUUAAUUUUUCUUUUGUAAAGCUUCAAGUGUAUAAAAGAAGAGGUGAAGACUUAGACUCACCAUUCUUUUCCGAAUCUAAAAACUCUCUCCUUUCAUUUUUCUCAAGUUCUCUCUCUCUCUCUCUAGGAAUCAGGAAUCGGAAGACGAUAAGGAAUUUUUCUGUCUUCUGAUUAAUUUUCCAUUUCUUUUGUAAUAUUUUUCUUUAAAGAAGAACAAAGCAAGAAAAAUCAAAUGUAAGAUUUGUAAUUCCUUUUAAAGUUUGUAAUAAAUUUAAAGUUCUGUAUAUUUAAAUUUCUACAAUUUAAUUUCCCCAAUUUAUUUUAAAGCGUUUAAAUUUUCAUGCAUGCUUUGCAGACUGAUUUGUAUCAGAUCUGCCAUAUAAAUUGUUACAUUCCUCAAAAGCAAGGAGACCGGAUCUCUGUCUUCUGUUAUAUCUUCUUUUCUCCCUCCAACCAUUCAGAGCAUUAAUUCUGGGAUCCAGAUCUAAUACUAUCUAUGAGCCUUUAGAUCUGUUGCUAGGCUUGCUAAAGAAAACAUUUUCUGUUUAAAGAUUGUAAAGAAAUUUAAAAGGGUAUAUCGGUUGGAAAACAGAACGUGCGAGAUAUUGAUCUGUUCUAAGUCAGAUCUAAUCUCAAAGGCAGAUUAAGUUCUACAUCGAUCUGGUCACAAUGACACAUACCUAUUGCAUUAUUAAAGUUUAAAUUUAAAAUUCUGCAUAAUCACGUUCAUUUAAAAGGAACGUGAUUAUGAGACUUUAGUAUGGACUUAAAACUUUAAAUUUCUUUACAAUCUUUAAACAAAAAAUAUCAUAUAUAUAUAUAUAUACACACACACAUACGCGCGCACACAAACGGGGCUGGUCCAAUCCGGAUUAGAACAGCCUCUGGGAGGGAGGCUGGUGGCCUUUGGAUUUAAAUCCAAAGGCCACCAUGUGCAGCCAACGAAAAAAAAAAAAGGAGAGAAUUUGGUGCCAUUGAAUUGAAGUCCAACGACCCCAAAUUCCUUCCCGGAUGCUGAUCCAGUCCAGAGUCCCGGAUUGGAACGGCACUAUAUAUAUCUAUAUAUUGGCAGCGGUGGGUGUUUUUUGUUAGUUACGGCACCGGCUUGAAAGAAAAUGGCAGUUUUGGGGUUUCUUCCGGUGCCGACCACGUACUUUAAUAUUAACCAAAACCUGCUAAUUCAUAAUCUGACUCGCCAUUCUCCUGCUCCAGCUACUCCAUUUACAAUUAAAAGAAGGGACUUUGAUUCUUUAUUUUCUCUCAGACAAGGACGUGGACGUGGCGCUUGCUUUCCCUUGGCGUGCCUGCCUCCUUCUCCUCAUUCACUUUCCACUUGUCAGCCCAAAACAAGACUCUUUGUCAGUGGUUGGCUUUCACUCUAUUAUUUAUCCCUUCUUAAUUUAAAAAAUACAUAAUACUAUUAUGUGUAUUUCAUGUUCUACUUCUUCUUCUUCAUGUUAUCAUUAUUAUUAUUAUUAUUGCAGGGCUUUCUUUCCGGACCUCUGAAGAUAGUUUGCGAAAUGCUUUCCAAGGUUUUGGUCAGCUUGUGGAAGGUGAGGACAGUCAACGUUCAUUUACUCUUUUUGCCCUUUGUUCCCUUUGUUCUGGUUAGCAGUCAUGAUAGAGCUUCAAAUCUUCAGUUGUACCUGUUCGUAAAAACACAAAAUAAUGCAAAUUAAUUAUGUCGUUCAUGUCAUGUUUUUCUUCAACUAAUUCUAUUACGAGCAUAUCCCACAUCAGUUUGCAUUUCUAUUCAGCCAAUAUUGUUAUGCCACAUCGGUUUGUAAAAGCCAUGGUAAGUUUGUGGCUCUAGCAUUGCUCAUAUUUUAGACUGGAUGCUUACAAAGUUUGAAGUUGUUUGUUGAUAAUUAUUUUUCCUUUAACGAGACUUAAAUCUUUUAUCUCUCAGUUAAUCUGAUGAUGGAUAAAAUUGCAAAUCGACCAAGAGGCUUUGCCUUCCUACGCUAUGCUACUGAGGAGGAAUCUCGUAGAGCUAUUGAAGGAAUGCAUGGGAAGGUGUGUUGCUGGUAUUUUCAUUAGUCUUCUAAUUUAGUUGCUAUCAGAUAUCAAGAAUAUUUGCUUUAGAUGCCUACAUUCUGUUUCAUAUUAAAAGUUCUCAUGACUGGAGCCCAAUGAAUGAAACAUGUUUUAAUUUAACCAGUCUAUUCAAUCAAAGAGUGCAAAACUAUUGUAAAAUGGAAGAAAUACUUAUCAGGAAUGAGGUAAAAUAUUCCUCUAAGAGAUAUCUCUGGAAAUCCAUCUCAAGCUCUAAUUUCUGUAAAGAAACUGUGUUAGCAGAGGAAUAACUAGCAAGGUUUAUAAUCUGGCAACUUGAUUAAAAUGUGUGUGUGUGUGUGUGUGGUAGUCACUUUUAACAAGGUUUAUUGUAAAUUCUUUCCACAUUAGUUACUUGAUGAUUGAGUAACGGACGAUGCUGCUUGUUCUUUCAACCCACUAGUUCAUCAAGUUAUUUGUGAAUGAAGUGUUUCGAAAGACCUACUAGUUUAUCUAGUUCUUCUGUUGUGCAAGGAAACAGUUUCUAGGCCCAGAAUGACGAAUGGUUGAUGCUUUAGUUGUAAGGCUUUUGGUCAUUAUUCAACCCCCUCUACUAACACGUUAUCUUUUAUUACCAGCAAUAAUGCUUGGCUAAUCCUGAAGUUAUUAACAUUGAGCUACAAAUUGAAUAGAUCAAUUUUGAGGUCAAGAAAGUGAACUUGGAUGAUCAGUGCUUGGAUACUCAGCUGCCACAUCCGAUAUUUUUACCUGUUGUAGCAGUACUGAUGUUUUUUCUGGAGAUGAUGUGGAGUAGUUAGAACCUCCUGAACUCUUUAUACAGUGCUUUGAGCAUAUAACACUCUUCUGAAAAUAAAUGGGAGGCUUACUUAUUCCAUUCGAGUGUUUGUUUAUAGUGUCUAUUGCGAUGCCACCUUUUGUGAUUUGACUGUUAGUUUAUAGUUUCUGUUACAACACCAUUUCUCUAAAGGGUUUCUGGACACAUAGGGCUGUCUCUUGUUAAUGAUAAAAGGGCAAUGCAAGACUGAUGCCCGUCAGAAUAGGUGCCACUCCUUGCACAAGAAAAAGCACUAACUUUGUACUAACUAGAGCUCUUCCAUUGAAAUAAGAAAUGGUAGCCUGAUCAUAGACCUUACUAUUUCGGCAAAAAUCAUACUUGUCUCGUGAUGUGUUUUAAUAAUAUGCAUGCAUCCAAAUUAGCAAAAACACUCUUCAAGUUAAUUCAGAUUCCUGGAAAUACAGAUUUAAUCUUUCUUGGAGCUUUAUUUAUUUAUUUCCAUUCAAGAAAUAUGCUUUACUUACCAAUGAUUCACUAGGAAAGUUUGUAUUCUCCUGUAUUUGCUGUUAAUAGCUAAUAUUACUCCCUUCUCUAUGUGCUUUGCAUAUGAAGGACUGCAUUCAGAAUAUCCAUGAGCAUAAAUGAGUUGUUUCCUAAUCAGAUGGACCAGCUAUAGAAAUCAAAAGAAAUUGAAAGAUUUUUAUGAAUUACACCCUUCAAUUAUUGUAUGGUAGAAUUGAGUGAUGCUACUUGAAUGUGUGGGAUCUGGUCAAAAGAUUUACCAUUAGAAAAUCUAUUCCAAAGUCCAAACAGUAUGAAUAUCUAGGUCUACUUAAUUCACCUUCAUUUAAGACUAAGAAUCUUAUUUUUUUUCUUUUUCGUUAGAACUAAGGCUACGAAGAAAAUCUGAGGAAUUAUUUUCUAGUCAUUCACUUUUUUUCUGCUUCUGAAAAUCAAGAUAGGGUAACCACAUACAUAGAUUUUGCUUCAAACAUGAUGAAUGGAAUCUCUCAAAAGAAUAAAGAUCUCCUAUUCUUGCUUUUCUUUUCAUUUUUCUUUUUAACAAUUUAAAUAAUAUGCAAUGAUUUACAGGCUCACACUGUUUCCUUUCAGUUUUUGGAUGGCAGAGUAAUAUUUGUUGAAAUUGCCAAAUCCAGAGCAGAGCUUCGCCAGGCCUUUAAAAAUAACCCAAGGCAAAACUGACUAGCGAGAGAUGGCAACAUUGUUUUACAUAUACAGUUGAGACAUGAGAUGAAGCCACUGGGGCAACAAAUUUACGGAGGAUCGGUAAGACCUGAUGUUAAUCACAAGCAAUCUGGAAUGACUGUAGAUGUAGUUUCACAAGCCCUAGAGGUCUGACUUCUGUUAUGUGCAUGCUUGACAGCAGGAACAAUUAGUUAAAGGCUUCAAUAAGAGGGAACUGAACCCACAAGGCAACUGAUACUAGUUUGGUUUUUUUUUUUUUUUUUUCUGUAGCUGACUAUUACUACUUUCCUCGUAUCUUUCAUGAGUUGCAGAAUAUUAUCUGAAUUCUUGUUACAAGAGGAUGAGAAUUAGGAUUUCUUUUGUCAGUCAAUGUCUUAUGAACCUAAUUAACGGCUAAUGCCCAGUGACAUUUAAGUAGGUCAGGUUUGUAAACAAGCUUGUUUAGAAUUGUUUUUUCCAGAAGCCAUCCAGUUUUUCUCUUGAAGAUUCCAAUUUGGGAAUAGAGAUAUAUCCAAAUUUGUCAAUGUAUCUAGUUAUAGAGUAUCAAUCCAAUCUCCCCGCACCAACCUUAAAAUGGAUCUGUUUGGAGGUAAGGAGUGUGGAGUGCUUGGUAAAGCCCAAAAACAUAAAUAAAUAAAUAAAAUAGAAGUCAGUUUCGACCAUCUAAAUCUUUAUGCUACUAGUUAUGACUGUCUUCAGUAUAUCUAGUAAAUACAAUACACUCCAACACAGUAAUGGUAUAUCUUGUAAAUAUAAUGAACUCCAUACAUAUAUUACAGUCGGGCCAACUGGAGUGAGAGAUAGCUGGUUGGUUAAUAUAGUAUAAUGCUAUUCCAUAGAGGCUCAUGGUUAAUAUAGUAUAAUACAGUGGAAUUGCUGUGGCCAUGGAUUGUACUCAGUUGUACAGCUUUUGGGAUGCUGGACAUUCUGCAUACUGAUUAGCCUUCAAAAUAUCAGUUCUGAUAUAUAAAAAAGAUGACUCCAAGACAGUAGUAAAAGCACUCGUAGACUAGUACUAUAUUUUUUUCUCUUUCUUUUCUGUUUAUGAUGAUUUUGUUGUUGUAAAAAUAUUUUGAGCUAUUUAAGAUACUCUUGAUAGCAGAGUAUUAGGUAGAGAGGAGAUAGAAUAUGAAGGAUUGAAGAGAGAGAACAGUUGAGAGGAGGAUAUUUACUACUAAGUAGCAAGGUCCACUAUCUGAUGGUUUUUUUCUUUAAAAAGAAUUUGCAUUUAAGCACUCAUCCUAGCUACUGGAAUGGUCGGAAUGGUAGUGAUCUAGUGACUGAGAUUUUAGGUACAAAAUUGUGUCAAGAAAGAAGAGUUGUUGAACCUACCCUCCUAUAUAUACAUGGUUAGGCAGAACGGUUGGUUAUAGGCAGGCAAACAGAAAAUUACCCAUUUAAUUGAAAAUUUCCUUGUACAUUUAUAAGGCUAACAAAAUUUUUAGAAUUCAAAAUGGAAAACAGAAAAGAAUUGAAACAUUGUUGAAUUUAGGGAUUCAAAGUUGUUUGUAAAAAACGUAAAAUUAUGACCUAUAUAGAAUUUAGAUGACUCAUCAGAUAAAAAACGUAAAAUUAUGACUAAGGAUUCAAAGUUGUUUGUAAAUUGUUGUCUGCAAACUGAUGUAACAUUGUUAUUCAAUCUACAAACUGAUGUAACAUUGUUAUUCAAUGCACGAGCUUCUCUAUUUACUUAAUUUAUGCAAUCAAUAAUUUUAUGCUAUAUUUACUUUACACAAUAGUUGGUAUGAAUUGUUUGUAUCCAUAACAUCCUUCAAUACAACACUACCAUCAGCAAUGCAUCAAAGUGAAUGCAUCGUUCUGUGUUCUCUUUGGAUACCUUAAAGCCUUUAUGUUGUGAACAAUUAGUAUUUGAGAAUUCAUUGGAGAUCAUAUUACAAUAGGUGACACAUGCUUUUGUUCUAGGUUAUUAAAAUUUAGAGAAUGCUUGUAACUAUCCUGCAUCUUACUGACAUCUAUUGUUUACCAAUCAUUCAGUCACUAAUUGACAUUGAAUUGUUUCACUCCGCCAUAAUUUGUAGAUUAGACUACAUCACCUCAAUCCAAACAUAUCCUUUAAAAAAUAAAAUAAAAUAAAAUCAAGUUUUCAUUAUGAUCUUUAUUCAAGUCCUUGUCUUUCAUUUAGAACUCAUUACUGUAUUAUAGCUAUUAUUAAUUCCUUUUGCAAACUUAAAGUUCUCAGUUAUACUCUAAGGGUGCGUUGGGCACACCGUAUUAUCUUAUGUUGUAUUAUAUUAUUUUAAUGCAGGUCUAUUGUAUUAUGUUGUAUUAUAUUAGUAUUAUAUUAUAACAAUAUUGUAUAAUGUUUGGUGCUACAUUGUACUGUAUUAAUUUUUUGUGAUUAAUUUAAAUUAUUAUAUUUAGAAAAUAAUAUUGAUUAGUACUUAGAAAAAUAUUAAAUAUAAAAGUCUUAAAUCUUAUAAAUUUAAAAUUUUUAAUAAAAAUGUUUAAAAAUAUCAUAAUUUUUCAUAAAGAUCAAAGCUUAGAUUUGAUCCUUAGAUUUUUGGAAAUGUAACAUUUAUUUUUUAGUAUAUUCUAAAUAUAUAACUUGUGAAAUAAAGAUCGAAACAAAUAAUUUAAUCAAAUAAUCUCUAAAUAAAUAACAACAUAAAUAAAUGGUUAAAAUCUACAAGAUUAGUUCAAAAAUCAUAUUGGGAUGAUAGAAUAAAAGUUUAUAUAUGCUAAAAGAUAAUUACAAAAUAAUAAAGUGAUUAAUUGUUGUAACAUAUUCACCAAGAAAAUGAAUUGUGCUAAAUUAUCCAGUAAUUAUUUAUAUUAUUAAUUUUCAAUUAUUAUUCAAAUUUAUUCAUAUUUAAAUAUUUAUUAUUAGUUAUAUUAAAUUAUUCAAAAAUAACUAAUUUAAUUAUCGUAAUAUAAUUAAAUAAUGUAAUAUUAUAUUAUUUAAGUAUUUAUUAUUAGUUAUAUUAACUUAUGAAAGAUUAAUCAAUUUUAUAUAUUAUAAUAUGAUUAAAUAAUAAAUAAUACAUUAUUUAAUUAUAUUUUUAAUAUAAUAAAAAUUAAAAUAUAAUAUAAUAUUAUUUUUUGAAUAAUAAUUUAUUAAUUUAUAUUAAUAAUUGUAAUGUAAAAAUAAAAUAUUAUAUUAUAUUAUAUUCAAAAAUUGGAUUUAGAUAAUGCAGGAAGUUGCUGUAUUAGAGUGCAUUAUAAUGCAAACAUGGGGUUGCAUUCCCAUAUAAUGAGGGGUACCAAACACCCCCUAAGUUCUUCACAACGCUCCCAAUUUAUCUGUGUAACUUGAUUUAUGAUAUGUAGUAAAAUAGAUAUAUAGAUGUCACCAGUGAAAAUUUUGAAGACUAAUCAAGAAUUUUGAGUCAUGCAAUGAGAAGUAGAAGGCAUUGUAACUGGCUGCUGCUGUAUUCUUGGCUCCUAUUGUUGAUUACAAUGAGAUAGCUUCGUGUUGACGAAUCCACUACACCUGGAAGCGUGUUUAAGCCAUACGUUUGAGUUUGUAUUGAAAAUUUGUUAACAUGGUGAAUCAAAAGAAAAGAAAUUUUGAAAGUAAUUAGAUUGUACUAGAAGUUGACUUUCUCUAGUUAGAUUGUACUAGAAUUAGCUUUCGUUGUAGAGCACUUAUCAAAUUGUUCCCAAUUUUUCUUUUUUUUUUUUAGUUACUUUAAAUGUUAAAUAAUAUAUGAUCGAAAUUGUUCUUCAACUUUGACAUAAAUAGAAUAGUAGAACUUCGACCCAAAAUACUUUGUACUACCACUAAAAAGUUUCGUUUAUUUCAAGCACAAACUAACAAGGAAUCAUCCCAAGCAGUUGGUCUAAUUGAUUAGCCUCUUGCUAUGGAAUCAAAAUGUUAAUGAAUCGUUUUUCUUGUAUCAACCUUGAAGAGAGAAAUUUUUAGUUUAUGUAUGUCCAUGAUGCUGUAAUAAUGUGUGUGAUAUAAUUUGCAAUAAUAAUAAUAAUAAUAAUAAUAAAAGGAUUGGAGGUGAAGACAGCUAUGACAAUUGGAGCCUUGGAGGUGAUUGUACCUUCAUUCUUCUGAUAUUUUACCGCUCUCUCUUCACAAUCUCUCCUUUGAUCUAGUAUGCAAACAGCUUCGGUUCUUGUUGAUAAAGAAUUUUGGACCUUUAUUCAUUAUUUGGGUUUGAACGAUUCAUGUGCCGUUUAUUGAUCUUACUUGGAAACUUAUGAAAAUCUAUCACAUAUUGUCAAAUCAUUUAAUAUAAAAUUGGGAUAUCCGAUGUUACUCUUAUGAUCAGUCUAGUUUCUAUAAAUCGAAAUGGGUAAGAAUCAAAAUAAUAGAAAUUAGAAUUAAAAUAGAUUGUCUACUUGAGCUGAAAAAAUCAAAAUCAAAUGCGCUAUAUUGUCAAUGAUAUGUUUACUUUAUCUUAUAAUGGUAAUAAAUUGUUAAAAGUUAAUAAAAUACCUUUGGUUAUAAUUAUGUUUUUGUUUAUAUUUGUUCACUAAUAAAAUAAAAAGUAAACAUUUUUCAAUAAAAUGCGUGAACACUAGCUAUAAAUAUAAUUACCAUUAGUAAUAAGUAAUAAUAAUAAUAAUUAAUAGUAAUAGUAAUAGAUUAUUAUUACUAUUAUUAUUAUUUUUUUUUUAAAUGGACGAGGUGGAAAUAAAAAUAAAAGAUUGGAAAUGGAGAUUGAAUCCACAUUUUAACCAUUGAAGAAAAAAAAGGGUCCUAUCCAAAAUUUAAACACUAUUAAUGAUUCAUAUUUAAAUUAUUUAGUAGUACCUCAAAUGACUGGGUGUGGGUUCAAUAAUCUCAGUCACUGUUACCUUUAUUGGCCAUGUGAAAUAGGGGUGUUCAGAAUCCAAUUCGAUCUGCCUAAUCAGUCUAAUCUGUAGAAAUCUUAUUUGCAAAGAUCAGAUUCAUGAAUUGGUGGAUUAGAUUGGAUUGAAAAUUUAGUAAUCCGCAAUCGGUGGAUAGGAUAUGGAUUUACUUCUGUAAAUCUACAAAAAUUCGAGAAUCCGCAAAAAAAUAAAAAGUAUUUAUUUAAUUAAAAAAUAAAACUUAUAAAUAUGGCAUUAGUACUUACUAGUAAAUAAAUAAGUUAAAAUAUAAUUACAUUAACACUAUAUUAUAUCUUAUCCGAUAAUAAUAUAAAAUAAAAAAUAAUUAAAUAAACAAAUAUAUUUUUCUAAAUAAUUAAUUUCCGUGUACUGAUCUAAACGAAUGAGAUUUUUUUUGUUUUAGUGUGUUAUAUUUUGAAACUUUAAAUAUAUUUUCUAGCUUUAUUUAAAUAAUUAAUUUAUUUGAAUCUUAUUUAAUUUUAAAUUUGAUCGGUAGUAAAAUUAUUUUUAUAUUAAAUUUUUUUUAUUUAGUUAGUUUGUGGGUUAGACAUAAUUAAUUUUUUUUUUGUCCACAAAUCAAUCUAUAAAAUGGUGGAUUAGAUAUGGAUUAGGUCAAAUCUGCAUCCGAUCCGCAGAUGUAUGAAUUGAAUUUAAAUUGAAUUUCACCAAUUUAUGAAUUCUAUUGAAUUGAAAAUUUAUAAUUCGUAAAAUUAUGAAUCAGAUAUAAAUUAAUGUUCAAUCUAUAAAAUUCGAUCAGUAAACACCCGUAAAUUGUGGAAGUGCAAAGAAUUGUAUGGUUUUUGUCUAGUGAUGCACUCACCGACAAUCUGUUCCAAAAUUCGAACCGAAUCCAGCUAAAACCGAAAUCCCAUAUUCUGUUUAAAGCACCGUACUUGGACGUCAACACCAAUCAAUCUAUUGCAUUUUCAAAAUAAAAAUAUUAAAAGAAGCUUAAAAGCCACCAUGUAAAUUGCGAUCUGCCUUCUUAAUUAAAUAAAGAUGUUUCCAGUAGUAAACAGUAAACUUUCCCUAAUAUGCAUUAAAUAAAUAAUAAAACAUCAUUCACCAAUCACGAGAAUCUCAACAUGCACAAAUCAUUAACUUAAAAAAAAUGACGUACAUUGAUUUGCUUGAGAUUUAUAUAAACUAAUUGAGAUUUUAUCAAAUUCCCCUUUGUCCAAAUUAAUAUAUUUCAUUAUUCGGGUUUAGCAACGUAACAACCGUGAUAUCAUACCAUCUUUUGUCUUUUGUGGCAGCACUACUGUAAAGUUUCAUAAAACUCCUUCUACUCAUUUUUUUUAAACUUUGCUUCUAAGUAUUAAGCUAAUUUCUAUCUACAUCCAUAAGCACAUUCCAAUUAACACCUUCUACUAUUUAUUAUUAUUUUUAUUCUAUGUUGCACCUGUAUCACAAUACCCCCUCUUUGUUAACAUAAAUAUUUCUUUAUUUAUUUUGAUGAUAACAAACUUGAUUGAGAUUGAUUAAUCUUUUAAAAGCUCAAAAUAAUUUUCAUCUAUUUUGACAAGUUUUAUAAAGUGUUGGAGACAAACAGUUAUCUUGCAAAAUAGUUCACUGCAGUAGUUUUUGUGGAAAACGGGGAUUCGAUAAUUUUGAUAAACGGCUCGCCGAUAUCAAACAAAAUUGAAGAUUAGUCUCUAGACCUAAACGGCGAUCCGACAAUUUAAGAUUGAUUAAUCUUUUAAAAGCUCAAAAUAAUUUUCAUUUAUUUUGACAAGUUUUAUAAAGUGUUGGAGACAAACAGUUAUCUUGCAAAAUAGUUCACUGCAGCAGUUUCUGUGGAAAACGGCGAUCUGACAAUUUUGAUAAACGGCUCACCGAUAUCAAACAGAAUUGAAGAUUAGUCUCUGGACCUAAACGACGAUCCGAAAAAUCUAAUAAACGGCUCGCCGAUAUUGAACAGAACUAAAGAUUAGCCUCUGGACCUAAACGGUGAUCCGACACCUAGAUAACGGCGAUCCGACAAAUUUGAAAAUCAGCCCAACGGUCAUAUUGACCAGUCAAACGGCGAUCUGACAUCUAGUUAAUGGCGAUCCGACAGUGUGCAGAAAGUCAAUAACCGCUAGUUUUCAGCUCCAACUAUAAAUAAGCUCAUUCAAAUUCAAACAAGAUUGAUCACUACACAACCAUUGAGCUUAUAUUCGAUAAUACAAUCUUCAUAGAGCUUUAAAAACACAUUCUUGUUUCAUCUAUUCACACAUUGGGCAUUGAUUUGUAAUCUUAAAUAUUGUGUGAGAGAAAAAUAAUUUUUAAACUUCUACUUUGAAUGAUUGUAAGUAUUGGGAUACACUUGGGUUAAGAGAUUGGGGAUAAUCUCUUGUUGUAAAGGUUCAUUGACACCUUGGAAGUCAAGUGUAAGCAUUUGAAGCCUUGGAGGCUUGCUUAGUAAAAUCCUCAAGGCCGGAAAGCUUGGAGGCAUGAACAUAGGCGAGGUUGGCUGAACCACGUAAAAAUCUUCGUGUUUGAAUCUCUCUUCCCUUAUCUUUUUAUAUUGUAAUUGAUUUAAUUGUUAUUCCAUUAAAUUCAUUUUAGAUUUGCAUGAUAAUUUGUUUUAGAAUCUAAUAAUUUUUAGAAUCCCAAUUCAUCCCCCCCCCCCUCCCUCUUGGGUUGCAUACUUGUAUUUCACUCUUUAUUAUUUUGAGAUUGAGUAAUUGUCAUAUUUAAUUUAGAACCUUAAACUCUUUUUUUUUUAAAUUGUAAGAUUUUUUGUUAAAUCUACUAUCAAAUUUCAUUUGACACUUUACACUAUUUUAAUUACAAUUUUUUUAAUAAAUAUUAUAUAUAGUAAUUUUUACUUACAUGUAUAACAAAUUAUGUAACCCCAAUAGGUCUAUUGCAAAAAGUAUUAUAAUUUUUCUUACACUUAUUUUUAUCAUGUUAUUUAUUUCAAGUAUUCUUAUCUUAUGGGUUCAUUUGGUUCGUCAUUAUUUGUUGUAUUAGAUUGUAUUGUAUUAAUUUUUUUUAUCACACUAGACUGUAUUAAACUAUAAUUUACUAAAAUUGUUAUCCGUCAUAUAUAGUAAUAAAAACUUUUAACAAUAUAAUGUUGUUACUACCUAAAAAUCAAUAUUAGGUCCAAUAACCCAAUUUAGCCCAUAAGGCUCAGGCACGGGAUGUAUUAUAUGCUUCUCGGAGUUCGCGCAAGGCAUUGCCCAAUUAAAACAUGUGAAGAAAAUGCGGAGAUAAAUUAGACUAGCUGUUCAGGACAUUCAGCGACAAUGCCUCUUCUUACAACCUAAAUAUAGUAAAGUGGUGGUAAUAAAAUAUUACCAACUAAUGUUGACAAAGUAAAUUAUUUUAUUAUAAUAAUAAUUUGAUUUUAACAAAUAAAUUAUUAUUUUGAAGCCCACCAAUUUUGAUAAAACAAAAGUAAAUUAUUUUAAAACUAAGCAAAUUUGAUAUUUUGGGAUUGGCAUGCCCUAUAAUUAGGUGAGUUGAGGGCAUGGAGAAUGGAUCAAGGAUAGUAUGAGAAAAACAUCAAUGGAGAGAGUAUUUUGAGAACUUUAAGUUCUUAAUUUAGUAAUUUGAGAGUUUGGGUAUAUUGGGGUCUUGAGUUGUGAGAUAAAAUACUAUAAUACUUGUAACUUUACACAACUAAUAAAAUAUCUUCUCUCAUCUUCUCCCGUGAACGUAGACUAAAAGUUGAACCACGUAAAUUCUUAUGUCUCCUAUGUGAUAUUUAUUUCUCAAUUUCAUUUUAAUCAUAUAUCUACUUCACUCACUAAUUCACUAACAGUAAUAUCAAAGCCAUUGAUCAUAAUUAUUUGGAGUACAGAUAUUGUUCAUACAUACAGUACUAUUCACACAUACAGUACUAUUCACGUAUACCGUACUAUUCAUAUCAAGAGUGAUCGAAUGCUAGAGUGGAUCAACCGUAUGGUUUUGUACAUGUCUAGGAAAAUUAUGCCACCAAGACGAUAAGAGCCUAAAAAGUUUUAGUAUUAAGCGGGACUGUUGUGACUCCUUCAGUCUUUCUUGGAAACUUUCCUGGUGUGCAAUUUCAUGCAUACUACCAUCUGCGAUUAUUCAAGCCAAAGUCAAAAUUACAGUAAGAGCUUAUUUGGGCCAUAUCAAUGCCUAAAUACGCUUUUUGGACCUCACUCUUUGAACCACACAAUAAGAUCAGGCGGGUUGCAGACCAUUUAAUCAAAAUUUCUAUUCAAGCCCAAUUCUAGAAAGAGCUCGUUCUUGUAACACGUGGCUUGCUGAAAUUUCUGCCCCAAACAUUUUGGCAACUCCACUAGGGAGUUUGGUUAGGAUUUUAACGAUGACUUCUUGAAGCUGGAGCAUCAAUGAGCAUGAGAAUUUCAAAGAACUUAUGGAGUAGAAGAACCAUAUCCAGGAAAUAGUUGCAAAAAUGCUUGCUCAGCAACAAAUAGCCAUACAACAAAGGCAGCCACAAGUUACCCCAUUGAAGCAACCUCGAGCCAUCAUACAGAAUCAAGUCCCAGAUCAACUACAACAAAACCAACCAAGAGAAUUUAAAGUUGUUCAUUGUUAUUGACAAAUGUCCAUUCUUCCAAGAAAGCCAUUCAUGUGGCCAGUUGUGAAUGCCUCUCCAGAAUUCAAUAAAAGGCCUCAAUUGUAGGCUCAAGUGGGGUAAAAUAGACCUAUUACUUUAGCAGAGGUAAUGACUCUUUUGCAGUGCCAAAAUUAGAAUAUACGAGAUAUGGAAAAUUCUCUUUAGCCAUCAUAAUUAAAAGAGAUCAUGUGUAGGCCAUAUUCUUAAGGUUAUCACUGCAUAUAAUUUAUCAUGUUUGACGGGCGGAAAGGCAACCCAAGAGAACAUAUUAGCCAUUACAUUGAUGAUCUUGACUAAUAUGUUGUUGAUCCUCAUCUUCGAUUUAGGACAUUUUCCAAAUCCCUCACUGGUCGUAUUUACACUUGGUACACUAAUUUGCGAGUUAGUUCGAUCUAUUAGUGAAACAAAAUGGCUUUUAAAUUUUGUCAAAAGUAUUUAUAGACUGAAGACCAAAAAACAAUAGAGGAUUUGAACAUGACUACUCAGGGACCCAAGUAAGGCCUAGUGGAAUAUUUCAAGCGUUUCAGAAACUUGGAUUUAGAUUGUUAUGAGUCCAAAUCAGAGGAAGAACACAUUCGUAAUAUGGUGAAUAACCAACGAAUGUUUCUAGAGAAUCUUCCAUCCUAGUUUUUAGUCUGUUGCUAGAAAAAGCCAGCAAAACUACCUUAUCAAUGAGAUCAACGCACACAAUCAUUAAAAAAUGGGAGGUUCCUCAAGUUGUGAUAGUAGAAAGACGUUUCUAGCCAUACAAGAAAAGAAUGCCAAAAGAAAGGCCCUAAUGUCUUCCAAGUUGCCUUGCACAAAAGAAGAAUUUGAUUCUAUCAUGGAUCGUUGCAUAAUGGAUGGAAUACUCUAGCUGUUCAGACUAACAAGACCAUUGAGUGAAGCAGAGCUAAAAAAUCCAAAGCUUUAUUGCCUGCAUCAAAGAUUAAUCAUCCUACAGUGUAUUCCGGCCACAUCAUCAAAAUGAUUAAAGAAAAGAUUGUGGUGGAUCAUUACAGCUUCAACGAAGGGGACAAGAUGUAAAUGUGAACCCGAUACUUCACCAUAGAGAUCGAGUAGCUAUGAUGACUAUUGUUAACCCUAUUACAACCGAUAUUGGUUCACCAAUAGAUGUUGCUAUAUAGGAGCAAAAGAAAAAACAUGCAAUCAUGUUGAAAAAUGAUCUUAUAGUAUACGCUCUCCAAUGCAAUCAUAAAUUUAAGUCCUUAUUUGAUCAGCUGGGAUACGAUUCAGAGGCACAUGCAACAACUAUCAAAGCAUUGAUUGGAGUUUUUGCUCAAUAUGGACCAGAGUGCUAUGCAACCAAAGUAGAAGUCAAUCGACCUUAUAUAAUACAAUGAUUUUUUUCUACGAGGAAAUUAAGGUAAUAAAUCCUGAUCACCGAUGACCAUUAUUUCUAAAAGCUAAAAUCAAUGGAGUACUAAUCAUAAGGGCUUUAGUAGAUAGGGUGUUCCUUCAUCAAUAUUGUCCCUAAGGCAAUAUUUGAAGCGACAAAAAUACCAUCAAGAAAAUUUAUGGGCCAAAGGUCAUAAUCUCUAGGUUUGGUAAUCUAUUUGAAUCUACAGAGAGAUAUAUUCAAUUGGAUUUGAAAUUUUGUCCUUUUCGAGCUCCAACAGUGUUUCAUGUCAUUGAUGUUGAAACUUCAUACCACGUCCUGCUUGGAAGGCCCUAGCUAAAUAAACACAAGAUGGUACCCUCUACACACCAUUAAUGUGUGAAGGGAAUGAUGAGGAUGAGAUCAAUCCAUAUUGCUGUUAAUCUUGCCUUAUUCUAUCAUAAAGAAAGUCGCAUGGCAGAGGCUCAGUUCUAUGAACAAUUCACUAAAGGGGAAAGAACUAUUGCUGCCAAGCUACGAGGGGUGAAACUUUUGAAAGACACUGAAAAAGGACCAAAAAGCUAACCAACAGAAGCUUGAUAAAAUAAAAUGCAAGUUAGAUUCUUCAGAAGAUGCUAAUUCUGGUAGUUCAAAACAAUAAAUCAAUUUUACUCUAUUUUGUGAGAAAUAAGUUCUAUCUCAUGGCAAAGUGGUGUACCAUUUAUGACGGUGUAUGGGGCCUAAUUCUUUUCUAAGGAAAGGUCCCAAAUUAAUAACUUGUCAUCUUUGUGAGCAAGUACUAACUGAGAAGCAGGUGAAGAAUUUCAAUCAGAAGUAAUUGAAGAAAAUGUAUCACUUGCACCCAAAUGCAUGCAAGACAGCCAUCAAUGAGGACUUAGAAGAAGUGAAUCUCAGUGGUAAGGAAAAUGUAUAAAAAUCUGUCUUAAUUAGCUGCAAACCUGACUAAGGAUGAGCAGAAGAAGUUGGUCGAGUUACUAAAGGAGUACUGGAAUGAGUUUGCAUAGAGUUACCAAGACAAUGCUAGGAUUGGAUACAUCAAUAGUUUAUCACGCACUCAAUUAGACUCAAAUUGCAAGCUAAUAAAACAAGCGAGAAGAAAUUUUUAUCCAUACAUGGAGAAGAAAGAAGAUUAAAAAGGAGGUAGAAAAACAUAUUUCUGCCGGAUUUAUUAAGCUAAUCAAACGUCCUACACGAUUUAAAAAUAUUGUAUCGGUGAAGAAGAAAAAUUAGACAGAUUAGAAUUUGCAUGGAUUUCUGAGACGUGAAUAAAACUUGCCCAAAUGAUAAGUUUCCUUUAUCCAACAUGGAUAUGCUCAUAGAUUCAACUUCUGGUCAUGGAUUUCUCUCAUUCAUAGAUGGAUUUAAUAGACAUAAUCAAAUCAAGAUGGCACCAAAAGAUGCGAAGAAAACUGCCUUUUAUACACCUAUGAGAAAUUUUUACUAUACUGUUAUGCCCUUUACCCUUAAAAAUGCAGAAGCCAUAUACUAAAGGGCCAUGAUAGUAGUAUUCCAUGACAUGAUGGGAAAGGAGGUAGAAGACUAUGUUGAUGAUCUCGUAUUCAAAUCUUUUACGAGGGAUGCACACUGGUUAAUUCUAAAGAAGGUAUUUGAUCAAUGCUUCAAGUAUAAUAUAAAGAUCGUAAGAAGUGUGCCUUCAAUCGUUCAACUGGCAAAUUUUUUGGUACAUCAGCACAGAAUUAGUGUUGACCUAGCCAAAAUCCAGAGUAUCACUGUUGUACCACCACCAAGAAAUCAAAAAGAGUUGAAAAUUUUAUUGGAGAACUAUCUUAUAUUCGUCGAUGAUUUCUAUUUACACACAUUUUCUCAAAAAGAAAGCUCAAUUUCUUUGGAGAAGUGAUCAUAAAGAAAUAUUCCCCAAAAUCUAGAAGACUGUUAUGAAUUUACCAACCAUGAAAGUACCAAUAAAAUGAAGGCCACUUCGAGUAUAUUUGGCAGCAACUAAUACUGCCAUAAGAGUAUUAUUGACACAGAAGGAUGAAGAGAAGUAAGAACUCCAAAUCUAUUAUGUGAGCAGGCAACUCUUUGACAUAAAAGCAAAUAACAUAAGCCCUGAACAUGUUUGCCUAGCUCUUGUUUAUGCUUCUCAAAGCUUAAGGCAUUAUUUUCUCCCCCAUCAGUUACAUCUUAUGGUAAAGGCAAACCUAGUGCACUAUUUAUUACUCAGGCCUAGGCUUACUAGAAAGCUAGCUAAGUGGCUUUUACUCCUUCCAAAAUUUGAUAUUAUGUGUGAAACUCCAAGUGCCAUCAAAGGCCAAGCAGACAUUGACAUGAUUGCUACAUUCUCUACAUUCUCUACAAAUUAGGAUACUUUUUUAUUGCAAGAAUGUUCUAGGGAUAUUUCAAAUCGAAGUUGUUUUGUCUUAGAAAUUGAGGAUUAGUGGACAAUCUAAUUUGAUGGAUCUUCAACUAAAGUAACAGGAGGUGUAGGUUUGGUCAUUAUUGAUCUUAUUGAAAGAGUUUCAGUAUUAUCUUUCAAAUUGAAUUUUUCAUGCACCAACAAUAAAGUAAAGUAUGAAGCAGCAAUUACCGAUCUACUCACAGCAAAGAAACUUGGGGCGAAAAAAGUCACGUUUGUAGGACAUUCAAAUCUAGUAAUCCAACAGAUUAAUGAUGUGAUUUUAUUGUAAAAGAACUAGCAUUAGCUCCAUAUCAACCUACAUUAGAAAACUCCUGCCAACUUUCAAAAAUUUCAUAGGAGAGCUUGUUGGGAGACAAGAAAAUAAGGUACGGUGAUGCACUAGUCACGCUAGGAGCUAAAAUCAAUUUAGUAGAAGAAAUAACUCAAGUCACAUUUCCUACAGAAGACUAAAUUAGUAAUCCUUGGAAAAAAGAAUUCAAACAUGAAGCAACAAUAAAUGAGACAGACUGUUGCACUACCAUUAUCAAAGUAAUUAAUGAUCCUAAAAAGAGCCUUUAUCUCAAGCAAGCAAAGGAUUAUUUUUUGAUUUUGGGAGCUUUUUCUAAGCACAUGACAGGGGGUAUCCUUAUGAAAUAUGACCACGAACAAGAAGGUGAAAAGUUACUCAAUGAAAAACAUGAAGUAUCUGGUGCGACAAAACCCAAGGUCAGCCUUUAUAGAAAAAUACAAAGGAGGGGAUAUUAUUGGCCUAACAUGAAGAAUAAGCACAUGCCAUGCAGUCAUCUUGCACCGAGUGCCAAAACUUAAUUUAUGCAAAACAAAUCCGCAUAGCAACCAUGCAUAAAGACUAGAGAAAGCCUUAUAUUAAUUAUUUGCAAUAUGAGGCACUACUUCUGAAUCAUAAAGAGGCAUGCAAGAUUAAACAGAUAGUCAAGAGAUAUUUCAGGAAGAUGAUAUCCAGUUUCGGAAAGGAUUACAUGAAAAUCCAUUGAAGUGUCUAGGUUACCAUGAUUUAUAAGGAGUUUUACAUGAAGAGCAUAAUAGAGAGUGUGGAGAACAUCAAGGCCAAAGAAAGAUAUAUCGCCAACUGGUGAACUUAGGCUAUUAUUGGCCAACAAUGGAAAAAGAUGCCAAGAAGUUUUUCAAGAAAUGUCAUACUUGCCAAAUUCAUAGGACUCUCCAGCAUAAUUAUCCUACCUCAUUGCAGGAUAUGACAUCACCAUGGCCAUUCCACACUUGGGGGCUGGAUUUAACAAGGCUUAUUUAUCCGCUUGCACGUGGCAAUAUUUGGAUCCUUACAGCCACAAAAUACUUCACUAAAUGGGUCUAAGCAACUUGUAUGAAAAAGGUCAUUGGAGCAAUUGUAUCAAAAUUCUUGUGUGAACACACUAUAUGUCGCUUUGGCGUACCGUACAAAAUCAUCACAGAUAAUGGCACUCCAUUUGUCAACAAACAUGUGAACGUUACUCUUUCUCGCUACAACAUUAAACACUGAAGGUCAGCACCAUAUUAUCGACAAGGUAAUGGCCAAGCUGAGGUCACCAACAAAGUCAUUUUAAAGAUCCUAAGCAAGAUUGCACGAGUACAAGGCUGAUUGGAGUACACACCUCACAGAUACCCUUUUGGGCCUACAGAAUUUCGCCAAAAGAAUUAUCUAGUUUCUUACCAUAUUCCCUUAUAAGUUGAAUUCCUACAGCUCGUGUCAUAGUGGCUAAUGUUGAAGCAGAAACAUCUUCAGAGGCUCACCUAGCUCAAAUUGAAGCUUUGGAAGAGAGAAUGAAACUUGUACAAGAUCACGAAUGAUCUACUAACAGAAAAUUAAAAAAGCAUAUGCCAAAGCCGCUAAACAAAGAGACAUGAAAGUGGGCAAAUGAUCUUGUUCUCAAGGUAGCUGACUAUGUGAGAAAAGUUCUAUCAGCUCCAACAAAUUAUGCCUACCUUAUUAAAGACCAUUUAGAGUCCGAGAAGCCCAUGAUAGUGGUUAUUAUCAGCUCUCCACCGAUGAAGGACAGAUCCUCCACGACCCUAUAAGUGGGAAGUGGCUCAAGCGAUAUUAUUGCUAAAUAUCUGUAAAGGCAAAUCAUAAUGGUUAGGUGAAAAAAAUACAAUAAUAAUAAAGGCAGAUCAUCUACAGACGCCCCACUAGAGAUUUACCUAGUAAGGAUGCCUUUGCGAUAUGUUUUCACAAAGUUGUACAUGUUUCCAACACAUGGAUACCCUCAUGAAAGAUGUCAAUGCAUAUGUACGAUUCAUACGUUAUUUCCUAUAUUUCCUAGGCAUAUAGAAGCUUGCACUAUAUGCGAAUGCCCUUAUGAAUGUAUUUUUUCUCUUAAGAUGCCUGCUCCAAGGGUAAAUGGACAAAGCCUAGAAAGAGAUGCUCAUAUAUUAGGGUUAUGUAAAUGCAAGUAAACCUCAUGAAAAGCUCCAACAACUUAGGUUGUUAAGCUAAGCUAUAAGCCUUGCAAGAAUUCAAAGUCAAGCAAAAAGAUCUUUGAAGAAAUAAAAGAGAGGUAUAAGAAUAAGGUAAACAUUAAAAUUUUUCAUUAUAUCUCUCUAAUAAGAUAUGAUUUAUACUCCCUCAGAAAUUAAGCGAAUGAUAUAUUAAGCAAUGUCACUAGGGUAUUUUAAUAGUAUUCCAAGCUCAAGCUUUAUACAAAAGUUAGACAAAGGGACUAAAACGUUUUAGCCCUUACCUCCAAAAGAAGUAAGUGUCUUGCACUGAAAAUCUUUUACAAAUUAUUUCUUAUCCUAACCAUGCAGGAUCAUUCAUACUAUUUGAAAAAAAUAAAAAUAAAAAAGAUAGCAAUGUCAUAAUCGGUAAGCAAUUUCUACUGGUUAAUACGUAUUCAUAAUGAAAUCUCAUUUUAUUUAUUAAUUUGCAUUAGUACAAAAAAAAGAGGAAAAAGAGAGAGAGAUGAAACGGUAAAAGUUUAAGGUCACAGUGGAAGACUCAGAUCCAACAUUUUGCGCUCUUACUUUUGUCCUCAUCAUCAUUCUUUUUCUUGUCCUUACCAUCUUUCUUCUCACUAUCAUCAUCCUUCUUCCUUUUAUUACCAUCGUUUUUCCCUUUAUCAUCAUUAUACAUAAGGUGAGUAAUGGUUAGGACGAGCUCGAGACGAUAUGCCUAUAACAUAUCGAUUAAUUCAUCCACAAUAUUGACAUGAACAAAGACUCUUCGCGCUAGUAUAGGGAGAAAACCUUGCAGCACAGCGCCAUCGAGAAAAAAUAACUACAGACUAUAGAAAUCCUUUACAUUUAGCAAACCAAUAGGUUUCUAAUACCUGUUUUGUUGUGACAAUGAAACGGUAGUGAAGAUUUCUUCUUUGGUUUUAAAUCAGCCGAUCAAAGCAAUGAAAACAUAAACAUGGUUAUUCAAUUCAAAAAGUCUUUCACGUGUAUUAGGGACAAUCCUUGUGUACAACAGAUUGGGUAAGAUUUUGAUUUUAUCUCAAAAUUCAAGAAAGGUGCGAGAGAUCUUUUACCACAUUCCUUCUAGACUAAUAAAUAAGCAGCAUGAUGGCUAUUCCAUGUACAUGUACAAUUAAUAUCAUAUCUUUAUUAAGCUUUAAACUAACCAUACUUUAUUUUUGUUUUCGAUAUGAAUUUUAGGCAGGUAAUUUGAUUAUGUGAUAUGCUCGCCUACAACUACACAUCUCACAUAAUCAAAGGAGGCUUAUAUUACUAGCUAGAAAUUGAUAUUUGGCCUAAUAACCUAACUCCGCCCAUAAGGCUCAAGCCCGAGAUAUGUUACAUGCUCUGUAGAGUUCGCGCCAAGCAUUGCCCAAUGGAAACAUGCAAAGAAAAUGUGGAGCUUGGUCAGACUAGCUGUUCAGGACAUUCAACGAUAGUGUCUAAAUACAGUAAAGUGGUGGCAAUAAAAUAUUGCCAACCAAUGUUGACAAAGCAAAAUAUUUUAUUAUAAUAAUAAUUCCAUUUAACAAAUAAAUUAUUAUUUUAAAGCCCACCAAUUUUGAUAAAACAAAAAUAAAUUAUUUUAAAGCCAACCAAAUUUGAUAUUUUGGGCUUGGCUUGCCCUAUAGGUGACUUGAGGGCAUGGAGAAUGCAUCAAGAGUAGUGUGAGAAAAGCCUCAAUUGGGAGAGUAUUUUGAGAACUUUAAGUUCUUAGUUUAGUAAUUUGAGAGUUUGAGUAUAUUGGGGCUUGGGUUGUGAGGUAAAUACCGUAAUACUUGUAAGUUGUAACUCUACAGAACUAAUAUAAUACCUUCUCUCAUCUUCUCCUGUGGACUUAGGCUAAAAGAUGAACCACGUAAAUUUUUGUGUCUCCUGUGUGAUAUUUAUUUCUCAAUUUCAUUUUAGUCAUGUAUCUACUUCACUCACCAAUUCACUAAUAGUAAUAUUAGAGCCAUUUAUCGUAAUUAUUUGGAGUAGAGAUAUUAUUCAUACCUAUAGUGCUAUUCACGUAUAUCGUACUAUUUAUAGCAAGAGCGAUCGAAUGCCAGAGUGGAUCAACCGUAUGGGUUUGUACAUGUCUAGAAAAGUCUUGUCACUAAGGCAAUAAAAAUGUAAGGAGUUUUAAUUUUAAGUGGGACCGUUGUGACUCCUCCAGUCUUUCUUGUAACUUUCCUGGUGUGCGAUUUCAUACAUACUAGCAUCUGCAACUAUUCAAUCCAAUUUGGGUCAUAUCAACGCUUGAAUACAUAUUUGGACCUUGCUCUUUGAACCACACAACAAGAUCAAGUGGGUCGCAAACCAUUUAAUCUAAAUUUCUACUCAAGCCCAAUUCUAGAAGGAGCUCGUUCUUAUAACACGUGGCUUGGUAAAAUUUCCACCCCCAAACAAAUGUCAGUCCAUAUUACAUAAAAUUCAUUUAGCAUCUAUUUGGAGAUGAUGAAUUUUUAUUUACAACAACAAACUAAAGAAUUAAAUAAGAUGAUAAAAAUAAAAAUAUAAAAAAUUAUAAUAUUUUUUGUGAUGGAACUAUUGGGAUUACAUAAUUUGUUGUGAAUGUUAAAAAAAAAGUAGCAUAAUAUUUAAAAAAAUUGAAAUAAUUUGAUAGUGGAUGUAAAAGAAAUUAUGAUAUUUAAAAAAAAUUGUAACUAAAAAGGAGUGUGAAGUUUUAAAUUAAACAUGCCAAUUAUUCAAUUUCAAAAUAGUAAAGAGGUCUAUCAAAAAAUAAAAAAAGUAAAGAACAGAAUUGUGAUACAAAUGCAAUAUUAGAUAAAAAAUUUAUAAAUAUAAUAGAGUAUAAGGCGCUAACUAAAAUAUACAUGCGGAUGCAGGUAGAAAUUAACUUAAUACUUAUGAAAAAAAAUGUUAAAUAAAAGUGAGUUGAGGAUUUACAUGAAAAUUUGUCGCAAAAGACAAAAGAAGUGAUAUAUCACCAACCGGCCCACUUUUUCUUACUAUUUUUAUAAUAACCAAUAAUCUCUUAAAAAACUUUUAAAAAAUAAAUAAGCCAUUUGUUUAGUAUUUUAUCUUGAAAAUAUAAAAUAUAUAUUUAUAUAAAAAAGAUAUUUAAAGAUAUAAAAAUAAGAAAAUUAAUAUUUAAAUUUCUAUUUAUAUAAUUUGUUUAAUUAAUAAUAAAUAAAAAUAAAAAUAUAUUUAAAAAUAAGAAUAAUACUAUAAAAUUAUGGUGUUGAGGGAGGUUUUAAGGGGUGGGCAAUAGUCGAUUUGGUUCGGUUUAGGUCUCGAACCGAACCGAACCAAAACCAAUUGGUUCUCGAAAAUAUGAACCAAACUCGAACCGAAUUUAAGACCGAACCGAAAUAUUUCGGUUCGCUUCUUAAAUUCGGUUCGGUUCGGUUCGGUUCGGUUUAGAACCAAUUUUUCAUUUUCUAGAUUUUACAAUUUUAUCCUAAUAUUAUCAUAUUUUAUACUUUCCACCUAAUUUUACUUAAUUUUGCAAUUUAUACUUCCAUUAACUACCAAGUAUACUCUACACACAUAAUAUUAAUAAAUUAUAUAUGAAAUUAUGAAUAAACAAGUAUAAAAUCUUCAAAUCAAAAGCAAAAUAAAAUCCAUAAUAAUGUAUCAAUAUUCAAUAAAACUCCACCACCACACAGGAAACAAGCCAUAGUACAUAUUAAAAAAAAAAAAAAAACUCAAACUCCAAGGUUUCGUUGGCAACUUGGCAUAAGUCAAGUAAAGUCACAUAUCAAUCUCUUCAACCAACAUUGGAUUGAAAAAAUCACAUAUCAAUCUCCAGAUUACGAAGCAAUGAAAAAAUCCAGGUCCGUAUCUAGAGGUGGUAAAAAUAUUUGUCCGGUUUGGAUUCGGACCGUACAUGGGCAUUGCGAGCCAAGUAAUACCCAGUUCGGGUAUGAAGCUGGAUCAGUCUUGGGCAUCACUUGAUAAACUCAGAACCCAGAUUUUAUUAAAAAAAAUUAUAAAAUAUAUAUUAUUUUAAAUAUUUUAUAUUUAUUUAACUUAUUUAUUAUACAUAUAUAAAGUUUUAAACACUUAAAAUUUAUAUUUUCAUGUCAAAUUUUAUUAAAAUAAAUUUAAAACUUAUAAAAUUACCAAAAAAUAAAAAAUAUAUACACAUAAAUAUUAAAAAAUAUAAAAUCCGAAUACCCAGAUUAAAACCCGACCCAGACCCGGACCCGGACCCAGACCGAUUGCAUCCGGGCAGGGUCCGGUCAUGGCAAUACCCGGACCCGGCCCGGGGUUUUGCCAUCUCUAUCCGUAUCUAUACAAACCAAGUAGGCUGUCAAUGGUUGAUCAUCUUCUCAUUUCUUUAUUGCCGGCAAAUAUAGGAACACAAAGCAUACGGACAUGACGUACGAGUUGGAAGAAACAUAGUUAACCAAACCCAGAGCCUCAAGGCCUUCCCUCCUCUGAUAAAUAUUCACCGAUCCACGUGUUUUGCCACAAAACCAUUCAAAUAAAAUAUUUCCAACAAGACUUAGGACCUGACACAAAGCGUGAAGAAUAAUCCUCUGAUAAAUAUUCACCGAUCUCACCCGAGAAGAAUAAUCCACAAAGCGACGCCGCUGCUGAAGGGCUGUGCUGGGAGGCCGUGCAAGCGAGGAAGAGAGGGGUUGUGCUAAGCGUUGUGCACGUGAGGGAAGAGAGGGGCGUGGGAAAGUAGGGGUGCUAAAAAUAUCCACCCGGUCCGGACCCAGAUCACGCCCAGGCGUUUUGGACCGGGUAUGAAAUCGGACCGGUCUUAGAUAUCAUUUGAUAAAUCCGAAACCCGAAUUUUAUUAAAAAAAUAUUAUAAAAUAUAUAUUAUUUUAAAUAUUUAUAUUUAUUUGACUCAUUUAUUAUACAUAUAUAAAAUUUUAAACACUUAACGUUCAUAUUUUCAUGUCAAAUUUUAUUAAAAUAAAUUUAAAACUUAUAAAAUUACCAAAAAAUAAAAAAAUAUACACAUAAUAUUAAAAAAAUAUAAAAUCCGGGUAUCCGAAUUAAAGCCUAGCACAACCCGACCCGGGCAUCUAUACAUCCGAGUUAGGUCUGAUCAUUGUGAUACCCGAACCCGACCUGGAAUUUUGCCAUCCCUAUGGGAGUGAGGUUUGCGCCGUGUGAAGAGGGAGAAACGCGAUGAGAGAGUGGCGUGGGAGAGAGCUGCAAAUUGAAAUUUAGGGAUUUGAUUUUUGACUUUUAUAUUUUUAAUUUAAUAUAUUUUAAAUAAAUCAAACCGAACCGAUCGGUUUUUCGGUUCAAAACCGAACCGAUCGGUUUUUCGGUUCAAAACCGAACCGUUUGCCCACCCCUUUUUAAAAACAACUGGGCAAGAUAUAUACAUUAAUUUAAGUAAAGAAAACUAGAAAUAUCCAUAAACUAAUUUGUAGACAUUGCAUAUAAUAAGCUUAAACUUAAUUUGUCCUAACUUACUUGACAAAUCAACAAGGAUCCUCUCUCUCUUUUUUUCUUUUCUUUUUUUCCUUUUGUAACCUCUCAAGAUUGAAUUUUAAAUUUUAACAUUAUCGAUGAAGUUAAAUUUUUUUCCACUUACAAUUAAUCCAAUUUUUUCAUUAAAUCUGAAAAACUAAGACAAAAGCUAAGACAGUUUCCUAAACGUGAUAACACACGUAAUCUUGGCUUUCAAAUCUCAGCGAUCAUCCAUUUAGACGAGAACAUACGCUUGAGAUUAAAGUCACAAACAAAUUCUUUUUUCUUUUUGAACAAAGUUCUGGGUCCAUAUCGUCGUCUUUUCCUAGGCACAUAUAUUAUGAACCACCAAUAUCAAGAGUUAAUGUAAUCAAACCAACUAUAAAAUCAAGGCUGAAUCACAAAGAAGUUAAGAGGACGAAGUUAGAGGACUUUGUACUAAAAUGAAGUCGCCAUAGCCACCUGUUGCGUUUGAAAUUAAAGUGUUAUAGACGGCUGUUGUGAAAAAACAAAUGUAAUUAUGACAAAAUUUAGUAAUAUAUAAUAAAUAUAAAUUUUAAAUAAUAAUUUUAAUAAAAUUAUUAAAAAUAUAAUAAAUUUUUCACUAUAUAAAUAAAAAAUUAUAUUAACAUAACUUACAAAUUACAACAGUUAGUGUUUACUAAAUACUUUAAUAUUAUAACUUUUAAACUACAACUUCGCAACUUUAAUUCCAAAUGCAAUUCCAAAUGCACCCUAAAUCUGACACUAAAGUAAGUCGCAAAACAGACAUACAACAGUUGAAGUAAGCUAUAACUGUGAAACAACAUCGACGGCCAAAUGGAAAAAUCAUAUAAGGGUCUAAAAUGCUGAAUGAAGCCUGAAGAAGCGACCGUACGACUUCCGCUCUAUCAUUUCCUGUCACUCAAAUUAUGGAGCUAUACACAAAUGUACUGCAUAAAUUAUCCCCUAGUUAGCUCCUCAACUUUUCCACUACCACUCUGUUUGUUGUGAUAUAUGGGGCAGAUUAAAGGGAGCAUGGAAUUGAACUUGACAAUAUAAUCCAAUCCCAAUCAUAAUUAUUAGCUAGAAUUUGCAUAAUCAGUAUCAUCCCCUGAAGCAUCAUUGACUGUUUUGUGCUACCUAAAUCAGCUUGGUUGUCUUACCAGUCAAUUAGGGGAGUCGUAAGGUGCUAUGAGCAUACACGAGCUCUUUGCCUCUCCCGCUCUUCUGACACAAUUACAGAUGAUCUUAUUUCACUCUCUGCUAAACAUCUUUUGUAUGGCACAAACCCUCUCAUACAAUUGCUGGGGCUGGCUUGUGACAAAGGACAAACUUGUGGACAUUGAGAAUCAACAGCCACAUCAGAACUUUUCUCCCAAUUUUCCAAUUCACUGACAGAACCAGCACUUGAACCAGAACAAGACCUUUCAUUCAGAAUUUCCUUGUCUUUCACACUAAACUCUAGAGGUGUUGCAGCUUGGUUCUCACCAAUUGGCAUAAGGUGAAAAUAUGGUGCACCUCGAUACAAAGAAUCCCAAAGCAGGUAAAUAUUGUGGCUUGCUUCUGCAACAUUGGUCCUCUUUUUUUGAAGCUCCAUAUUUUGAAAAACAGGACCUAUAUGUGAGGAUGGAUUACAAUUGCUAGAAACCAUCCCAAGUAAUAAAUGUGUAUCCAAAUGCUUUGAUGGGGCUGACUGGACAAAAUUUUCUUUAUCAACAUCAAGAUUCUCUUGACUACUCUUUGAUAUUGGUGACUUGUAACUAUCAGCACCCAGUGAAUAUGGUUUCCAAGAAUCUGACACCAAAACUGUCCUUCCAAAAAGUUUAAUGCUUGUGCAACUUGGUGCCGCUGCUGCAUCUCCUUUAGGAUAUACAGAGUCCUUGGACUGAGAUUCAAUUUUGUCAAUAACAACAUCAACAAUAUAGAGAGUCAAAGUCUGAACCAUAAUGAAAUAUAGAGUAAUAGAUGAAAUAAACUAAGGUUACAAGAAGAGAUAGUCUUACCACGGACGCUAAUUCCUCAACAUUUGAACUGGCUGAUAAAUGGGCAGGUAAUGUAGAAAUUUUCUCUUCUUUGGGAAAUGAGAUGGAUGUAACAUAUUCGUUCUCUUUUUCAAUAGGUAAUAAGUUGACAGAAUGCAUCUCAGUGGUACAGGAAGUUGGUGAUGAACAUCCAUUUUGUUGAUCUGAGGCUGCACAGCCCAAUGUAUCGGAAUUAAAUGAAGAUAGAACUGAGGUUGGUGAUUGCCUAUCCUUAUCUGAAACCAAUGCAUUUGAGGAUGUAAAAUUUUCUUGUUGAUUUGAGACAGAUGUUGCUUUGAGUGAAUCAACGGAUUUGCGGGGAUAUGGAUGUACAGGUUUCCUCUUAGGCCGUGGCGGAGGAAUCUCAAUUGGCAUGAUGGAGCUCUCAGAGCUACCAUUUGACUCUCGGACCACCUAACAUCAAUAAGAGAAAAUCUGUUGAUGCAAGAUAAUAAGCAACUACGAUAAACCCCGCUAAGAACAUUUGUACUAUAAGAGUCUGUAAACUGAUCUAAACAAAACACAAAAUUAAUGACUUGAUUUAGAGCAUUCGACCUUAGAGAAAAACUUUUGAGCAUGGCUUCGGAUUUGAACAGCAGUUUUGGUGCCUACAUGUUCUGCAUAGAAGUAAUAGUAACUUCAUCUGAUUCGACUACAUACUGUCAACAUGAUUCAAGAAUUCAUUCAUCCACAUUCAGCUUACCUUCUAUCUGCCGCCAUCCUCGACCAUACAUCUUUAAAGCAUCAAGGAACCUCUGAUGCUCUUCUUCAGUCCAUUUUUCUCUUUGUUUCGUAAUAGUGUAAGGUUUUCUCACCUGUUUAAAAAGAUUGAAUCAAUAAAAAAUUUCCUUGCUAAAAAAUUUUCCUUGCUAUUACAUUAAUUAUCUUAGAAAAACUUAACAGAUAGUGAUAAAAUUUUGGGGGAAAAAAGUUCGAACCUUGGGCAAGGAGUCAUUCUCAAAUGAAUACAAGCUAUUUGACAUCGCCACCUUCAAAUCAGAUCACAAAUUUCCUCAUAAAUUAAUUUUAACCGCAAACAAAAAUAAAUAAAUAACUGCUUUUAAUUUCUAAUUCCAUCAGCAGCAACACUAAUCUAACCUAAAUGGACCAUAUCUCUCUUCAAUAAAAAUGUAUCAGAACAAAAUUUCAACAGUAUAAAUAACAUAGUUCCGGUACAAUAAUGAAUAUAAAUAUGAAAAGCAAUAAUUAUUAACUCUAUAAAAGUAACUUACUUGAAAUAUAUAAUAGCAUUAAUUAUAAUCAUUUCUUCUUCAUUUUCAUUGGCUAAUCUCAAUAAAGAUCUUAAAUUUAAAACAAGAACAAACUCUUAUUUAUGAGUAAAAACUAAGAAUAAUAUAACAGAAAAAUCAUAAACAGUAUAGACAGCUAAUCUGUGGUUGCGCUGUGUUUCUUGAAAUAUCUCUUGAGCUGAAAAAAAACUAAGUAAAAUCUAGUAAGCGGACCAGAAACUCACCAGCAAAAAGAAAAAUCUGACAAAAACAGGAAACAAAUUGAAAGCCGAAUUUGUCUUUCUUUCACUUUAAUUUUGUUUGCUGCGCCGGAGCUAAAAACUUAGAACAGAUUCGACUAACUUUGUUGUACAAGUGGAGUUUAUUGGACGGAAGCAAUGAAACAAAAAGAAAAAAAGAAUCAACAAGGCAUGAGAAUGAGAAUUGAAGAAACAAGGAGGACGAAAUUAAUUGGGUGUUAAAAAGAGUGUAACGGAGUUUGUGGGGGGGGGGGGGGGGGGGCACUGCCCCCCCCGAAUUUAAAAAAUUAUUUAAAUCCAAAAAGGGUUCCCUGGGAAAUUCCAGAAAAAACUUGGAAUCUCCUGGGUCAAAAUCAACGGGGGGCCCUGACCCCGGGGAAUUCUUGGGAAGGGGGUUGGUUUUAAUUUUCCGUUCCAAAAAAAAAUUGAAAAUGGGAAUGGGAUGAUGGGAUAGAUAAAAGAACAUGGUUUGUUGGGGGCCUUCCCUUUUACUCUGAAAAUAUAUAUUUCAUCUGCCCUUUGUUUCCUACUCGCGCGAGUACUAAACUUUCGUUGUACUUGAAUAAUGUAUGGUUCUCAAAUUAAUUCAAUGAUUUCACCUAUUCUUUUUGAAAAAAAUCAUUAAAAAAAAAAUCUUUAAGUAAAGGGUGGACUAAACCCAAAUAAUUUUUAUUUUUUUUCUUAUUUUCCUCAAGGUUCGAACGUGGACGCUCAACUGCUAUAAACUUCAUGCUGUUACCAUAACCCGACCACACCCUUGGAGGUAAAUUGCAAUUUCACGGUAAAAAACAAAUGUUAAAAGUAAGUUAUUUUCUCUUGAUUUUCAUACAUAAUUUACAUUAUAUAUUGAUAAAUAAAAUAGGAAAAUCAAUACUUGAUUUUAUUUGUUGAGCUCGCAAAACACAAAAUCAUAGUUUAGAUUACAUUCUCUCUUUUUUUUUUCAUGGAAGUUCAAUUUACAUUUAAAUUUACAGUAAAUUAUUAAGUCUUUUUAAACAUAUGCAUUUAGUUAACUAUUGAAAUUUAUUAAUCCAAAUAUUUAAAGAGUAGCCUUAGAAAAUUGAACGAGUAAUUUCCAUGUAUUUUUAUUUUACUAACCACUUGAAUUUAAAUGUUGAGUAAGGUUUAGAAUUUAAAAAUUAAUUUGGAUUUACCUACCUCUCUACUUUUUUGAACAACCAAAUAAAAAAAUAAUAAUAAUUGAAGUGUAUUUGAAUUUUAAGAUUACUUUUUUGAACAACCAAAUAAUAAUAAUAAUAAUAAUAAUUGAAGUGUAAUUUUAAAAUCUUAAUUUAUAUAACUUUCACAACAAAAUAGUUAAUAAUGUUUUAUAUCAUGGAUAAAUUUAAUAAUUAUUGAUAAUUAUAAAUAAAUUUUAUUUUUUAUAUUUAUUGUCUCUAACAUUAUUGAUAACUGAAAAAAGGAAUUUAAGUUUAUUUUAAGGUAUAUUUUAAUGCAAGCAAAAAUGAAUUGCAUUAUCGGAUUGUAUAUGCGUACUGUCAUUAGUGGGAGAACCACUUAUUGCCACAUUUGGUGCUAUGAACCGAUGAAUUGUUUUUGUCCCAAAGUCAAAAUUUUACAUAGUUAUUAUUGUCGUCAGAAAUGUGGAAUUCAUUUCUCUAUAUGCAGCUGCGAGUGGACCUAAUUAAAGCAAAAAUUAAAGAAAAUAUCCAUGACCUCUAAAAAAAUGCGAUUUUUUUUUUGUUUAAAAAAAAACAAAAACAGGGAGAGACAAAGACGGGUGGCCAAGUGGAUAUUGUAGUCUGUAAGAGACUUGUGAUUAGAUGAGCUGGACCCCACGAGAUUGCCAUUAAGCUUUUUUGCCACCUCAGCUUCUUUUCCGUAAAAGCCUCGCGUAAGCGUAACUCAUAACUCACCCGUAAACCCAUCAAAUCCUACGGCUCGUAACCCUAGGGGUAUGUUAGCUGGAUCCGUUGUUAUAAAUCACCAACUCCUAAAUCUACAACAACAAAUUAUAUGGGGUUAGACGGUUCGUGACUUCGGGUCAUUGUAUAAUGUAUAUUAUCAGUUAUGAUGUAAACUGAUCAAAAAUCACAUAUAUUUGGUAUUUUAUAAUUUGUCAAAUCGACACAAUACUACUAUUUUAUUUUUUUUAAUUUUAUUAAGAUCAAAAUCAAUUUUACAACUUGAGACCCCAAUUUAGUUCGGUUCAAUGUGCAUCAGUUCAAAUGUAGACCCAAAUAAAUGAAACUUAUUUAUUUAUUGUAUUAAAAAUCUCAUAUUUUUUAAUCGUGUCACUCAUUUAAAAUAUUUUCAUUUAAACAAUAUGCAUAAUUUUAUACUACUACUUAGGCGCUGUUUGUUUUAUAUUUCUACUUCAGUUAAUUUAGUCUAAAUAUAAUUAAAUAAUUUUAAAAAUUUUAAAAAUACAACAUGGUUCUUUGGGAUAAAGAAGAAUUAACAAAAUAUAAUUAAUCGUGACAUAAAUAUAUUUGUGUAGUGAUUUUAAACUUAAAUUAGAUAAAAAUAAUACAUACAAAUGGUACGAAUAAUAUUAAAAAUUUGUCAUCAGUGUAUUGUAGGUACCAUAAAAUGAACCAGCUAUACUACAUUACAUGUUAUCAAUGGAAAACAUUACAGAAUUUAGAAUUUCGGAGCAUGCUAACAAGCAAUGACGUGAAUCACUUAAAGACCAUUACAUAAUGAAUAAACAAAAUAAAGAGAUUAGAUUAGCGAUUAGAAAUGAAUUGAUGAGAUUUUGGGCCAAACUUCGAGUAUAGGUCUACAAAUAGUAGCUCAAGAGGGAUCUUUUUAUUUUAUCUACAAAUAGUUGCUCAAGGAGGGAUCUUUUUAUUUUCUCAUUUUAUUUUAAAAAAAUUAAAUAAAAACCCGCCAAAUUACCAAACAACAUACUCUUGAUGUUAAGUUUGCUGACGCUAAAUAAACCUAUCUCGGAGAAAAUCUAAUUUUAGGUUCACAAAAAAAUAUAAUCAUCUGAAGGGUCCAGUUAUGGUACUAUAAUGGUACAAUAUUACAGUUGGAUCCGGCUAUUAAAUCAAGUUAUAGAAACUCGCCAAAUUACCAAACAACAUACUCUUGAUACUAAGUUUUCUAACGCUAAAUAAACUUAACUCAGAGAAAAUCUAAUUUUAGGUUCACGAAAAAAUAUAAUCAUCUGAAUGGUCCAAUUAUGAUACUAUAAUGAUACCAUCUUACAAUCGAAUCCGGCCAUUAAAUCAAGUUAUGAAAAUCAUUGUGAGUUGAAUCCAAUAAUUGAAUUCAAUUGUAAUAUGGUACCACUAUAGUACCAUAAUUUUGCCUCCGUCUAAAUUCUCGUUUAUUUCUGCAUUAAGGGUCCUCAUUAUCAACUUCACGUACUUUUUAGUUUUUAUUUUUUAAUUCAAAUUAAUGUUCUUUUUUUUUUUUUUUGAAACUGAUUAAGCAUCAGGUUACUGCAUUAUACAGAUAUAUAUACAAUUGCUAUGACAGCAGGUCAUUACACUGAUAUUUACAAUCAGAUAUAUAUACAUGUGACUUAUAUUAUUACAUUUUUAUUCUAUGAAGUACAUGCCUAUCCCAAAUACCCCUCACGGAGGAGGGAUAUCUCUACUCCACUCGCAUUUCGCAAGGGAGAAAGACGUUUAUAGAAAUCUCCACAUAAUUAUAUUUAAUUGGAGGAAAUUGAGUCUGUGGGGACUCGAACCAUUGCGCUCAUAAUCAUACUUAACUUUGAGGAUAAUGGUCCACCACUGGACUAUAAGUCCAAGUGGCAUUCAAUUUGAUGUUCUGAAUAGGAACGAAUGUGUCUAAUAAAUAUGUCCCAAAAAUCUCUCGUUAGAUGGCUUUGUUUGUCAACACUCAUGAGUCGUCAGCCGUCAGACAGUGAUGUCCAUAGAUGGACGGCCACAAUACAAGGAGAAAUGGUACAAUGUACCACAGAGGAACGAAUGAAACGAUAAACCAGAGGUAAAAGUGGAGUCCGAAUCAUGAUGUGAUGGCUUUGGGCCACAAAAAAGGAAAAGUGUAGCGAAUAUAAAUUACAGAAAAAUUAAGAGCCACAAAUUGGGAUUGAACUCAACUCAAAGCCUAUUCAAUGCCACGUGCCCCUGUUUAUAGAACUUUCAAGUAAAAUAAAAUAAAACUAAAAUAAAUAAAUAAAAAUUAAGAAAAUUGAAAAAUGAGAGGCGCAUCUUUUUCCCUGAGAUACUCCUUUUGAGGCUGGCCUUCGUUAUCUUCUUCCUUAUUUGUCUCUUUUUUCAUUAUUUUUAUAAUUUAUAAUUAAUUUGCUAGUUGUAACAACAGGUGCCUGCCUGCCUCCGCUUAAAAUCUCGUGUACCAGAUCACAUGUGAUUCUGCAAAAGGCUUACAUGGCAAUGGCUGUGAUGUUUGCGCCACGAUUUUGAUUCGUCCAGAUUGGAAGUGAUUCUGCCAAAGUGAUUCAGGGCCUCUAAUCAGAUUGACUCCUACUCAUGAUACCUAAAUUAUGGCUAUCAGAACCAAUUUUCACAUGUCAUGUUAGUUCCUACAAUUCCCAAGUGCCUGAUCGGAUCCUGGUGGAACCCCUUUUUUUUACUUAUUAAAUUAUCAGUUCAAAAGUGCAUUUUUAUUUGUUCAACUUGUACCGACUAGCAAGUGAUUAAGAAUUACGUAGACAAUUACUAAUUUGCCUUUAGUUCAAUGAAAAAAUUCUCACAUUUAUAAUAAUGAGAGUAAGAAUUUGACUCUUCAUUAAUAGAUAUUCUUAAUUUCAGUUCUCUCGAAUAUAAGAAUUUUGUAGAAAGUUAUUUUUUUAAAAAAUAAUUGUUUAGUUUAAAAAAUCUGCACAGUAUUUCAAACGAAAAAGUUUGUACUUCCUUACCAACUAAUGUAAUCAGAGCACAUACGUAUAAACACACAAACAAAAAGAUUAUUGAUUUAAAAACUCUUUAUAUCUUCAAAAUUUUAAAAAAUAUAUAUAUAUAGGCCAUCACAACAAGAGGAAGUGUUGCCAAAAGCUUAAACUUAUUAUAUCCUUAUUCCAUUAGCUACACAUUACAUAUAUAGUCUCUGAACUAAACACCUAAACUAGAAGAUAGAAUAACAAUAGCAGAUAAUCUGGAAAAUAAAAAACUGGUGUCGAAAAAUCAGCACUCAGUGAUUAUUCAACGGAAACCACUAAGGUCUAACAAACUUGCCCAAGUCUUGAUGAUGACCAAAUCUUCCACUCACCCUCUCCCGCUUAAAAGUUGAAGACGUGCAUGCAAUCCCAUGCAUUUUCAUACGUCCCAUGCAUUUCAAUACGUGGUCUGAAGGCAUGCAUGCAAUCCUAUGCACACGAGCACAUAUCAUUCCGCUCCACUCACAAUAUCCUUGUCCUCAAGGAUGAAAUCAGGGUAUGUCUUGGCAAAAUGCCACUCAGUUUAGUAGGUGGCAUCCUCCACUGGCACACUAGCCCAUUUCACCAAUAUCUGAGGUUUUGGGCGAUAAUUACCUUUACGUAUCACACGCCGAUCCAAGAUAGCCUCAGGCUGUGGAAGAAGUGUUGAAGUUUCUGACACUGGAGGAAGUCGUGGAGAAGCAAGUGGUACUGAUCCCAAAUGCUUAUGUAGUAAACUAACAUGAAAAAAAUUAUGGAUUUGAGAACCAAGCGAAAGAGCUAACUUAUAAGCAACCGAGCCCACCUUUUCAAUGAUUUGAUACGGACCAAAAUAACGUGCGGCAAGCUUAUGGAGCCACGAAAGACCACUGAUGUUUGUCGAUACGGCUGUAACUUUAAAUACACAUAAUCCCCCACUUGGAAAUUUACUUCUCGUUGAUUCUGGUCCGCUUGAGAUUUCAUACGGUCCCGAGGAAAAGAUUCUGCCGUAACUCACGCAAAAUAGAAUCCAUGUCUCGCAGGUAUUCAUCCACUGCUUGGACCCGUGAAGUACCGGGUGCAUAUGCUAAUAAGCUCGGGGGCGGAAUGCCAUAGACAGCUUCAAAGGGCGAUAGUUUGGUGGAAGAAUGAGUGGCUGUAUUAUAGCUGAACUCACCCCAGGGAUCCAUUCCAGCCACUUGCACGGCUGAUCACCUGCAAAACAGCGUAGAUACUGUUCCAAGGUGCGAUUGACCACCUCGGUUUGGCCAUCAGAUUGUGGGUGAUAACUAGAACUCAUGCAUAACUUGGUCCCUUGUAGUUGAAACAGAGUACGCCAAAACAAACUGAUAAAUACCUUAUCUCGGUCACUAAUAAUCGAAGUGGGAAUAGCAUGUAGGCAAACCACAUUGUUGACAAAUGCCUUGGCUACAAUUACAGCAGUAAAAGGGUACUUUAAGGGCACAAAGUGGGCAUACUUCGUUAACCGAUCCACGACCACCAUGAUGACAGUAUACCCAUUAGAAGAUGGUAACCCUUCUAUGAAAUCCAUUGAAACGUCAGUCCACAUCUGUUUUGGAAUGCGUAGCGACUAUAAUAGUCCAGCGGGCCUCAUAUUGCCUGUUUUAUAUCGCUGGCAGAUGUCGCAAUGUUGCAAGAAUUCUUUCACCGUCCGCCUCAUGUUGGGCCAUAAAAAACUAUGCUUGAUGCGGGCAAGAGUUUUAUGGUAACCAAAAUGCCCACCUACAGGGGAUGCAUGGCAGUCAGAGAUUAUCUUAGGAAUCAGUGAUGAAGUAGAACUUAAGUAGACUAUCACGUUUGAACCAAACUCCAUCUCUCUAUAGCAGCUGGUUAAACUGAGAUGAGCUCCUCCAAGAUAGGUCUCCAUAAAAUGUGCCCUGCUACACCUCCCGUUGAAGAACUGGCCACCAAUUUGCAUGGGGUAACAAAAUUGCUAAAAACUCCACCAUUCGAGAUAAUGAAUUUGCACCCUGAUUCUCAGGCCCCUUUUUAUAUUCAAUUUCAUAAUCAUACCCGAGGAUCUUAGGUAGCCAUCGUGUUUGUGCUGGUGUUGUGAUCCGUUGUUCCAACAGAUAUUUGAGACUUUUUUGGUUAGUUCGAAUUGUAAAUGGUUUCCCGAGUAAAUACGGUCGCCAUUUUCAUAUUGAUUUAACGAUAGCAAGCAUUUCUUUCUCAUAUGUAGACAACGCCAAAGCAGAACCUUUUAAGGCCUCACUAAAAUAAGCUAUUGCAUGUUUUGUUGAGAGAGGAUGGCUCCAAUUCCGAUCCCACUUGCAUCACACUCGAUCACAAAGCGUUGGGAAAAAUUCGGUAGGCGCAAAACAGGUGGAGAAGUCAACGUGGUUUUUAAUUGAUUAAAAGCCACUACUGCAUCCUCAUUCCAAUGGAAGCCAUCUUUAGUUAAGAGCUUGGUCAAAGGAGCUGCUAUACACCCAAAAUUGCGAAUAAACUUCCAGUAAUAUCCAGCCAAACCAAGAAAUCCACAGACCCCCUUUGUCGUCGUUGAUGUAGAUCAAUGAUUGUUUGUAUUUUAGCAGGAUCAACAGCCACACCCUUUUCAAAGAUGAUAUGACCCAAAUACUCAACCUGCAAAACUCCAAAUUGACACUUUGACUCUUUGGCAAACAAGCUGUUAGUUGAUAAAAUUUUUAAAACUUGAUGAAGAUGCGAGAGGUGAUCUUAUCAAGUUCUAGAAUCCACCAAUAUGUCGUAAAACAAAAACAAGUAUGAACCUCCGAAGAUAUGGACGAAAAAGAUCAUUCAUGAGACUCUAAAAAGUUGCAGAAGUGUUGGUGAGUCCGAAUGGCAUCACAAGAAACUCGUAAUGUCCCUCGUGUGUACGAAGGGCUGUCUUUGGAACAUCCGCCUCCUUCACACAGAUUUGGUGGUAACCUGCUCGUAAGUCCAACUUGGAGAAGAAUUUGGUGCCAUGGAGUUCAUCCAAGAGUUCAUCUAUGACUGGGAUUGGAUAUUUAUCUUUGACUGUGAUAGUGUUAAGUGCUUUGUAAUCCACGCAAAAUCGCCAAGAUCCAUCCGCUUUCUUAACUAAUAGAACUGGAGAUGAAAAAGGACUGCUGCUAGGUCAAAUAAAUCUUGCUUGUAGGAGCUCUUUAACCAUUUUUUCGAUUUCAUUUUUUUGGUAGUAGGGAUAUUGGUAUGGCCUUACACUCACUAGUUUUGUAUUUGGCUCUAAGGGAAUUUGAUGAUCAUGUGUCCGUUUUGGUGGUAAGCCAUAAGGCAGUUGAAAUACAUUACGAAAUUCAUUUAGGAGGCAUAAGAGGUCAUGUGGAUAUUCAUUCAAUUCUUUACUGUUGUUAGCAGGAAUAAUUUGAAAGAAAAAACCGGUGCCCUGUAAAUUGAGAAACUCUUUACCAGUGAGAACCGCCAUGCCUGCUCGUUCCAUUCCUUGGAAGGUAUGGAUGCCUUCUCCCUUUCUGAAGGUUAUUGUCAAUUUCUUGUAGUCCGUCUCGAUAGGCCCAAGAGUUUCAAGCCAUUGAACGCCCAACACCAAUUGACAUGCUGCAACUGGUAGGAUGUAAUAAUCUGUGGUGAUAUAAUGACCUUGAACUGUGAGAGUGAGUCCCUGGCAUUAUCCUACACACUCUAUCUGUUCUCGGUUUGCAACCAUGACCUGAAGCUUUUUGUCACAAACCACUGGUAACCCAAACUUGGAGACAAUAGCUUGAUCAAUGAAAUUAUGAGUACUCCCACCAUCUAUUAAAACCGUAACAUCCGUAAUCUUCAGUUUGCUUUGGACACGAAUGGUUUGAGGAUGUGUUGUACCUGCAAUAGCAUGAAAAGAGACUUCUGCUAUAACUUCAUAAUUCUCUGGUACAUGUUGAGCCUCUUCAUCAUUAGUAUAGUUAAAUUGGGGAGAAUCUUCUAUCAUAAAUAGUUGUGGCCUCUCACAACGAUGGCCUGGCACGAAUUUCUCAUUACAAUAGUAGCAUAAUCCCUUCUCUUUGUGUUCGCGUGCCUCUCGGUUGGUGAUCCAUCGAAAGGAAAUUGGUGUAUUAUUACAGUUCUGGUUUAUUUUUUGGACGGGCGGAGGUCCUAGCAUGCUAACUAUUGUAUUUGGCAUCGUCCUAAAUGUCACUGAGGUUGCUUGGAAAGGAUAGGACAUGCGAGCCUUUCUUUGCAGUAAGUUUCGUUCUUCGACGAGCCGAGCCACUCCUAUGGCGUCUGCCAAGGUUCGAGGUUGUUUGAUCUUAACGUCUAAGCGAAGGUCAUCUCAGAGUCCUGCAAUAAAACAGCCAACAAGAAAAUGUUGAGGUAAGACAUCAAUCUGAUAGGAGAGCUUUUCAAAGGUUUCUUGUUAGGCUGCUGCGUUGUAGUCUGUUUGAGGCAAGACAAAGCUUCGGACGGGUCCUCGUAGUCGGUAGGGCCGAAACGGAGCAAGACUGCCUUGGUGAACUCCUCCCAAUUUAAAGGUCAACAAAACUUCAUUAACCAUCUCUGCCAUUGUAAGGUAAUUCCCUCUAAAUGGAAAGAGGCUAGUUGAACUUGUUGAUCAGGGGCAAUAUCUUUGAAGUCAAAGUAUUGUUCUGCGCUGUAGAUCUAGCCACUUGAGUCUUCACUGUUAAACUUUGGAAACGACAAUUUUAUAUGGUGCUGGGGUCUGUCAGUAGGUGGACCAUGGAGAGAAGGGCUUGGUUGGUUUCGGUUGUAUGAGGAUUCUGCAGGGGCAAAGGGAUUGGUUUCAGUAUUGAUAGUGUUGGAGCUGCGUGAUAUUCGAAGGGCUUGAAGCUCUAUCAAGACCAUUUGCAAGGUGGCAUUAACUUGAUCAAAGCUUGAUCCAUGGCGGGCUAGAAUUUCACUAACUUCGUUGCGAAAUUCAGCAUUAGUUUUGUCGCGAGUAUCCAUAAUCAAACCUGCUCUGAUACCACUGAUAUGUUUAAUUUGUAGUUAGCAAGUGAGCUAGAGUUGAAGAAGAAAGACGAGAGGAAGUGUUGCCAAAAGCUUAAACUUAUUAUAUCCUUAUUCCAUUAGCUACACAUUACAUCUAUAGUCUCUGAACUAAAUGUUGAGUGUUAGAAAAUGCAUAUUUAUAAAGGAGAAAAUCGUCAUUUUACAUUUCAAGUCUUAUUAACAACCCUUACUUUUAUGUAUUUAAGCUUCUUGUAAUUUAAUUAUGUGUGUUUUGUUUUAAUUAAGUAUUUUAUGUAUUUUAUGGGCAUCAUAGUCAUUUUACAAUGAACGAGAGAUCAGACGGCAAAACGGACAUUAAUUUUGAACUCAGGACGGUCGAAAACCUUAGGAUCAGUAUAAAAGGAAAAAUGACACUGUUCAUAUGUACGAUACUAUUCACGUGCACGGUACUGUCUACGUUACUGUUCACAUAGACGGAUGAUGAUAUGGUAUUGACCGAUGAUGUGGCAUUGACUGAUGAGGUGUCACGAUCCUGUUGGACUAAAAUUUUUAUGUACUGUUGAUGGUGAUGUGGCAGCAUAUCAGUGGACCAAAAAUAUCGCGUACGGUACAUGCAUCACACAGGAUUAUUUUCAACCAAACCGCGUCACUGUUCACCCGGGUCAAACCGUGUUACUGUUCAUCCACGUGGUCAAACCGUGUACUGUUGACUGAUGAUGUGACGCAAUCCUGAGCGUCCAAACUGUUUUUAAUCCGAUGGCCAUGAUUUACUCCAUGUAUCUAUAAAAAGGGGCCUCCCCCCCCUAAUUUGAUAUUUCUGAAUCCAUUUUUGGGAUCCAUUUUCUGUAAUUCCUUCUCCAUCUUGUAUUUUUUACGUAUUUUAAUAAAUUCUCAUUUUGCCCCUAGUUCAAUUAUGAGUGGCUAAUUUUCCUUCAAGCUUGGGUUGAAGGUGAAGUCUCAACAUGUGUCAUGGGCUUUAUUUGGUAAAUUUAUUUUCUCUUCCCCUCUAGUUUUUGUGGAUUUUUUGACUUCUCGUCGACAAAUAAUAAUAAUCUUGUCUAAAUACCGCCUUAGUUACACCGGCUCUCUAGUACAAGAUUAUUAUUAUUUGGCACGAUAAGCCCUUAGCACCAUAUUGAUUAGAGUGUGGUUCAUGAGGUGUGGAUUCCCCCUCAUGAUUUAAUUCGUAUUAAUAAGGAAUAUUUAGCCCAUGAUGCAUGUUGAUACGGAUCCAAAUACCCAAGUACGUCAUUUUAAUAAAAUUCUCUUCAAUUUAUUCUCGCCAUUUUAAUUUAAGUUUUAGCAUAUUCCAAAUCAUUUCCACCACAAAUCUAAUCACCCAUUUACUUAAUUCUACACACAAUUAAAAUCCACCUCCUCGUGGGAUCGACACUCGUUACCAUUGAUCUAUAUUACAAUAGAUUCGUGCACUUGCGAGUUCAAUAAAAUUUGCACAACACUAAACACCUAACCUAGAAGAUAGAAUAAUAGUAGCAGAUAAUCUAGAAAAUAACAAACUGGUGUCGAAAAAUCAGCACUCAUGAUUAUUCAACGGAAACCACUAAGGUCUAGCAAACUUGCCCAAGUCUUGAUGAUGACCAAAUCUUCCACUCACCCUCUCCCGCUUAAAAGUUGAAGACGUGCAUGCAAUCCCAUGAAUUUCCAUACGUCCCAUGCAUUUCCAUACGUGGUCUGAAGGCAUGGCUGCAAUCCCAUGCACACGAGCACAUAUCAGCAUUCUAUUUAUUUAAAUCUGAAUAAUGCAAUUAGUCUCUUCUCGGGCUUGAUUUUUCUGUUUAAAUUGAUUUAGCAAUCUUCAUAAAAUUAAAACGAGUAGAAGACUGAUAAUCGUUUAUGCUGAGUUUUGGCCAUGAGAUUUUUUUUUUUAAUUGUUGGUUCUAAAAGGUAAUUUUAUCAAUGGAUAUAUUGGUAAUAAAAAAUUUUAGAAUAUUAUGUGUGUAGAGUGUAGGGGUGGGCAUUUUACCUGAUCCGACUCGAUAAAUUUCGGGUUCGGGUCGGAUUAGGUCGGGAUUGAAACUCGAUUGGAUUGAAAUUUAACAACUCGAUCGGGUUGUGAUUGGUUCGGGUCAAACCCGACCUGAUCCGAAUACCCGAUCGGGUUCCCAAAACAAAAAAAAAAAAAACCUAAGCUAACACUGCACACAACACACAACACACAACCACACACGCAUACACUGCUGCACAGCACACACGCACGUCACAAGCUGCACAACACACAGCCACACACACAUACGCUGCUCGGUUGCUGCACACACACAACACAAGUCACAAGCUGCACACUUGCACAGCAGUUCAACACACACAGAACAAAACAGAAGUCACACUUGCACAGCACGUUCAGUGAACACACACGAGCUGCACAGCAGAACACACACACACUUCACUCGCAAACCUAACACACACACACAUGCUGUCAGCCACAACUAAACAAACACAAACAAGUGAACAACUGAACAAGGUAGCCGCAACCCGCAACCGCAAGUCUGCAACCAACCACCACAAGACGUGAUCUGUUGCUACCAACUACUGAAAUCAUGAUCUGUUGCUGCCAAGUGAAGUCGCGACCAGUCGUGAGCCGUGAGCCGUCCGCAUCUCCGCGAUCUGCUGCUGCCAACUCCCAAGUGAAGCCGCGAUCUGUUGCCAAGUGAAAUCCCGUCCGUCCAGCCAUGAGCCGUGGCCACCGAUCUGCUGCUUGAAGGCCGAAUCCUCUCCACCCAAACCCGAUUUUGAAGCUUUCCAAUUUCGACCUUCCACUUUCAAGUUUCAAGCUUCAACUUUUUUCAAGUUUCCCAAGUCGUUUCAGUUUUCAGUUCACGGCAUAUAUACAGUUAUACACUAGAUAAUUAAUUAUUUAUAUAUGCUAAAUAAUUUAUUAUGUAAUUCAGUAAUUGGUUAUUAUUUAAUUGUUGUAAUUAACUAAUUAUGUAUUUAUAAAUAUUAGUAAUAAAAUCAAGGAAAUUUUGUUAAUUAUUGAGCUCAUCAGAAUUUUUUUUUAUAUAUAAAAAGGAAUUGUUGAUUGGUGGGUUUUGUUUUUUAUUUUAUUGAUUAUUAAUUUGUUAUCGUUUGCUCUCUUUAGCGAAUAGACUAUAACAAUCAAGCAUAAAUGACAUAUGAAAAUGGUGUUAGCCAGCGAAUAACAAAAAUGUUGUUAAUUAUUAAUAAUUGAAAUAAUAUUAAUUAAUAAUUGUUAAUAAUAGUUAAUAAUUGAUUUUUUAUGAAUAAAUUAGCACAUUAGGUAGAUUAAAUAUUAAAAUUAAGUAUUAUGUUGUAUAUAUUUUAUAAUUAUAAUGUGUUAUGUAAUUAUGUGUACUUGUGCAGUAGCUUCAAGCUUUCAACCCUAAAAAAAUUAAUAAAUUCAAUUAAUAUUUUAUUGUAUGUUAAUCAUCCGUUAAGUUGUUAAAUUAAAGGAUUUAAUUUAUAAUAAGAAAUAAGAUAUAGAUAGACAAAUAAUAUCAUAUUAUUAUGGGGAAUGGACAAUUGGAUAUUAGAAAUUAAUUAAUUAAUCAUGAAUUUCUUAUUUUUUUUAUAGAGCAUGAACAACUUGAAUUGAAAUUACUAAUUUUUGUUUAUGGAUUAUGUUAAUAAUAUUUAUGUGUUUUGAUUCUUGAAUUAAUGAUUAUUAAUUGUUAUUUUGAAUAUUCAGAUGCUUGGACACUAAAGAUCGAAUUCAAUGAGUGACGAUGAAGACCAAAGUGUACAAAUGAAAGGAACCCAUAGAGGAAAGGAAAAGGCGAAGCGGAAAAGACCACCAAUGAACAAAAGAUCGACAGUAUGGAAUCAUUUCACUUUACUCGAAGAUAAUCCAAACAAAUGUAUGUGCAACUAUUAUGGUAAGCAAUAUCAAUGUCAUUCAACGCUUGAUGGGAUUACAAAUAUGACAAGGCAUAUAAAGACAUGUGAAUCAUACAAGACAUAUUGGGCACAACAAAGUGGAAGUCAACAAAAUUUGACAUCCGAGGGCGGCGAAGAAAAUGCAAGUAAUUUGGUUUUGGGUAAAGGAUGGAGUCAAGACGCGUGUCGAAGGGCAGUAACUAAAAUGAUUAUUAUGGGUGAGUUGCCGCUCAGUUUUGUAGACAACAAAGGAUUUAGGCAUUUCUGCAGUGUAGCUAUCCCUUAGUUUGUUAUGCCAUCUCGAAGAACAAUUGGUAGAGAUGUUAUGGAGUUAUUUUGGAGGAAAAUGCAAUGUUGAAGAGUUUGAUUUGCAACAACAAGCAGCGAGUGUCUCUUACAAUUGAUUUAUGGACUUCUGUUCAAAACAUGAGCUACAUGGUGAUUACAGCUCAUUUUAUUGAUAAUGAUUGGUGUUUGAAUAAGAGGAUUAUUAGUUUUAGGGCAAUCGAAGAUCAUAGAGGGAAGUCGAUUGGUAAAAAGAUUGUGGCUUGCUUACAAGAUUGGGGGAUAGAGAGGUUGUUUGCAAUAACUGUUGAUAAUGCCACUGCUAAUGAUAUUGUUGUUGGUUAUGUCACUAUGCAGUUGCUUAAUUGGAGGAAUAAUGAUGCACUUGUGUUGGCAGGACAAUAUAUGCAUGUGUGUUGCUGUGCACAUAUUUUGAAUUUGAUUGUUGUUUCAGGAUUGGGAGAGUUGCAUGCUAGUGUUACCGUUAUUCGAAAUGCGGUGAAGUACGUGAGAUCCUCCAGCAUGAGGUUGCGGACAUUUAAACAAUGUGCUGAGGAAGUGAAUUGUCCAAAAGGAAUUGUUGUUUUGGAUUGUCCUACCAGGUGGAAUUCCACUUAUUUGAUGUUGAUGACUGCGCUGAAAUUUCAAACGGCAUUUGAUAGAAUGGCAGAAGUGGAUAAACCUUAUGAGGCAUACUUUGCUGAGAAAGAAAAUAAUGUUAGAAGGGUGGGCCCACCUGGACCGGAUGACUGGGAGAGUGCUGAACGAAUUGUGAAGUUUUUGAAGGUAUUUUAUGAUGCCACAUUAUUGUUUUCUACCUCUUUGAGUGUGACUUCUAAUCUUUGUUAUGAUACUAUUGGCUUAAUUGAGAGUUCAUUGACUGCACUGCAUGAAAGUACAGAUCCUUGGGUGUCCUCUAUGGCUUAUAGUAUGAGGGAAAAAUUUGACAAGUAUUGGGAGUCCACAGGAAAAAUAAACAAAAUGUUGAUUAUUGCCUCUAUUCUUGAUCCACGAGCGAAAAUGGAUUCUGCUAAACAUAUUUUUGAGAUCAUUUUUGGCAAUGAUAGUUUGAUGGUUAAACAAAUGACCAAAGCAGUGAAGGACUUGUUGAAUGAGUUUUAUGAUGCAUAUAGUGCAUUCUCCGCUAGUUCCACACCAUCGAUGUAUGGUGAGAGUGGUCUUAGUGGCAGCUAUGGAGGUACAAGUUCUUCUCAACGUUUUACAACUGAGGCUAAUUUGGUGGAUGUUGCUGGUGGUGAAUGUGAUGACGCUUUUCAAGUAUCUCACCAUUUCCUUGGAUAUGCCAGGAAGGUUUCUGUUCAGAAUGAGAGUAGAAGAGUAGUAUCUGAGGUGGAAAGGUACUUGAAAGACCCAGUUGAAGAUCCCAGCAAUCUUAAACUUAAUGUUUUGCUUUGGUGGAUGGUGAAUGGAUCGAGGUAUCCAAUUCUUGAGAAAAUUGCAAGAGAUGUUCUUGCUGUUCCUGUUUCCACAGUGGCAUCUGAGUCUGCCUUUAGCACCGGGCGGCGUAUUAUUGAUGAGCAUAGGAGUUCUUUAACUCCGGUUAUGGUUGAGGCAUUGAUAUGCACUGAAAAUUAGUUGCAGUCUAAAUUUUUUGCCAAUCCCGUCUACAACCUCCAAAAAGAUAUCAAUGAGCAAAUGUUUCAUAUGGAAUUACAAGAAGGUAAUGUUUUUAAUUUUUUAUCAUACAUUAAAUACACAAUAUAUUUAAAAUGCAUUAUAACUUUAUAUAGAACAUCUACAUGCAGUCAUGUACUUGAGUUAUUAAUUUUUUUUUGAUUUUAUAGAGCUUAUAAGAUCACAAGCUUCGACAGUGGAAGCGGUGAGCGCCGACAUUGGUGUUAUAGAUGUUUGAAAGGUAACUUUUAAUAUAUAUUAUUAUUCAUAAUUUGAUAUUAUAGUACUAUUAGUAUUUAGUUGUAAUUUAAGCUAUAAUUAUAGUUGUUAUAGUUUUAAAUUUUAAGUCUAAUUUGUAAUUGUUUUAGUUAGACAAGUUUGUUGAUAGAAUGUUAUUAUUGUCUAGUAUUAUUAUUAACUUGAUUUGGUGAUAAAUGCCAUAAAAUAAGCAUGAUAUAAUAGAAAUAUAUAAAUAUAUAAUCAAGUGUGUAUUGAAAAAUUUGGUAAACAUAUAUAUUUAUUUGUAAUUAUAAAUUUAUAAUGAUAUAAUAGAAAUUAGAAAGAUUGUAACACCCCUUUAACUUAAUUAAAGAUAUGAAUUGGAUUUAUUUAUUUGUGUUUGUAUUUGAUGUGUAACCUUAUGAAUUUGGUUUAUUUGCUCAAUUUUUUAUUUGAAUUUAGAACUUGUCAAAGACUCAAAGUGCUUGCAUGGAGCCAUGGAGGAACCAUGGUGGAGGAACCAAGAAAGCUUAUUUAGUUUUAAUGUUUGAACUUUGAACUUUGUGAUUUAUGUUUCUAAACAAUUUAAUUUUGUGACUUUGUGAGUUUGUGUUUCAAACUUUUAAAGACUAAUAUUUGGAAAUUGUACUUUGAACUUUGUAAGUUUGUAUUAAUUUUAACUUUUAUUAAGUUUGUAUUAAUUUUAACUUUUAUUAAGUUUGGAACUUUGGAUUUUGUUGGUUGAGCAAAUAAUAGUCCUAAUUCUAUUUCUACCCUCCAAGCCAAUAGGCAAAUAAUCCUAUUAUAGCAUUUUAACUUUAUUCAUUUGAUUUAAUAACAUUUUAUUUUCUUUUUUUAGUUGAAAAUUAGUAAAAAUGACUACAAUCUAGAAAAAUGUCUUAAAACUUUCAUAAAAACUACAAUAAUAGGAAAAAAAAAGAGCUCAAAAUUGCAUUAACCGAAUUUGACCCGAACUGACCUGAAUUGACCCGACCCGAAUUGACCCGAUUUCAACCGACUCGAACUGACCCAAUUUGACCCGAUUUAACCCGAACUGACCUGAACUCAAUCCUACUCAUUUUAAAUCCAACCCGAUCCAACCCGAACAUAACCCGAAUUAUUGACCCGACCCGAACCGACCCGAACUAAGUUCGGGUUGGAUCUUUAAUUCAGGUUAUGUUCGGAUUGGUUCUUGUCUAACCCGAACAACCUGAAACCUGAUCGGGUUGACCCGAACCCAAUUUUGCCCACCCCUACUGUAGAGUGUACUUUCAUGAAUUUAAAUAGUCCCACCCUUAAAAAAAUAAAAUAUCAUAAUAACUUUUUAUUGACACGUAUUAACUUUUUGAGUGGGAUUAUUAGCACCCUUCUAUAGUUCUUAUAAAAGUGCUCUAUCAUAUUACAAUUACAUUAAAAGAUCAAAUAAAUCUAAUUAAACCCCUAUGUUUUCUCUCUCUAUAAAUUUCUUUCUCGAACUCUUUACACUUACAAAAUCACAAUAGCGGCAGCUUCUAAUUUUUUUUCCUCACAAACACUUUGCAUUCUCUAUUUUACUAAUGUAUUCUUACUCUUAUAAGUUUCCUCAUCCAUUUUCAAUUUCAUGAAUAAACUAAAAAGAAUUUCUUUUUUAUCAUUUUCUUGCAUAUCAAUUUGAAAAAAAAAAAAACAAAGAGUAACAGAUUAGCUAUUUAAAUCCAUGAUUAAUUAACUCAAAGAUUUAAGGAACCUUUGAAUUAAGAUAAAAUGAAAGGUUGAGAUCUAAUGGAUUAAAUGACAUUAAUGGUAAAGCAGCCAUUUUAUAACUUUUUUUUUCUCUCCUAUCGUGAAAGAGCAUUAAUUUUAUGAACUUUUUUUCUAACUCCUGCGAUUUUAUUCUCUAUUUUCUUUCUCCUCUCAUUGUCAUCCCUUUUUUCCUCCAGCCUAUAGUUUUUCCCCAUAAAAAAAUAAGGAUAAAACAUUUAAAGAAAUUUUGUAGAAAAAAAGAAUUCUUAAAAAAAAAUUCAUUGAAUUAAGCAUAUAUAGCUUCGGGUUUAUAUUAUAAACACAAACUGUACUAAAGACUAACUGAAAAAUAUUACUCAAUUAAUUAUGAUUACUGGUUAAUUCAAAGAUGAAACCACAUAAUUCAACCAUCAAUUAGAUGUUGUAUUUUUUUUUUAUCUUAAUAUGCUUUAUGAAAUACAAAACCCAAGAGGAGGGUGGAUUGGGAUUCUAAAAAUUAUUUGAUUCUAAGACAAAUUAUCAUGCAAAUCUAGAAUGAAUUUAAAGCAAUAACAAUUAAGUUGAUCACAAUAUAAAAAGAUAAGGGAAGAGAAAUUCAAAUACAGAGAUUUUUACGUGGUUCGGCCAACCUCGCCUACGUCCACGCCUCUAAGCUUUCCGGACUUGAGGAUUCCACUAAGUAAGCCUCCAAGGCUUUAAAUGCUUACACUUGACUUCCAAUGUGUCAAUAACCUUUACAACAAGAGAUUAUCCCAAUCUCUUUAACCCAAGUGUAUCCCAACACUUACAAUCACUCAAAACUAAAGAUUUUAAAUUUGUUUUGCCUCUUACAAUAUAUAAGAUUACACAAUAAUGCCCAAUAUGUGAAUAGAUGAAGCAAGAAUGUGUUCUAAACUCUAUGAAGAUUGUAUUCUCGAAUAUAAGCUCAAUAGUCGUGUUGUGAUCAAUCUUCUUUGAAUUUGAAUGAGCUUAUUUAUAUUUGGAGCUGAAAAACUAGCCAUUACAAACUGUUAGCCCGAAAACAGUUCACCGUUAACCAUUAACGGUUAACCGUUUAGGCUGGUCAAAAGUUACCGUUGGGCUAAAAUUCAAAUAAACGGUUUUCCAUUUCAUGAUUACCCUUUCGCCGUUAAAUUCCAGAGACCUGCAAGAUUAACAUCAGUUAUCCGUUUACAUUAAACGAUUAAGGAUUUGCAUGAAGUGACUUCUCUAGAUAUUAUCGGUUAACCGUUUGUAAUAAACGGUUCGCCGUUUGUUUCCAGUAUCCUGCAAAGCAAUUUAGCCUUAUCCGAUUUUGUUAAACAGUGCCAGAGGAGUACAACCUUCAAUUCUGGAUGUUAUCGGUUAACCGUUUCUAUAAACGGUUCACCGUUAAAUUCCAGUAGCCUUCCCAUCUUUUAUGUUUUCCAUUUUUUAUAAUCGGUUAGAGCUUAGGCAAUAUGUUGCUCUCUGGUAUUAAUCGGUUAACCGUUUAAAAUAAAACGGUUCACUGUUUAUUUUCAUAAUCAUAUUUUAAACUAGAUUUUGCAGAGAAUCUUUUUCUAAUUUGAAAGUCCAUCUUUUAUGAAUAUGAAUGGAAUGAUUAUUAAGGCUUUCGUUUAUUAAGGAAUAGCUCCACCAUUUUUAUCAAAAACCAUUUAAAGUUUGUUAUCAUCAAAAUCAAUAUUAUUAACAUAUUCAUGAUAACAAUCUCCCCCUUUUUGAUGAUGACAAAUUUCAUUCAAUAUUUAGCUCCCCUUAAUAUGUGCUCCCCCUAAAUGUAUGGCCAAAUUAAGAAAUGUCCAAUAAAAAGAUUUUUGCUCAAGAAAACAUUUUUAAAUUCAUUCUAAAUCUCCCCAUAAAUAUCUCCCCCUUCAUCAUCAAAAAGAAAAGAGAGAAAGGAAAAACGCAAAUCUGUUAAAGAAGUUACCCAGUUUUGGCGAACGAAAAUUUUGGCAGAGUUUCCCCUUAAAAAUGAGCAAAACCACUAAUACAAAAUGAGAUUAAAACACUUCCAAAAUAUAUUAACAACAACUCCAUCUUUCAACAAACCAACAAUGCCAUGAACAAACAAACCAACACUUCAAUAUCCAAUAAACCAACAAUUUCAUCAACUAAUUACCAAGUCAUCCAACAUCAAGAACAUCACAAAAAUAUGUCAUCAAAAUCCAGAAAGAGCAUACAGAGGUAACAGUGUAUAUAAAAAUACAAAUGGCAACAUGCAAACAACCAAAAUAUGAAAUGUAUGUGCGAAAAUAGAACUCAGAAACUAUGGAGGUGGAGAAGAUGUGCUCCCCGGAUCAUAGCCGAAAUAGCAGAGAAAAGUGCACUGUCCAGCGAUAAGCUCAAGCUGCUGAUCAAUGCUCUGCUGCUGAAAGGUCUGAAAGUCAGAACGUAGCUAUUGGUGGUCACAGGAAACAGUGUCCAACCGAUCAAGAAUCAGUUGUUGGAGCUCCGAAAUCCGGUGAACAUCAGCAAUCAACUGCUGCACAACUUCUGAUGCAGGGGGUUGAACUGGAGCUGGAGGCGGCGUAGAGGCAGAUGGCUGCUCAGGAACAGCAGAUGGCUCAGGAGCAGGAGGCGGCUCGGAAGAGGAGGGAAUGUUAGCAUCCAUUGUACGCUCCUCAGAAUCAGAGUCAGCUGGAGGCUGAGGGACAAAACGGCGACGCAGAGGAUGAGGAUGAGCUCCUAAUCUAAAGUCAGGAAGCUUAUCGGGAGGAUAGAUAUCGUUGAGCAUCCGAUCGUCCUCUGGAGCAAUCAAGGUAUCCCGAUUUUUGGAGUUGCUUGUCUUUAUCCACUCUCCAUUCUUCCUAGAAAAAUCGAUACUAGUCUUGACCUCAGGACCAAUCCAUCUAGUCUCCAUAUGACCGGUAUCAAGAAGAGGCACCUCAAAGUGUCGCAGUAUCUUAGUAAUGAUACUGCCAUAAGGAAGCAAGCGGUGGUUAACCGUAGGAGUACUCAACAUGUGUCGCAUAAUAACAUACCCGAGGUUAAUGGGACGGUCUGAAAUUAGGCUAUCUAGUAGGCCAACGUCCAACCUCGUAACCUCAUCCGAGUGACCCUUCCUAGGUGUCACUAUGUGCUGUAAAAUAGUGUGAAGAAUACGAACUUGGAGAGGUAAAAGUUGAGACCGAAAAGGAAGCAAGCAAAUCUCAUCAGACAAGUCUCGACGACGACAUAUAUUACGGACUCCAUCAGUAUGACAAAAACUGUCAAAGAAAAGGGCUUUCCUAGAAGUGUAAAUAUCAUACCCCUCACUAGAGAUACCAAGAAAGUCAGCUAGGUCCGCAUCAUCAAACUCUAUAAGCACACCACCGACUUGAGUAACUAUCCUAUUUAGGCGAGUUGCGGAGAUUUCCAUGUUCGAAUAAAAAACUUGCACUAAAUUGGGAUAAACUCGAUCAUCAAAGUCAAUGGCAGACUCCCAAGGCUGAAGCAUAUCUCGAAUGCUUCUACCACAUACAACUAAGUUACUGAAAUCAUCAAUUUCAACAUAGAAGGAGUCAAGUACCUUUCGACCAUCGAAGCGAUCCUCGAACCGCUUGGCCAAGGAAGGCAUGGGGAAAUGAAUUCGUGCAAAUUGAGAGACUUUCCGUGGUGGUAUAGGAUUCCUUGGAGGCACAGAUUUUCGCUUGAGAUUUCUCCGAGGGAGUGCAGCCAUGGAUAAGCACAACGGAGUGUGAAAAAUGCGGGAGAGAUGUGAUGAGAAGAAAAUGAAUCGAUGAUUUGCUUAGGAAUGAGUAGAGGAUGUGAUUUUGAGGCUCAAUUUGGUUGAAGAAGGGGAAGAAUCGGAUUAAAAAUGAAGAACCCCGACCCGCGGCAAUUAGGGUUUAGAUUUGGGAUUUUUCAAUUUUGGGCUUGAUUUGAAGUUUUGAAUCGGUGAAAGUGUUCUAAAGGUGAUAAGAAAUGAUGUUGUAGGUUUGAUUUGGCAAGAAAAGCAUGAAAAAUGAGGAUUUGAGGGCAGAGGAACCUUCGGCUGCGCAACAAUGGCCGAAACGGUGAAAUGGUAACUGGAGAAGGAGAAGAAAAGACCUUUGAACAAUUUUAUAAUCGCGAAAACGGUUAACCAGUUGCAUCAAACGGUGAAAGAGUAAAAAGACAGAGAUAAAAUCUCGUUUCUGGAAUAAAACGGUUCACCGUUUAUUGAAAAUAGUUAUCCGUUUAUUUUAUCUAUAAUUUCGCACAUUUGAUUUAAUUUUUGGCCAGCAAAUAAUACAUUCCAAGAUCAUGUAACUGAUCUAAAAAUGUUUUAUGAGCCAUUUUAAUGCAUGAUUCAUGAACAUGUAUUCAAGCAAUUAAUUCAUAUAAUCAAUCAAGAAUUAACAAAGCAAAUACAUCAUUUGACUAUCAAGCUCAAGCAUUUCAUAAAUAUUAAAUCACAAAUAAGUCACUCAAUUCAGUACACUCAAUAGCAUGAAUAGAGACGUUAAUGCGAAAAUUUCAUCAUCCUAAGUUCAUGCCGAAUUUUUGAAAAUUGUUCUUCGCAAAGUGGUUUAGUAAAAAUAUCGACAAGUUAUUUUUCUGUAGAAAUAAACUCUAAUGCAAUAUCUCCCUUUUGAACAUGAUCUCUUAAGAAAUAAUGUCUAAUUUCUAUAUACUUGGUUCUAGAGUGUUGAAUGAGAUUCUUUGAAAGAUUUAUAGCACUAGUAUUAUCACACUUAAUAGGAAUUUGUUCAAGAUUAAUGCCAUAAUCUCUGAGUAUUUGUUUCAUCCAAAGUGCUUGUGCACAACAACUUCCGGCAGCUAUAUAUUCAGCCUCAGUAGUUGAAAGUGCAACAGAAUUUUAUUUCUUGCUGAACCAUGAAACAAGUGAGUGUCCUAAAAUAUAGCAAGUUCCACUAGUGCUUUUCCUAUCCACUUUAUAACCGGUAAAGUCCGCAUCCGAAUAACAUGUUAAAUCUAUAUGAGUUCCCCUAGGAUACCAAAGGCCAAUAUCUAUGGUUCCACUCAAAUAACGAAAAAAUAUUUUAACUGCAAGCAAAUGGGAUUCCUUGGGACAUGAUUGAAAUCUUGCACACAAACAUACACUAAACAUGAUAUCGAGUCUACUUGCAGUCAAAUAAAGUAGAGAUCCGAUCAUACCUCGAUAUAUCUUGAUAUCCAUUUCUUUGCCUUUUUCAUCUUUGUCUAGCUUGGUUGUUGUGUUCAUUGGUGUAUUUUUGGUCUUUGAGUCAUCAAUCCCGAAUUGUUUGAGUAGAUCUUUUACGUACUUGGCUUGAUUUAUGAAAAUUCCUUCCUCGUUUUGUUUGAUUUGAAGUCCAAGGAAGUACUUCAACUCUCCCAUCAUACUCAUCUUAAAUUCUUUGCUUAUACACGAUGAAAAUUCUUUACACAACAACUCAUUAAUAGAACCAAAAAUAAUAUCAUCGACAUAAAUUUGAACAAUAAGUAUAUCUUGGUUCUUAUGCUUAACAAAUAGAGUAGUAUCCACUUUACCCAUUGUAAAAUCAUUUUCUAACAAAAAAUUCUUAAGUCUAUCAUACCAUGCUCUAGGUGCUUGUUUUAAUCCAUACAAGGCUUUAAGCAACUUAUAAACAUGAUUUGGAAAUUUUUCAUUUUCAAAACCAGAGGGUUGUUUUACAAACACUUCUUCCAUAAUAUACCCAUUUAAGAAAGCACUUUUCACAUUCAUUUGAAACAAGAUGAAAUCUUUAUGACAUGCAAAUGCCAACAAUAUUCUAAUUGAUUCUAGUCUAGCAACGGGUGCAAAAGUUUCAUCAAAAUCAAUUCCUUCUUCUUAGUUGUAACCUUGAGCCACUAAUCUCACUUUAUUUCUUACAACCACACCGGAUUCAUCCAUCUUAUUUCUAAAUAUCCAUUUAGUACCUAUGACGGAUUGAUGUUUCGGUUUAGGAACUAAUUCCCACACAUUGUUUCUUUCAAAUUGAUUUAACUCCUCUUGCAUUGCCAUAAUCCAAGAUUCAUCAUUUUCCGCACCCGCAAAGGAUUUGGGUUCAAUUUGAGAAAUGAAUGNNNNNNNNNNNNNNNNNNNNNNNNNNNNNNNNNNNNNNNNNNNNNNNNNNNNNNNNNNNNNNNNNNNNNNNNNNNNNNNNNNNNNNNNNNNNNNNNNNNNNNNNNNNNNNNNNNNNNNNNNNNNNNNNNNNNNNNNNNNNNCAUUCAUUUCUUCAUGUUGCUCAUCUGAUUCCCAUGAGACACAUCCUUUUGGUUAUCGUUUGAUGAUUCUUUUGUAAGUCUUCAUCUACAUCAUUAUCAACAACAACUUUCUCCGUAGAGGAAGGGUUAGACUCAUCAAAGGUAACAUGCAUAGAUUUUUCUACAACUAAUGUUUUUUUGUUAUAAACUCUAUAAGCUUUGCUUGAGUUUGAAUAUCCAAGAAAAAUACCAACAUUAGAUUUUGGAUCAAAUUUGCCAAGAUUGUCUUUUGUGUUCAAAAUAAAACAUUUGCAUCCAAACACUUUGAAAUAACCAAUGUUGGGUUUUCUAUGUUUCCAAAGCUCAUAUGGAGUUUUGUUAAAGUUAGGUCUAAUCAACACAUGAUUUAAAACAUAACAAGCGGUGUUGACGGCCUCAGCCCAAAAAUACUUAGGCAAAGAAUUUUCAUUCAACAUAGUCUUAGCCAUUUCUUGAAUGGAUCUAUUCUUUCUCCCAACAACUCCAUUUUGUUGUGGAGUUCUAGGUGAUGAAAAUUGAUGCUCAAUGCCAAAGUCAUUACAAAAAAUCUCAAAUGCAUGAUUUUCAAACUCUCCUCCAUGAUCACUCCUAAUGCAAGCAAUACCAUCUCCUUUUUCAUUUUGUAAUUUCUUACAAAGCACUUUAAAGGCAUCAAGAGCAUCAUCAUCAUUGACUAAGAAUAAUACCCAUGUAUAUCUAGAAUAAUCAUCUACUACUACAAAUGCAUAAUGUUUGGCAUUUAGACUAACAUAUCUAGAUGGCCCAAAUAAAUCUAUGUGAAGAAGUUGAAGUGGUUUUGAAGUAGAAAUAUGAUUUUUAUUUUUGAAAGAUGUUUUGAUUUGUUUUCCAAAUUGACAAGCUUCAUAAAUCUUAUCCUUUUGAAACCCAAUUUUCGGAAGACCUUUAACUAAAUCAUUUUUCAAAAUUUUUGAAAUCAAAUCCAUACUUGCAUGACCUAACCUUCUAUGUCAUAGCCAACUAUCAUCAUGUAAUGCGGAAAAGCAUUUAUCAAGAGUAGAUGCACAUUCUAUGUCAAUGAUAUAAAUAUUACCACAUCUAUUCCCAACAAAUAAGAUCUUGCCAUCACAUGAAUUCUCAAUAACACAACUAAAUUUAUCAAAGAUAACUUUAUAACCUUUGUCACAUAAUUGACUAAUACUAAUUAAGUUGUGUUUCAAGUUCUCAACCAAACAUACAUUUUCAAAGGAAAUUUUACCAACAUUUCCAAUUCCAAGAAUUUUUCCUUUUGAGUUGUCUCCAAAAGAUACGUCUCCACCAUUUUCAAUUUUGGUGAAGCUUGAGAACCAUGCAUAGUUUUCAGUCAUGUGCCUUGAACAACCACUGUCCAAGUACCAUUUAUUUUUCUUCUUCUUUGAGCCCUACAAAGAAAAUCUCAAGUUUUAGGUACCCAAAGCUUUUUGGGUCCUUGAGAGUUAGCAAUGGUUCCUUUUGGAACCCAAAUACAUUUGACACCAUAAUAUGCAUUCCUUUUCACGGGACAUCUAUAUUUCAUGUGACCGUUUUGAUUACAAUAAUGGCAAACAAUCUUAUGAUCACUUGUGGAGGUAUCUUUAACAAAAUAAUUCUUAUAAUAUUUUUGCUUCAAGUUAGGCUUAUACCCAAGUCCUCCUUUAUCAAAAACACAUUUUUGUGAGUUAAGCAUAUUAUCCAACAUCUUUUGCCCAUUUGUAAAUUUCAAAACAAUCUCAUUCAACUCAUUGCUCUUUUUCUUAAGCAUUUCGUUUUCAUUUUUCAACUCAUCUAUGUGUGAUUCUAAAUGCUCAUGUGAGAUGCUAGGUUUCUCAUUUGAUAAUGCAAUUUCAUCAUGCAAUGUUUUGUUCUCUACUUCUAGGCAUGCAAUUUUUGUAUUUAGAGAAUCAUUUUCAUUUUUCAGUUUUGCCAUUUCCUUUUUAAGACAUACAAUCUUUUUACCAAUCUUCAUCAACUCAUUAUGUAAUUCUUUAAAAGCAUCAUACAAUUCAUCAUAGGUGGGCUCACUUACCUCAUUGAGAUCAUCAUCCCCUCCUAUUGCCAUAAGCGCUAGGUUUUAUACUUCUUGCGAUCCUUCUUCAUCACUUGAAUCUUCCUCGCUAUCAUUCCAAGUUGCAACCAUUGCUUUCUUCUUGAGUUUGUUGAUAAGUGGGCACUCCGAUCAUAUAUGGUCGGGCUUCUUGCAUUCAUAGCAUGUGAUUACCUCUUUCUUCUCCCUUUGGUUCUUGAAGUUUCUGAAAUUUCUUCGCUCUCCGAUUUUCUUGAAGAAUUUUCUGAACCUCCUUGCCAGCAUGGCUAGCUCUUCAUCAUCCAGUUCACUCUCCCCAUCACUCUCAUAUUUUGAAGCUUUAAGAGCAAUGCUUUUCUUCUUCUCCUCAUGCCCUUUUUCUGCUGCCAAAUCUUCUUCAUAUGAAAUGAGAGAACCAAUUAAAUCAUCAAGAGGUAAAGUAUUUAAAUCUUUGGCCUCUUCAAUAGCGGUUCUUUUAGGUCUCCAUUCUUUUGGAAAUGACCUAAUGAUUUUCUUAACUUUUUCACUAUUUGAGAAGGUCUUUCCUAGGGCUCCAAGGGUGUUUACUAUGUCCGUAAAUCUCAUAUACAUAGAGUUCACACUCUCAUUUUGUUCCAUUUGGAACAACUCAUAUUGUCGAGUGUACCUACUAAUUUUCGACUCUUUCACUUGAUUUGUGCCUUCAUAAUCUACUUCAAGUUUGUGCCAAAUUUCAUUGGCACUUUCACAACUAGAUAAUCGAUGAAAUUCUUUCUUAUCAAGUGCACAAAAUAAAGCAUUCAUAGCUUUGGAAUUUAGAGAAGCUUUUCUCUUUUCCAACUCAUUCCAUUCCCUUGAAGGUUUUGGAAUAUCUUUCCCGAAUUCAUUUUUAGUUAGGGGCAAAAACGGACCAUCACAUACAACUUCCCAAAUUUCAUAAUCUAAAGCUUGCAAAUAGAUUCUCAUUCUAGUUUUCCAAUAAGCAUAGUCAUUACCGUCAAAGAACAGUGGUCUAGUUGUGGAUUGCCCUUCUCUAAAGGUUGAGUCAUUUAGGGUUGCAAUGGAUCUUUUACUUUAGAUGAUUAAGUCCUAAUAAGAGAACGAGGCUCUGAUACCAAUUGAAAUACAAGUAUGCAACCCAAGAGGGGGGGUGAAUUGGGAUUCUAAAAAUUAUUUGAUUCUAAGGCAAACUAUCAUGCAAAUCUAGAAUGAAUUUAAAGCAAUAACAAUUAAGUUGAUGACAAUAUAAAAAGAUAAGGGAAGAGAAAUUCAAACACAUAGAUUUUUACAUGGUUCGGCCAACCUCGCCUACGUCCACGCCUCUAAACUUUCCGGACUUGAGGAUUCCACUAAGCAAGCCUCCAAGGCUUCAAAUGCUUACACUUGACUUCCAAGGUGUCAAUAACCUUUACAACAAGAGAUUAUCCCAAUCUCUUUAACCCAAGUGUAUCCCAACACUUACAAUCACUCAAAACUAAAGAUUUCAAAUUUGUUUUGCCUCUCACAAUAUAUAAGAUUACACAAUGAUGCCCAAUAUGUGAAUAGAUAAAACAAAAAUGUGUUCUAAGCUCUAUGAAGGUUGUAUUCUCGAAUAUAAGCUCAAUAGUCGUGUUGUGAUCAAUCUUCUUUGAAUUUGAAUGAGCUUAUUUAUAUUUGAAGCUGAAAAACUAACCGUUACAAACUGUCGGCUUGAAAACGGUUCACCGUUAACCAUUAACGGUUAACUGUUUAGGCUGGUCAAAAGUUACCGUUGGGCUAAAAUUCAAAUAAACGGUUUGCCAUUUCAUGAUUACCCUUUCGCUGUUAAAUUCCAGAGACCUGCAAGAUGAACAUCAGUUAUCCGUUUAGAUUAAACGGUUAAGGAUUUGCAUGAAGUGACUUCUCUAGAUAUUAUCGGUUAACCGUUUGUAAUAAACGGUUCGCCGUUUGUUUCCAGUGUCCUGCAAAGCAAUUUAACCUUAUCCGGUUUUGUUAAACAGUGCCAGAGGAGUACAACCUUCAAUUCUGGAUGUUAUCGGUUAACCGUUUCUAUAAACGGUUCACCGUUAAAUUCCAGUAGCCUUCCCAUCUUUUGUGUUUUCCAUUUUUCAUAAUCGGUUAGAGCUUAGGCAAUAUGUUGCUCUCUGGUAUUAAUCGGUUAACCGUUUAAAAUAAAACGGUUCACCGUUUAUUUCCAGAAUCACAUUUUAAAUCAGAUUUUGCAGAGAAUCUUUUUCUAAUUUGAAAGUCCAUCUUUUAUGAAUAUGAAUGGAAUGAUUAUUAAGGCUUUCGUUUAUUAAGGAAUAGCUCCAACAUUUUUAUCAAAAACCAUUUAAAGUCUGUUAUCAUCAAAAUCAAUAUUAUUAACAUAUUCAUGUUAACACUUUAUGCAAGUGAAAAGUUUUCAAAGUUUUAGGCUAACAUAAAAUAAAAAAGUUUGAGGGGAAUGGGAGAGAGGAAAAAAAUAGAUAAGAAAUGGAUUUUAUAUUCUAUGUAAAAAUAGAGAGACAAAACAAUGGACAAAAUUUGAAAAAGAAGAAGAACAUCGAUAAAGAGAAAGAGGAUAGAGAAAAUAAAUAUUAUAGCAUUAAUGUGUUGAAAUUAAUGUGCUAAAUUAUUUAAUUAAUCCAUAUCAUCCCUUCACUUUGUUUUAAUCUAAAAACUCACAAUUUGUAUCUAAAAUUGUGUAUAAAAUUUGUGUCCCUUGAAUAUGCCCUCUCUUUGUUUCCAAUUAAGAAUCUUGAUUAUAUUAAAGUCAAAAAUAAGUUAAAAGAUAAAAAAAAAUACACACUCUAAUGUAAUAUAUUUUAUUUUAUAGUAUUUUAAAAAUCUAUAUUUUUUAUUUUUUACCUUAUAUCUAAUUUUAAUAUACUUCGUAACUCUUAAUUGGAAACUCACUAGAUAUAUUUUUUUUGUGUGUCCAUGCGCACGUGCAUAUUUAAAAUAUUUUUUUAAUAAGAGAUCUCUUAAAUCAUUAGGGUAAGGGAUGAGCUACGAGAUAAGAAAAACACACUUUUAUACACUACAUGACAAAAUACAUUAAAUGAGAAUAUAUGUUUUACUUGUUUUUUAGUUUGUUGAUUACUUUAAUAACUAGAUCGCUUAUUAAAUAACAACUCUAUAUAUCUAUGUAGUUAUUCUCUAAUGAGAACAUUCUCGUUGUGUUUUUUCUUUUAGUGUAUCUGUUAAUAACAUUCAUAUUUUGUUAAAUAUAAAGAUGUUUUGAUAAGGAGAAAAAAAAUUCUCUCUCUCUCUUUCUCUCUCUGUCUCUCUCUCUCUCUAUAUGUAAAUGUGCAUACGUAUGUAUGUAUGUAUUGUUGGGAUUAUAUGCUCUUUUGAAGCAUAUUAAUUUAUUUUCUGAUUAAUAAAAUAUUUGAGAUAUUUUCAAUUGCAUAAAUAUAUAUUGAAUAAGGCCCGUUUAAUCAUAUUAUUUGUAUUUAUGUGAUCAUCAUAUGCAUUCACAGAAGACAUAAAUACAAGUUAUCUUAUAAUUAAAUAAAUAUUAGUUCGCAGUUGAUAAAUAGUGUUUGGCACUCUAUUUAUGUUUACACUACAGUAAAUUCAUUGAAUGAUUUGCCUUAAUCAUAUAUGAAUUUACUGAUGUAGUUUGACUACAUUGAACUGGAUCACAUAUGAGAUUUAAUUAACCUUGAAAUGACUGUCAGACUUAUUAAAUCUCAUAGGUAUUGAUUUUACUGUAAUCUUAAUCUUAAGUUAGUUAUGAUUUCAUGAUUGUAAUUGUUAUUCCAUUUGAGUUACCAAUGGGCACGACACACACUUGUGGUCAAGAUUACCCGGUAUUUUGGUGGGAGCAAUUAUGAGUAUUGAAGUUAAAAAUUAACAAUAUAGAAUUUCUACAACACAUCUCUUGAUGGGUUUUCGGCACUUGAUCAUAGAAUUCUUUGGCCAGAGUGUGUCAACAUAUUUAAUAUGUUGAAAAUGAUCAUUAGAGAAAACCAGUAAGUAUUAAGGAAUAAGAUGUAAUUAAAUCGAUUGGACAGUUGAGAUAUCAAUUUAAGAUUAUGCAGUAAAGAAAUCAAUGUGGCAUGGGUUGAAUUAUUAUUCGAGUAUACUAUCUUAGAUAACAUACAAUUAUGGAGGUCAAUUCCAAUCUUUUAGUGGAGUAGAUUUGGAAUUAAAUAAUUGGACUAAUUUAAUUACAUGCCUAAUUAUUGUAGCUACUAUUAUAUGUCCCCAAAUGAUCUAGGGGUUAGCUCAUUUAAUUGACUACACCAUUACUGGAUUAAUAAAUAAGAUAACUAGUUAUUUAGGUUAAAAGACUAAAUAUAUUAUUUAGUGAGAGGCUCCAUUAAUAUACUUGAGUGUAAGGGACCUUGUGUUAUUUUACAAGGUGGGCUCCUAUAACACAAGAACAAGUAAUGUGACUUUUGUUUUAAUUAUUUUUUAAUUUAAAUCAAAUGGGAUUUAAUAGAAUUAAUAAAUAAAUAAAUAAAUAUGGAGCCUAGGGUUUCCACUAAAAGGGAGAUAUAAAAAGGCUUAUUUUCUCUAAAGAAAAAUAUAGCAGCCACUUUAUAUAGAUAAGAGAAAAAGAAUUUUUCUUUCUAAUUUUGAGAGAAAAUUUUUUCUCUUACUAGUUGCUUUUAGUGGUGAUAAAGGCGCCCACAUGUCAAGUGCAGAUCAAAUCUGAGUCAUAACCUAAAAGAUUAUUUGGUGACAGAUCGUGAUCUGAGAGCCUAAAUCACUUUAGCGAAAAAAGCAAAGAUUGUUCAUCUUCUCAGAUUUUCAAGGUACGAUUUCUAGAUUAUGAAUUCUUAUAUAUUAUAUGAGAUUGAUUCUAAAAGUUAAAAAAAAAACUGAUUUCUCUCAUACAAUUGGUAUCAGAGCCAUCUCAUAUUAAUAUGGGAAAUUAUCAUUUGUAUACCCUUAGUUUACUCCAUUAUCAAAACUACUACAACACUUUGAGGGUGUAUCAAUCGUCCACCCUAAGUUGACAAAAUGUAUCAGUUGACCACCAAACCGGUAGUUGCCGUUUAAGUAUGAUGACGUCAGAAGGGUAAUUUGGUCUUUUCAUAUGAUACAAGUGAUAAUUUAAGGGUAUACAAGUGAUAAAAAGAGAAUUUAAGGGUAUACAAGUGAUAAUUUUCAAGGGUAAAAUCGUCAAUUCACUGUAAUUCCGUUAACUUUCAAACGUCAACUAACGGUUUGGUGGUCGGCGGAUACAUUUUGUCAACUAAGGGUGGACGAUUGAUACACCCUCAAAGUGUUGUAGUAUUUUUGAUAACAGAGCAAAUAUAAGGUAUAUGAAUGAUAAUUUCCUUAUUAAUAUAUCAUAAUUUCGUAUGAAAUUAAUCUUGAUAUUUAUGUAUUAGAGUGGCACAAUUUAUUUAGAUAUAUAUUAUUUGUUUAAUAUAUGAAUAAAGUAUGCUUAUGGUUUGUUUUAAUUCAUUGUUAGAUUUUUAAUGUAUUUUUUGUUUGGAUAUGUAACAAGAGGAGUGGUUUUGUAUCACCAUGUUUGCUUAUUGAUUUAUUUUACUGUUAUAGAAAUUUGUAAGCCAAAAAUUGGCCUAGUAAAUUUCUAAUUCAUUGGAAACUUGCGGAAACUUGUGUGAGACUACUGGAAACAUGCGUUGCAACUGCGAGAAACUUGCUGGAAACUGCUGCAAGCAACGCUGCACACGCUGCAGUAGCGCGCGCGGCCAUCGCGUGCAGCAACCAGCGCUGCCAGCAGCUGCAGUGGCAUGCAACGUGGCCAACGACGCAAGCGGAGGCUGGUCGCGUGCGCAAGAUGGCUGCUGGCGGAAGGCGGCGGCUUCCCGGUGACGCGGUGACGGUGACUCAGCGUCGGCGAUGGUGGCUGUCCGGUGUGGAAACCAUGAACAGCGGCUAGUUUUUGUGGAGAUGGCGACCUGGGGAAGAAGGAAAAGAAAAAUAUGGAUUUUAGGGUUUCAUGAUUUUUAUCUCGGUCCCUAUGUUUCCGUAAUUUUUCUUUUGGGUAGAAAAAUUUUAAUUAUUUGCAUUUAAGUCCAAAAACAGUUUUGGGCUUAAUAAAUCAUAAUUUUACGCCUAAUUGAAGUUGAGCGUAAUGGAUUAAAAUGUAUAGAUAAAAUUGAACACUUUAAAUUUAUUUUGGUCCAAAAGUUUUAUUUUAAAAAAAAUUUAUUUAUUUUCUUUUAAAAUUAAAAUUGGACCAAUAAUAAAUUUGAAAGCCCAAUUUUCCCUAGUCCAUUAACAAAGACAAACCUAUGGAAGAUGGACAUUGACAAGAAGCCCAAUGAAGAUUAGGCUUAGGGUUAAUGCAUUAUUUCAUUUUAGGAAAACCAUGAAUUAAGAUUAUUUAAUUAUUUUUCUAUAUUCUAUGUUUUGGAUGAUAACAUGCCAUGAUAAAAUGUCAUAUAGAAUAAGUAGUGCCACUCUAUGCAUAAUGAUAUAUGUCAUUCAUUAAUUAUAAAUUUCAUUAUAUUGUUUAAAAAUUGCAUAUGCAUUAUAAUAUUGGAUAUCAUCUAGAUAAUAUUAUAGGAAGUAUGCAAUUAAUAAUAUAUAAUUAAUGUAUGUUUUAAAAAGGAAAAACCAAUUUUAAAAUAUUGAGUGGGAGAGGAAAAAUUCAAGAUAAUUUUUCCACGAGCUCCAUUGUUAGUUCAAUAAUAAAAUUAUAUUUAUACAUCGACUUCAUGAUACGGUGAUGCUCCAUUCGGAGGGUAUAUAUAUUAGAUAUUUUAUUUAAUGAAGUCCUUCAAAGAUAAAAUUGAAACAUUUUUCAAUCGAUUGUUCACCCCCAACGGUGACUAUUGAUAUGAAAAAUACGUAGAUUGAAACAAUAGUUAUACACUCAACUAAAAUUUGUUAUUAACCUUCCCAACGAAGCUCUGUUAACAAAUUUAAGCCCAAAAGGAUAACGAUAAUUAUUUAUCAUGUCCCUACAUGAAAGUAAAUAAUCCAAUGGAUAAUUGGGUCUAGUAAGUGUAGACAUGACUUCCCCAACGAAUAGCUUGUCAAAACGGUACUAGAUUAUCGUUACAAUAAAUUAAAAUGCAUUUAUGAUUUUUUGCAUUUUUGUUAUUUAUUGUAAUAUUGUUUCAAAGUGUUUAUGCAUGUCUAUUUUGUUUUUUCAGAAAAUGUCUUCCAUCAACAAAUUAUCCUUGUUAAAAAUGAACUCACUGGCGAAAAUUACUUAGAUUAGAAAUGCAAUCUAUUUAAUAUUCUCAUUGUUAAGGGCUGCAAAUAUGUGUUGAUCUAGCCUUGCCACCUAGAACCAUCAUUGUACGAUUAUAGAAAUCAGAGGGAGCCUUAUGAGAAAUGGUGCGAAGCUAACAAAAUGGCUAAGCACUAUAUAUUGGCUUCGAUUUCUAUGGAACUGCAUAAGAAACAUCGGAGCAUGGAAACAACCACUGAAAUAAUGGCUAGUCUUCAUAAGAUGUUUGGGCAAAAUACUCAUUUUGCCAGAGAAGCAACGUUAAAACGUAUUACGGAUACUAAGAUGGAAGAGGGCACAAGAGUUCGUGAUCAUGUCCUUAAAAUGAUGGACUAUUUGAAUGAAAUAGAGAUUCACGGUGUUCAAAUCGAUGAUAAAACAAAAAUUAACAUGGUGAUUGAAUCUUUACCUGAUACAUUCAAAGAGUUUAAGGUCAAUUAUAUCUUAAACAAUAAAGAUAUGACCUUAAUUGAAUUAAUGCACGAACUAUAUGCUAUAGAAGAAUUUUAUCAUACAGAAAACUUCCUGAAAAAUUAUUCUCUUCAAGGCUUAAGUCGAAAGACAGGAAUAAGCAAGAAAGAGUUGGGAUCGGCAAAUUGUCCACUAAAAGAAGUGGCAAGCCAAAAGACAAAUGUUACAAAUGUGGACAGAAGAGUCACUGGAAGAAAGAUUGUCCUAAGAUUAUUAAAAUCAGGUAUAGGAAAUCUUUAAGCUUCCUAAUUAGUUCAGAUUUCUAUUGAUUCAUGCAAUAGUAAAUUAUAAGAUAACUAAUCUUAUUUGUAAUUCAUUUAUUUAGUUUUCAGGAAACCAAGAGAUGAAGUGAAGAAAGCUUCAAACAACAGUUGAGGACAUGCUAGUUUAUAUCAAUUGAAAGGCUAGAUCAAUUUUACAAGAUUUUAGUUUUGAUAUUUAUCUUUAUUUUUUCAAAUAUUAGAGGAAUUUAAUUUCGGUGGCUUAUUUUAAUAAACAGGAGUACACUGUUAUUUUUGGAUCCUCUGUUUAUUACUUAUUUUGGUUAUUUAUAAAGACAAUUUAUAUCAUAUAAGUCCAUUGAUAUAUUCAAAGCAAGAUAUAAUGAUAAAGAGUAUAUGCAUUUAUCUAUAAAAAAGAAAUGUUUCUUCUAACCAAUAUCACCUCUGAUAUUUAUGCUUAAGUCAUAUAAACUAUAAUAAGAUUUUAAGAAAAUGAUUAAUGAUAGGCUUAUUGGCCUAUUAAGAUUGAUCAUUGUAACUCUAUAACUCUUAUUUAGAAAAGUAAUAUGACGAGAAUGCUUUUUUUAAACUAAAAGCAUAACAUUGUAUUGGAUGAUUUAGCGCAUACAAAUGUAUACGGACUAAUUAGUUUACAUGUUAAAAGAGGUUAUGAGUAUUCUAUCAAUCUUGUUGAUGAAUAUUCAUUUCAUUUAUGUUUGUCUAAAUGCAUCAUGAUUCCAUCGCUUUUGAAAUUCAAAAGGGUACAUGGAUAAGACAGAGAAGCAAUUAGAUAGGAACAUAAAAGAAUUUCGAUAUGAUCGAAACAAAGAAUAUGUCUCUGGAGAAUUCAAGCUCUAUUUGGUUGUCAAAUGGGAUAAACUCCCAAAUAUAAUGAGCAUUAUGAUACAAUAGUGUAAUUAAAUGGAGAAACAAGAUUCUUUUGGAUAAGACAAGAUAUAUACUAAAUGGUUUAUCAUUUACCUUUUCUAUUCCAGAUAAUAGUAUUUAAAAUUGUAAAGUUUAUUGAAAUUAGUUUCAUCUACCUCGGUGUCUACUACUACAAAAAAUUAUGAAAAAUCACAAACAUAGUUUGAGACACAUUCGUAUUUGGAGUUUACUAGUAUUUGUUAGCCUAUAUGGCUAUAAAUAUUGAUUUUGAUGACAACAAACCACAUGUAUUUAUUAAGUAAAGAUUUAUGAAUUGUGCUUUUAUAAUAAGAAAAUGAUGUUAUGGAAUUAAAGCAUUUUGGACUAAAAUGAAAGUAAUUUUAAAAUCUUUGAUAAUAUUUUAAAUUUCGGAUUUGGACCUAUUUGAAACUAUUUAAAUCUUUUUGGGUCAUUCUAUAAUAUCACAAAAUUUGGGCGAAAUCAUAAUUUCAGAAAGUUUUGGGAUUAACGAAGCAUUACUUAGAAAUUCUGAAAUUGGACCUAUUUGCAAAGUUUCAUAAUGUUUUGGGUCAUACUACAGUUUUAUAAAGUUUUGGGGUCAAACUAAAAAUUUAGGAAAAUUUCACUGUAGUAGGUUACUGUAGCAAGCGGCUUACUGGAUAUAAAAACUGAAAAAUCGGAUACGGGGCAGUAAGCAUCCAGAACGCAAACGGCUUACCGGAUUUCGUAACUGGCAAGCCGGAUAGGCAAAAUUCAAAUUUUUGCCUUAACGGUAACAUAAAUUCAGCUUACCGGAUUCCAUAAACGGCAAACCGGAUACGCCCAGAAUGUGAGUAACGGCUAGUUUUUGAGCUCAAACUAUAAGAACUCAAAUCCAACUCAUUUUGAGUCUCUAAAACAAGCCAAAACAAAAAGUACACGUGAUAUCUUGAGCCUUCAAACUUGCGAAAUACAAACAUUGAAUCUUUUCUUGUUCUUCAUUUUUUAAUAUUUACUCAUUGAGUGAGUUUCAUUGUAACCUUCAUUUAUUCAUCUCAAUUGUAAGAGUUUAAGUGUGUGAGACACUUGAGUGAAGAGAUUAAGAGAUAAUCUCUUUGUUGUAAAGGCUUAUUGACACCUCGAAGUCAAUUGUAAUUGUUGAAGCCUUGGAAAGGCUUGGAUAGUGAAAUCCUCAAGCUUGGAUCGCUUGGAGGCGUGGACGUAGGCAGGGAUUGCCGAACCACGUAAAAAUUCGUGUGUUUGUUUCUCUUCUCCCUUACUCUUUAAUUAUUGUGCUUUUCUUGAACUUAUUGCUUUCAAUUUUUAUUAAGACAUUAGAUUGCUUGUUGUGUGGAUUUGCUAGGAUAAUUUUUAAAUUUCCAAUUCACCCCCUCUUGGGUUGCACACUUAUAUUUCAUUUGGUAUUAGAGCAAAGUGCUCUUAUUUAAGACUUAACUGUCUAGAGCUAAAGAUCAAUGGCAACUCAAAAUGAUUCCACAUUUAGGGAAGGACAGUCCACCACUAGACCACCUUACUUUGAUGGAAACGAUUACCCAUAUUGGAAAACUAGGAUGAGAAUUUACUUGCAAGCCUUAGAUUAUGAAAUUUGGGAAAUUGUUAAUGAUGGUCCUUUCAUGCCUUUGACUAAAAAUGAAACCGGAGAAGAUAUUCCAAAACCUUCACGGGAUUGGAAUGAAUUCGAAAAAAGAAAAGCUUAUCUAAAUUCCAAGGCCAUGAAUGUCUUGUUUUGUGCUUUAGAUAAAAAAGAGUUUCAUAGAGUGUCUCGCUGCGAAAGUGCUAAUGAGAUUUGGCACAAACUUGAAGUUGUCUAUGAAGGCACAAACCAAGUGAAAGAAUCUAAAAUAAGUAGGUACACUCGACAAUAUGAAUUGUUCCAAAUGGAACAAAAUAAAAAUGUGUACUCUAUGUAUACUAGAUUUACAGACAUAGUGAACACUCUAGGAGCCCUAGAGUAGACUUUUUCAAACAGCGAAAAAGUUAAGAAAAUCAUUAGGUCACUACCUAAAGAAUGGAGACCAAAAAGGACUUCCAUUGAGGAAGCUAAGGAUUUAAAUGUAUUAUCUAUUGAUGAUUUAAUUGGUUCUCUCAUUUCAUAUGAAGAAGAUUUGGCAGCUGAAAAAGGGCAUGAGGAAAAGAAGAAAAACAUUGCUCUCAAGGUUUUAAAACGUGAGAGUGAUGAGGAAAGCGAAAUGGAUGAUGAGGAGUUGGCUAUGUUGGCUAGAAGAUUCAGAAAAUUUUACAAGAAGAAUAAUGAGCAGAGAAAGUUCAGAGGCUACAAGAAUAAGAAGGACAAGAAUGAGCCAAUCACUUGCUAUGAAUGCAAGAAGCCCAGACACAUACGACCGGAAUGUCCUCUUCUCAACAAACUCAAGAAGAAAGCUAUGGUGGCCACAUGGGAUGAUAGCGAUGAGGAAACAAAUGAUGAGGAUGACCAACAAGAAAUGACAAUCUUAGCUCUCAUGGUCGUUGAGGAAGAAUCAUGUGAUGAACUUGAUGAGGUAAGUGUUCUUCCUACAUAUGAUGAAUUACAUGAUGCUUUUAAGGAUUUGCAUGAUGAGCUAAUGAAGAUUGGUAAAAAGAAUAUAUGUCUUAAAAAGAAGAUGAUAGAGCUUAAGAAUGAAAAUAAUUCAUUUAGUGCAAAGAUUAUAUGCCUAGAAUUAGAAAAUAAAACAUUGCAUGAGAGUAUUGCAUUAUUUGAGAAUUCUAGCACUUCACAUGAGCACUUAGAGUCACACAUGAAUGACUUGAAAAAUGAGAAUGAAAUGCUUAAAAAGAAGAGCAAUGAACUAAAUGAAAUUGUGCUAAAAUUCACAAAUGGGCAAAAGAUGUUGGACAAUUUGCUAAACUUACAAAAAUAUGUAUUUGACAAAAGUGGCAUAGGUUAUAAACCGAAUUUGAAACAAAAAUUUUACAAGAGUUAUUUUGUGAAGAAUACAUCUAUUAACAAUCAAAUUGUAUGUCAUUAUUGCAAUCAAGAUGGUCAUAUGAAAAAUAGAUGUGUGGUGAAGAGAAAUGCAUAUUAUGGUGUGAAAUGUGUUUGGGUUCCGAAAGGAACCAUUGCUAACUCUCAAGGACCCAAAAAGGUUUGGGUACCUAAAACUUGACAUUUUCUCUACAGGGCUUGAAGAAGAAGAAUAAUAAGUGGUACUUGGACAGCGGUUGUUCAAGACACAUGACAGGGAAUUAUUCUUGGUUUUCAAGUUUCACUAAGAUCAAAAAUGGUGGAGAUGUAUCGUUUAGAGAUAAUUCAAAAGGAAAAAUCAUUGGGACUGGAAAUGUCGGUAAUGUAUCCUCUACUCUCAUUGAAAAUGUGUGUUUGGUUGAAAACUUAAAACACAAUUUGCUUAGUAUUAGUCAAUUAUGCGAUAAAGGAUAUAGAGUUAUCUUUGAUGAAUCAAAAUGUGUUAUUGAGAAUGCAUGUGAUGGGAAAGUCUUGUUUAUAGGAAAUAGAUGUGUUAAUGUCUAUACCAUUAAUAUAGAUUGUGCAUCAAUACAUGAUAAAUGUCUCUCUACAUUGCAUGAUGAUGGCUGGUUGUGGCAUAGAAGAUUAGGUCAUGCAAGCAUGGAUUUGAUUUCAAAAAUCGUGAAAAAUGAUUUAGUUAAAGGUCUUCCAAAAAUCAGUUUUCAAAAAGAUAGAAUUUGUGAAGCAUGCCAAUUUGGAAAACAAAUCAAAACUUCCUUCAAAAACAAGAAUCAUGUCUCUACUUCAAAACCACUUCAAUUGCUUCAUAUAGAUUUAUUUGGACCUUUUAGAUAUGCUAGUUUAAUUGGACUUUAGAUAUGCUAGUUUAAUUGUGGAUGAUUAUUCUAGAUACACAUGGAUAUUGUUCUUAGCUAAUAAGGAUGAUGUCAUUGAUGUAUUUCGAAUUUUCUAUAAAAAGGUUCAAAAUGAAAAAGGUUAUUCUAUUACUUGUAUUGGAAGUGAUCAUGGUGGAGAAUUUGAAAAUCAUGCAUUUGAAAAUUUUUGUAAUGACCUUAGCAUUGAACAUCAAUUUUCAUCACCUAGGAGUCCAUAAUAAAAUGGAGUAGUAGAGAGAAAGAAUAGGUCUAUUCAAGAAAUGCCUAGGACCAUGUUGAAUGAAAACUCAUUGCCUAAGUAUUUUUGGGCCGAAGCCGUCAACACCGCUUGUUAUGUUUUAAAUCGGGUGUUGAUUAGACCUAAUCUUAAUAAAACUCCAUAUGACCUUUGAAAAGAUAGAAAACCCAACAUUGGCUAUUUUAAAGUUUUUGGAUGCAAAUGUUUUGUUUUGAACACAAAAGAUAAUCUUGGUAAAUUUGAUCCAAAAUCUGAUGUUGGCAUUUUUCUUGGUUAUUCAAAUUCAAGCAAAGCUUAUAGAGUUUAUAAUAAAAGAACUUUAGUUGUGGAAGAAUCUAUGCAUGUUACAUUUGAUGAGUCUAACCCCUCCUCUACGGAGAAAGUUGUUGUUGAUGAUAAUGCAAAAGAAGAACAACAAGAAGAAGCAUCGAAUGACAACCAAGAAGACGCGCCACAUGGAAUUCAAGAAGAACAUCAUGAAGAAACAAAUGCAGAGCAAAAUGAAGGUACUUCACAAACAGUCCCCAAGGAGUGGAGGUAUGUAUCCUCUCACCCUAAGGAUAUAAUUUUAGGAGAUCCCUCACGAGUAGAGCUGGCAAAACGGGUCAUCGGAUCGUGUUCGUGUCGUGUCAGCUUCGUGUCGUGUCAAAUUUAAGUCGACCCAAAUCCGACCCAUUUAAUAAUCGUGUCAAAAUAUUGAGACCCAAACCCGACACGAAAAAAUAAUCGGGUUACCCAAUAACCCGUUUAAUAUCUAUAUAUUGAACAAAAGUUACAUUAAAUAUUUACACACUAUCAUACAUACGUAUGUACAUACAUACAUAAUUUAUCGAUAUUAUAAAAUAUACAUAUCUACUAAUAUAUUACACAUUUACACUAUUGAGGUUAUAUAUAUAUAUAUAUAUAUAUAAUAUUAUAUGUCAAUAUUAUAAAAUAUACAUGUCUAUUAAUUUUUACACAUUUACACUAUUGAAGCUCUAAAUGUAUUUAAAAUUUUAUAAAUAAAACACUGUGUUUAUAUUCACCCUUUUAAAGAAUUAAAAAAAACCAUCUCUAAUAUUUGAGUUUUAAUAAUAAGAAUAUGUAAAUUAUUUUAAAAUAGAAAAUAUAAUCGGGUCAUUGAUCGGGUAAAUGGGUCAAGAAUUUUAACCCUAACCCGGCACGGAAAAAAAUCGUGUUGACCUGGACCCGACCCAUUUAAUAAUCGUGUUAAAUUUGACAACCCAUACCCAUUUAUUUAUGUCGUGUUCGUGUCGGGUAAUCGGAUCGUGUCAAAUUUUGCCAGCUCUACUCACGAGGUGUUACCACUAGAUCAUCCCUUAGGAACACAUGUGAGCAUGCUGUAUUUAUUUCUCAAAUUGAACCAAAAUCCUUUGCGGAUGCGGAAAACGAUGAAUCUUGGAUUAUGGCAAUGCAAGAGAAGUUGAAUCAAUUUGAGAGAAACAAUGUGUGGUAGUUAGUUCCUAAUCCAGAACAUCAAUCCAUUAUAGGUACUAAAUGGGUAUUUAGAAACAAAAUGGAUGAAUCCGGUGUGGUUGUAAGAAAUAAAGCUAGAUUAGUGGCUCAAGGUUACAACCAAGAAAAAUGAAUUGAUUUUGAUGAAACUUUUGCACAUGUAGCAAUGUUAGAAUCCAUUAGGAUGUUGUUAGCAUAUGCAUGUCCUAAGGAUUUUAUUUUAUAUCAAAUGGAUGUCAAGAGUGCUUUUUUAAAUGGAUAUAUUAUAGAGGAAGUUUAUGUGAAACAACCUCCUGGUUUUGAAAAUGAAAAAUUUCCAGAUCAUGUGUAUAAGUUAUCCAAGGCUUUGUAUGGUUUAAAACAAGCACUUAGAGCUUGGUAUGAUAAGCUUAAAAAUUUCUUGUUGGAUAACGAUUUUUCAAUGGGAAAAGUUGACACAACUCUUUUUGUUAAGCAUAAGAACCAAGACAUACUUAUUGUUCAAAUUUAUGUUGAUGAUAUUAUUUUUGGUUCUACUAAUGAGUUAUUGUGUAAAGAUUUUUCAUCAUGUAUGAGCCAAGAGUUUGAGAUGAGUAUGAUGGGAGAGUUGAAGUACUUCCUUGGACUUCAAAUCAAACAAAAUAAGGAAGGAAUUUUCACAAACCAAGCCAAGUACAUGAAAGAUCUACUCAAAAGAUUUGGCUAUGAUAAUGGAACGGCAAAAAGCACUCCUAUGAGUACUACCAUUAAGCUGGACAAAGAUAAGAAAGGUAAGGAAGUUGAUAUCAAGACAUAUCGAGGUAUGAUCGGAUCCUUACUCUACUUGACUGCUAGUAGGCCUGAUAUUAUGUUUAGUGUUUGCUUGUGUGCUAGAUUUCAAUCUUGUCCUAAAGAGUCUCACAUGCUUGCUGUCAAAUGCAUUUUUCGAUAUUUAAUUGGCAUUAUUAAUCUUGGCCUUUGGUAUCUUAGAGGAACUUAUAUUGAUUUAACUUGUUAUUCGGAUGCCGAUUUUGCUGGGUAUAAGGUUGAUAGAAAAAGUACUAGUGGAACAUGUCACUUCUUAGGCCAUUCUCUUGUCUUUUGGUUUAGUAAGAAACAAAACUCGGUUGCGCUUUCAACCACCGAGGCAGAAUAUAUUGCCGCAGGUAGUUGUUGUGCACAAAUUCUAUGGAUGAAACAAACCCUUAGAGACUAUGGUAUUAAGCUUGAUCAAAUUCCUAUCUUAUGUGACAAUACUAGUGCUAUAAAUCUUUCUAAGAAUCCUAUUCAAUAUUCUAGGACUAAGCAUAUAGAAAUUAGACAUCAUUUCCUUAGAGAUCAUGUUCAAAAAUGAGAUGUCGUAAUUAAAUUUGUUUCCACUGAAAAUCAACUUGCGGAUAUCUUUACAAAACCUCUUAGCGAAGAGCAUUUUAUAAAGAUAAGACAUGAGCUUGGAAUGAUGAAUGUUGAAUCUUAAUUCAUGUUUUACUACAUGACUUGAUAUGGUUGUUAUCAUAUGGUUUUAUGCUUCAUGAAUUAGAUAGCAUGAUAUGCUUGUAAAUUUAUGAUUUUAUGAUUUUGUGUUUCAUGCAUUAAAUGGCUUAUUGAAAAAUUUUAAAUCUCAAAAUGAUUUAAAAUUAAUCAAUUUUUUAGGCCGGAAAUAAAUUGGUGUGUGUAGUACAAGUAUAAGAGCUAGCAAAUAUUCCCUUUCCAUUCAUCCGGAAAAACAUUUUUCCUUAUUGAUUUCUCUCGGGACAAAUUCCAGAUAACCGGAUUUUCAAUCCGCAAAACUGGAUUGGCUUUGAUUGCUCUUGGGACAACAUUCGGAUAACCGGAUUUGCUAAGCUUCAUCUCUGCCUCAUAACCGGUCUACCGGUUCUUCAAUCCGGAAAACCGAAUUUGGAAGGGAACUCACUGCCUCACAACCGGUCUACCAGUUAUCAAAACCGGAAAGCCGAAUUCGAGUGCAUGCUUGCUGGAACAAAACUAGAUUUCCAGUUCAAGACAAUCCAGAAAGUCAGAUUUUUGGAAGCUCUCGAAACCGGCCAGUCGGUUAAGAAAACCGGCAUCCGGAUUUCAAAUCUGGCAGACCGUUUUCGCUUGUUUGGUUUCUGUCCAAUAACCGGCUUACCGAUUAGGAAACCCGGCAAGCCGGAUUCGUGAGCCUUUUGUGCUGUUCAUCCUCUUCCUCAUGCAUUCGGCAAUCCGGUUCUUCCUCUCUCUAAAAACCGUUUGCUUCUCUCUCAUUUUUCACUCCAAAAUCCACCAUUUCUACUCGGUUUUGAUGCAAAUCAAUCCAUAAAUAUUGACCCCCAUCCGUUCUUAUAACUAAAAUCACACUCAAAACUCAUUUUCAACCUCCAAAUCCCUAGAUCCGAAUUUCAACCUAGGUUUUGGGCCGAUUUUUUCUCUCUCUAGAUUUCUCACUCUCAAGCAGUUUUUUAUCCAAUUUGUUUCUCCAAAUCACUUUCAAUCUUCAUCAUCUUCAUUCUCUUUGGUGUUUUUAUCUUCAAAUCCAUCAAAAUCAAAAUGUCAAGCUCUCGGCCGGUUCGAAGAAAAGGCAAAGAACCGGUUCAACAAACCACCCGGCCAGGGGAAGCAAGGGGCACCUCAAAUCAAUCCACUUUUGAGUCCAUUCAUUUUCAGAACAAGCAACACUUGAUCAAAUGGUUUCAACAAAACUUUCGGACUCGUGAGGUACUCAACACUUUCUUUGUUUUACCGGAUGUUAUGCAUACUCUCAAGAUUAGUUAUAGAAAUAUUUUUCAAUUGUUGGAAGAUGUUGGUUGGCUUAAUGCACUUGUUAUUGAGGAAAAUGUAUAUCCUGACUUGGUGAAAGUAUUUUACUCGAAUAUGGAUUGUUCCACGGAGAAAGAGAAUCGAGUAAUCACCACAGUUGGAGGAGUUUUGAUUGAAUUUGAUGAUUUGGAGUUGAACUCCAUCCUAGGAUCUUCCAAUGAUGGACUGGACAUUUUUUCUCCUAGGAAACCUCCUGAUAUUGAUGACUAUGUUCAUGUUGAUGCCGUUCGUAAUAUUUAUCGGCGUAGUGAUCUUUCUAUUGAAGAUUGUACCAUUCAUUUCCGUACUCAGUGUCUUUGUCUUCAAACUCGUUUUUUGCUUCGUAUCAUCCAGUCCAUUGUACUUCCUAGAUCAAGACAUUUGGAUGAGGUUUCUCACAUGGAUGUCGCCAUGAUUGACUGUAUUCUUAGAGGUCGCCCGGUUAACUUGGGCUAUUCCAUCAUCCGCACCAUGUUGAGCAUUCAUGCCUUGAUUAUCCACUCUCUUCCUUAUGGUCACUUCAUUACCCGAAUUCUUAAAUUCUUUGAAGUGCCGAUUCUGGAACCAUCUUGUAGGCCGUCCAAGGGUAUUGGGGAUGAGGUUAUUAUUGGGUUAGGCUUUGAGUGGAAGGAUGGCACUUGGGUCAAAUACAACAAUAACAAGUUUACCUUUCUAGCCCCAAGUGAUGAUCGGCCACUUAAUGCUGUGAUUCCAGCUGAUUAGCUUCCAGUUUUCUCUCUCAUUUCGAGGGCAGCAUAGACGCCGAGUUUCUUCCACGGUUGCUUCAGCUCCUAGUGCAUCUGCAUCCGCUUCAUCACCUCCACAUCCUCCUACCUCUGAAGAGGUCACUCUUCAGCAGCUUAUGGAUGAAGUGCGGACACUCUCUGUGCGGCAGACUGAGUUUCAGCAGCAGCAGCAGCAGCUUAUUUAUGGACAGCGACUCCUCUUUGAGCACUUCGGCAUUCCAUAUCCAUUUCCACCUCCAUCCUCACCACCUGAGUAGUAUCUUAUGCUUGUAUUUGGACACACCUACAUUUCAUUUAUUGCAUUGUGUGUUCUUUUAUUUUCAACUCUAUGGAUGGUUAUUAUGAUUUUCGGUUUAUGGUUUUGUUUUUGGAUGAUAUGGAUUUGUUGUGACUAUUUAUGUUGGAUGUUUUGGAUUUGUUUUGAUUGAUCAUUAUGGAUUAUAUGGAUUUUCUUAUGCUUAUGGAUAUUUUUUUACUAAUGUGCUUAUGUUGCGAUUUUAAUGAUUGAUAGGGGGAGCUUUUAUUCUUUUUUAUGAUGAAGGGGGAGAAUGAUUUAAUAUGUGUUAUGAAAAUAUGCAUGUAUCUAUGGGGAGCAUGUAUGCAGGGGGAGUUUUUGUUAAACAAUUUUCAAAUCAUUUUUUAACUUGCAUUGAUUAAGGGGGAGCUUUUUCAUAACAAGAUUAAAGUUUUUAAUGUGUUUUGUCAUCAUCAAAAAGGGGGAGAUUGUUAGCCUAUAUGGCUAUAAAUAUUGAUUUUGAUAAUAACAAACCACAUGUAUUUAUUAAGUAAAGAUUUAUGAAUUGUGCUUUUAUAAUAAGAAAAUGAUGUUAUGGAAUUAAAGCAUUUUGGACUAAAAUGAAAGUAAUUUUAAAAUCUUUGAUAGUAUUUUAAAUUUCAGAUUUGGACCUAUUUGAAACUAUUUAAAUCUUUUUAGGUCAUUCUAUAAUUUCACAAAAUUUGGGCGAAAUCAUAAUUUCAAAAAGUUUUGGGAUUAACGAAGCAUUACUUAGGAAUUUUGAAAUUGGACCUAUUUGUAAAGUUUCAUAACGUUUUGGGUCAUACUACAGUUUUAUAAAUUUUUGGGGUCAAACUAAAAAUUUAGGAAAAAUUUCACUGUAGCAGGUUACUGUAGCAAGUGGCUUACCAGAUAUAAAAAUUGAAAAAUCGGAUACGAGGCAGUAAGCAUCCAGAACGCAAACGGCUUACCGGAUUUCGUAACUGGCAAGCCAGAUAGGCAAAAUUCAAAUUUUUGCCUUAACGGUAACAUAAAUUCGGCUUACCGGAUUCCAUAAACUGCAAAUCGGAUACGCCCAGAAUGUGAGUAACGACUAGUUUUUGAGCCCAAACUAUAAGAACUCAAAUCCAACUCAUUUUGAGUCUCUAAAACAAGCAAAAACAAAAAGUACACGUGAUAUCUUGAGCCUUCAAACUUGCGAAAUACAAACAUUGAAUCUUUUCUUGUUCUUCAUUUUUUAAUAUCUACUCAUUAAGUGAGUUUCAUUGUAACCUUCAUUUAUUCAUCUCAAUUGUAAGAGUUUGAGUGUGUGAAACACUUGAGUGAAGAGAUUAGGAGAUAAUCUCUUUGUUGUAAAGGUUUAUUGACACCUCGAAGUCAAUUGUAAUUGUUGAAGCCUUGGAAAGGCUUGGAUAGUGAAAUCCUCAAGCUUGGAUCGCUUGGAGGCGUGGACGUAGGCGGGGAUUGCCGAACCACGUAAAAAUUCGUGUGUUUGUUUCUCUUCUCCCUUACUCUUUAAUUAUUGUGCUUUUCUUGAACUUAUUGCUUUCAAUUUUUAUUAAGACAUUGGAUUGCUUGUUGUGUGGAUUUGCUAGGAUAAUUUUUAAAUUUUCAAUUCACCCCCCCUCUUGGGUUGCACACUUAUAUUUCAGUAUUUAUACUAGAAUAAGAGGUAGAGAAGAUGGAUUCGUGUUCAGAAGCUUGCAUGUUUUAGGAAUCUUAAAGGAAUAAGGGAAAGUCUGAAUUAUAGUUCUCAAGAUAGAAAUGUAUUUAUAAACAUAUUCUUUACUUUCUUUGAGGAAGACUAUAUAAAUGACUUAUAACCUAAGAAUAAGGUAAAACUAGAAAAAUAAAAAGGAGAUCAGAUUGAUGCUCAGCUUUCAACACCUGUUAUAGAACAUGAAGAAUAACAACAACCAGCUGAUCAACACAGGAUUAUCCCUUAAUAACCAUCACUUUUAGAACCUCGUCGUUGUGGGAGGGUAACUAGGUUACCAACAAGAUACAUGUUAUUAGGAGAAACCUAUACGGCUAUCUUAGAUGAACAUGUACAAGAUCCUACUAGCUACAAUGAAGCUCUAAUAGACAAAGAUGUUGAAUUUUGGAAAAAGGUCAUGAAUCAAGAAAUAGAAUCUAUGUAUUCUAAUAAAGUCUGGGAACUUGUAGAGGCACCAAAUGGAUAAAACCUAUAAGGUGCAAGUGCAUCUACAAGAGAAAAAGAGAAUUAGAUGAAAGGGUGGAAACAUUUAAAGUAAGAUUAAUAGCCAAAUGGUUUACUAAAAAAGAGGGAAUCGAUUAUGAGGAAACCUUUUGUCCGGUUGCUAUGUCUUAAAUCCAUCAGGAUUCUGUUCUCCAUUGCUGCAGUGCUAGAUUAUGAAAUUUGGCAAAUGGAUGUCAAGACUGCCUUUCUUAACGGGCAUCUUGAAGAACACAUCUACAUGUAGCAACUAGAUGGAUUCAUACAAAAAUGUCAAGAACACAUGGUAUGUAAGUUGCAGAGAUCCAUUUAUGGAUUGAAGCAAGCAUCCCAGUCAUGGAACAUCAGAUUUGAUCAAGCGAUUAAAUCAUUUGGAUUCAUUCAGAACAUUAAUGAACCAUGUGUGUACAAGAAAAUUUAGAGAAAAAUUGUAGCCUUCCUAGUUCUUUAUGUAGAUGAUAUUUUCCUGAUUGGAAACGAUAUGGGAGUCUUGACUACAAUAAAGAGUUGGUUAGCAAAAUAAUUUGAUAUGCAAGACCUGGAAAAGACAAGUUAUAUUCUUGGUAUCAAAUUACUACGAGACCAGAAGAAUAAAACUUUAGCCUUGUUUCAAGUGGUCUAUAUCGACAAGAUAUUGGCUAUAUUUACAAGACUAGUUUAUUACCAUUCAGACAUGGAAUUGUAUUCUCUGAUGAUCAAUCACCUAAGGCAUUUGAAGAGAUAGAGAAAAUGAGACGAGUUCCCUAUGCAGAAGCUGUGGGAAGUCUCAUGUAUGCCAUGCUUUGCACUAGUCCAGACAUCUGUUUUGAGGUAAGGAUGGUUAGCAGAUAUCAAUCUAAUCCUGGACCUGAACACUAGACUGCAGUCAAGUAUAUUAGAAAGUAUCUAAAAAGAACUAAAAAUUAUAUGCUUAUGUAUUCUGGUGAUGAACUUAUUCCAGUAGGUUAUACUAAUUCUGACUUUAUGUUAGAUUAAGAUUCCAGAAAAUCAACUUCCAACAAUGUGUUUAUGUUAAGAAGUGGAGCUAUUAGUUGGAGGAGUGUAAAAAUCUUAUAUCGCAGACUCCACAACUGAAGCUGAAUAUGUGGCUACAUCUGAAGCUGCAAAAGAAGCUAUAUGGCUCCGCAAGUUCCUACAAAAUCUUGAGGUGGUACUUGUUGUAACUGCACCCUUUAAACUAUUUUGUCAUUAUGGUAGUGCGGUAGCUCAAUCUAAGAAACCAAUGAACAACAAGAAGCAAAACAUAUUGAGAGGAAGUAUUAUCUUAUAAGGGAAUAGUGUAAAAAUGUUAUAGGACAGUACCCCAAAUGACAUUAGAUAUUAUAUGGCACAUUUUAUUACAAUGGCCAUUAAUGGGAAACCUUUAUAACCUGCACUUAGAGCCCUAUAGCAUGUGCAAUAUGACAAAUAUGCUUUAAGAGCUAGUGGGGGAUUGUUGAGAUUAUAUGCUCUUUUAAAGUAUAUUAAUUUAUUUUCUGAUUAAUACAACAUUUGAGAUAUUUUCAAUUGCAUAAAUAUAUAUUGAAUAAGGUCCGUUUAAUCAUAUUAUAUGUAUUUAUGUGAUCAUCAUAUGGAUUCAUAGAAGACAUAAAUACAAGUUAUCUUAUGAUUAAAUAAAUAUUAGUUCGCAAUUGAUAAAUAGAGUUGGGCACUCUAUUUAUGUUUAGACUAUAGUAAAUUCAUUGAAUGAUUUGUCUUAAUCAUAUAUGAAUUUACUGAUGUAGUUUGACUACAUUGAGCUGGAUCACAUAUGAGAUUUAAUUAACCUUGAAAUGACUGUCAGACUUAUUAAAUCUCAUAGGCAUUGAUUUUACUGUAAUCUUAAUCUUGAGUUAGUUAUGAUUUCAUGAUUGUAAUUGUUAUUCCAUUUGAUUUAUCAAUGGGCACGACACACACUUGUGGUCAAGAUUACCCAGUAUCUUGGUGGGAGCAAUUAUGAGUAUUGGAGUUAUAGAUUAACAAUAUAGAAUUUAUACAACACGUCUUUUUAUGGGUUUUUGGCACUUGAUCGUAGAAUUCUUUGGCCAGAGUGUGUCAACAUAUUUAAUAUGUUGAAAAUGAUCAUUAGAGAAAACCAAUAAGUAUCCAGAAAUAAGAUGUAAUUAAAUCGAUUGGACAAUUGAGAUAUCAAUUUAAUUAAUGAUGUGGUACAAAUAAUUAUGUAGUAAAGAAAUCAAUGUGGCAUGAGUCGAAUUAUUAUUCGAGUAUACUAUCCUAGAUAGCAUACAAUUAUGGAGGUCAAUUCCAAUCUUUUAGUGGAGUAAAUUUAGAAUUAAAUAAUUGGACUAGUUUAAUUACAGGCCUAAUUAUUGUAGCCACUAUGUAUGUUCCCAAAUGAUUCUUAGGUUACCUCAUUUAAUUAACUGCACCACUACUGGAUUAAUAAGCAAGAUAACUAGCUAUUUAGGUUAAAAGCCUAAAUAUAUUAUUUAGUAGGAGACUCCAUUAAUAUACUUGAGUGUAAGGGGCCUUGUGUUAUUUUACAAGGUGGACCCCUAUAACACAAGAAUAAGUAACGUGACUUUUGUUUUAAUUAUUUUUUAAUUUAAAUCAAAUUAGAUUUAAUAGAAUUAAAAAAUAAAUAAAUAUGGAGCCUAGAAUUUCCACUAAAAGGGAGAUAUAAAAAGGCUUAUUUUCUGUAAAGAAAAAGAUAGCAGCUACUUUAUACAGAUAAAAGAAAAAGAAUUUUUCUUUCUAAUUUUGAGAGAAAAUUUUUUCUCUUGCUAGUUGCUUUUAACGGUGAUAAAGGCGUGCACACGUCAAGUACAGAUCAAAUAUGAGUCAUAACCUGAAAGAUUAUUUGGUGAUGGAUCGUGAUCUGGGAGCCUAAAUCACUUUAGCGGAAAAAGCAAAGAUUGUUCAUCUUCUCAGAUUUUCAAGGUACGAUUUAUAGAUUACGAAUUUUUAUAUAUUAUAUGAGUUUGAUUCUAAAAGGUUUUUUAAAAAAAACUGAUUUUUCUCCUACAUGUAUGUAUGGAUGUAUGAAGUUGAAUAUAUGACUAAAUCAUCCAAAAUUUUGUAAAAAAAAACAUAUUUAGAAAAUUGGAGUUGCAUAGAAGAAACUAAAAAAUUACAAAAGAACGUUUUUUAAUUUAAGUAUUUCUUAAUAGAAAAUGGGUUUUAAAAGGAAACAAUAAUGUUGCUCGAUCUAGUCCCACUCUAAGCUUUUAGGAAGGUGUAGAAACCCUCCUGAGAUUUGCCCAACACAAGUUUGAGAGGCAAGAGGCCCAAUGUGAAAGUCAUAGAUCCAGAAACACUGUUGAAGGGAAAACAUUACAUGAACUGUAUAUUUGAGUAAUAAUAGAAAUUUCAAUAUUUAAGUUUCAAUUAAUGAUAUAUUUAUUUAUUUGAUAAUAAAAUAGAGUAAUAAAUAAUUUUAUAUUUAUCAUAAAAAAAUAAGUAACAUAUAACAUUCGAAUUCGGGUUAAGACUCAAACCAUAUUUACAAAUUUAGAGUUGAGUGGAAGAAGCUGAAAAAUUUACAAUAAUAUUCUUAAAAUUUAAGUACUUCUUGAUAAAAAAAAAAAAAUGGGGUUUAAAGAAACUAUAAGGAUGCUUUACUCCCACUCUAACCUUUUUGGGAGGUGUAGAAACCCCAUAUGAGGUUUAGCCUAGUAUAAGCUCGAGAGGUAAGAGGCCUACUGUGUAUAGGUUCAAAAAUAUUGUUGAAGGGAGAACAUCACAUUAACUAUAUAUUUCAUAAGUAACGUUAGAAAUUUCAAUAUUUGAUUCUUGAAAUAUUCAUUUAUUUGAUGAUAGAAUAAAAUGAUAAGUAAUUUUACAUUUAUCAUUAAAUAAAUGAAUAUUACAUAAUAUUAGAACUUAAGUGAAGACUCAAAUGGUGAGACCCUAAGCAUUAUUCAUAUUUCAUUAUCAAUCAAUGACCAAUGUUUUAGGUAAGUGCAAACAAUUAAAAAAUAAUUUCCAAUCAAUACAUAUAUUAACUAAACGACGCUGAGAUGCAAUGAAUAGCUUAUAUGAAAUGAUUUUAACUUUUAAGAACAUUCCCUUUUUCUUUUUUUCUUUUUCUUUUUAAUUUAAGGGGGAUACUUCACUAUUUAACGAAUAAAAAUUUUGCAUUAUGUUAUCAUUAAUCUUAGAAAGCAUUUUUGAGCAUGUGAAAGGUAUUUUUCAAAUAAUCAAUUCCAAUAGAAAAAGAGUAUCAUUUAUUUAAGUGGUCGGAAAAAUUUAAAAUUUAAACUAAUAACAUGGAAUCAAUGCCUUUUCUGGAGGCAUUCUUUUAUGGAGGAAGGUUCCCUCUAAGUGGAGUUAAUAAAGAGUCGGUUGUGAUUAGAUCAUAGUUUAAUAUAUCCAAGUCUUACAAAACCACCAUUCCAUAGUGGUUGCCUUGAAAUAGUAGCUUGGGUUCAUUACGAGAAGCAUAACCAUAAAUUAGGCCAAGCCUCUAGGCUCAGAGAUAUUCUUAGGCGUUAGCAAUUUUAAAAUUUAAAAGAGAAUACUGAAAAACGAGGGGAAAUAGUAAUACUAACUUCUAUUUGAUGUACUACUGUAGAAGAUAGAAUCUGUCAAACUUUUCCUUUUUUUUUUUAAUUAUAUGAGACUAUUGCUUAGAUUACAAUUCAUAUUACAUGAGAGUAUAACUGAUAUUUAUAAAUCAGACUAUUACUGAGACCAACUUACAUCAAUGCUAAUGGAUUUUAACCCUCACAAAUAUUCGAGGGAUGUCCACUCCUCACUCAUGGGUAAAGAAGAGGUCUGCCUUCACUCAAUUUUUAAUUGAGGAAGGAAAUACCCCCACAAUGUUUUUGUGGGGGUUCAAACUGCUGCCCUCCAACAGCCCUGACCACUUAGCCUUUGGCCGAGUGGCUCAGUCAAACUUUUCCUUUAACUUUCUAAAUCUCGCUUUAUUGUCAUUCUUUCACUAACAUUGAAUAAGAAAGUCUGUUUUUAGCAUCCCUAAAAUCAAAUACAACUAAAAUUACUUUUGCUUAGAAUAUUUAUACAUUCUAUUUAGAUCCUUAAUCCCCAUACCUCACGUUCCCAAGUUUGAGGCGUGACUGAAACUUUAAUUUAAACUUUUAUAUAAAUUCUAAGUCACUGGUUUAUAAAUUUAAGCCUUGUUUGGUAAUAAGAUGUUGUGAUUUUUAAGGUAUAAUUGUUGUGCGAUAAAAUUUAUAUUUAUGAAAGAAAAGCUAAAAACUGUAUGAUAAAUAAUAAUUUUUCUUUGGUUUUUUAAUAUAUACAUUUAAUAAGGAUUUCUUUAUGAUGCUAUUAAAAAAAUUACAGUAUCAACAACGGGAUUAUUAUGAACUAUUUGAUUUAAAAUGAAACACAUUUACACUUGGUUUAUCUUUAAUGGACAGUUACCAAUUACCCAAGUUACUGGUAAUUCCUUAAAUUUUAAUUUACUUUAUGUCUAACUUAUAUCAUAAUAUUACAAAUACUUUUUUUUAUACAUAAGUAAUGAAUAAUUAUUUUUAAUCACUAUUUUAAUAUAAAAGAUAAAAAAAUACAAAAAAAUACAAAAAAAAUACAAUUUGACCUUUUUUAGCAAGGGGAUAUAUAGUAAACAAAAUCAUUAUAAAAUUAUUCCAUAAGUCUUCAAAUUAAAUCUUUUCUUUUGAAAAAAGACUUUAAAUUAGAUGCAUUUUAUAUACAUUGUUUAGAUGUACCAUUUCAUUUUGUUGUUUACAAUACUAUUUUUGAAAAUGUAAACUAUUAAUAUGUAAAUUUUAUAUGAAUUAUACAGUUCAAAAAAAUCUCAUCAACUUAUAAUAAAUGGUUUGUGAAUUGAAUCAGAAAGUAGUUAAUAUUGCCAUAAAUAGAUAGUUUUUAUUGUUAGUUAUUCUGAUAAUGUUAGACAUAGCAUAUGGUGAAUGAUGCAACAUAAAACAAUAAAAUAUGAUGAAAAUUAUAAAAUCACAUACAACAAAAAUUACAGAGUUAUGCAAUGAUAAAUAUAUUUAGAAAAUUAUGUAAUUAUCCAUUAAAAAGAUCGAAAAUUUUUAAAAUCCUUAUUGAGAUUUGAUAAGAAUAAAAAAAUGAUAAAAACAAAACGAUUGAUUUUGUUGUCUUUAUUAAUCAAUAUAAAGAUUAGCUGUCAUUCAAUGUAAAAAUGGCUUUAAUAUUUUAUUAAUCGAUCUAAUUCCCAAAUGCUAUAUCAAUUGUAUCAUUUCUAUUUUUAUUUACUCAUUAAUUAUAGAUUUUUUUUAAAGAAUUCACUAAUUAUAUAAUUUCAACAUUUGUGCUUAUUAAAAUGGAUUUCAUGAGUUUAUGUUUUUCACCAAUUACAAGUGACUUAUAGGAAAGAACUUAUAUAAUGUAAUUUUUAUACCGUUUAUAAAUAAAUAGUAUAAUUCAUUAUAUUUUGUACAUAUAAAGCAUUAACUAAUCAGAUUUUUAUGGCCUUUGAUUGUUAUGUUUGAAUUAUUUUCUUCUUCUUUCUAAGUUAUAAAUCUCUCUCUAUCAUAUUUAACUCCUAUGAUUUCUUAAAUUCAAAUCCUUUAUUAAAUCUAAAUUUUUUAACCGGUAAACAGUUACAUACAAAAUAAACAUUUUAAUUUUUUUUUAUUUUAUCUUAUUUAAUUAUUAUUAAUAGUAGAUUUCAUCUUAUGAUCCACAUUAAUCUUAGUAUAAUGUUGCAAUUUUUAAACAGAAUCAUAGAUAGAGGGACUCAUUUAAUAAUAAUUUAAAACAUGGAUGAAAUAAAAAAGACAAAUAAAGCAGUAGUUAGGUUGUGGUGCUAAAGCCCAGCUGGCUUAGCAGAUCAAUUGGCUAAUUUAGGACCGACUCGUAGUACUUUUUGGAAGUGGGUUUGGCCCAUUCCUGAUUUCGAUGAAUUUCCACCAAAUUCUUGGGGCCUUAUCCAUUUACAACUUUUUGUAAUUGUUGACAGUUAACCCGCCCUUGACUUUUAUUUUUCUCUACUAAUAAGGGUUCGCAGCUUGUAUAUGUAUGUAUGUAUAUAUAUAUAUAUAUAUAUAUAUAUAUAAUGUAUAAAAGAAAGAUUUUUACCCUUUUUUUCUUUUUUUUUUCCUUUGACAAAUGCACUUUGCCUCCAAGAUUAGUUAUGAGUUAAAAUUGCACCAUGAAUUAGGUUGGCAAAAUUUAGAUUUAGAUUCGGAUGUAGGUGCAUCCGCAUCUAGAUCCAUAUGGCUAUUUUUGCACUUGUAUCCAUGAACAAGUGAAUUUUCUAAAUAUUUGAAUUUGCAUAUUGUCAAUUUCUUUUUAAAUUCACAUUUAAUAAGUAUACAUAAAAAUUUACAGUAUUGUUGUAAAUACACUACAAUAAUUAAGGCCUUUAGUAACAAGUUUUUUAGCAACAAAGUUGUUUUUGUUAGCAACUAAAACAAUAUUUCAUUGCCAAAUAUUUAAGAAAAAAUUAAUAUAUUAUUAGCAUUUUUAGUGAUGAAUAUUUUGUAGCCAAAGACAUACAUUAGCGCUGAAUUAACUUUAUGUUGCCAAAUUAUUUAGCGCCAAACUAAAAAUGUUGGCGCCAAAACGUUUAGUGAUGGAACCUUCUUUGCCAAAUAAUUUCACUGCGAAAGAGUGAUCAAUGAUGACAAAAAAUAAUUUGUUGCCAAAUCUAUAUCGCUAAAAAUUUGAAUUUAAAGAUUUAAGUUUUUGACUUUUUGUGACAAAAUUUAAAUUUCGUUGCUAAAUGUGUAUUUGCAGUGACAUAUUCUAAUUUUGUCCAAAAAAGUCAAAUAUUAAAGACUUAACGCAAAAGUUCAUCAGUAGAUGUGUAUUUUUUAGAGGCAAGAGAUUUUCCACCAAAUUAAGUUUUAGUGACAAAGUUUCAAUUUUGUUGAUAAAAACUCUAGCUCUCUAUUUAUAUCCCAUUUACUUAAUUUCUUUCACUCCUUCAUUCUUUCAUUAUCUAACUUUUAUUCUUAAUUCUCUCAUCUAUAAGUUUCUUUAACUUUCAUCCUCUCAUCAGUAAUGUACAAUUCUCAUUCUCUGAUUCUCUAAUUUGAUUGCUAUCUUCUUAUCUCUUCUACUUUUCUCCAAUAUGGUGUAAUUUUUUUAUUUAUCUUUUUUUAUUAUAAUCUUACAUGAUUAUUAUAUUUAGAAGUUAAGUAAUUAUUGUUUGUGUUUGUUUGUAAGAAAUAUUGAAAUUCAGUUAUACCAGGAAAUGAAGAAAAUCAAGAAAGUUAUAUUCAUUUAUAAUUUCAAAAGAAAUAGCUAUUACAUUUUGUAAUUAUUUUUUGUAUUUGUCAUUAGUAGUAACAUUUCUUUUAAAUUAAUUAAUUCUCUUUUUUUCAUAAUGGUGUUGAUUAUCACUAUUUUUAAUUUUAAAGAUUGUGAGAUAAUAAUGUUGUUGAAAAAAAUUAUUUCUACCUAAUUAUUUUGAUGUAAAAUUAUUUAUUUAUUUUUCUUCACAACAAAAUAAUUUGUUUGUGAAAAACCAUUUAUUGUAAGAGCAAUAAAAGAGUUUGUUUUGCAAAAUAAUUUCUUAAACAAGUUGGAUGCUCUUUUACCAUGAAUCUAUAACUUUUGUUUUGUUAUUGAAUAUAGGGCGUAUAUUUUUGUUGCAACAAUCUAAGGCAACAUAAUUUGUCAUUUCAACAAAGAAUUGUUUGAUAAGCCUAGAAGAUCAAUGGGAUUCUCUAAGAAGAGUCUAAGUUUUUAGCUUAAAAUUGACCAAGUCCAAGCAAAGAAAGCAAGCUUGAGUUUGACCAGGCUAAGCAAAUAGACUUUUAUUUUUUAUUUCUGCAUUUGUUUUGAACUUCUGUUGCACCUUCAGAUUUGUUAGUUCUCAUUUCCCUGAGUUUAAGCUAAUUUGUUAAGCUUACCAUUAUUUAUUGCAUCAUUGGCAGUGAAUAAGGCAAGUAAGUUAUCUCACAAACAUUUGAGGUUUGUUUUUCACUAUAAGAAAGCAACUAUUUAUCUACAAUUACUCUUGAUUCUAAUUAAGAUCUAUCAUUGUUAUUAGAGCAGGGGUUGUCAUGGAAACUAACAGAAAGAAUUGAAAUGUUAAAAUAUGGAUUAGGUGGAGUACAUGAUAAGAUGCAGUGGUUAGAGAGUGAAGUGGGUGAUCAUCUGCAACUUCUAGAGGAGACUUUGAAAGCUUUGUCUAUGGUGAGGGUUUGCUAUUUCCCAUGCUUUUCAACGAGGGAAUCCUUCUCAAAGGUAGCAUGAAGAAUUAGACAGCGGUCGCCUAAACAUCUUUCCAUUGAAAAAAAAGUUAGAAUUUCCUCGACAUGCUGGAGACGACCCAACAUAAUGGUUUAAUCACACAUCUUAAUUCUUCAAGAUACAAAGAACUUCCAAACACUAGAAAGUUAGUUGGACUUAUUUCCUUUGAUUUAGAAGGAGAGGCAAAUCAAUGGUGACAAUGGUUGAAUAGGACGUAUAAUAAGGAGAAUCAAUAAGUGACUUGGCAUAUGUUUAUUAACGAGUUAUGGUCUUGAUUCGAACCAACUGAUUGUAAAGAUUUCAAUGAAGCUCUCUCCAGAGUUAAAUAGAGUGGAUCCUUUCAUGAAUACUAAGAAGAAUUUGAGAAAUUGGGUAUUUAAGUUUAGGGAUGGACGUAGAAGGCUCUUAUUGGCACCUUUAUAGGGGAUUGAAAACUGAGAUUACUAAAGAAAUUCGGAUGUUCGAGCCCAAGACAUUGAAAAAGAUAAUUAGUUUAAUGCAGAUGAAUGAUGAACAGGUUGCAAGACAAAGGAGGUUCAUAUAAACACUAAUAUAGAAUCGAGGCAUCUACCUUUACUAUUCUAGUAAGUCAGAAUACCACGAGAUUAAGUUGGGUUGAAAUACAAAAGAAAGAGCACCAAGGCUUUGUUUGAAUUGUAACAAAAGGUUUUCUCUAGGUAAUAAGAGCCAGGGACCUCACUUCUCCUUCUGGAGUAUCAAAGCUGCAAUCAAACUAAAGAAUACGUGGUAGAGGAUGACGAAUUAAAGCUAAAAGAUACUAUAAGGGAUUAAAUCGAACCAGAAAUCUCAAUGCAUGGGCUAAAAGAUUGGACGACACUACAGACCAUGCGAGCAACAAUUACCAUUGGAUCACAACAAGUGAUAGCAUUGAUCGAUAUAUAAUGGAUUCACUCAUAAUUUCUUAAAUGAGAAAGUAGCCAAUUUAUUUUGAUUUUCAGUGACAUCAACAUAAUUAUUUGAUACUAGUGAUUUUGCUAGGAUUUUCUUUUUUACUCUCCCUUUAUUCUCUUCUCUAGUAGGUCUUAUUAUGUUGUUCGACACCUAAUGGCUAGAGGUGCUAGGCCUCGUGGUUUGUAAUUAGAAAUAAUUGAUCAUGGGCUUUCAUUGGGAUAAUCAAGUAAGAAGAUUGCAAUGAAUUCAUCAACCCAUUCAAACUACCUUAUUGAAGUCAGUUGCAAAGGAGAUGAAUCAAGGCAAAUGGCUGCUUAUCAUUUAUUUAUAAGCUAUGGAGGAAUUCACUUAGGCAGACACCGAUCAUCACAUCAAUCGAUACCUUUAAAGGACAUUGACCAUCACAUUGCUCUCAAACAAAGUACUCAACCUAUAUAUGCUCGGCCCUAUAGAUAUGCAUAUUUUCAAAAAGUCGAGAUUGAAAACAAGUUCAGAAGAUGCUUAAUAUGGGAGUCAUUUGAUUGACACCAGCUCAUUCUCAUCUCCAGUGCUGUUAGCGAAAAAAAAAGUUUGGCACAUGAUUAUUCCGUAUUAACAAUUGAGUACUAAAUGUAGCCACCAUCAAGGAUAGAUUUCCUAUCCCUAUGGUGGAUAAUAUGCUAGAUGAGUUAGAUUCGCAAGUAGGAUAUCGCCAAUUAUGAGUACGUGCUCCUGACAUUCCAAAGAUCACAUUUUAGACGCACAAUGGCCACUUUUAAUAGUUAGUUAUGCUUUAUGGGUUAUGUAAUACCACCUCUAUCUUCCAAGCCAUUAUGAAUUUCAUUUUUUUUGCAAGUUCAUAUUAGUCUUCUUUGAUGAUAUUCUAGUUUACAAUCUUAUAUGGGAAUUAUAUAUAGAAUAUAUACAAAAACAUUAAAUAUUUUGAGACAACAUAAAGUUCUCAUUAAAACAAGCAAAUGUGAUUUUGGUAAACAGGAACUGGAGUAUUUGAGCCAUAUUAUGAUGGAUCAAGGUGUGAAGGUGGACAAUAAAAAUUGAGGCCAUCGUAGCUUGGCCAAAGCCUACUACCAUUAUAAAAUUAUCUGGAUUUUUAAGCUUGAUCGGCUGCUAUAAGAAAUUUGAUUGCAACUAUAGGAUUUUGGCUCGCCCUCUUACUAGUUUUUUAAAAAAAAGGCUUAACGUGGACUGGAGUAGCAGAAGCAUUCAAAAGGCUCAAGCACACCAUGACAGCUACUCUAAUGUUAGCCAUGCCAAAUUCCAAUGAAACUUUCAUUAUUGAAACUAAUGCUUCAGUUGUCAAUUUAUGUAAGGAAAUGCUAGCAAUUGUAGAAGCAAUUUAGACAUGGUGACCAUAUCUUCUGGGUAGAAAUUUUUUAUCAAGAGAGCCUUAACUUCUUUUUAGAUCCACAUAUGGCAACUCCCAAGCAACAAAUAUGGAUAGCAAAGCUCUUGGGCCACAUCUACAAAAUUCUUUAACAACCAGGACAUGAAGAUUUAGCUGCAGAUGCCUUCUCUCGCCACCCUAACAGUCCUCUCCUUAAUGCUUUAUUUGUCUCGUAGGUUAUUCUCUGGGAUGAUGUAUGAAAAGUAUCAUAAGAUGAUUAUUUUAUGCAGUAAGCUGCCAGACAAUAACACGUUGCAAAGGCCUUAUAUGAAGCACAAUGUCCUUUGUUUUUACAAAUAGAGAGUGGUUGUUCCCUAUACCAUCCACAGCUAGCUGCUAAAAGAAUUUCAUGAUAACAAAAUGACAGGGCAUUUUGGAGUAUUGAGGACAUUCAAAAGAUUAACUCAUCAAUUUUGUCAGCCAUCCAUGUACCAUUCCAUCCAAGAAUAUAUCAAGCAAUGUGAAGUUUGCUAGAAAACCAAAACUGAAGCUUUAGCACUACUGGGAUUAAUUCAACCACUUCACAUGCCAUGUCAAGUUUAGGAUGAUAUCACUUUAGAUUUUAUUGAAGGCUUACUAUCCUCUCACGGCAAGGAUAGUCUCUUGGUGGAUGUAGUUAGAUUCAAUAAGUAUGCUCAUUUUAUUGCUCUAUCUCAUCUAUUCUCGAUAAAAAUUAUACCUAAAAGAUUUAUAGAAUACGUCGUCAAACUCCAUGGCAUGUUGAAAUCCAUCAUUAAUGACCGUGACCCCAUUUUCAUCAUAAAAUUCUGGCAAGAGUAAUUUACUAUGUUCGAAACCCAGUUGAAAAUGAGUUCAGCCUACGACCUGUAGAUUAACAGCUAAAUUGAAGUCGUGAACUACUACAUUGAGCAUUAUCUACGAUGUUUUGUUCAUUAAUCCCUAUAAAAAUGGUAUAAUUAUUUACCUUGGGCAGAAUUCUGGUAUAAUACCACCUAUCAUAGCUCAAUAAGAAUGAUACCCCUGUAAGCUUUAUAUAGGAGGCUUCCUCUUUUUAUUCCACUUUAUUCUGCUCGGUUAUAUUGGAUUGACAAAUUCAAUUAAAUCCUCUUAAACCGGGAUGAAUUGCUUGAGCACCUGAAGAAAAAUUUAGAAACAACAGCUAAUAGAGUGAAGCAAAAUGCAGACAAAAAGUGAAGAGAUGUGGAGUUUCAAGCAAGUGAUAUGGUACUCUCAAGCUGCAUCUUUAUCUCGAAGAAAUAGCUUUCAAGUGAGCUCAUCAAAGACUUACUAGCAAGGUCUAUGACCUUUAUCCAAUUGAGAAAAAGAUCAGAAAUGUUGCUUUCCAGCUUCAAUUACUGAUAGGCACAAGUAUCUGGCUUGUUUUCUAUGUCUCUCUUUUGAAGAAAUAUGUUGGAGGCCCUCCACAAGACAAAUUGGAGCUGCCAUUUGCUGGGGAAGGUUUAAUCAGAGUGGAAUAGAAGAUAAUAUUAGAUAUGUGCUAAAUCAAACAAGGUGAGCAAUUUGUUGAAGAAAUCCUAGUAAAUUAGAAGCAUUUGCCUAUUGAAGAUGUGUUACAUGGGAAGGUACGGAGCUACUGCACAAUCAAUUUCCUACAGUAGACCUUAAGAACAAUGAUCUACUUUGAGGGGGGAGUAUUGAUAGGCCUAGAAGAUCAAUGAGAGUCCUCAAGAAGAAUCCUCAGUUUUUAGCUUUAGUUUGAUCAAGUCCAAGCAAAGAAAUCAAGCUUGAGUUUGACCAAGUCCAAAUAAAGAGAAUUCUACUUUUAUUUCUACAUUUGUUUUGAAUUUUUGCUGCGCAUUUAGAUUUGUUACAUCUCAUUUCCUUGAGUUUUGGCUAUAACUCUAUUUGUUUGAGCAUUGGCAAUGAAUAAGGCAAGCAAGUUAUCUUACAAUCAUUUGAGAUUUGUCUUUUACCAUAAGAAAGUAACUAUUUAUCUACAAUUACUUUUGCUUAUGAUAAGAGGCCUAUUACUAUUGUUGUUGCAAAAGAUCAUAAUUGUUGUGAGGGUAAAAUCGAAAGUCCACCCUUCAAAUUAAUUUUAAUGAAAAUUCUCUUUAUUUUGUCUCUUUUUUAUUUCGUCCUUUUGUUUUCUUUUCUUAUGCUCUUUAUUUCUUCUCGUUUCUCCAUUUGUUUUUCUUCUUCUUCUCGUUCAUAUGCUCCAUUUAUUUUUUUUCUUCUUCUUCACCAUUUCUUCUUAAUAUUGAUAUUACCAAACGAAGAACAUCAACUAUCGAGAUUGCCACCAUGCCACUCUGGAGCAUCAAUUGCUUCCUUUCUACUUUCUUUUGCCGCCACCUCUUAGCUCCUUUUAGGUUUAGUAUUAUGCGUUUAGGGUUUCACUAGUUAUUUGAGCUUUGAAUUAUAAUUUAGGUGUUCGUAUUUUGAAACUCUAAAUCAAGUAGUCAAAAUCAAAUGUGUCAAUUAAUCAUUCAUAGGUUAAUUUUGCAUAUUGGAUUGAAGAGUAUGGUGGUGGAUAAGGAUUUUGUGGUGAUGAAAAUGGUUGUGGAAGGGGCUAAGUUUAAUUGUGAUUCAAAUUGCAUUGAAUGUGUUGUGGGUUUUUAAAAUUUUUUAUUUUAUUUAUUAUUAGUUUUCUCUUGAUUUCUUUGUGAAUAACAAUAUCUUCCUCUGUUAAUUUUUUUUUUAUAGUUAUAUAUUUUAUAAGUUGAUAAGGUUUUUCUAGGGGAAAAAAUAAUAGACAGCUAAAAGCUGAACUUGCCAGGAUUGAUGCAGACAAACAACAACAUAAUUCGUCUUCUGUGACAUCUCUGGAGGGAUUGAUCUUUAGGCCUGUAAGAAAGAGGUGAUCUGGAUGAAAACUUGGAAAUCCGGAUGUCUGGGUGCGAUCUGAAGAAUCCUCUGUCCAUCAGUGGGUAUUCAUGUAUCAAGAAUUUUUUUGUUGCAAUUAAAAUAAAAUCCGUACUUUGAGAAAAAAAAAUUAGAUCAAUAGCUAAGCUCAUAUUUAAACAAAUUAAAUGAGUUUAAAAUUUGUUUAAAAAAAAUUGGCAUGUGCUUUAUAAUUAACUUAUUCAUAUUAGGGCAUUAACGUAAAUAUAGAAUGUUGGAUUGGGUUUUUUGUAAUUUUACUUAUUUGAAUACAAAUAAAGGGGCAUUUUUGUCGUCCAAUCAAAAGUCAGACAGAGCCGUUAUAACUUAGAAAUAACUAAAAAAACUUACAGAACUGGAGUGCGGUAUAACGAGUCAAUUUUACUGAGUGUGCAGUGCAAAAUGUCAAAUUAUUUGAUGGUCGGCAAAAAUUACCCAUUGUUGUGCUGAUAACACAUUAGACAUGUUUAAAAAGUAAAAAAAAAUAAACACUUCCACUUAAAUAAAAAAAAAAGAAAUCUAAGAAAAAUAAAGAAAUCAACUUGGUUGCUUUUGUUUGUAAUCUAUGGCUAAAACGAAAAAAAAAAAGAAUUCUUUAAUUUAUAAUAAUAAUGUAAAAAUUAAUUAAGUAAUUUUAGAUGAGCAGUGACCUUAUGAAAAAAAAUAUAAAAACCAAUAUUAACUCAAGAUGUUGCUAGAUCCACUGGAAGAAGAAGAAGAGAAGCUUGCUUCAGAAAUAGAAGACGUUCGUAAAAUGCAUGAGCACUGAGUAGCGACGCGUGAGCAGACGGUGAGAUGGCUGUGGUGGUGGAGGAGCCUAUGAUUAGCUGCCGUUAAGGGAUUUUGGGGUAGGAUUUGGGCAUUUGGUGCGGCUGCAGCAGGUAUGUUUUUAGCUUAGGAUUAGGUUAGACAAAAACUUAGAGUUUUGGGAAUUCUUUGGGCGCGAUUCGUGAUUUAUUUAUUUUUUUAAAAAUUAGUAUGUAAUUCAAAAACUGGAGUUGAAUUCUUAGUUAUUUGGAGUAUUUUAAUGUGCUUUGAUAUAAUAUUUAAAAAUCAUUUUCAAAUAUAAAAUCUGUAAAAGUAUGUUUGAUAUAAUAUCUAAAAAUAAUAAAAAUAAGGAUAUAUGUUAAAAUAUGAUUCAGAUUCUAUUAAUAGAAACAUGCAAAAGGACUUUUAAUUGUUUUCAAAUUUUGAACUCAAAGUUAGGAUAUAUAAUAUUCAAAAAUAAUUUUUGGAUAUUCUUAUUUUUAAAAGCAAACAAACUGCAUCCAAAACAUAUAUCAAGCGGACCCUAAUUUAGCUUAUAUAUUUAUGAUUUUUUAUAUUUAUUUAUAAAAAAUAAUACAAAUCCAGAUAUCCGACUUUUGGAUGAGUUUGCAUCCACAUCCGGAUCCAUGUGGAUCUUGAUUUUUUUACCUUUAAAUUUUUAUUUUUAUUUUGUGAUUAAGAAUUUCCCAAAUCUAAUUUUUCAGAUAUUUGCGCAUACAGGCUGGAUUCAGAUUUAUUUUCCAUCCCUAUCAUGUAUCAUACGUUAUAUAUUAAACGUAUUAUAGUCCUAUAGUUAUUAUCUACAGAAACUAAUAAUCAAAAUCGCUGGCACUGUGGUAAACCUUUUAUUCGUUGCCAAGUGUUUCUUUUAUGAGGACCCUGUGUUGCAUGUCUAAUAGAGAUGCGAAAAGAAGAUGUAUAUGCUUUAACCACAAGAAAAAAUGAAUUUUUUUGUAUAGUGUCCAAUUAUUCUGUGACUAAAAGAAACUUAUACACCUAUCACAUUAUUCUGCGAUUAAAUGGAUAUUUUAGUCACGCAAUUUCAUAAUGUCUUUGCAUGUAGAAUUCAAUAUUAUCAGGCUUACACUAAAUUAAAAUAUGUGUUAAUCUAGAUUGGAAUAAGAUACAUAUUUAUAAUAAUAAUACCUCCAGAUAUAUCAUAGAUAAAAAUUUUAUGCAUAUGGUUUAAUUGAAGUCAACUUUUGACAAGUUCAACCGUUUAGACAAAGAUGCGAUGAGCCAUGUGCUUUAGCCCCGUCAAGAACCAAAAAGGAAAAAGAUUUUCCAAACGAAUUUUGUUAAACAUCAAUUAAAACAUAGCAAUAACCAAAUAUAUAAACACAAGCAAAAAAGAUAAUAUGUUUAUUCUUACUUGAUAAAUUUUGGGUUUCUUCAUAUAUCAGAGUGAAAAUAUUCAUGAAACCGUCCCCAUUUUCUAAUUUUGUGUCCCAGAGUCACCAAAGAUCCCAUUCACAGACAGAUCCCCGCCACUAUCGUUAGCGGGAUCACAGUUGUUCCCCCCAUCGUUAAUCAAACUCUGCACAAUGCUUUGACCAAACUGCUCAGCUGCACCUUGAACAAGCCCUUGAACCAAGGCAUCCAUUAAAGGAUUAACUGUCCCAGCAGCAGCAGCAGCAGCAGGCGCCGGCGCCUGAUUAUAACUAUUAUUCUGCAAUGGCAAGGCCCCCAUACUUUGUCUCUGAGAAAAAAACUGAUUAUUAUUCAUCCCAAUUGCAUUUUGUCUAUUCCCAUGUUGCAUCUGAUUUAUUGCUCCUGGAUUCAAUGAAUAUUGAUGUUGAGUAUGAAUCGGCUGAGCCAGCAAAUUCGCUGCACAAUCUAAAUGGGCAUCAAAUUCGCACAAGCUACAGCGAUACAGCCAAUGAGCUGACCCAACUUUCUUACAAAUGUCACAAGAAAAGCCUUCGGUAUAAUAAGGAGGAUCAAAGGUGAGCUGAAGCUGAUGAGGAUGAGAUUGAUGUAUAAGCGUUAGCGGCUUUGUAGCACAGAGGAUAUGCAAAUCAAAAUCACAGUGAGUGCAGUGGUAGCUGAAGCCGUGACCCUGGCGGCCGCAGCCGUCGCAGUUGAAUAUGCCGGCGGGAUAGAUGGGUGUUGGGACGAGGGAGAGAGAGUGAGCAGGGUGAGAUGGGUGGGUGAUGAGUUGGGGCAUCUGGGUGCACGACACGUGUAAGGUGAAGUUACAGGGUUUGCAUGUGUACAUCAAUCCGGAGGGUUGAAGCUUGCAAGCUGAACAUGAGGUCAUCGUAUUUAGGGUUUGAGGGUUUGAUAGCUCUAAGAGAUGAAGGUGACUGAAGUGCUGGAUAUGUGGAUCAUGGCCAAGUCUUCCCAUUUUCGAUCUUCCUUUUGCUUUCUCUUCAAUUGGAACGAGAAUAAUGAAGGAAGAGAAAUUUAAGCGAAAAUGACGCAAGUUGACUUUUCUGGGGAGGGCAGUAGCUUGUCAACUGCUUAAGCGGUUUGCUUUGCCGUACAUUGUAUUGAUUUGACCUCAAAAAACCUAACCUCUUUUUAUCCGUUGACAUUACAAACUCAGUGGAGCUCUCAACACUCUAUAAAAUUAGUAGCAGCCUCCAAAAUUAGUAUCUCAAAAAAUUAAUUAUAUCAUAGAUUAGGAUUUUAAAACAGUAGGUUUCAUAAUUUGGAGGUGUAAAAGGCAUUGUAGUCUACUUUAAUUUCCUCUAACAAUAGAACUAUCAUAAAAAAAAGAGGUUUUAUAGGAUAUUACAGGGGCAUGAAAAACAUUAUUCUUCAAUUAUUUAUUGGGUUGCCUUAUUUGGACCCUGAAAUUACGCUCCAAACCAAUUACUAACUAAACCCAAUACUAAAAUUUUAAAAUUUAAACUACUAAUAAACCUACCAAAAUACCUAUUUAACCUUGCUAAAUUAGAUUAUUGUUAUAAUAGGGAAGUUUUUACUAAACAAAGCAAUCAAAUUAAUAUACAUACCCAUUAAUGAAAUGUUCAAUUUGAUUUAAUUGGUUAUAUCAAAUUUGUUUAGAAGAACAAUAUUGUACACAAUAGAUGUGUGCGGUUAAUUUUUCUUUUACAUUUAAAUAAAUAUAUAUUUUUUUCUAGGUGGAGUUAUGUGUACUCUAAAAAUUACUCUAAAUAUUCUAUUACUUUGUACACUCUUCUAUCAACUUUUAAAAAUUGAAUUCUACUCUGCACACUCUUUAAAAUACAAAAAAGUCCUCAUCUAAAUGUUUUAAAUUAGUUAUCUUUAUUUACUGUUCAUACUCAUGAAAGUAUUAUCCACACCAAGAAAAAAAAUCCAAACACUUAUUUUUUUUAAUAAAGAAAAUUUAAUUAUUUAGUUAGACAAUCAAUUAUUACAUUAUCAAUAAAAAAAAGUUGAAGUUACUUGCCUUAACCACUGUACAUGAAUUAAUCAAUUUAAUAAAAAUGGCUGGCUCCAAUGAUUUCAAAUCUAUCAAAGUUAGUCACCAUACAACCAAUUGUUGGAUUUUUUAAUUUAGCAUUGUUGGAUCCUUAAUCCAACGUUGGACUUAUAUAUGAAUAAUUAUGUAUUGCAUACUGUCAUAUAAAGCUAAGUCCAAUUAAAAGUGAUUUAUUAAGGUUUUCGAUUAUGAGUUUUAAUAUAUUUAACAUGGUGUGAGCCUUUAAUGUGAAGAGACUUAAAAGUAAUUUCUAUUUCUAUGAUAGGCUGAAAUAGGAAUACCUAAUAACAAUAGAAAAAAAAUUAUCUAUAUAAGUGAUUAUGCUCCCCAAGUCACACAUAUCUUUCUAUUCUUUUUGAAAUCCCAUCAUCAAAGAGAGAGCGCAGAAAAAAUUAAAGGACUAUCUAGGAGAACAUGUUGAUCUGGAAGACUAACCACAUAACUCUAGAGAGUAAUUCAACGUUAUGGAUUUAGGUACGCUUUCGCAUAAUUUGUUAUUAAUUCUUAGUAAUAUAACAUGAAUGUUCCUUGGUUAUAGGUGAUGGUUUUCACCAAAGGAUUUCUUGUUUUAAAAGUGGUAUCAAAGCAUCUUCAUGUUGAAUCAUUGAGAAUUAAAUUUAUUUUCAAUUAAUGAUUUAAUAUUUGGUCUUCUUGAAUAUGUUAUCAUUGAAUUUGAGAAGAAAUUGUGUUUUUUUCUAAAUAAAAUAAAUUCAAAAUUCUAGAAAUUUUGUUUGGGAAAAAUUCGGUUUGUUUUUCAAAUGGAGGUUUUGUGGCGGGCUUCAGUUGCUGCCAUGACUAGAGUUGUGAAUUCGGCCGUUGGAACGCUUCAACCAGCAAGCUUGAUAAAGGAAAAUUGAGGGAAAGUGGCGGUCAUGGCCACCACUCAUGGCUGUCGCAUAAGGAACCAAAAAAAAAAAAACAGUGGCUGAACGAUUUAGGCGCAGGCAGCAAGCAUGCUGCAGCCACUAGGCCGUGGUACAUAAGCUAUAAGCGGCGGCUAUGAGAAACAAAAAAAAAAAUGAAAAGGGAGAGGCGCAGAUGCUACGCCACACCAGUAGAAAGCCGCGACGACCAGGAUGCAGCGGCAACCAUGAAGAAGAAAAGGAAAAGAAAUUCUAGGGUUUUCAAAAUUUUAGGGUCGGUUUAAGAUCAAUUAAUUCAAAACCGGUCAAAGUUUGACUGGUCAACAUUUGACAGUUGAUAGUUGACUAGUACAACCACUCAUUUUUCAUAAAUUCAUUUUCUGAAACAUCUUCUUCAUAAAGUAAUUUAUGAAAUGCAUGCGUUCAGUGCAACUUAUGUCAUAACAUUUGAAGUUCUUAGAUGUACAAUAGAAUCAACACUCAACACUAUUUAAGGACAACAAUCUUUAAUAUAGCCAGCAGUGCCGUCCAUACAAAGAUUAAAGAAAAUGGAAUUAUAGUAUAGGCGGUAGAGUCGACCGUAACAUAAUUAAGUAUCAUAGAUUAAGCGGCAUUGUCGACCAUAUAAGGAUAAGUAAGAAAUUACUAAAAUAUAGGUGGCAUAGCUGUUCAUGUAAAAAUUUAGAUCAUAACCAACCACAUCAUAGUAGCCGUCACAAGAUUAAGAAUUAGUUAAAGUUGAAGUUAAGUAUAAAAAGAAUUUUUUUCCUACAUUGCAGUUGAACUGAUACUUACCUCUUGACUUUGACUUCUCUAGACCUUUCUAAAUUGAGGAUUCUUGGUGUUAUGACUUAGAGUAGAAGAUGAUGAAAUUUCUAAAUUGCAUUGAAAAUGAAAGGGGGUAGGGGGUAUUUAUAGAAUUUCUUAAGGCUAAUGGAUGGCUAGAAUUUUGCCACCAUAACUCUUGAUCAAUGGUUGAGAUUAUCCUUCAUAAAUAUCUUACUAAAUUCUAGAAUUCUUAACUAUCUCUACAAACUUCUCUUACAUCAUCACUUAUGUCAUCAUUACUUAGAAUUAAAUAUUUUAUAUUAUUAUUAUUAUUAUUAUUAUUAUACUUAAGGGAGCUUAUUAGCUUAAAGCAAAUUCUAUUAUAUUUAAUUUAGAAAAUUGUACCUCACAUGUCCUCCCCCUUUUAAGAAAAUUUCGUCCUCGAAAUUUACUCACUGAAUAGCUCAGGAUACUUAUUCUUCAUCUCUUCUCCACAUUCCCAUGUUGCCUCCUCCAUUGAUCUAUUUCGCCAUAAUAUUUUAACUAAAGGGAUCCACUUGUUUCUUAACUCCUUUAUCCCUCUAUCAAGAAUUUGAAUUGGACGUUCUUCAUAGGUUAAGUCUUCUUCUAGUUGAAGAGGCUUAUAAUCUAGCACGUGAGAGGAGUCUAGAACAUAUUUCUUUAGCAUGGAUAUAUGAAAGGCAUUGUGUAUUCUUGAUAAUGAUGGUGGGAGGACAAGAUGGUAGGAAACAUUCUCGCAUGUUUGAGUAUUUCAAAUGGCCCAAUAAACCUCGGACUUAAUUUUCCCUUUUUCCCAAAUCUCAUUAAUCCCUUUAUUGGGGCAGCUUUUAGAAAUACUUUGUCAUCAACUUGAAAUUCCAAAGGCCUUCGCCUCUUAUCCGCAUAACUUUUCUGUCGACUUUGAGCUGCCUGCAUUCUUUGAUGUAUUUUCUCGAUCGCUUCAGAUGAGGUAACAAUUAAGUCAAGUCCAAAAUACCUUUGCUCACCCAUCUAUCCCAAUGAAUAGGCGAUCUACAUUUUCUACCAUAUAGAGCUUUGUAUGGUGCCAUGUCGAUUCUUGCUUGGUAAUUAUUAUGUAGGCAAAUUCAGCCAAUGGUAAAUACUUGCUCAUGAUCCCUUGAAAGUCCCUUGCAACAUAUCUUCGAGCGUCUGAAUCGUUCUUUCUAAUUAACCGUUUGUUUGAGGGUGAAAUGUUGUACUAAAUUUUAAUUUUGUCCCCAUAGCCUUAUGUAACUUUUCCCAAAAUGUCAAGGUGAACCUUGCAUAUUGGUCAUAAAUAAUAGAAACAGGUACACCAAGUAGUCUUACUAUCUCCUUUAUGUAUAUUUCUGCAAGCUGGUCCAUGAUGUAUGUUAUUCGAAUAGGUAAGAAGUGAGCAGACUUUGUGAGUCGAUGGACGAUCACCCAAACAAAAUUAUGCAUUUUUGCAGUCCUUGGAAGACCAAUGAUGAAGUCCAUUGUGAUUUCUUCCCACUUUUACUGAGGAGCUUGAUUGGAUUCUAAAAGUCCUGCUGAUCUCUGGUGCUCUGCUUUGAUUUGUUGACAAGUGAGACAUUUUGCUACAAACUUAAUUAUAUCCUUCUUCAUUCCAGACCACCAAUAAUGCAUCUUUAAGUCUUUGUACAUCUUUGUUGUUCCAAGAUGAAGUAAAUAUGGGGUUGUGUGAGCUUCAAGUAGAAUUUCUUUCUUUAUAUCUUUAUUAUCUGGUACACAUAUCCUGUUCUUGAACAAGAUGAUUCCCUUCUCUGACUUCUGAAAUGACGUCUCCUUUCACUUGGCUUCUAUCUUCAAGUUCUUCAAGUAGGAAUCACUUUCCUGCCCUUCCUUAAUCUUUUCUAAUAAGGUCAAGCGAAGUGUCAUGUUGGCUAAUUUUCCUGGUACUGGCUCGAUCUCUACUUUGCAUAUAUUAUUUUGUAAUGGCUUAGGUAGAAUCCUUAAAGCCGACAGGCUUGACUUUCUACUUAGUGCAUAUGCUAUCACAUUUGCUUUUCCAAGAUGAUAGUUUAUUUCGCAGUCGUAGUCCUUGUCAAGCUCUAGCCAACGCCGUUGUCGCAUAUUCAACUCCUUUUGUGUAAAUAAGUAUUUGAAGAUCUUGUGAUCAGUGUAAAUUUUACGAUGCGCCCCUAUUAAAUAGUGACGCCAUAUUUUUAAUGUGUGCACCACCGCUGUCAACUCCAAAUCAUGCGUUGGAUAGUUUUUCUCAUACUCAUUUAAUUGUUUGGAAACGUAUGCAAUGACUUUUCCAUUUUGCAUGAAAACGCAUCCUAUGCCACUUUUGGAGGCAUCGCUAUAGAUGACAUAUUCCUCAGAGUUGUUAGGAAUGGCUAAGAUUGGAGCGGUAACCAAUCGCCGUUUUAGUUUUUGAAGCUUUCCUCACAUUCUUGCGUCUACACAAACUUUACAUUUUUUUUUGUCAAUUGGGUUAAUGGCAUUGCAAUCUUGGAUAACCCUUCUACAAAUCUUCGAUACUAUCCAGCCAAACUCAAGAAGCUUUUGGUUUUUCUUGUAUUAGUUGGCCUGAACCAUUGGCUCACAGCUUUCACCUUCGAGGGUCUACUGAGAUUCUAUCUUUAGACACGAGUGUCCUAAGAAUAUAACACUUUCAAGCUAAAAUUCACAUUUCUUGAAUUUUGCAUAAGGUUGCUUCUCUUUUAAGGUCUGAAGAGUGAUUUUUAGAUACUCAGCAUGCCCUUCCUUUGUUCGUGAGUAUGUGAAAAUGUCGUCAAUGAACACCACUAUAAAUUUGUCUAGGUAAUCUUUAAAUACCAUGUUCGUGAGAUCCAUGAACACUGCUGGGGCAUUAGUUAGACCAAAUGGCAUGACGACAAACUCAUAGUGUCCAUAAUGUGUUCUAAAUGCUAUUUUAGGAAUAUUUGCUUCCCUAAUUCUUAACUGGUGAUAUCUUGAUCAUAGAUCAAUCUUUGAAAAUACUGAUGCUCCUUGUAGUUGAUCAAACAAGUCAUCGAUGCGCGGAAGUGGGUACUUGUUCUUGAUAGUCACCUUAUUUAGCUCUUGAUAGUCUAUGCACAUUCGCAUUGAUCCAUCCUUCUUUUUUACAAAUAGUACUGGUGCUCACCAUGGUGAAUGACUAUGUAGCUUUUGUCUAGUAACUCUUACAAUUGACUUUUUAACUCCUUUAAUUCUAAUGGGGCCAUCCUAUAGGGCGCCUUUAAAAUUGGGGCAGUUCCUGGUAACAAAUCGAUUUUAAAUUCAAUUUCUCGAUCCGGUGGCAAUUCUAGGAGUUCUUCAGGAAAGACCUCAGGAAAUUCGUUCACCACUAGAAUAUCUUCCAACUUUGGUCUUGGCUCUUCUGUUUCGACGAUCACACUUGCUAAAUACCCUUCAUAUUCUUCAUUUAAUAGUCGAGUUGCUUUUAAGACAGAGAUGACAUACAUUCUUUUUUCUUUGUAUUCUCCUUUUAAUGUAAAUGAUUCCUUUUGUGGUGGUCAAAAAGUUACUUCAUUUUUCUUACAAUCUAUCUUGGCAUGGUGCUUUGAUAGCUAAUCCAUGCCAAGAAUUACGUCAUAGUCAUGCAUCUCUAGGAUUAUUAGGUCAACACAUAGUUCAUGACCACUAAUGCUGACCUCGCAUGUCUUAACUAAUUGUCCCGAGUUCAAUACUGCACCUGAUAUUACUGAGGGGUUUCCUUCCGAUCUGUCUUGGUCAGUGUAAAAACUUGAGCAUUAGCUUUUCUUGUUGUGUACCAUUCUCUGGGCAGUCCUUAAUGAAGUGUCCUUCCCUUAUACAUUUGAAACAUGUUUUGGUAUUGGCUCGACAUUCCUCAGGGUGAGUUCUGCCGCACUGGUUGCACCUUGGCUUGUGUAGAACUUCCUUCUAAUGAUUCUUUAGGCGUUUUCUUUUAUUCUGAUCUUGGACCACCGACGCUCCCUUUCUCAUAUUAUUAUUUUACUGUUGUCUUUCGUGGUUAGCUACAAAGUUCCCCUAAUCCACAUUCCUUUGUUUCUUUGUUUUUCUUUCUUUUUUUCUUCAUCUGCUUGUUCAAUUACCCAGGCUUGAUCAAUGAUUUCGUUGAAGGAAGCAUCACGAACUCCAGUCAUCUUUAAGUCUUUGCGCAAUCCUUGCAUAAAAUGGUCCUUUUUCAAGUCUUAUGUUGCGACCAUAUGUGGGGCGUAUCGAGAGAGCUCAUCAAAUUUUUGGAUGUACUCUAGCACAAACAUCCUUCCCUGUUGUAAAUAAACAAACUCUCUUCUUUUGACUGAGCAAACGGUCUCUGAAAAGUAUUUGUUAUAGAAGUGUUAUUUAAAUUCCACCCAUUACAUCGUUGCUUCAUUAUGAAUUCGUUUGAUAGAGUCCCACUAGUAUUUUGCCGCUCCUCGUAGCAUAAAGGAGACAUAAGUGACUUUUUCCUUUUUCUGGCACUUUGGCUACUUCUAUCAUUCUUUCUAUGGUUCGUAACCAUUGGUCUGCUACGAUAGGAUCUACACCUCCUUCGAAUGUGGGUGGAUUUAAUCUUCUAAAUUCACUCCCUGCGUUGUUUAUUUCCCGAGCAUGUUCAUCUCUUCUAAUUUCCCUUUCCAAGAGUCGUGCUACAAUGUCUAUAAGUCGAUCAAUUGUAGAUUGCGCCCCUGAAGUUCCUUCUACCCUUCUGCUUCUGUUACCCCUAGUACUUGACAUCUCAACGAGUGUUUAAUCUAUUUUCUACGUGUCAGACAAAUCAAAUGUAAAAUUUUUCCAUUUAUCUUAAUUUCAAGUUUUAACUAAAAAGUUGAGCCUUAUCCUUUCCUUUGACUUGUGCAUAUGGAUGGUCUACAAAAUGUUUUAAACCUUGGGCUCUGAUACCAAUUUGUAAGACUCCACUUUUAUAAAAAAUAAUUUAUUUUGGAAAUAUUUAAAACCUCAUUCCUUGUUUAAUAUAAAUACAAAUUCUAAAAAAAAAGUUUUACAUAGCAAGCAUUAACUUUCUUACAAAAUAUAGGAGACAUGCAGAUAUUUUCCAAAAACGUUAUUAUUACAUAAAGAUAAGAUAUUUAUUUUUUUUGAUAGAAACAGAGUUGUGCCCAUCUUAGAGCCCAAUGUUUGAUAUGCCCAUAUGCACCUCGCCUUGGUUGGGACUUAGCGUCAGCUUACCCUAGUCAUUGUUACUUGCAAUGUAAGGACUUUAUGAGCUAAUACACAAUAAGAUAACAUCUUGAUGCAUGUAUAAAUUAUUAUGCAUAUAAAUAACCAUAUUAAGUUUUUAAAAGAAAAUUAGAAAAUACAAAACAACUUAGUUAGGGCCUUAGGUAUGUUGUACCACAAGGCUAGCAUUCUUAUUCUUUAAAAUAACAUGCCCUUGGGCCUAAUUAGUUGAUCUUUUGGGCAUUACGUAUCGCCAUCCCCAAAAGAUUUACCUUUUACUAAACUUGGAGGGCUUGCCCUCCUUGGAAACUUUGCCACCUGGUAGUACAACAAGUCAUUUUUCAUAAAUUCGUUUUCUGAAACGUCUUCUUCAUAAAGUAAUUUAUGAAAUGCAUGCGUCCAACUCAACUUAUGUCAUAACAUUUGAAGUUCUUAGAUGUACAAUAAAAUCAACACACAACACUACUUAAGGACAACAAUCUUGAAUAUAGGCAGCAGUGCUGUCCAUACAGAGACAAACAAAAUGGAAUUAUAGUAUAAGCGACAGAGUCGACCAUAAUAUAUUUAAGUAUCAUAGAUUAGGCAGCAUUGCCAACCAUAUAAGGAUAAGUAAGAAAUUACUAUAAUAUAGGCGGCAUAGCUGUUCAUGUAAAAAUUUAGAUCAUAACCAACCACAUCAUAAUAGCCAUCACAAGAUUAAGAAUUAGUUAAAGUUAAGUAUAAAAAAAAAAUUUCCCUACAUUGCAGUUGAAGUGUUACUUACCUCUUGACCUUGACUUAUCUAGACCUUUCUAAAUUGAGGAUUCUUGAUGUUAUUACUUAGAAUAGAAGAGGAUGAAAUUUCUAGACUGCAUUGAAAAUGAAAGGGGGUAGGGGGUAUUUAUAGGAUUUCUUAAGGUUAAUAGAUGACUAGGAUUUUGCCAUCAUUAUUCUUGAUCAAUGGUUGAGAUUAUCCUUCAUAAAUAUCUUACUAAAUUUUAGAAUUCUUAACUAUCUCUACAAACUUCUCUUACAUCAUCACUUAUCUCAUUGCUUAUUUUAUCCUUAGAAUUAAAUAUUUUAUAUUAUUAUUAUUAUAUUUAAGGGAGCUUAUUAGCUUAAAAUAAAUUCUAAAGUGAAUGGUGAAGCUCAAGGAUUUGAAUCUUGGAUCGAAUUACUCUCACAAGUAAGUUUAAAGUUUAUUGCUUUUAAUUACAUGUUUGUAAAUUGUAUUUUCUAUUGAUUAUUUUCAUUCCAUAUUUAUUUGUAUUUUCUAUUGAUUAUUUUUGUGCAAAUUCAUAUUUUAUUUAUACUUUUUAAUCUCUACUACUUUUUAUACAAUAGGGAAGAAUACCUAUUUAUAUACAUUAGACCUUAGGAAAAAUUGGUAAAAAUAGCUAGGAUAUUGCAAAUAAGUAUCCCUAAAAAUUAGGGACUAAAUCUCCUAAAAUCUGGUGUUUAUGAAAAUAGUCAACACACAACUGUAGAAUACGACUAACAUCCACAACAAUAGUCAACACACAGCUGUAAAAUACAACUGACAUUUGCGACAAUCCCCCUCAAGCUGGAGCAUAGAUGUUCUCCAUGCCCAGCUUGCAUACAAACUCUUUAAACUAGUGUCUAGGUAUUCCUUUUGUCAACACAUUUGUAGUUUUGUCCUAUAGGAAUAUACACCAAACAAAUAACUCUAGUUUCCAGAUUCUCUUUAAUGAAAUGCCGGUCUACUCCACAUGUUUUGUCCUGUCAUGAUGGGCAGGAUUAUGAGAAAUAUUAAUUGCUGCCUUAUUGUCACAGUAAAGUUGCAUAGGAUUGUUUUUUAUUAAUUGUUGUUCUUUAAGAACAUGUUUUAUCCACCUAAGCUCACAUACUGUAUGUGCUAGUGCUCGAAACUCUGCUUCUGCACUACUUCAUGCCACUACAGUUUGCUUCUUGCUUCUCUAAGUCACAAGGUUUUCCCACAUCUUAGUACAAUAACAUGUUGUAGACUUCAUAUCCAUGACAUUUCCAGCCCAAUCUAUAUCAACAAAAGCUUCUACAUUUUUUUUCUCCUUUCUCAAAAUAAAAUCCCUUUCCUGGUGUUGACUUCAAGUAUUGAAAUAUCUGAUUUACUGCCAAUUGAACAUCUCUUGGAGAGUGCAUAAAACUGGCUCACUAGGUUAAACUGCAAAAGCAAUAUCAGGUUUGGGUAUGGGAAAAAAAAAAUAAAUCCCCCCUGCUAGUCUUUUGAUAUCCAACCUUUCAAAAGGGGUGCCCUAUUUUCUUCAAAACCCAACUUGUGUUUUUGGUGUCAACUAGUGUGGCAGUAGGUUUACAGUUAGUCAUGCCAGUUUCUUUUAGCAAAUCUAGAGUGUAUUUCUGCUGUGUAGCUAGAAUACCUUUAGCUCUUCUAAUUACCUCCAUUCCUAGAAAAUAAUGUAGCGCUCCAACAUCCUUGAUUUCAAAUUCACAAGCCAAUUUUGCAUUCAAUCCUUCCAGCUCUUCUUUGUCAUCCCUUGUUAGUAUAAUGUUGUCAACAUACACGAUCAAAAUACUAACUUCCCUUUUUUAGACCGUUUGUAGAACAUAGUGUGAUCAGCUUGCCCUUGAGAGUAUCUAGAGUCCUUCAAGACUUUCCCAAGUCAGUCGAACCAGCCCUAGAAGACUAUUUAAGGCCAUAAAGAGACUUUUUUAACCGACAAACUAUUCCAAUGGGUCUUUUUUCUUCGAAACCAAGUGGCAAUUCCAUGUAAACUUCCUCUUCCAAUUCUCCAUUCAAGAAGGCAUUCUUGAUAUCAAGCUGGUUGAGAGGCCAAAUCCAAAUUUGUAGCAAGAGAAAGAAGGAUCUUUACAGUAUUAAGCUUUGCCACUGGAGCAAAAGUCUCUAGGUAGUCCACCCAAUAGGUUUGUGUGAAACCCUUCGCCAUGAGCCUUGCUUUAUACCUGUCCACACUUCCAUCAGUCUUACAUUUGAUUGUAAAUAUCCACUUUGCACCCCACAAUUCUCUUGUCUUUAGGACUUGGUACAAGGUUUCAUGUGUUAUUCUUUAUUAAGGAUGCCAUUUCUUCUUGAACAAUUUUCUUCCACUCAUUUAACUCAAAGGCUUUAUAGAUGUUUCUUGAAAUAGUGGUAUUAGAUAGAUUGGUCAUAAAACUCCUAUACUCCUUGGAUAGAUUUGCAUAUGACAAAAAACUUGUAGAUAGGAUGUUUGGUACAAUUUCUCACUCAUUUCAUUAUUGCAAUAGGCAAAUCUAUCAACUUCUGAGCUUCAUUCUUAACAUACUCAGUAGGUGAGUUUUGAUCCUCCCUUAGUUUAGAUCUUGCUUCGUGAAUAGACAUAAAACUCUCCUAUUGGUUCCUCCAAACAUAAAUUGGCUUUUAUCCCUUCAUUCCCUAGUGACACUAUUGGUUGAUUAAGUUCUAUGAUGUGAGGUAGGCUAGGAUGAGUGUCUGGACUAAGUGAGGAGGUAUUUGGUAGAUUGGGUUCUAGGCUAGAAUUACUAGGAAAAUUGGGUUUUAAGAUGAAAUUAUCCGGCAUAUUGGGUUUUAGUCUGGAACUACUGGGCAUAUUAGGUUCUAGGUUGGAAUUACUAGGCAUCUUGGGUUCUAGGCUAGAAUUAUUAGUCGGCUGAGAGACUAGUGUAGUGACCUCGGUUUAGAUAGGUUCUAAGAUGUCAAGAAGAUCCCAAGAAAUAUAUUUUCUCAAAUUCUGCCCCUAAAGAGAAUUACUUGGGUAAAAAGGUUGAUUUUUAAAGAACUUGACAUCCAUGGUGAUGAAUUAUUUUUUUGUAAGAGGAUUAUAACACUUGUACCCUUUCUUGGUAAGAGAAUAUCCUAGAAACAGACACUUGAUGGCUAUAAGAGACAGCUUUGUUCUUUAAAGACUUGGAAGAUAUACAAAGGCUGUACAGUCGAAAGUUUUGAGUGCAAGAUUAGAGGUAACAAGGUUAUUUUAUGGGUAACUGUCAAGAAAAACAGAAAUAGGUGCCUUGAAUUUAAAAACUCGAGAGGGCAUACGGUUUAUGAGUUUAAAUGCUGUAAGAAUGGCCUUUCCCCAAUAUAUUUUUGGUACAUUAGUUGUGAACAUAAUGGCCCUAGCAACCUCUAAAAGGUGUCUGUUUUUACGUUCUGCAACCCCAUUUUGUUGUGGUAUUCUAAAACAAGAACUUUGGUGGACAAUUCCUUGUUGUGACAUGUAACUUCUUAAAAUAGAAUUGAAAUACUCAGUUUUAUUAUCUGUACGGAGUACACAAAUGUUAGUUAGGAACUGAUGUUAGUUAGGAACUGAGUUUGUACCAUGGCAUGGAACUGUUUAAAAGUUUGUCCAGCUUCAGAUUUUUCCUUUAAAAGGUACACCCAAGUGGUCAUAGAGUGGUAAUCUAUGAAUGUAAUGAAUCAUUUUGCUUUUGACAGGUUGUUAAUCCUUGAGGGACCCCAAAUAUCACUAUGAUUAAAAGAGAAAGGUUGGGAUGGUUUAUAAGUAUGGACAAAAAAUGAAACAUGUGUUUGUUUAGCCAUUUGACAAAAAUCACAAUCUAAUAAACUCAAAUCUUUAUUUUUGAAUAAGGAAGGAAACAAGGCUUUUAGAUAUGGAAAAGUAGGAUGGCCUAACCUAUAGUGCCACAACAUUAUUUCAGAAGAAACACAUUCACAUUGAGAGACUUAAGCUUGUCCUUUCACGGGCCUUUAUUCUCGAGAUAGUACAACCCUUCAUAUUCAUUUGCAUUCCCAAUCAUCCUCCCCAAGUUUGGAUCUUGAAAUAGACAUUUAGAACCACAAAAUUUAGUUACACAGUUUGUGUCCUUAGUAAAUUUACUAACUAAAAGAAGAUUACGUUUAAGAUUUGAGACAUGUAAAACUGAAAAAAAGCGUCAGACAAUUUGAUAGUUUUAUUGUUCUUUUUCCAGCAAAAUUGGAUAAUGAUCCAUCAGCAAUCCUCACUUUAUAAUUACCUGGACAUGGAGUGUAACUAGAGAAAAAUUGAGAAGACCCUGUCAUAUGGUUUGAGGCCCCUGAAUACACAAUUAAUCUAAGGACUAUUUUUGAUGGAUUGGAUGCUAAAGGUUGAUGGGUUACCUGUAUGGGCUACAUGACAGGUAGAGGAGGUCAUAUCAUUUCCUUUCGCUUGUCGAUUUUGUAUGAGGACCUACUGCAGCAUCUCAAAUUAAUCUUUUGUGAGGGAAAACUAAUUAGUUUUCUCUUUCACCAUUCAUGUUGCGUAAAUUAGCAAGUGUACUAGUCGGCACAAGUAAUAUAAUGAAGAGUAGAGUAUCAUCCCACAGUGAUUGUAUAUCCUAUUAGUUACCGAAAUUAUUCUAACCCUGCUUUAUUUGAACAAUCGAUUAGGCGAAUUUAGAUUAAAGUUAAAUAAAAUAAAAUAAUUAAAAAUUAAAUGAAGAUGCAAGCAGUAAUAGAAAUCACCAAGAGAUUAAAACACUAGGACAUUCGAUUUCACCAUAACCAAUCCAAUUUAAUCCUCCAUCUAUGCUAUUAAAGUUUAUUACCCAUGUUGACAGUGAAUUUCCUUAAUUUAUUCAAUAUCCUCUCUCGAGUAAUAUCAAAAAUAUCUCCACAUAUCAACCCACUAUAUCUCUAUGUGAAUUUAAAUAUGCAAAGAUUUAUUAAGUUCUAUGGAAAUUCUUAGAGAAAACUGCACGAAUCACGUUGGCACAUCUCUGUCUUUCGUUCAAUUCAUGGCAUCCAUUACACAGAGCAAAAAUACAUAAAUCUCCUCUCGGUCUCAUUAUGUAUCCUCAAAUCAUUCAAAUAUUGGCCAGAUAUUUAAAAGCAUUAAGCACAAUAAUGAACACUCAAUCAUGGAAUAAUUAAUUAAAAAUAACAUAGAUUUAUGGAAGUAUAUCUUCAUAGUUAGGCUACAUCGUAGCCCUAGUAAAAUAAAUUAGUUCAUGGGAAUAUAAAGAAAAUUCAUUAAUUUAAUUAGAAACAUUCAAGCAAGAUAAUAUAGAAGAGGAAAAGAAAAACUUAAGAAUUAAUGUGUCUUCCUCCUGCUCCAAAUUAUUUAUGCUGCUCUCGGUUUUGCUCAAAACUUGCGGCUGUUGCUCCUCUUUAUUUUCGCUUGGCUGCUAUAUUUCUCCUUGUGCGGCUGCCUUUCUUCCCUUUUAUAAUGUUGUGGUUUCUUCCAAAUCCUUAAAGGAAAAGGAUUGCAAAUCCAGCCCACGAAUCCUUAAAUGAAAAGAAUUAAAAACAAGAGCCCAACCGCCUAUUUCAUUCCUAAGCCAAUCAGAAUUAAAAGCAAAAGCCCCUCCAUGUGUUGCAUGCCAUAUUCUCUUUGUAAAUGAAUUCUUCAAUGCUUCCUCCAUGUGUUGCAUGCAUGCUUAAUGAUUAAUUAAAUUAAAUCCUUUGUGAUUUAUUCCAAUUAAUUCUCUUUAUUUCUUUCCUUUUUUUAUUCCUUUAAGUGGAUUUCCUCCUGAAUGUUCCGAUUUAUUCUUCUUUAAUCCCAUAUUGUACCUAAAAUAAUAAAAUAUAAAAAUUAAAAUAAAAUUAACAUAAUAAAACAUAAAAUUAAGUUAUGGAAGCAUUAAAAUAAUAGAUAAAUUAUGAGCACAUCAAUUCCCUUUGCUUUCUGCUGGUGUUUUGGUUUCCAAUCUGCUGGUUUUCCAUGAAGCUUCUAGUAUGAGUCUCGGGUACGUCUUUUCUUGUGGCAAUAGUCACAGCAGGGACGUUCUCUAUGGUUUUGUCCUUCAUGGUCAGUUAAGUGAUCCGUCCUUUUGGUCACCAACGCUAAUCUCUCUGUCUCGGGUUCCUUCACAGUCCCCUUAUAACUCGCUUUCUACUUUCUUGGCGCCUCACCUCAGCAAAAGCUUCUCAAAUGGAGGGUAGAGGAUUCUUUCCCAGUAUUCUACCAUGAACUUCAUCAAGUUUUUGAAAUUCUAGUUAUGCAACCCAAGAGGGGGGGUGAAUUAGGAUUCUAAAAAUCAAUCAAUUCUAAAACAAAACUCAAUGCAAAUCUAAAACGAAUUUAAAGCAAUAACAAAUAAAUUUAUCACAAUAUAAAAAGAUAAGGGAAGAGAGAUUCAAACACGGGGAUUUUUACGUGGUUCGGCCAACCUCGCCUACGUCCACGCCUCCAAGCUUUCUGGGCUUGAGGAUUCCACUAAGCAAGCUUCAAAGGCUUCAAAGGCUUACACUUGACUUCUAAGGUGUCAAUAAACUUUUACAACAAGAGAUUAUCCCCAAUCUCUUAACCUAAGUGUAUCCCAACAAUUACAAUUACUCAAAAUAAAAAUUAUAAAUUUUUUCUUUACUCGCACAAUGCUUAAGAUUACAAAUCAAUGCCCAAUAUGUGAAUAAAUGAAGUAAGAAUGUGUUUAAAGCUCUAUGAUGAUUGAAUUUUCGAUUGUAAGCUCAAUGAUCCUGUUAUGAUCAACCUCUGUUUAAAUUUGAGUGAGCUUAUUUAUAGUUGGAGCUGAAAAAUAGCCGUUACAAACUGUCUGCCAGUAAACGAAUCGCCGUUAACCAUUAACAGCAAACCGUUUUUUCUGGUCAAAGUUACCAUUGAGCCAGAUUUCAAAUUAACGGUUGACCGUUUGUGAUUACCCUUUUGCCGUUAAAUUCCAUAGACCUGCAAAACAAACUCCGGUUAUCCAUUCUUACUAAACGGUUAAAGAUUAACAAGGAAAAACAUUCUGGAAUUUAUCGGUUAGUUGUUUGAUGUUAACGGUUCAUCGGUUAUUUCCAGUGACUUGCAAAAACGAAUUAACCUUAUCCGUUUAUGAUAAACGGUGCAAGAUUAGCAUAUGCUUCCAAUAUGGAAUAUACCGGUUAACCGUUUAUAAAUAAACGGUUCACCGUUUAAUUCCAGUGACCUUUUCAACAUAUUAUUGUUUUCCGUUUUAGCUAAACAAAAAUUGCAAGGGAUCAUUUUUCAAUUUGAGUUUAUCAAUAAUCCAUAUUUCAUUAACAUAAUAGGAAUGAUUAUAAGGCUUUUAUUUAUUAAUGAAUAGCUCCAUUAUUUUAAUCAAAGUCAUUUAAAGUUUGUUAUUAUCAAAAUCAAUACUAUGAACAUAUUCAAGUUAACAUUCUCCCCCUUUUUGAUGAUGAUAAAUUUCUUUUAAUAUUUUGUUCCCCCUUAAUAUACGCUCCCCCUUUUUCAUUUAAUAAACAGUAUGCAUUUAUCAUUAGUCUUUUCUCCCCCUUCAUCAUCAAAAAGAUACUUAAAACAUAGAAUGAAGGAAGAAAUUACCCAUAUUAGACGAGCAAAAAUUUUGGUAGAGUUUCCCCUUAAAAAGGAACAAAACCUCAAAUACAAAACAAGAUUAAAACGCUUCCAAAAUAAACAAAUGUCCAUAUACCAACAACUCCAUCAAACAUCAGUCCACACACAGAUAAUCAUCCAACAUAAAAAACAUCACAUAGAAAAAUCCAUUAUCAAAAUCAUAUAGAAGUAACAAUAUAUGCCAAACAAAAUAUAAAUAGCAACACACAAAGAAAUAUAAUAUGAAAUGUAUGUGCGAAUAUAAGAGUUAGAAACUAAGAAGGUGGUGAAGAUGUGCUCCCUGAAUCAUAACCAAAAUAACGAAGAAAAGAGCAUUGUCCAGCUAUGAGCUCAAGCUGCUGAUCAAUGCUCUGCUGCUAAAAGGUCUGAAACUCAUAACGGAGCUGCUGCUGGUCUUGGGAGAGAAUGUCCAACCUAUGGAUAAUCAGCUGCUGCCGCUCAGUAAGUCUCUGAAUGUUAUCAACCAGCUACUGCAGCAUGGCUGAUGCUGGGGGCUUGGUAGAAGUAGGAGGCUGCUCAGGAAAAACAGAUGGUUCGGGAGAUGUAGGCUGCUCGGGAGCCAGAGGCGGCUCGGAAGCGGAGGGAAUGUCAGUGUCCAUCUCACGCUCCUUAGUGUCAGAGUCAGCUGGAGGCUGGGGGACAGAACAGCGGCGCGGAGGAGGGGGAUGAGCUCCUAGUAUAAAAUCCAGAAGCUGAUCUGGAGAAUAAACAUCAUUGAGCAUCCGAUCAUCCUCUGGAGCAAUCAAAGUAUCCCAAUUUUUAGAGGUGGCAGUCUUGAUCCAUUUGCCAUUUCUUCUAGAGAAUCCAAUACUAGUCAUGGCCUCAGGGCCAAUCCAUUUGGUUUCUAUAUAACACGCAUUUCGAAGAGGCACCUUAAAGUGUCGCAGUAUCUUAGAGAUGAUACUGUAAUACGGAAGUAAAUGGUGGUUAACAGAAGGAGUACUCAGCAUGUGCCUCACUAUAACACAACCGAGGUUAAUAAGUCGUCCUGAAAUAAGACUAUCUAAUAAGCCAUCGUCUAACCUCGUGACCUGACCCGAGUGACCCUUCUUAGGCGUAAUGAUAUACUAUAAAAUAGUGUGAAGGAUGCGAACUUGAAGAGGUAAAAGUUGAGACCGAAAAGGUAGAACACAAAUGUCAUAACUAAGGUCUCGACGCCGAUAAAUAUUACGAACUCCAUUAGCAUGAAUAAAAUUGGCAAAUGAAAGACCUUUCCUAGAGGUAUAAAUGUUAUGACCAUUACUAGAGAUACCUAUGAAGCCAUUAAGGUCCUCAACAUCAAAUUCAAUAUGCACACCACCAACCUAAGUAACUAUCUUAUCUAGGCGGGUUUCAGAAAUUUUCAUGUUUGAGUAGAAAACUCGCACUAAGUUAGGAUAAACUUGAUCAUCAAAAUCAAUAGCCGACUCCCAAGGGUGAAGCAUAUCUCUAACACUUCUACCACAUACAAUUAAGGUUUUAAAAUCUUCUAUAUAAACAAAGUAAGAAUCGAGUACCUUUCUACCCAUGAAGCGGUCCUCGAAACGCUUAGCCAACGAGGGUAUGAGAAAAUGAAUUCUUUCAAAUUCGGAGGUUUCCCGUGGUGGUGUAGGAUUUUUAGGAGGAUUUGCUUCCCUCCUCCGAGGUCUCUGAGAUGAUGCAGCCAUGGUGAAGAACAUGGAGAAUGAGGGAUUUUGAGAAAGGUGAGUUUGGACGAAAAUAAACCGAUGAUGGGGUCAAGAGAGAGUAGAGGAUGUAAUUUUGAGGCUUAAUGUGGUUGGAAAAAGACAAGAAUUAGGUCAAAAAUGAUGAAACCCGACCAGCUUCCCUUAGGGUUUUGAUUUGGGAUUUUUAAAUUUUGGGCUCAAUUUGAAGAAUUUAAUCGGUGAAACCACUCUAAUGAUGAUGGGAAAAUGUUUUAUGGGUUUGAUUUGGCACGUGAGUGAAGAAAAAUGAAGGACUGAAGUCAGAGAGAGCUUCGGUUGCGUAACAAUGGCGGAAAUGGUAAACGAGUAAGUGAGGGAGAAGAAGAAACCCUUGGAACAGUUUUAUACUUCACGAAAACGGCGAACCGUUUAUUUAAACGGUGAGGGAGUAACUUCCAGAGGGUAAUUAAUAGAAAAACAGUGAAAGGUUAUUCUUUUAACGGUUAAGAAGUAAUUUCUAGUGAGCUCUCUAUUUUUAAACGGUUUACCGAUUGCAUCAAACGGUAAAAGGGUAAAUGACAAACAUCAUUUCUAGUUUCUAAAAUUAAAUGGUACUCCGUUUAUUGAGAAACGGUUAUCCGUUUAUUUUUUUUUAUUUCACACAUUUGUUUUCAAUAUUUGACCAUUAAUUAAUAUGUUUCAAGAUCAUUUCAUGAAUCUGAAACAUGUUAAAGGCCAGUUCAAUGAAUAUUUUAUUAACUCACAAUUUAUUCAAACAAUCAAUUUAUAUAUAUAAUCAAAGGAAAAUAACACAAACAUAUCACUUAUAAUUCACAUACAAACAUUUCAUAGAUAUCAAAUCAUCAAUCAAUUUUAAUAUACUCAAUAACAUAAAUAGAAUUGUUAUUGCGAAAAUUUCAUCAUCCUAAGUUCAUGCCGAAUUUUUGAAAAUUGUUCUUCUCCAAGAGGUUUUGUAAAAAUAUCAGCAAGUUAUUUUUCCGUAGAAAUAAACUCUAAGGAAAUAUCUCCCUUUUGAACAUAAUCUCUCAAGAAAUGAUGUCUAAUUUCUAUAUGCUUGGUUCUAGAGUAUUUAAUGGGAUUUUUUGAAAGAUUUAUAGCACUAGUAUUAUCACACUUUAUCGGAAUUUGUUCAAGGUUAAUGCCAUAGUCUCUAAGUGUUUGUUUCAUCCAAAGAGCUUGUGCACAACAACUCCCUGCAGCUAUAUAUUCAGCCUCGAUAGUUGAAAGUGCAACAGAAUUUUGUUUCUUGCUAAACCAUGAAACAAGUGAGUGACCUAGUAGAUGGUAAGUUCCACUAGUGCUUUUCCUAUCAACUUUAUAACCGGCAAAAUUCGCAUCCGAAUAGCAUGUUAAGUCUAUAUGAGUUCCUCUAGAAUACCAAAGGCCAAGAUCUAUGGUUCCACUCAAAUAACGGAAAAUUCUUUUAACAGCAAGCGAAUGAGAUUCCUUGGGACAUGAUUGAAAUCUUGCACACAAACAUACACUAAAUAUGACAUCGAGUCUACUUGCGGUUAAGUAAAGUAAAGAGCCGAUCAUACCUCCAUACUUUUUAAUAUCAACCUCAUCUUUAUCAAGCUUGAUUGGUGUGCCCAUUGGAAUAUUCUUGGUAUUUGAUUCAUCAAUGUUAAAUCUCUUGAGCAAAUCUUUGACAUACUUAGCUUGGUUGAUGAAGAUCCCCUCAUUGUUUUGUUUGAUUUGAAGUCCAAGGAAAUACUUCAAUUCUCCCAUCAUACUCAUCUCAAAUUCCUUACUCAUACAAGAUGAAAACUCUUUGCACAAAGAUUCAUUAGUAGAGCCAAACAUAAUGUCAUCAACAUAAAUUUGAACAACAAGUAUAUCUUGAUUUUCAUUCUUAACAAAAAGAGUAGUAUCCGCUUUUCCCAUUGAAAAACCGUUGUCUAACAAGAAAUUUUUAAGCCUAUCAUAUCAUACUCUAGGUGCUCGUUUUAAUCCAUACAAUGCUUUUGAUAACUUAUAAACAUGAUUUGAAAAUUUUUCAUUUUCGAAACCAGGGGGUUGUUUUACAUAAACUUCCUCCAUAAUAUAACCAUUUAAGAAAGCAUUUUUUACAUCCAUUUGAAAUAAAAUGAAAUCUUUAUGAAAUGAAAAUGCUAGCAACAUCCUAAUAGAUUCUAAUCUAGCUACAUGUGCAAAUGUUUCAUCAAAAUCGAUUCCUUCUUCUUGGUUGUAUCCUUGAACCAUUAAUCUAGCUUUAUUUCUUACAACCACACCGGAUUCAUCCAUUUUAUUUCUAAAUACCCAUUUAGUGCCUAUAAUGGAUUGAUAUUCCGGUUUAUGAACCAAUUCCCAUACUUUAUUUCUCUCAAAUUGAUUUAACUCCUCUUGCAUUGCCAUAAUCCAAGACUCAUCAUUUUCCGCAUCCGCAAAAGAUUUUGGUUCAAUUUGAGAAAUAAAUGCAGCAUGCUCACAUGUGUUUCUAAGUGAUGAUCUAGUUGUAAUACCUUUUGAAGGAUCACCUAAAAUUAAAUCCUUAUGAUGAGAGGAAACAUAGCUCUACUCCUUGGGGAGUGUUUGAGAAAUACCAUCUUGUUGCUCCAUAUUUGUUUAUUCUUCUUGUCUAUCCUCUUGAUUUUCUUGUGGUGCAUUCUCUUAUUUAUCUUUUGAUGAUUCUUCUUGUAACUCUCCAUCUGUAUCAUCAUUAACAACUCCUUUCUCCGCAGAGGAUGGGUUAGACUCAUCAAAAGUAACAUGCAUAGACUCUUCCACAACUGAGGUUCUUUUAUUAUAAACUUUAUAAGCUUUACUAGAAUUUGAAUAACCAAGAAAGAUGCCAACAUCAGAUUUUGGAUCAAACUUAUCAAGAUUAUCUUUUGUAUUUAAAAUAAAACAUUUGCAUCCAAAAACUUUGAAAUAAUCAAUGUUGGGUUUUCUAUCUUUCCAAAGCUCAUAGGGAGUUUUAUUGAGAUGAAGUCUAAUCAACACUUGAUUUAAGACAUAACAAGCGGUGUUGGCGGCUUCGGCUCAAAAAUAUUUUGGUAAUGCAUUUUCAUUCAACAUGGUCCUAGCUAUUUCUUGAAUAGACCUAUUUUUUUUUCUCAACAACUCCAUUUUGUUGUAGAGUCCUAGGUGAUGAAAAUUGAUGCUCAAUGCCAAAAUCAUUACAAAAAAUUUUAAAUGCAUGAUUUUUAAAUUCUCCACUAUGAUCACUUCUAAUACAAGUAAUAGAGUGACCUUUUUCAUUUUGAACAUUUUUACAGAAAAUUCUAAAUGCAUCAAUGGCAUCAUCCUUAUUAGCUAAGAACAAUACCCAUGUGUAUCUAGAGUAAUCAUUCACGAUCACAAAUGCAUAAUAUUUGCAAUUUAAACUAGCAUAUCUAAAAGGUCCAAAUAAAUCUAUGGGAAGAAGUUGAAGUGGUUUUUAAGUAGAAAUAUGAUUUUUGCUUUUGAAAGAAGUUUUGAUUUGUUUUCCAAAUUGACAAGCUUCACAAAUUCUAUCUUUUUGAAAACCGAUUUUUGGAAGACCUUUAACUAAAUCAUUUUUUGAGAUUUUUGAAAUUAAAUCCAUGCUUGCAUGCCCUAGUCUUCUAUGCCAUAGCCAACCAUCAUCAUGCAAUACCAAAAAACAUUGAUCAUGAGUAGAUGCACACUCUAUAUCAAUUGUGUAAACAUUACCACAUCUAUUUCCUACAAAUAAAAUCUUGCCAUCGCAUGCAUCUUCAAUAACACAUUUAGAAUUAUCAAAAACAACUUUAUAACCUUUGUCACACAAUUGACUAAUACUAAUCAAGUUGUGUUUUAAGUUUUCAACCAAACAAACAUUUUCAAUAAGAGUUGAGGAAACUUUACCGACAUCACCAAUUCCGAGAAUUUGUCCUUUUGAAUUGUCUCCAAAGGAAACAUCUCCACCGUUUUUUAUUUUGGUGAAUCUUGAAAACCAUGUGUAGUUUUCGGUAAUGUGCCUUGAACAACCACUAUCCAAGUACCAUUCAUUUUUCUUCUUCUUCAAACCCUGCAGAGAAAAUCUCAAGUCUUAGGUACCCAAAACUUUUUGGGUCCUUGAGUGUUAGCUAUGGUUCCUUUUGGAAACCAAAUACAUUUUAUACCAUAAUAUGCAUUUCUUUUUACAUGACAUCCACUUUUCAUAUGACCAUCUUGAUUACAAUAAUGACAUAUAACUUGAUUGUUAAUAGAUGUACUUUUCACGAAGUAGUUUUUAUAAUACUUUUGUUUCAAAUUUGGCUUAUAACCAAGUCCUCCUUUAUCAAACACACAUUUUUUAGAGUUAAGCAUGUUAUCCAACAUUUUUUACCUAUUUGUAAAUUUUAAAAUAAUCUCAUUUAACUCUUUGCUCUUCUUCAUAAGCAUUUCAUUUUCAUUUUUCAAGUUAUCUAUGUGUGAUUCUAAAUGAUCAUUUGAAGUGCUAGGAUUCUCAUUUGAUAAUGCAACUCUAUCAUGCAAUUUUUUAUACUUUAAUUCUAGGCAUGUAACUUUUGCACUUAGAGAUUCAUUUUCAUUUUUCAGCUCUACCAUUUUCUUUUUAAGACAUACAUUCUUUUUGCCAAUUUUCAUCCACUCAUCAUGCAACUCCUUAAAAGCAUCAUAUAAUUCAUCAUAAAUAGGAUCACUUACCUCAUCGAGAUCAUCAUUAUCUCCCAUUGCCAUAAGUGCAAGGUUUGAUACUUCUUGCUAAUCUUCUUCAUCACUUGAAUCUUCUUCAUCACUUGAAUCUUCAUCACUAUCAUCCCAAGUAGCAAUCAUAGCUUUCUUCUUGAGUUUCUUGAUAAGUGGGCAUUCCGAUCUUAUAUGGCCAUACUUUUUGCAUUCAUAGCAUAUGAUAACUUAUUUCUUCUCUUUUUGAUUCUUGAAGUUUCUAAACUGUCUUCGCUCACCGGUUUUCUUGAAGAAUUUUCUGAAUCUCCUUGCUAGCAUGGCCAACUCCUCAUCAUCCGAUUCACUCUCCCCACCACUCUCAUUAUUUGAAGCUUUGAGAGCACUUCUCCUCAUGCCCUUUCUCUGCUGCCAAGUCUUUUUCAUAUGAAAUAAGAAAGUCAAUUAAAUCAUCAAGAGGUAAGUUAUUUAAAUUUUUAGCCUCUUCAAUAGCAGUCCUCUUAGGUCUCCAUUCCUUUGGAAGUGACCUAAUGAUUUUCUUUACUUUCUCACUAUUUGAGAAAGUUUUUCCUAGGGCUCCUAGGGUGUUCACUAUGUCCGUAAAUCUGGUAUACAUAGAAUACACACUUUCAUUUUGUUCCAUUUGAAAUAACUCAUAUUGACGAGUGUACCUACUAAUUUUUUACUCUUUCACUUGAUUUGUCCCUUCAUAAACAACUUCAAGUUUAUGCCAAAUUUCAUUUGCACUUUCACAACUAGACACUCUAUGAAACUCUUUUUUAUCUAGUGCACAAAACAAGGCAUUCAUAACUUUGGAAUUUAGAGAGGCUUUUCUCUUUUCCAAUUCAUUCCAUUCCCGUGAAGGUUUUGGAAUAUCUUCCCCGACUUUAUUUUUAGUCAAAAGCAUAAAUGGACCAUCAUAUACAACUUCCCAAAUUUCAUAAUCUAGUGCUUGUAAAAAAAUUCUCAUCCUAGUUUUCCAAUACGGGCUCUGUCAAAGAACGUUGGUCUAGUUGUGGACGGUUAAGUCCUAACAAGAGAACCUAUGCAACCCAAGAUGGGGGUGAAUUGGGAUUCUAAAAAUUAUUCAAUUCUAAAAAAAAACUCAAUGCAAAUCUAAAACGAAUUUAAAGCAAUAACAAAUAAAUUUAUCAUAAUAUAAAAAGAUAAGGGAAGAGAGAUUCAAACACGGGAAUUUUUACGUGGUUCGGCUAACCUCGCCUACGUCCACGCCUCCAAGCUUUCCGGACUUGAGGAUUCCACUAAGCAAGCCUCAAAGGCUUCAAAUGCUUACACUUGACUUAUAAGGUGUCAAUAAACCUUUACAACAAGAGAUUAUCCCUAAUCUCUUAACCCAAGUGUAUCCCAACACUUACAAUUACUCAAAACAAAAAUUAUAAAUUUUUUCUUUACUCACACAAUGCUUAAGAUUACAAAUCAAUACCCAAUAUGUGAAUAAAUGAAGCAAGAAUGUGUUUAAAGCUCUAUGAUGAUUGUAUUUUCGAUUGCAAGCUCAAUGAUCGUGUUGUGAUUAACCUCUGUUUGAAUUUGAAUGAGUUUAUUUAUAGUUGGAGCUGAAAAAUAGACGUUACAGACUGUCUACCCGUAAACGGAUUGUCGUUAACCAUUAACGGUAAACCGUUUAUUCUGGUCAAAGUUACCGUUGAGCUAGAUUUCAAAUUAACAGUUGACCGUUUGUGAUUACCUUUUUGCCGUUAAAUUUCAGAGACCUGCAAAACAAACUCCAGUUAUCCGUUCUUACUAAACGAUUAAAGAUUAACAAGGAAUAACAUUCUGGAAUUUAUCGGUUAGCCGUUUAAUGUUAAUGGUUCGCCAGUUAUUUCCAGUGACUUCCAAAAACGCAUUAGCCUUAUCCAUUUUUGAUAAACAGUGCAACUUCCAAUUUGGAAUAUACCGGUUAACCGUUUAUAAAUAAACGGUUCACCGUUUAAUUCCAGUGACCUUUUCAACAUAUUAUUGUUUUCUGUUUUAGCUAACCAAAAAUUGCAAGGGAUCAUUUUUCAAUUUGAGUUUAUCAAUAAUCCAUAUUUCAUGAACAUAAUAGGAAUGAUUAUAAGGCUUUUGUUUAUUAAUGAAUAGCUCCAACAUUUUAAUCAAAGUCAUUUAAAGUUUGUUAUCAUCAAAAUCAAUAAUAUUAACAUAUUCAAGUUAACAGUUCUUUGUUGAGUCCAUAAAGGAAAUCAAAGGGGCGUUCUUUAUCCAACAUCCUCUUAUAUUUGAUUGUAUCCUCGGAACAAUGUCGCUGGGAUUUAUAAUAGAGGUAGAGUUCCUACCAUAUUUUGCUCAGAGAAUUGAAAUACUGAGUCACCGAAAGACUUCUUUGCUUCUGGUCAGGUAAUCAUGACUUGAUUUCAAAGACUCAAAGUAGGUUUUAUUACAGCUUCCCAAAGCUCAUUUGCAGAGGUUAGGAAGAGAUAAGUCCUACCAAUAUCCACGUCCAUUGAGUUUAUCGAGCACACUUGCACCAUUGAGUUUUCAGCAUCCCACUGAGGAUAACUAGGAUCCGAGACAUCAGGGGAUUUGGUUUCCCCCGUAAUAUACCCUAAUCGGCCUUUGCCAUGAAGAAAUAGGGUGACAGAUUGAGACCAUUGCAAAAAUUUCUACCAUUUAACUUGCGCAGAGUUAUUUGCAAAGAGGGGUUUUUAGUACCUAAGGAGACCGAAGAGAUGUCCUGCUUUGUGUAGAACUGGUGGAAAUCUCAUAUUCUUGUGCAGGGCUUGUUGUCUUCUCCAAUGAAAGGUUUGAGACUUUAGAAUGGAAGAAGAGAAAAGAAAAAACCAAAGGCUCGGAUCAAAAGAGCAGCUCUGAUACCACAUGCAAAAUUGGAUUUUAUUUCUAUUUUUUAAUCUCUAUUACUUUUUAUAUAAUAGGGAAGAAUACAUAUUUAUAUACAUUAGACCUUAGGAAAAAAUGGUAAAAACAGUUAGGAUAUUGCAAAGUAGUAUCCCUGAAAAUUAGGGACUAAAUCUCAUAAAAUCUAGUGUUUAAAAAAAAUAGUCAACACAUAGUUGUAGAAUAUGACUGACAUCCGCAACAAUAGUCAACGCACAUCUGUAAAAUACAGCUGACAUCUGCAAUAAUUUUCAUUCCAUAUUUAUUUGUAGAUUUAGACCCGCUUGUAUCUAUGCAGGAGAUUAGACCUAAUGUAGACACACCAAUAUAAUAGUGGCAACACUCCAAUAUGGUUGUGACACAUUACUAUACUUAAUCUUUAUAUUUUGAUUCAUGAUUUUCGUUAAGUAUUAUACAAAAGCAUGAUUAGCUAGUAAUAGAAAUAUAAACACAAGAUUUUUUUGGGAAAUAUGCUAACAGUGGGUUGUUUCGAAAAUUCGAAAAUCAUAGUAAUUAGUGCAAAUUAAUUUUGAUUUGGUUUUUGUAUAAGUUAAAUUAUACAUCUUCAAAUUAUUUUUCAAAAGUUGUUACAAUUGGGUAAGAAUUUAUUAUGAUUUUUCAAAUUCAUGUCUAAAAACCUGCAAAUUUCUAUUUCUAGUGAAGAACACAAAUUACGAAAUUAUUUUGCUAUAUCUAGACUUCUUCAAAAAUUAUGAAAUUUGAAAUAUUGAUUUGUAUAUAUGUUUAGUAUGAUUAUGAAAAGUUUUAUGAUUUUAUAAUAAAAGGAUAAAUUAUUAUGUAUUUUAAAAAUGUGUAUGUUCAAAAUAAAUAAAUAAAGUUUGACAAAUUUGGUGAUGUCUCAAAUGUAAAUUAUUUUCAAUAGAUUUUAAAGGAAUUGAGCUAUGAAAGUUUUACUAAUGAAUUUUUAGUAUGCAGCACGUGAUUUGCAAAAUUUGAGAUUUUUCAAUAAGCAAAUAAUUUAAUAAAUUCUGAGAACAUGGGAUUACCCAAGUAUUUCUAGUACUUUGGCAACAAUUUUAAUUUUUUUCAAUACUUGACCAAAAAUACAAGUCAAAGAAAAUAUCAUACCAAGUCAAAGAAAAUAACAUACCAACAACCUUGACGCAGGAAAAAGUUUAACAUUAGAUGUGACAAGACUCAAAAGUAUUAUUACUCUUAAGUAUAAGAGUGUCUAGUUACAAUAUAACCCGGUGAGUCCGGGGUCGAAUCACAGAAAAUUUAAAAUCUAAUAGUCAAUUUAAAACAAAGAAAAUUAAUUGUGAGAAAAGAAAUUACUAGAAAUCAAUUUAAAAAUAUGCUAAGGUUACAGGAUCCACUCUCAGUAUUCAAACUAUAAUUUUAAUAUUUUCUCAUUUUUAUAUUUUGCUUCACUUUCACCAAUUAAUUAUUAUAUCAUUUAAUUCUCAACUAACUAUGUGUGUGGAUAAAUAUAGAAUAAAGUACCUAAUGUGCCACAACUUAUUAGUGUGUUGACAUUAUGUCAAAAUACCAAAUAGAUCCAAGAGAAUCUAUAAAUUAACAUGACAUAAAAAUAACCAAAAAAGAAUAAAAUAAACUUAAAAACUCACUUGAGAAAGUAAUAAAUUUAAUAGUUGAAACCUUGAACUUAACUUUUCACCUCAGCUUAGCAAAAUUAGCCACUCAUUUUGAAAGAAAACAAAAUAUUCUUUUUAUUAUUUGACAAACUUCUUAAAUAUAUUACAAGAAAAUUGAUACAGAAGAAAACAAGAAAAGAAAAGAAAGAAAGAAAUCCUCACUUGCACUAUAUUCUCUCUCGGUUUCAGCUACUCUCUCUCAGUUUUUUCUCUCCAGCUUCUGGCUCCCCGCUUCAUUUGCAUCCCUUGCCUUUUAUAGGCAAGGGGUGCAUUUUUUUUUAAUUAUUAUUUUAUAUUAUAUGCACUUUGAAAGGUGUAAUGGUCAAGUGGCAAGAGGGCCACCUGACUAUCACAGGCCACUUGACUAUCACGGGCAUGGUUUCCCAUUCUUCUUUUUUAUUUUUUAUUUUUAUUUAAUAUUUAUUAAUUACAUCUCCUCAAUAAUGCAUUACAAAUUGCUCCAGUAGUUCUUCUUUGUUCUCGUUUUCAAUUCCAAUUUCAUCUUUAUUCCUGAAAAAUAUUUACAAGAUAAAAAUUAAUAUAUUGCGAAUUAAUUUAACACAAAAGUUUAUUUGGGGAGCAGUCAUAUAAUUUAUAAGUUAUGAGUGCAUUAAUCAACACUUUAAAUGAAAAAUUAACAAUUUUAUCCUUAUUACACGUACACUUUUUAGUGUUAAUUACACCUCCCAACCAGCUUAUUGCUAGACUCUAGCAAUUUAAGCGAUCAAAAUUUAGCAAAAUUUCAAGACCAAAUUGAAAUUUUUUUAUAAAAAAAUUAUGUUUACUUCUUUCAUCAGAUUAAUGACAACAAUCAAAUAGAAGUAUAAGUAUUAUCUUCAGCCUAAAGAAAAUCAUCAAUUAUCAGAGCUACAUUAAUCAAGCCACUUUUAAUAAUGAUAUGUUAAACCCCAAAACUUCACAGUGAGAGUGACUUCUCAAAAGAAAGUAUACCCCAGAAAAAAUGUCACUCUAUAAAGUGGUGAUUGAAAAAAUAGUAAAAUAAUAUCACAUGCUCUCACCAAGAUGAAAGAAUAAUGCCCAUGGUUUAGAAAUAAAAUUAUCUCAAGUCCAAGGAAUUACUAGCAAAAUUUAUUUUUAUUUUUAUGCAUCACCACAUCUUUUAGUCCAUAUUACUAGCUUUUACUUCAUACUAUAGUUCCCUAAAAUCGAGAAGGACUUUCAUUAGGACGUAACGUAAACUAGGGUCAAGGCUAACAAAAAAGGGUAAUAGGAAAAACAAAAUUAUAUGUUUGAAAAAUAGGAGACUUUUUUUUUUGAGAUUACAAGGUGUUUGGAUUUUUUCCUAUUUUUUGUUUUCAUUUGUUUGUUGUUUUUUUUUUGUUUUUUUUCAUUUUAUUUAUUUAUUUAUACAUAUCCUCUUUUUUUUACAGCACCAUUAUUAGGAAUACAUAAUCAUCCAUAUUUUCAAACAUAAUUGGGUGGUGGAAAACAUAAAAUACAAGGUGAUACUCCACAUUGGAGUGGGAUAAGAUAAUAGGUUAUCAAAGAAAAAGUUUUUUUUAAAGGGUUCAAAGGGGUUAACUAUCGAUACUUUAUAUAAGAGUUGGCUAGAAAGGCUCAAACGGAUGUUAGAAAGGUUCAAAUGGAUCAAAGAUGGCCUUCAGUCAUCUUUUAGGACUCUAAAUAAUCUUUCAUAUUCACUAGUUCAAUGGACUUUUAGAUGCGGCUAGACAAACUUUUUUUUUACCUUUUCUUUUACUUUAAAGAAAAUAUAGAGAUCUUGUACAAUAAAUUGUGAAGCUGUAUAGGCAAAUAGGGUUACUCUCCAAGGAUAAUAGGUUCAAAAACGCGCUUGGACUUUUUAUAACAUGUACAUUCUUCCAAAUGGCUUAAUCAAUUUCACUCAUCAAAUUUCUAAAUUUACAUUUCAACAUGCAAAGGGGAAAAUAUAGUGUAAUACAACUCAAGGCCAAAGAUAAUACAAAUACCAAAAUUUGAAAAUUAUCAUGUUAUCCAAUGUUAAAAGAUCACAACAAAAAAGAAAACUCUUUUAAUUUUUUUUUUAAAGAUAACACAAAAAAUGGGGACUGAUUGCAGAAACUUAAGGGAGAUGAUUAAGGGAAAAAAAAAAGAAGUUAGAAAACAAUUAUUUUUUUUUUAAGAAACAAAACACUAAAAUUAAGAAUAUGUGUUUCUACAGACACUACAUUCUAUAUUCUACAUCUUCAACACAAAUUUUUAUCAAAAUUUAUAGUCUUUACAACAAAAAUUAUUAAAAACAUCAUCAGGACUGAGACAUUCCACAAUUGUCAUCUAUUCCCUCCCCCCAACCUGAAGGAGAUAUUAUCCUCAAUGUCUAAAGAAAUGAGCAGAGUUUAGAAGACAUCACCUAACCACUACUGAAAAAUAUUUUAAAAUGGAGAGUUAAAUCUAAUUUACACUUUUUACGAGGGUUACUACCAUCAUCAUUAGUUACCCAAUCCAAUGUCAAAGUCAUGGGAUCUGGCUCUGAUUUGUAAGCUUGCAAAAGAUCAAGUAACUCGUUAGCAGUAGGACCAUAAAUAAAGAAUUUUUUUGCCGAGGGUGGAAUUAAAUAAUUUUUAAUUGCAUGAUUAAGAAAUGCUAUUAAACAAUCAUAAAAGUUGUUAACAUUUAACAAACCAAUGAGAUUUUUAUUGAUAUUCAAAUGGGCCUAAGAAGCAAAUGUAAUUAGCGCCUCCAAAGUUGCAAGAUCUCCUGAAAAGAAAAUGAAAGCGUUAGCAUGAUUUAACAUUUCAGAUAUUCUUUCUUGCAUACCUGAGAUAACUAACUCUUCUCCAGUUUGUGGGUUUAGUAAACAUCUUAAAGGUUUUAAGGCUUUUAGAAUAAUGCCUAGCAUUUGGCUUCAUUGAACGAAAGCAGCUUCAGAACAAGCUUUGAUAACACUCGGUCGUCUCCUCCAUAUACAAGAUGUAGUUGUCUCUCUAUUAUAGCAUGAUCAAGAUCUAUGGCUGCUUGAACAAACUCCUUAUACUUUCCAUAGUGAAAUCCAGAAAGCACCCAAGUGUUCUUAAGUUGUCUGCUUGAAGUUGCUGCCAUUAGAAUAAUUCUAAAAAGAAACAAUUUGUGAGUGCUUGAAAAGGAGCUCCUGUUUAAGGAUCUUGGUGAUGGACAUAAUGAUAGACAUCUGUAAAUGGGGUGGUGUGUUUGUCAAAUGACGCGUGAAACUUUGGGCUCAAUAAUUCAAUGGCAAACAGUGAAAAGAAAAGGCACACAGUGAUUAGAUAUAAAAUCACACACAAAAAACAAGAAUAAUAAUAAUGCAAAAGAUAAAAUAAAAGGAUAUUUACUGGUAGUUGUGAUUGUGGCUCACAUCUUCCUCUGGUUUUACUUCCAGUAACGGCUUGAAUGCCCUCUAUCGGUCAAGAAUAUGUUUCCCAUCUAGUUUUCUUAUAAAUUAGCAAACGGGGUCUUUUAGAGUCAGAUUCCUAUGUGAGGUACAAUUUUCUCACUUAAAUAUGGUAGAAUUUAUUUUAAGCUAACAAGCUCCCUUAAAUAUUAUAAUAAUAAUAAUAUAGAACAUUUAAUUAAUGAUGACAUAAGUAAUGACAUAAGAAAUGAUGACAUAAGUGAUGAUGUAAAAGAAGUUUGUAGAGAUCAUUAAGAAUUCUACAAUUUAGUAAGAUAUUUAUGAAGGAUAAUCUCAUCUUUACCUAGAUAUUUAAUUAUAAGUGAAGAUGACAUAAGUAAUGACAUAAGAAAUGAUGACAUAAGUAAUGAUAUAAGUGAUGAUGUAAGAGAAUGUUGUAGAGAAUGAUAAGAAUUCUAGAAUUUAGUAAGGUAUUUAUUAAGGUUAAUCUCAACCAUUAAUCAAGAGUUAUAGUGGUAAAAUCCUAACUAUCCAAUAGCCUUAAGAAAUCCUAUAAAUACCCCCCACCACAUUUCAUUUCAAUGCAACCUAGAAAUUUCAUUCUCUUCUAUUCUAAGUCAUAAUAACAAGAGUAGAUAAAUCUUUAAUUUAGAAAGGUCUAGAGAAGUUAAGGUCAAGAGGUAAGUAACACUUCAACUGCAAUGUAAGAACAAAAUUUUUUUUCAUAUUUAACUUCAGUUUUAACCAUUCCUUUAUGUUGUGAUGACUAUUAUGAUGUGAUUAGUUAUAAUCUAAAUUUUUAUAUGGUCAGCUAUGCUACCUAAUUUAUGAUACUUAAUUACAUUAUGGUCGGCUCUGCCGCCUAAUCUAUGAUACUUAAUUAUGUUAAGAUCGGCUCUACCCCCUAAUCUAUGAUACUUAAUUACGUUAUGGUUGGCUCUACCCCCUAAUCUAUCAUACUUAAUUACGUUAUGGUCGGCUCUACCGCCUAUAUUAAAGAAUCUUAUUCUUAAAUAGUGUUAUGUGAUGAUUCUGUUAUGCAUGUAGAAACUUCAAAUGUUAUGACAUAAGUUGAAUUGGAUACAGGCAUAUCAUGAAUUACAUUAUGAAGAAGAUGUUUCAAAAAAUGAAUUUAUGAAAAAUGGGUGGUUGUACUACCAGGUGACAAAGUUUUUAAGGAGGGCAAUCCUUCAAAGCUAAGCAAAAGGAAAUCUUUUGGGGAUGGCGCUACGUAACUCCCAAAAGAUCAAUUAAUUAGGCCCAAUAGCAUAUUGUUUAAAGAGUAAAAGUGUCAGCCUUGCAGUGCAACAUACCUAGGCCCUAAUGAAGUUGUUUGAUAUUUUCUAAGUUUCUUUCAAAAGCUUAAUAUGAUCAUCCAUAUGCAUAAUAAGUUAUACAUGCAUCCAAGCGUAUCUUACUGGACAUUAGCUCAUAAAGUCCCUAUAUGUAGGUAACGAUGAGUAAGGUAAGCUCGCGCCAAGUCCCAACCAAGACGAAGUGCAUUUAGGCAUAACAGAUCUUGAGAUUUCAUGAUGGGCUCAGCUUUGUUUCAAUUAAAAGUAAAUAAAUUAGCUUUAUGUAAUAAUAAAAGUUUUGAAAUAAACUACGAAAGCUCUGUAUAACUCUUAGUUUUUGCAAGAAAGUUUUGUUAACUUUUAGAAUUCGUAUUUAUAUUAAAAGUACAAUGUUUUAAACAUCUUUAAAAUGAAUAUUUAAGUGGAGUGUCCUAAGACUAAAUUGUACACUUUCCUUUUGGAACAAUUUCCAUAGAUUAUGAAUUUCACGUUGAACAUAUCCACUCGGAUACGUUUCAAGAGAUCGUAAGAUAUCAUCCAACAAUUCUUUACUCAUGCCAUCCUUAACUAAUUUGAUUUUGUCUUCACGAUUUACAAAAACCAUUCCUAAAGUUUUAUAAUGUCAUUUGUUACAAGAAAGUCUUACACAGUGAGGACAUUUCGAGCCAAGUCGCUUAGCUCUUCUUUUCUUAGCAAAUAUACUUUUACCAAAACCAGGCAUGUAAGAAACAAAUGGAUCAGAAAACUCACCUGCCAGUCGGACCUUUGCUUCAAUUAACCAGCGAAUGUCAGCAGGAAUCCCAUUGAUCAUUAACAAACGCAGUCGUUCACAACGAGCCUUGUAAACCUUCUUAAUAGCAUUUUGAGGCAGAGAAGGAAAACGUUGAUGCAAUUUACAUUGUGUUUCUUUCAUGCUUGAUUUUGGGGUUUAGUUAUUGUGGUAAAUUGAAAAUACCGACUUAAAAAAAGUCACGGAGUACCGUUAUCCUUAUUUAUACGGGAGAGCGAAUCAAAUCUGCAAAAUCAAAUCAAAAGUGAAAAAGAAGACAAAAUAAAAUCACACAAUGAAUAUAACUCACCUUCAUCCUUUUAUUGAAUUUACCUCCAGUUCCAAUUGCAGUUCAUAAAUACCAUUCUCUAUUUCUUUGAGUUAUUUUUCUAGAUCUUUAACGUGGGAUACUAACUCAGGUGGUUGUAGAUCCCAAAUAGGAUGUGAUUUACAAAAUCAGAGCAAUUUCCUUAGGUGAAAUUUUACAUGUAAAAUUUCUUUAAGAUGUUUGAAAAUGAUCAUUCUUAUGGAGGUACUCAUGACAUGUAUAAAAAAUGGUGAGUUAAAGCACAAUUGUCAAACAACACACUUAAACAAGAAAUAACGUAAUGCACUUCAUAAGGAAUAGGAAAAAAAGAAAAUCAAACAAUUCAAACGAUGAAUUAACAGUAAAAUAAAUUCACAAAAAGUAAAAAAAAAAAGGCUUAAUCAGGAUUUGGUGGGUCACUCAAACUGAUUUUGGUAUCUGGUUCACGUGGUUGGUAUUCCAGAUAGGGUUUCAAUCUUUGACCAUUAACUUUAAAUGUGACACUAUCUUUUGAAUUCUCAAUUUCUACAGCUCUAUAUGGAUACACAAUUUUUACAACAAAUGGACUAUUCCACUUUGGGUUUAACUUUUCUGGAAACAAAUGAAGACAAGAAUUAUAAAGCAACAUUUUUUGACAAAUUUCAAAUAUUUUAUGAAAAAUCCUUUUGUCAUGAAAAAACUUAGUUCUUGCCUUAAUAAUUCUAGAAUUCUCAUAUGCAUUAAUCUCUAAUUUCUCAAGUUCAUUCAAUUGCAAUUUACGCACUUUACCAGCAUCAUCAAGAUUUGGAUUAAAAAGAUUUAAUGAUCCAAAAUGAUUUAUGUUCAAGUUCAACCGAUAAGUGGCUAGAUUUUCCAUAGAAGUGAUGAUACAACCACAAACUCUUGUACAAAUUUAUCUUGUACAAAUUGAUUUGUCAUUAAUUCAUUUGUUGAAUGAAAAUACAAAAUAAUAAAAAUAGAUCAUGUGAACAAAGAGAUAUUUAAUUCAACUAAUUUUAUCAUGCCACAUCAGUUUGUACAAAAUAAAUUUGUACAAGAGUUUGUGGCUAUAUUAUUACUCUUUCCAUAAACAAGCUGAUAGGGUGACAUUCCUAAAGAUGUUUUAAAAGCAGUACGAUAUGCCCAAAGUGUAUCAGUUAGUCGAAGAGACCAAUCUUUACGGUUUGGAUUAACUGUCUUUUCUAAAAAUUUAUUUUAUCUCUCUAUUUGCUAAUUCAACUUGACCACUUAUUUGAGGGUGAUAAGGGGUAGCAACUUUAUGUGUAAUUCCAACAAUCAAAUAUUUUAAUGACAAGAAUGAGGUUUAAAGGCAUCAUGUUUCGCUUUGAAAUGGACCCUACCAUUUGACAAUUCUUACACUUUACACAAUACAUGUGAAUCUUUGAAUAAUGGAGGCCAAUAAAAUCCAAAUUGUAAUAUUUUUACAACUGUCUUUUUUUAAGAAAAAUGGCCACCGCAUGCUUCAAAAUGAAAAAAUUGAGUGACCCUACCUUCCUCAUCGUCUGGUAUGCAUCUUCAAAAAAUUUGAUCAGAGCAGUACUUGAACAGGUAUGGAUCAUCCCAGUAAAAGCUUUUCACUUCUGUUAAGAAUUUCUUCUUGUCUUGGGAACUCUAGUCACAUUGAAUUUUACCUGUUGUAAGAUAAUUAAUAAUAUUAGCAUACCAAGGCACUUUGUUUAUAGAAAACAAAAAUUCAUCAGGGAAAUAAUCAUUGAUGGGUGUUGUUUCAAUUGAAAACUCAUUUAUAAGUCUUGAAAGAUGAUCUACAACAACAUUUUCGGCGCCCUUUUUGUCCUUGAUUGUCAAGUUAAAUUCUUAAAGUAGCAAAAUCCAUCGUAUCAACCUUGGUUUGGCAGCCUGUUUCGACAUUAAAUAUCUCACAGCAGCAUGAUCAGAAUAAACAAUAGUAGAUGAACGAAUUAAAUACGAACGAAAUUUAUUCAAUGCAAAUAUUACAGUAAGUAGUUCUUUCUCAAUUGUAAUGUAAUUCAUUUGAGCACUAUUCAAAGUUCUACUUGCAUAAUAGAUGACAAAGGGCUUGCCUUCCUUUCUUUGUCCCAGAACAACACCAACAACAUAAUCACUAGCAUCACAUAUUAGCUCAAAAGGUAAAGACCAAUCAGAGGGUUGCAUUAUUGGGGUUGAUGUCAAAAGAGUAGUUAUUUUUUCCAAAACUUGCUAACAAUCUUUAGUCCAUUCAAAAUGUGUGUCUUUUAUUAGGAGGUUACAAAGUGGUCUAGAUUUGGCACUAAAGUCUUUUAUAAACCUCCUAUAAAAUCCUACAUGUCCUAAAAAGGAACAGACUUCUAUAAUUGUUUUUUGUAAGGGUAAUUUUAAAAUGACUUCAACUUUGGCUUUGUCAACUUAUAUUCCUUUUAAAGACACAACAUGGCCCAAGACAAUUCCAGAAGUGGUCAUGAAAUGGCAUUUUUCCAAUUUAAAACUAGUCAUUUUUCUUCGCACCUUUCCAAAACUCUUUUUAGAUUAUCAAGACAUGUAUCAAAAGAAUUACCAAAUACAGUUAAAUCAUCCAUAAAAACCUCUAGAUAAUUUUCAACCAUGUCACUAAAAAUGCUUAGUAUGCACCUUUGAAAUGUUGCAGGAGCAUUACAAAGUCCAAAAGACAUUCUCCUAAAUGCAAAUGUUCCAAAUGGGUAUAUGAAUGUGGUCUUUUCCUGGUCUUCUAAGGCUAUAGGGAUUUGAUAAUAGCUAGAGUAGCCAUCAAAAAAAUAGUAAUAGGGAUGUCCAACUACUCUCUCGAGAAUUUGGUCUAGGAAUGGAAGGGGACAAUGGUCAUUUUUAGGGGAAUCAUUUAAUUUUCUGUAAUCAAUGCACAUGUACCAACUAGAUGGAAUUUGUGUUGGGAAUGGUUCACCUUUUUAUUUUUUACAAAGGUUAUUCCAGAUUUCUUUGGUAAAGACCUUAUUCUUUACCACUUCUUUCAUAUGGGUUUAGUCCUUUUUGUGGUUGACGGGUUGUUUUGGCAUUUUUCUCUAAGUGUAUUCGGUGCGUGUAGAUUAAAGGAUUAAUGUCUUUUAAGGUCCAACCAAAUGCAGUUUUAUGCCUUUUUAGUACAGACAGCAACUUACAUUCUUGAUCAUGCAUGAGUUGGGAAGAAAUUACCACCGAAUAUGUAUGUUGCUCUCCAAGAUAGGCAUACUUUAAUUCUUCCGAUAAGGGCUUUAAUUCGAGCUCUGGUGCUUCCUCUUCGUUUGGUUCUUCAGAUUGUGUCGUAUCUUCAAAGUUUGAUUGGUCAUCAUCACUUGUAGGUACCUGUAAAGAAUCAAAUGUAGGGCAUAUGUUAGCAGUAUCACAAUCUAAUUCUUUACUUGAUUCAAAAGAACCAGCAAAACAAAUUUCCACAGAGUUUAUAGAAUUCUCAUCCUGAACGUGUUCCUCAAUGAUUGGCUCAAUGAGAUCAAUCUCCUAAUUCUCACUAUCAUCAUCUUCGUUGUCGUGAGGUCGUUUACACAUAUUAAACACAUUGAGUUCCAAUGUCAUGUUGCCGAAAGAUAAAUUCAUUACUCCAUUCCUGCAAUUAAUCAAAGCAUUAACAAUAGCUAAAAAUGGUUGACCCAAUAUAACAGAAAUUUGUUUGCAUUCAUUAACAAUUGGUUCCGUUUCUAAAACAAUAAAAUCCACAAGGUAUAUGAAUUUAUUGACUCGGACUAAUACAUCUUCAAUUAUUCAUUUUGGAACCUUAAUCAAUCUAUCAGGAAGUAAAAGGGUGGUAGAAGUUGGUUUUAACUCACCGAGAUUGAGUUGUUGGUAUACUGAGUAAGGAAGCAAAUUAACACUAGCACCAAGAUCAAGGAGAGCAUGUCCAAUUUUAUGAUCCCCAAUAAUGCAAGAAAUAGAUGGACAAUUAGGAUCCUUGUAUUUCAAACCACUAUUAGUUGAGAGAAUGAAACUUACCUGUUCUGCUAGAAAAGCUUUCUUUUACACCUUAUGUUUUAUUUUCACAGUGCACAUAUCUUUUAGAAAUUUAGUAUAAGAAGGUAUUUUUUUAAUGGCAUCCAAUAGAGGAAUGUUGACCUUCACUUGUUUAAAAACUUCAUAAAUUUUUGGACUAUGGUUUGACUUCUUUGGCUUGAUCAGUGCUUGAGGAAAUGGGAGUAUAGGAGGGAGCUUGUUAUUUCUUCAUGGUUUAAAGGUUCAAUAGACUCUUCCUUAUUCUCUGAAAUUGAAUCUUUACUACUUUCACGAGGGUCCAUGAUAUGUUUUUUGACAACUUUACCACCAUGAAGGGUUAUAACUGAUUUGACUUGCCUCAUAUUUUGGUUUCCUGAAUUUCCCAUUUGAGGAUGUUGUUGAUUCUUGGGGUUUGGUUUAGGUUGAGCAUGAAACUUUUCUUUUUCAUGCACGGUCAAAGAAUAUGUAAGUUUGGAGAUAGUUUUUGUCAAAUUGGUUAAGGUUUGCAUCGUUUGGUUAUUGAUUGGCUCUUAUUUUUCAAUAAAUGAAUGCAAUGUGUCUUCCAGAGUCUUUCUUAGUGGUGGGAUAUAUGGUGGGUAACUCUGGAAGUUUUAGAAAUUUCGACGUGGAGGAACUGAUUAUAAAGAUUUUGCAUGGUUGUCAUUUCUCCAACUGAAAUUUGGGUAGUUUCUCCAACCAGCGUUGUAAGUUUGGGAGUAUGGAUUUGGAUUUGGCCUUUUGAAAUUGUCAACAACAUUUACUUGUUCGUGCAAACUUUCUCUCAGAGCAGGUAAGGUUAAACAAUCCUGCGUACAAUGGUCAGUAGAAUUCCAAACAUAACAUGAAAUAUUUUGAACAUAUUUUACAUGAUCAUUCUUUUUGGACUCUAAUGCUUUGACUUUUCUAGCUAAGAAUGCAAAUUUGGCUUGUGCAUGUCUAGGGUUGUGCGUGCCUCCACCAAAUGGAGAUGACUAAGGUUUACUUGAUGAUUUAUAAGACCCAAUUGUAUCCUAGUGUUGUGCAUUCUCUGCUAUAUAGUCAAGAUAAUCUAAUGCAUCUUCAGGACUUUUAUCCCUAAACGCACCAUUACACAUCAUUUCAACAACUUGUCUACUUUGGGAUGUUAAUCCCUCGUAGAAAUAAGACAUUAAUCUCCAUGUUUCAAAACCGUGGUGUAGGCAAAUGUUAAGUAGUUCUUUAAACCUAUUCCAAUAUUAGUAGAGGGUUUCUCCUGGUUUUUGAGUGAAGACGGUGAUUUGUCUUUUGAAAGAAUUUGUUUUGUGGGGUGGGAAGAAUUUUUUCAAAAAUUGUGCUUGCAUUUCAUCCUAAGUUCUGAUAGAUCCUGACCUAAGAUUUUGUAGCCAAGUUUUACCUUUAUCCUUUAGUGAGAAAGGAUAAAACUUAACCUUGAUUAUAUUCAUGCUACAAUUUUGAUCAGUACAUGUGUUACAGACUUCCUCAAAUUCCCUUAAAUGUAAAUAUGGAUUUUCAGACUCCAAACCAUGAAAAGCAGGCAGAAGUUGAAUGAUACCAGGUUUGAAAUUAAAACGUGAUGCAUCAUGAGGAAAGACUAUGCAUGAUUGUGACCAUGUUCUAGUAUGAUGGAUAAAGUCUCUAAGGGUCAUAGGUUGUUCAUGAAGAUUUUGCAAGGCUUAGUUAUCUUCGUGCUUUGAAAAAAUUUCAGCUCCUAUAUCAGCCAUAUCUAAGGGUGGUGAAAGUGAUCUCCUAAUUAAUCAGCCACUACUUGUACGAGCCCAACAAUGCAAGCAAUGUUAAUGAUGUGUGCUAAACAAAUUAAUGAUGCAUAAAACACUAGAUGAAAAUUGUAGAAAUAAAAACAAACUAAAAGUUAAAUAAGCAAAAAAAAUGCAAAAUAAAAAUAAACAAAAUGAAAUUACAAGAAAACAAUUAGGCUGUGAAACCAGCCAUAAAAAAAAGUAAUUAAGGGAAACAAUUAACAAAAUAUUAGGCGAUAUUUUAGAACCAGGUAUAAAACAAAGAAAUUAAAGGAAACAAUUUAGGCGGUAUUCUAAACCAGCCAUAUAAUAAAACAUAAAAAUAAAUAAAUUAACGUACAAGAAUAAUAAACUGAAAUUAAAAUGUUAGGCCGUAGAACCGACCACAUAAACAAAAAUAAAUUAAUUAACAAAAUUUAAAUAACAAUCAGGUGGUUGAACCGACCAUAUAAACAAAUGCGAAAAAUAAAUUGCAGAAAUUUAAAGAAAGAAAAAUUACAAUUUUUUAUAAAUUUACCAACCAAUUAAAUUUCAAUUAUUGGGCCUUAAUGGUUAUUUUAAAAGUCCAACAAAUUCGGUUUGAGGACUGAUUUACAAAAGUUUAUGAGCUAAAAUGAAGUUUCUCACAAAUUUUAUAAAUAAUGCUAAAACUUCAAGAGAAGAGGGUGCUAACUGAAGUUUUGCAAAAAGAGAAUAAAAUAAAAUGGCGGAAAGGAAGUAACGACCAAAAAAAUAAUAAAAUAAAGACCAACUGGCACCAAAUUUAGAAAACUAUCCGGUAACGGCGCCAAAAUCUUGACACAACUAAAAAGUAUUAUUACUCCUAAAUAUAAGAGUGUCUAGUUAUAAUAUAACCCAGUGAGUCCGAGGUCGAACCACACGGAAUUUAAAAUCUAGUAGUCAAUUUAAAAUAAAGAAAAUUAAUUGCGGGAAAAGAAAUUAUUAAGAAUCAAUUUAAAAAUAUGCUAAGGUUACAGGAUCCACUCUCAGUAUUCAAACUAUCAUUUUAAUAUUUUUAUAUUUUUAUAUUUUGCCUCACUUUCACCAGUUAAUUAUUAUAUCAUUUAAUUCUCAACUAACUAUGUGUGUGGAUAAAUAUGGAAUAAAGUACCGAAUGUGCCACAACUUAUUAAUGUGUCAACAUUAUAUCAAAAUACCAUAUAAAUUCAAGAGAAUCUAUAAAAUAACAUGACAUAAAAAUAACUAGAAAAUAAUAAAAUAAACUUAAAAACACACUUGAAAAAGUAAUAAAUUUAAUACUUGAAACAUUGAGCUUCACCCUUCACCUCAGCUUAGUAAAAUUAACCACUCUUUUUAAAAGAAAACAAAAUACUCUUUUUAUUAUUUGACAAACUUAUGGAAUAUAUUACUAGAAAAUUAAUACAUAAGAAAACAAGAAAAGAAAAUAAAGAAAGAAAUCCUGAGCUACACUCUAUUCUCUCUCAGCUUCAACUACUCUCUUUCGGCUUUUUCUCUCCGGCUUCUGGCUCCCUGCUUCCUUUGCAUCCCCUUGCAUUUUUUUAUUUUUUUAAAUUAUUAUUUUAUAUUAUAUGUACUUUGAAAGGUUUAAUGGUCAAGUGGCAAGAUGGCCACCUGACCAUCACAAGCAUGGUUGCCCAUUCUUUUUUUUUUAUUUAAUAUUUGUUAAUUACAUCUUCUCAAUAAUGCAUUCCAAAUUGCUUCAGUGGUUCUUCUUUGUUCCUGCUUUCAAUUCCAAUUCCAUCUUUACUCUUGAAAAAUAUUUACAAGAUAAAAAUUAAUAUAUUACGAAUUAAUUUAACGCAAAAAUUUAUUUGAGGAGCAUUCAUAUAAUUUAUAAGUCAUGAGCACAUUAAUCAACAUUUUAAGUGAAAAACUAAUAAUUUUAUCCUUAUUACAUGUACACUUUUUAUUGUUAAUCAAGAUGAACAUAGAGGGAAGAGUUAGGUCAAGUCUUUAAAUCAGCUAUGUCAAGGAAUAUAACAAGAAGAUCAAAAAAAAAGUCAACUAGUAUGCUUCAAUUAAAAAUGGAGACAGCAAUUGCUCUGUAAUUACAAAACCUUUCAAUGUUGUUCUUAUACUAGAACCUCACAUUCACCAAAAAUUUAUUGCACAUAAAAAUAUGACUACACAAGGGAUACAAAAAAUAGUAAAUCCACACAUCUUUAGUUUAUGAGGAUAUAAUUCUAUCAAGUUAAAAUGAUCAAAUAAUAUGUUUAUUCAUGAAUAGCCAUAAAAAUUUACAAAUGAAGUCAGACGAACUAUUUUCAAAAUAAUAGACAAUAUUGAAGAAGGCGAAUAACAAAUAAUAGUAUAAAAAUAAUAUUUGUAACCACAAAUAUUUAGUAAGUUAUUCUUCCAAAACAAUCCUUGAAAUCAAAAUUAAAAUUACAGGUCUAUUGAUGAAAUAAUAAACAGAAUAAGCUCAAAUUUGCUACCUCCAUUCCCCAAUAAUCUACUCUCUUGAAGAGCUAAAAAAGAAAAUAAGAUCACUGUGCAAUUUUAAACAUUGUUGAACCUUCAUAUUCAAUACUUGCAUAAGUUUCAUUUUUAGAUUAGAAAGCCAGCAGUUGAUUGCCAUAUAUGAAAUCAUAAAGGUGAAUUUUGCAUGAAAACAAUAAUCCUAUAUGGGAAAAACUAAGCCGUCUAAGGAUUUAACCUUGUCAACAACAUUAGGCGCUUGUAUCCUCCACUUCCAAAGGCAAAAAUCAAUUGCAUCACAAGCUUGAUGCUUUAACUCUUAGCUAAAGAAUAAUUUAAAUAGUGGCCACGAGUGUUAAAUCCUUUCAAUUUUUUAAAAAUAGCAUAUGUACAAUUCAUUCAAUCUAUAAACAAACCCUAAUCAAUUAAAAGCAAAGAUUAAACUAAACUGAGAAGAGGUCAACACUUACAUCUAUUAAAGAGGGAAUUAAACAUCGAGAUAAAGAAAUAAUUGAAUGGCACAAACUAACAAGCAAGAUUGAAGGUGAGCUUGAUAGGGAGGCUGGGAGAAUUGAACGGUGUGGCUAAACAGCCUAAGUUUGGACAACGAGCUAGGGCUUGAACGAGUUAGAUAGAGAGAGCUCGAGUUUGAAAGACUUUCAUCACCAGACAAAUAUGUACAAUGAACUAGGGUUUUGUAGCAACUUAAAUUGAGUUUCUUGGCUUCAAAUUACUUUAAUUGAAUGAGGGAACUAGCUUUGGGUUUUUAGAUUUAGUGAAUUUACUUUUGCUUUUAGGUUUCUUCUUAAUUGAGUGGUUGAAUGUUUUUACAUUAUCCUGUUCUGGUUUUUAGAGUUUUAACAAAGGGAGGGAAUCAUUUUGAGAUGAGAAGGAAGGUGAAGAGCUAAAAAAAUUUCACCAAAUAUUCAAAUUAUAUAUUACAAGAAAAAAAUGCUACCAUUUAUAAUAAAGAAAAAUAAAAAAUAAAAAUGUGUCACUUAGUAUAAGUAUAGGUUAUGAUUAUAAUAUUAUCAAUAACUGCUGACACUAAUAUAUUAAAAGCACUAAAAAUCACUUAAAUCAUCAAAUAUCGAUAUGUUUUUACUUAGUAUCAACGGUUUAGUAUCAGUGAUUGUCAUUUUUCUACAAGUGGUUGUUAUGUUUUAGAUCAAAAUUUGGGAUUAUUUUGAGGUUUAGUUCAACAGGUUUUUAUAAUGAGGAAUUUAAUUAAAUUAGAGUUUAUGAUUAUGAUUUGAUUUGCAUAUCUUAUGAGAGUUUUUGUUAUUAAUUUUAGGCCAAUGAUAUCAAUAUGCUUUUGUUACUUAUGGACGCCAAGAAAUAGGUCAACUAGACUUCUAAAAUGAAUAUCAAUAAACAAUAUAUGUGUGUGUGUGUGUGUGUGUGUACGCGCACGCGUGUGUGUGUGUGUGUUUGAAAAGCCUAUUUUGAUAUGUAUGAACAUGAAUUUAUGUGAUUUGUCUAUUGUUUAUGUGACGUAUUAUUAUAUGUAAAGUGUGAUUGUGUACAUAGAUAUAUGUAUCCGUGAAAUUUCAUUAGUAUAAGCAUGAAUACUCAUUAUGGCUCAUAUAAAAUGAGAAAGUGGAUUUUAGCAAAUUAAUUUUAGAGAAAGUAAGAAAGUUUUCUAAUGUAAGACCUUAUUUUAGAAUUUUAUAAUUUCGUUACUUUGGUACUUUUGACAUUCUGUAUUUUUAAUUAGAGUCAGUUAUGUUAUGCGUUUUAAUAUGUAUUUUUAAUUAGAGUCAAUUACAAUAUCUGUUUUAAUCUUUUAUUUCCAAUGUAAUUAUGAUUUAGUUUCUCUUUUUUAGUUAACCUGGGGAAUUGUAUAUUUACUCUAUUAUAAACCGGGAGCUCUUGUUAUUGUUUUCAUAAUCUUUGAUUAAUAUAAACAUCUUUUUUAUAAUUUCUUUGGGAUUAUAUAUCAAAAUCUCUCUUAUAAAGUUGUUUGAAUUAGAGCAUCAUAUAAUCUCACUUAAAGAGUUGUUCAAAUCUCAUUGAAUUGUUUAGAUUAAAAAGAGAUCAAAUCACACUUUAAUUAAAGCAUAACUUCAUCAUAUUGGCCUGGUCCAGUACUAAAACAUUAUCUAGUGUUUAUUAGGGGUAGGCAUUACAGUUUUUGGUUCGUUUUUACGAGUUUUAGUUUGGGUUGUAACCAUUUGGAUUUAAAAUUCAACCAAACAAAUUGAAAAGUUUUUUUUGGUUUGAUUUGGUUCAGUUUCAAAUUUGAUUUGUUUAGUUCGAGUUGAUAUUACGGAUUGAUUUCGAGUUUAAUUACGAAUUGAGUUACAAAUUAGUUUGGGUUGCAAUUUCGAGUCAACACACAUAAGACACGUAUAUACCUUGUUUAUACUUCAAGUAUCACAUGAGACUAAUGAAAUCCUCAAGAGUCAAGACAAACAUUCAAUUUAACGCAUAAACUUGUGCUUCUAGGCUGUAUAAAAUGGUUAAACAAUUACUGCUUUUAUAUCUUCUUAUUGGAUUACAAAUAUACAACAGCAAAUAUAAAAGAGAAAAUUUACCACCAAGUUUUUGGCAAUUGUAACUGAAAAUUCCUCAAGGGCCUCUUCUGACAUAGUUAUCACCAAGGUAGAUGUUGGGAAUGUGCUCUAUCUUAUGUCAAUCUACUCUUCUCCCCUCUUUAUAUCAUCUUUCGAAAUUGAAACAAUUAAAUAUCACCAAUUUAUGCAAUAUUGUCUUCUGAAAAGAUAAUCAGACAGUGCUUUUAAUUUACAUAAAUUAGUAAUUUUCAAGGAAGAAAGGUGUGACAUGAUUACGACUUCUCCUUCUAUUUUAGAUGGAUAUACGAUAACUGGAAGAUGUUACGAUGGCCAGUAAGAGUUGUGAGGCUACUAUCGUGCUUAGGCUAAUUCUCCAAGGCUGCUAUCAUGUUCAUUGCUGAGGCUAAUUCACGAGAAAUAACUUACAGUGUCAUGGUGACGUGGUGCAAUUGACGAUCUAAGGCUAAUUCACUAGCGGUCGCAGCAGUUGGAACUUAAAAGAGAUGAGUUAGGUUUUUUUAAGGUUUGUAAUAUUGAUUUUUAGGGAUCUCAAUUAAAUUCACGCAUUGCGUGUGCUUUUCUUUAAAUUUUAGUAAUAGUAUUUUUAAAUUUUUACUAAACUUACCCAAAUCAAACCAAAAACUUAAAAAAAAAAAAUUCAAGUUUGGUUCAGUUUAAGUCAACUAAAAUCGACCUCCAAUCCUUAGUACUUAUCUACCUAAUCAAUUGGCUUUCGUUAUCCCACUCCAUCAAUUGGUACCAUCGCAGUUUUGUGCCAGUUGCACAACUUUCCUGGCUACCCACAUCUAUCCCACUGAAUCCACCAUUGAAAAAAAAAUAAAAAAAUCCAAAAUUACUGGUUAAUGCCAAUUACCACUAUUGCCUCUAUAAUCCAACAGUCAUCACUACCAGCCACUACAACCCAUGACUCACUAGACACUACCGACCAAACUCGAGCCCAACUUUGCCUUUAACCGUCCCUUGUAACCAUCGCAAAUCACCCAAAACUAAAGCUCACUACCACUAACACUGCUACUUCACCAUUGAUCACACUCAUCCCCAAACUUUUCUCUAGCCGUAUAUCCAAUCCUAGCCACCACUAGGUCUGAUUUCUCUGCACAAAAACGUAACCAAGCACCACAACUGCCAUUUCAAGUAAGUUUAUAAACAAACCACUGUGAAUCUAACCAAUCCUCAGGCACUGUCAUGUGGCUCACCAUCAUAUCUACUAGAUAUGAUCAUCACUACACAUUUCACGGCCACCAACCACUGACAACACUAAACUUUGAAAGUUAGGUUAUUUACAGUUUUUCCAUUGGUUAUAUUUUUAAUUUGAGGAAAAGAAAUGAUAUAGAUAGAGUAUUGGAGUUCAUAUUAUCUCCUUGAAUUUGAAGAUAUCUUAGAUUUUUUAUGGCAAUCCUGAUGAUUUUUUCCUUGUAUUUGCAUGACGGAUGAUUUUCUUUAAAUUGUCUCAUUGAAAGUUGUUAUCUCUCAUGCAUCAUUUAAGUUGACAGAUGAUGCUUUAGAUUGAUGGGAAUAACUACAAGAAUCAAGGAUUCAACAAGGGCAAUAUCAAAUCAAAGAAUUGUUUGAUAUGAGAAAACUGAUGGUAGACCAUUGUUUUUCAUUGUGAUGAUGUCGAACAAACUUUUUUUACACUUAUAAAAGUAGAAAUGAUGGGAUUGUUGAUCUAUGUGAUAUUUUUAAAGAAGAGGUACAACUUAUACUUGAUUUGACCACUAAGCCUAAUAGUAUGAUCAAGUUUGUGGAACAAAAUCAAGUUGACGAGCCCAUAGCAAUGAUUGAUAUAAUUAUGCCUAUCGACAUUGAAGACAAGAAGGGUAUUCUUAAAGAAGAUUUGGUUGCAAAAAUACAAUUAAAUGACGAGAACAUUGAGUGAGAUUUGGCCAAAAAACUUGUGAGGUUUGGAAGGAAUCGCUCAUAUAAGACUUCAUAUUCUCAAAAAGUUACUCAUAAGGGCAAGAAAAAGAUGAAGCAUAGAGAGUUUCAAUUUUCAAAAACGAUUGAUGAAAAAAGCUAUAAAUUCAAUCUCAAAGAUGCAUUGAUGCUUCACUUUAAAGUUUCAUCCUCCAGAUAAACUUGAGGAUGAGCUUCUUUUUUAAGAGAUGGAGAAUGAUAUAGGAUGUUACUUUUAAGAUUUUAUAAUUUUUUUAUUUAGUUACUUUUAAUUUUUAAUUAGAGUCAAUUAUGAUAUGUAUUUUAAUCUUUUAUUUCUAGUAUAAUUGUGAUUUAGUUUCUCUUUUAAAUUAACUUAGUGAAGUAGGUUUACCCUAUUUAGCUCUUGUUAUUGUUUUCAUAACUUCUGAUUAUUAAAAAAAAAUUCCUCUUUUAUAAUUCUACUGGACUAUCUAAAUCUUUUUAUAGAGUCGUCUAGUUUAGAGCAUUAUGUAUUCUCACUUAAAAUAUUGUUAAAAUCUUAUUCAGUCAUUUAUAUUAUAACGAGAUCUAAUCACGCUUUGAUUAAAGCGUAACUCAAUUGAGUUGGCUUGGCUAGUACUAGAAUGAUAUCUACUAUUUAUCUAUCUUAUUAAUUUGCUUUCGCUACCCCACUCCAUCAUUUUCUAUUUUUCUUGGAUACUUAAAUUUGUUAAUUGCUUCGUAGAAGUUUAUAUGUUAUGUUAUGAGAUAAAUUGAUGAAGAAUGCUUGCAUGAAGUCCAAAUGAGAAUUAUGAGAAAAUAUGAAUGUUAAGUUAGAGUCCUACUAAGUAUUAAUUGAAUAAAGGUAGUUUAAGUAAGUGAUUUGAAUAAAAAAAAUAAAAAUAAAAGUUCGAAGGUGACAAAUGGUGCUUGAUGAAAUUAUUUUACGAUGUUCUCAAAAGACCAAGGCAUGUCGUGCAUUUGAAUUGUAUAUAAAUAUAUAUGUACUUUGGUAUAUUAAAUUUUGGUUUAUUACUGAGUUUUAUACUCAUUAUAGUUUAUUAAAAUUCCUAAAAUCAAGAUUGAUUUACCAUGAGGGAGGAGAAAGACUUGAAUUGAAGUUGGUAGAUGGUUUGACAAAUUUAAGAUCUUUCGUUGUUUGAGGAUUGGAUUUUUUUGUAUAUUAUAUAGAGUUUUUAGGUUUAUAUUUGAGUUGUAUUAAAGGACAACCCCCAGCCCCGGAUUCCCUCCCUCCGGAGUUUAGGGAGGGUCGUUACAAUAGGACUAUUAUUCUCUUAAAAGUUCUAUUUCUUACUCAAGCUCUGGAAACCUAUCUAUUGUACCAUUACUAUGUCAUUCUUGUAAACAAUUCAAAAAACAAAUCAUGUCACAUGCACACAUGCAUAAUAACUUAGAUUACAAUGCUAAUAGAGUUUAUUAAAAUAGAAUUUUUAAAAGUAAAGUUUUUACUAAAAAAAUAUUUGAAUUUUAUUAAAAAUUAAAAAAUUACUUUAACAGAUAAACUUUAUAAACAAAUAAAAUAAAACCGUGAAAUAAAUUAAAGGUGGUACUUUAGAAAUUUUAAUUUUUUUUAAAAACUCUAAAACCCUUACUCCCAAAAUUUUAAAAUUUAAAUUUUACUAAUAAAAUCAAAAUAACUUAUUUAUUUAUCAAAAACUCUACUCAAAAUAUAUAUGAAUAACUACUUUUACCUUCACCCAUAAGAUAAAUACAAUCCAUACCAAACAUAUAGCUUUUCACUUAUUGAGUGAUUGAUUCUUUUUCUAUUGUUUAAUAUUAAAAUUGCAAAUAUUAUAUUUGAUACGAAACACAUUCUUUUUCUAUCAGAGAAUAAUGUAUCCUUGAUUGGCCACAUUGAGUUUUCUUUUCCAAGUGUUCACAAUUUCACCACGUGAGGACCAUUAAUUGGACUGCGUCAUCUACUCCUAAUAUAUCUUGUAAUUUAAAUCAUUUAAUGAAAGUUGUAAAGGAAACCCAAACAGGGCUCUAAAGAAAAGAAAGCCCAAACAUGGCCGGAAGAUGUAGGAGAGAGAACUUUUGAAAACAAUAUUGGUACAUUAUAUUGCUUUCUUAAUAAAUGUUUCAAUAACUUCUUGCUCUCUUUUCAGACAAGACAUCAAACUGCUAGAAACAAUGAGAUCAAUUAUUAUCAUGAAUCAUUGUACUAAAGCCAGCGCCCAAACUGACAGUACAAGCAACUUGCAAACGAUACCCUUUCUCGUUUGAAAAUUAAGAUUGAAUUUCAGACCCAAUAAAAUAAAAAAAAAGAAAAAUAAAACAGAUAAAAGUAUAAAUAAUGGGAUACCUCAUAUGACUUUUUUUAAUGACCUUACUUGCCGGAAUUAAAGACAACUUUCAAAGUAUGCAUAAUAAAGUCUAGGGCUUGACUAGGGUGCUAUAUAAUAAGUAUUGAUUUUCAGAUUUUAUAACAUGAAACAUGAAACUAGUAAUUUGCAACUGUCAUGAGUAUGAGUUUUUAUAUUUUAAGCUACAAAAUGCACUUAUAUCAACAUGACUUACUUUAGUAGUUGAUGUUGCUCGUGUUAGAUUAAGCAAUACUAUUACAGACUCAAAUUGUCCGCUAUAAAAAUUUAAUAAGAACAAUAAGAAUUGACGAUAAACAUGUUAACUUUUGAAUUUUAGACUUUUUAAAAGAUAUCAUUAGUGUUUCCUUCAAGGGGUUAAUUAAUUCCUCCCAAAUACAACUUGUUGUAUAUAGUUGCCAAAAUAAUAUCCAAAAUUUAUUUUAUUAAAUAACACCAAGCUUUAAAACUCUAGUUUACAAACCUAUAUAUAACAAAAGUAAAGCUUGUUCUUUGUCAUGCUUUAUGACUCCACAAAAUAAGGAAACAUUACUAUAAUUUUGAUUAAUUGAAAAAUCAACUAUUUUUUUUUUAUUUAAUGGUUACAAUCCAUAGAUAUAUUACAAAUCUAAGGAUUACGAUGAGUCUAUACUACUCUCACCAAUAAUAUCUUGAAAAAAUAUAUAUACAUCAUUCUAUAAUUUUUUGAACAGGAAAAGAAAAAUCCAUAAGAACUCAAGCGCCAAUUCAACAUUGGAUUACAAACCCAAUGACUAACUUAAUCACAUAUGACAUUGUGAUGCCACCCCAACUACUUUCAAAAGCCGCUAUAGGGUGGCACCAUGUAUACAUAUAUAACAAUUCCACCAAUAUUAAUUAGCACCUAUUAAUUUGUAUCAUAACAAAUCCUUAAGGUCCAUACAGUGGCACAAUUAAGACUGACAAUAAAGAGCUAAUAUUAAAUUCAAUGACAACUAAUAGUUCAACACGGCUGAGUUAUAUUGAUGCAGACAAAUAUUGGUGAUUCUAUUUUGGUGGUGAAUGAGGUGCAGGUUCACUAGCAACAGGCCCCUUUGUCGUUGCCAUUUGUUUAGCAUACUUUAAUCAAUGGGUGAGAAAAAGGUGGUUUAAUGAAGCUCAUUGCAGCUAAGUUUUGCCAUAACAAGAAAUGUAAGUCUUUAAAGACAGAUUUGACAUUUUUCUCCCAACAGUUUUUUGGUGAUUGACAUUGUUCUUCUAAUUGUUUUUUUUUUUUUUUCAAAAUUACCACUUACCCCCACAAUUAACACUUUAUUGUUUUCUUAAUGUCAAAAUUUGAACUAAGAAAAGUGCUUAUAUUGUGAUUGGGAUGAAUUUUUUCUGUGAAAGUUUUGAUGUUAAGAUAGUAAUAAAGUGUUGGAAAAACGAAAAAAGCAGGGGUUAAAAAAGCAAACUUUAGCUAAAGCAGCCAAAGAAUUUAUUACAAGGAAAUAAAAGUUAAUAUAAACUUCUAAGCAAUUAUUAAUAUAAUGAAGAGUAAAAUUAUUUUGAAAAGCAAGUAAAAAAAUUAAAGGUAAAGAACUUUUAUUUAUACAGGCCAGAUUCCAAUCAAUUACACUAAAAAAAUUAAGAAAUACAAACACAGACACAUUAUAAGCAUCAUUCACCCAAUUAUCAAUUACCUAAGUCGUAGAAUAAUUUAAACUAUCAAUUGAAAAUUAAAGAAAGACUCUAAAUAAUAAACUAACCUUCUCAUAGAAUAAAGUUGAAAAAAGUGAGAAUUGAGCAUUGAGAGUUUUAAGGGUUUAGAAAGAGAGAACCAUCGAACUGAAAAUUUAAGAGAAAACACAAGAGUUAAAUAUGAAUCACUAUUAAAGUAAGCUUAGUUUAAGAACACAUCUUUGUUGGUAUUUUGGUGAAAUACAAGUAACUUGAAGGAUUUAUUUUAACUAUUUUAUUACUUAACUUACAUAUUAAAAAAAUUUUGAAAUUUUUCUUAUAAGGUCACGGCGAAUGCCCGUCUCUCCCAUGGAAGAAAGUAUCAAUCUUGUGUCUUUGUUUUUGUUGAAAUUGUUACGAUUUGUAGAUAGAUUAUAAUUUGAAGCAUAUACACUUUACAGUACCGUUCAAAAGUCUAUUGAAUAAUGAAUAUCAACUCAAAAAUCUACGCGUACUAAUAUUUAAAUAGAUAUGGACCUUUUGUAUCAAAGAAAAUUAAGUGUAACAAGCCAGUGGUUUCAAUAUUGUCUCCUUAUUCCUUAAAUCAUGAGGCCGGUUGAAGUCAUAUCAGUCAAAAAAGAUAUGCUUUUUCCCAGAAAAUGUCGUGGCAAAUAAAAAUAAAUGUUAUAUUUGUAAGUCCAAUUACUUGCGUAUGAGAAAAGGGAUGGAGCCCAACAUUUAUCAAUAUCAUCAAGCUUUAUGGCCAUAAUUAAUCUUUCAAAUUAUGGCCCUACUUUUGAUCAGACUUUGGCCGUUUUCUUUUGCACACAUCGACUUCAUAUUAUUAUUGAAAGGGAAAGAGAAAAAGUAAAGAUUUAAUUACAAUAAAUAAAGAGUAAUUAAUUCAAAAUAUAGAAAAAUAGAUGUCCAUGAACAGAAGUCAAUACCCGAACCAUACAAUUUUUUUUUUUUUUUUUGGGUUCUAGCUGAGUUUGUAAAGUGAAAAUGGUGAUGAAAAAUAACUAUCAAUGUAUGGUGCGUUCUUGACUCCCUCUUUUAAGGCUACUCUUCAAGGCUAAAUUGUAAAGAAACCAAAAGAGUUUUGUGAAAAAAGGGAAAAAACAAAAAGAAAAAAAGAAUUAAAGUUGGUGUGGAUUAUAAUGAAGUUUGGCAGCAAAAACAGCACAAGCGGCAGCAGCAGUAAAUAAGCACUUGAUGGAAGAGCAUUCAAAGCCUCAACCAACCCCAAUACUUUUGAAUACCAGCAGCACUGAAUUUCUCCGAUGUCAGUAUUUAAGUAAAACAGUUGUGCUGCAGUAGAAGCAAUAUCAGAAGCAGAUAGAUUCAUCAGGAACUAGGGCAAUUCAAGGCUGCUUUAAUUUGCUGGACAGUUGUGCCGAUAAGGUUAUUAACAGUAGUCACCGACUCCAUAUUUAGCUUGGCAGAUGGCAAGCUGCUUACCAGUAUCUGAAAUGCUACUGAAAUUAGUGAACCACUAGAUCUGCUACCCAUGUUUCCAUGUACAUUAGAACUAGUCGAUGCCCCGUCUCCUUGAUCAAGAUGACCAUCCGGGGAAAUUGUGAAUCCCGAUGGCAGUAGAGGAAUGUAGGAAGGAUCCUCUCCGCUCAUUGCUAUGUUGAUGGCAGGUAAAUCAACUGGACAGUAGACCACAAGUGAACCUGAACUAUCUAUGCAGCUCUCCUGAAGUAUUAACAUGUUGUUUUGGCUAGUGUUGAUGGCCUAUUUCAAAGAACUAGUUUAAAUAAUCACGAAAAAUUCAGGAGAAAUCAAAAUAAAGCAAAUUUGAUUAUUUCUUACUCGAAGAACGGAUAUGCAGUUCCCAGGAUUUGACCCAUUUGCAAUAUGGGCAACUUCUUGCACUGCAUUGCCAUUGGUGAGAACAUCCCACUGAAGAGGCAAAAAAUGACUACAUAAGCAUAAGCCACUAAAAUAGAAAGUGCGCAGAUUAACCAGAGUCACAAAUUGACAUAAAAAUAACAGGUUCAAGAUCAAAACAUAGAGGAUUUUAAUUGGAAAAUGUAUAUACCUGAGGUCGAGUUCUUUCAUCCUUGAAGAAAUUGAAAACAUUUUGGGGAGGAAUGGGAAGCCAAAAGGUUGUUGCUGCAUUAAGAACAACACCAUUGGGCUGACCAGGAUCCAUGCUCUUAUGAAGGGUAACUCGGACACCUACUUCAUUCAACCCAGAAAUGGUGGUCCCUCGGUGGCGGUUAGACGUACUAAUGCUCGUACAGAAACUGCUGACCAUUCUUUGAGCAAGUUUCAUCAUGCUUCGUUUGCCAUCAGGUGAUGGAAUUACUGAGAGAAGUAUGAACUUAUUGAGACCUCAGAUGAUAAAAUUGAUGUCAAAACACUAUGAUGCUAAGAUUACCUCCUCCAAGAUCCCGAGUUGAAGUCCCUGAAACCAUUAGACAAGCAAACCUCUCGCACAUUCUUUGCAGAGUAGCAAGCCAGCGAUCGGCUCCAAAUGCCAUCCCACUCUGAAUAAGAUCUUGAUAAAGUCGAUGAAUAGGGGUUCUAUCUUCUAUUUCAAGAUGCUCAACCCAAGUAACCUGUGUGUAAUUUGGAUGAAAGUUUGAGUGCAAAAUAUAUUACAAGUAUUUAGUUCUUAUAACUGUGAAGCAAAGAAGGAAUUAACAAAGAAUGCACAUGAUUAAAUUGAUCUGACAACCUUGGAGUAUCCAUUGGGCAAAUCCUGAAUCAAGCAUCCAGAAGGAAAUCUAUGAGACUGACAUUGAGAAGAAAAUUGGGGAGAAUCAUAAGAAACAUUUACAACUGCCCAUGAGCCUUGCUCAAUUUGCUGACAAUAUCGGAGGACAUAGAACUCCCGAGUAGGUACAACUGGUGAAAGCACCUGCAACUCCUCGUACAUCUGCGUCAAUAUAAUUUAUAUGAGAGAUUAUACAAACAAAACUUGAAUAUCAAAAUGAGGUGCUAAAUCUUAUACUAAUUAAUAUUACCAAUAGCAAGGAACCACUAUGACCACCCAUCAUUCCUGAUGAUAUUACUUCAAUUGUUUUUGCCAUUGAGACAAUUGUAGGAAAAAGUUCUACCCAUUUGCUCUGCAAACUUAAACAAGUACCAGUCAAGACAAAUGUGGCCUUCUGUGACCACGAAUUCUGAGCAUGAUAGUUACAAGCAACUUACACAGUCCAUAAACAUGUCCACCAAUGCCAAUCCAUUCAUGAUCACAACACCAGAGUCUCUAGAAGACUCAAUUCGAACAUUUGGAUUUUUCAAGUGACUGUUGGCCCUGGGAAACAUCCUUUCGUAGCUGUCAAGAUCAAGAAUGUCUCUUCCAUCUGUGGAAGACUUCAUCCACAAGGGUUCGUUGGUCUGCAAAAGCCUAAGCAAUUCUUCCAUGGCAUUAGCAGCAAUAUCAGUCAUAAGAGACUUGUCCAUGUCUGAUAAAACAAUUUGUUGAUAAGGCAAAUUUGGCAAAGUCGAUGAACUUCCAGGAAGAAGAUCAAGAUCAAGGGAAGGACCACUAAUCCCUUGACCACCGAAAGUUCCCAUUGUUAAAUCCAAUGAAGAAAUAUGAAUAGGCUGCACUGGUGGUAGCUGGGAAAUUGGCCUCCCAAUGUACUUCGCAGCAAUGCUAGAAACUCUAUCAAGCUGGGAAAACAAACAAACAAACCACAUAAAUAAAAACGAAAAUUACAAAAGAAUAGUUGAAAAUAGUAAAAGACAGAAACAAAAGCAAAGAAAAAGACAAAAGCCAACCUCCUCUUUCAACUGGGCAUUCUCCAUUCUCAGCUUUUGUUCAUCAAAAUAGGAAUCUUCAGUGACAGGAGGACCCCCACACGAAGGGCAAAUGACAUUUUUGAGGGCUUCUCUGAUUGCAAUGUUUUCACAACGGAUCUUAUCAUUCUCAGCCCGAAGAGCACAGUUAUCUGCUCUUUCAUGUUGUGCCUAAGUUAAAAACAAAAAGAAAAAAUAUGUCAACUUUUAAACAGCAAUGACAUGCCCCCAUUAACAUAAAUCGCCAAAAAGAAAUGAAAAAAGAAUAAUUUGAGUUUAACCUUUUAGUAAGUUACCUUCAUCUGGGUUCUUCUGUUUUGAAACCAAAACUUGAUCUGACGUGGAGCCAAACCCAAUUCUCUGCUUAGCUGUAACCUCUGCUUCUCAUCUGGGUGUGGACAAUCUUUGAACAUUCUUCAUCACCAAGCAAAUUUUUUUAAAAAGUAUACAUGUGUGUGUGUGUAUAUAUAUUAAAAAAAAAAGCCAACAAGUUAUAUAAACAGACAAGACUAAAAACAAAACCUAAGAACACAAAGAAAACAAAACAAAACAAUGUGCUUACGCUUCAAGUCUCUGAAUCUGAAGAGCAGUGUGACGAUGGUAACGCUUCUUUCUCUUUUGUGGGUCGGAGCCGUCGUGAUCCCCGCCGGACCCACUUCCUCCUCCACCGCCGCCACCACCACUACCAAACUCCAUUUUUUUUGCUAUAUGAGUAAAUAUAAAGUCUUUCCCUCAAACCCCAAAACUCAAAACUAAUUCUGUGAUUCAAAAACUAAUCCCACGCAACAUAAUAAUAAUAAGAGCCAAAGAGUGAGUGCAAAAGGGGAAAUAUUUAAGCGUGCGUUAUGCUUUCGGAAGCAUUGCAAAGGGAGAGAAAUGGGGGAUUAUAUAUGAAAUAAAAUGGAAGCAGCAUGAUUUGAGAGAGUGAGUUAAGGCUUCAAAAAAAAAAAGAUUGAUUUUUUUUAGGCCGUAAUUAAUUCACCAAGUGAAGUGUGUGUAGUGUUUUUUGUUCAAAACAAAAUGAGAGACGACCAGCCCCCCACCGACCCACAAAAUUCCUCUCUCUCAUCGCCACUACUACUGCCGCUACUGCUAUAACUAUUUCUAUGUAAUAGUAGCAGCUGCAGGGCUACCAGUAUUUGCUAUGUUGCGUUCAUUCUCUCUCUCUCUCUCUCCACUCUCUCUCACUCUUUGUGUUUAGAAAAUGUGUAACUGAUGAGCUUUUAAAGCGUUUGCCUCCAUUUAUGUGAGAAUGAAAACUCGGUGUGGUUAUUUCCAUAGAGACCCCUUAACCUUUUCCAUAAUAUCAAAUAUGUUGGCCAUCAAUUAUUACAUUAAUAAGUCCUUGUUGGUAUACCAUGAUAUUAGUAUCAAAACUAUCACCCAUGUCAUUGGGUUUGUAGUCCAAUGAUGGACUACAGGCCUUUGACAUUAUCAAGACAUUAGUUCGAGCUUCCAUGAGGACUUCUAAUAAUCUUAUUUUCACAAAAUGUGGAUGACGGAGUAGAAUAGUAUAUGCGAAUUGAUAGAAUAAAUAAGCAUAAGAUAUUAUUAUAUAAAUUAUCCAAAUUAACGUAAUUAGAUUAAGUUUUAAAUGAAGUAUGAUUAAAUUUUUUUUUAAUUUAAACGACUUAAUGAAAUUUUAAUAAUUUUUUACAAUGAGAUUAGAUGACAUCCCAAAGGAAUUAUAAAGAUGAAUUUUUAAUUGAAUAACUAAACUUCCACUAAUAGUGACAAGAUUUUUUUAUUUAUAAUGUGAUAAACUUACUUUUUUAAUUAACUUAGAAGGAAAACAAAAUCACAAUUAUACUAGAAAUAAGAGACUAAAACAUGACUCUAAUUAAAAAUAUAAAAUAAUAAAAGACCUAAAAUAACAAAAUCUAAAAUUCUAAGGUAACAUCCUACAAUAGAGGAUAAAGGUGAAUGUAUGUGUUUAAAUAAUAACUGAACUAGAUAUAUCUCUCCAUAAGUGAGGGAGAUAUCUCAUCACCACUUGACACAGAUUAUCGAACUAUGUGGAUCAUAAUAAACUUAAUAUGUAGAAUGUAACAACCUGAAAAAAGAACAAUAAUGUUAAAGAUCCCAACAUUCAAGUCCCACCUUGAAUUUCAACGUUAUAUAUCACUCAUCUAUUAGAUGAUAGAUUUGAUAACUUAUAAAAUUACUUAAUUACCAUCUAAUGUUGAAUGCCACAUCAUUUGAGACUGAAAUUGAGAUUAUGAUAUUGGGAUUCCUAACUUUACUCAAUAUUUAUGUAUAUUUUAUUGUAUGUUGUUUUUAUUAUUGUAUAAUUAUUUUAUUGGUGUAAUUAAUGAAAGAUUUUGACAUAAAAUUUUGAUUCCUAGCUGCCAUUAAUGCAGUAGUAACUUGUAAAAUGCCAGAGACUUGGACGGUUUGAUAAUUUGACUGAAACUGUUUUUUUAAUUUUAGUUUAGUUUUGUAUUUUUAUUAUAAUAUUACAGAUCUCGGGGGCUGCUAAUAGAAUUCUCCAAGGAUGGGACUUUAAAACACUCACUCGCUCACAAAACUCGAGGGGUUGCUUUCUCUCUGUAAACUAAAUUUAUUACAAUUUUCCACUCUCUAGAGUAGUCAAGAGUGGUACACACGCUCACUCACGGCCAGGUGUACACACAACAGAGAAUUUAAAAAAAAAAUCAAAUAUAAUAAAUACAGUCUAAAAAAAAAGAAAUAUUUGAUUUAAGCAAAGCAAAGCAAAGAGUAAAGACGGAGGAGGGAUCGCAUCAUAGCCGCCGGCGAACAAUGUGGUAACUUCGUAAAGUAAUGAUAUUAAAUAUGAAGAAAUCGUUUUCCGGCGACUUGAUGUCAAAAGACAAAAAUACCCCUCUUGCUUGCAAGGCUCAAAAGUCAAAAUUGAUACCUUUUUGGACAGCGCUCUUCUCUGCGGUUAGCUCUCUCCGUCAGUCAUCACAAGCGACAAGCGAGUGAAGUGGGCUUCCUUAUUAAAUUGCUGUGGACCCGACGCCAAAAUGGCCAAAUUUAAACUUUUCUUCAAGUCAACACCCCUUCCUUUCAAUCUCAAAUAGUCAAACCUACAUUUAAUUUUUCUUCUUAUUAUUUUAAAUGUAAUUUUUAUUGUACUUACUUGGAUUAAAAAAAUUGACAAAAUAAAAAUAACAGUAAAUUGAUUUCUUAAUUACAAACGCGGUAAAUCAGGAAUAAUUUAUAGUUGAUUUUAUCAGUAUUUCAUUAUAUUUUUUUAACAUUUUCUAUUUUUAUUACGUUUUUUGAACUUAGAUUAGAUAUUGAAAGAGAGAAGAAAAAUAUUUAUUAAAAAAAAUUCUAAUCAAAUUUUGGAGUCUUAAAACUACCGAAUUAAAAAUAUCAUUUUCAUUUUUUUUUUUAAUAUCUUUACGAACAUCAUCACCUUAAAAUGUUCCUUAGUUAUAAUUGUUUUAUUCCCUCAUUUUUCCAUCCUUGAUUUUUGUCCUUUUUCCCACUUUGUCAAAAUAGUAUUUUUAAUGCAUUAAUAUUAUCCGCCAAAUUUGGAACCUAUUUAUUAUUGUAUAUUUUUAACUUAUAGCAUAUAUGCACAUUAUGUGUAGUAGACACUAAAUUUAGGAAAACAUAAUUUUUGGGAAUCUAUUCAUGAAUUCGUGAAUCAUGAUACUAUUUUCCUUUAUUAAAAACAAAAAUGUAUUGCUGUUGGUAUGAAUGGGUGUCAAAAUUUCAACAAAACUACGGAUACAACAUGCUUGGAUAAUUCAAAAUGUGAUGCCCUUAAUCUAUAAUGUGUAUUAGUAACAUUGUAUAAUUUUUGAUAAAAUCAUAUUGAAUUAUUAAUUAAUGUUGAAGGUUAUGUUGAAAAUGUGACUGAAAACUUGGUUUAUUUUCUAAAUGUAUGGUGUCUAUCUUAAAUAUAUCAUACUCGCCAACUGUUAUCUUAUUAUUAUUAUUCUUCUUAUUUUGUCUACUUAUUAUUGUUGAUUUAGUUGUCCAGUUAGUUAAUACUAUUGAUAAUAAAAUAACACGUAGACUGUUCAAAAAUUCACAGCUUUACACUUGUAGUUCUUGAAAGGGUAUUUUUUUUUUAAUUUUUAUUAUUUGUAGGACCCGCUUAUUGUGGCGCUGAUGUGGCCUCUCCUUUUACUCAUAUUUUGAAGAGUACACGUCAUCAUGAAAAGUUUGAAAUUGGCGGGGGCUUUCGUUUUAAUUCCCCCCUCAAUAUUCCAACAAACUCCUCUUCGCGGGCAAUCCGCCAACUUUUUCAAAUUCUAGUGCAGAGACUACUAGGAUCUUUCUUAUGAUUUGAAUAGUUCUGAUUUUUUUAAUAAUCUUUAUAUCAUUUGUCAUAUAAUAAUCGAGUAUAAAUAAAGUUAAUUUUUUUAAAAUUUUAAAUUUAUUAACUAACAAUCAACACGCAUAUUUUUAUUUAAAAAAAUUUAAAUAGAAAGAGGGUCUUAAUUCCUAAUGCAGCUUAUGUGCUGCAUGUUUUUAUUAUUGUCAUUUUUCAUUUCUUUUUCAAUUUUUUUAAUUUUAAUACAUAAGAUUUUAUCAAAAUUUCAUAAUUUAACAAGUUUGGAUGAAUGUAGCAUCAAAAUGGAUGGUCUCACUUGAAAAGUUCUCUUAUUACACCUCUCUAAGAAAAAUAAUAAUGUCUUAGAUACUUUUAGGUUUGAAUUAGGUAUAAAUGGAACUAGAUUGUAAAGUUUUCAAAAAUAGCCAAAAAAAAAUUUGAUUUUUUUUUGGCUAUUUGGCCCCUCUAACUUUUUUUUCCUCAUAUCUAAUCAAAUAUUAGGGGGAACCUGUGGUGCAACUGUGGUACCGUGCCACAAUUGCAUCCAGCCGUUGAAUGCCAGUGGAUCCCACCAAUUCAAGUGCAUCCAACGGCUGGAUGCAACUGUGGCACGGUACCACAGUUGCACUGUAGCCUGAUUCCAAAUACUAAUUCUUUUGGACCAAAUAGUCUCAUCACUUUCAGCAAAUAACCAAACCAAUGCCUGGCUUUUCAAUUUGUUGGAUUUACAUACUAGUUUUCUUUUUUGACUAAGUACCUCUCAUCACUUUCAGUAAAUUACCAAACCAAUACCUCUCUUUUUAAUUCGUUACUUUGUUUUAGAUUUAAGUGAAUUCAAGUGGAUUUAGGAUUUGGGUUUGCUGCCAUCUUAGUUAUCGUUGAUGUUAUGUUUGCCAUUUUUCAUCAUUGUCACCAUUGCUCUUGAUGAUGAGAGAAAGAAAGUCGAUUUUUGUUUAUAAAGGGAGAGUUUUGGUUAUGCAAAUUAAGAGGGUAAUUUGAUCUAAAAAAACAUAUGUUUGGCUAACUAUGAUCAAAAUAGUUUUUUGAGGUUAAAUAUGAACCAUAAAGUUUUACGGUUAUUUUCAUAAAUUUCUUAAUUUAAAUGCGUACGUUUGAAUGAUAUAUAUCUUUUUAAAAUUAACAUUUGAUUAUAAAUGUUUGUAAGCUAGUAAUUUGCAUUUAUGCCUUUUGAAUUUGUAUUUGAAUUUAUUAAAAAAAAUGUGUGUAUAUUUAUAUAAGGGACCUUGUCGAAAAUACUAUAACACUUUAAGGGUGUAUCAAUUGUCCACCUUAAAUUAAUAAAUGUUAUCAGUCGACCACUAAACUAUUAGCUGCCGUUUGAAAGUUAACGGAACUAUAGUGAAUUAAAGAUUUUACCCUUGAAAAUCUCUUAUUAUCACUUAUAUACUUUUAAAUUAUAACUUGUAUUAUAUGAAAAGACCAUAUUACCCCUCUGACGUGAUCAUAUUUAAACGGCAACUAAUGAUUUGGUAGACGGCAAAUACAUUUUGUCAACUUAGGGUAAACGACUGAUAUACCCUGAAAGUAUUGUAGUAAAUUUCAUAACGAAGUAAACUAAAGGUAUACGAUUGAUAAUUUCCCUUUAUAUAAUUUCUACUUAUGUACUAGAACUACUUUUAAAAUAAAUAAUUUGACAAAUUGAAAACAUUGGGUUGAUUUCACUGAGACUUAUAGUGCAGUUGAUACGGCUUCGACAAUCAAAGUUAUUUUAAUUAUGCAUAGAUGGCUUAUUAAGCAAGUGGAUGUUAGUAAUACUUUCCUCAGUGGAUACUUAAAUGGGAAUGUUUAUAUGGCUCAACCUAAGUGAUUUGUAGACCAAGCAACACCUGAUUAUGUGUGCAAACUGCAGAAAGCUCUUUAUGGUCUUAACCUAGCUACCACUAUAAGCACGGUAUGAUAGACUUAAAACACGGCCUUAAUGGCACUUUUGUUAAUUCUAGAUCAUCAUCAAAUACAUCUAGCUCUCUUGUAUAAAUGGAUUAAUGGCCACAUAAAUUGCCGGUGCUUGUGUGCACAGAGCAAGCUACUCAUCUGAUCAAUAGAACUGAUCAUGAAAUGCUACGUACAGGUUGCUGAAAUCUUUCAGAGAUUGGCCUCCAUAUAUAUAUAUAUAUAUAUAUAAUAAUUAUGUCGCUACUCUACAUGCUGAUAGGUCCCAGUCAGAUGCUUGCCAACAAUGAUUAAAAGAUGGUAACGUUUGUUCUGCUUUUGGUGAGAACGACCAAAGAUAAUUAAGUUUGAUAAUUGCUCUCCCCCUUUAUUCGCAGUGGAAACUUAUUUAUAAUAGCUAACAUCACAAGUCUUUGACUCUUAGCCAACAAUAUCAGCUAGAAUAUAGUAAGAUAAAACAAAAAAAAUAUUUAAAGAUAAACCUGAGACCAAAUCCAAAUCAAACAUGACCACUACAAUUCGAUUCUCUUCCACAACGGCAAUUAAUAUUUUGACGUGGUGAUUCUCCCGCUAUUGCUUCGACACUCAAAAAAACUCAUCCCGCACGCGAAACUGCAUUCUAUCAUUGCCUCUUCCACGAAGAAUACCCUUGUCCUCAAGGGUCAGGUUGGAAAAUAGCUGUCGCCACAUCGUUGUGUCUUCCCGGGUUGUUCUCCUUUGUUUUCUUUUCCAUGUAAUUCUUCUACAACUUCUUCACAAGUGAUCUUGUUGGUGUUGUUGUAGCUCUGGAGAAGUAGAAGUUGAGGCCCUUGACAUUUAUGACCCGCAGUAAACCGUUCAUUGCAAGUGAAACACAGCCCCUGAGCUCGGCGUCGUUGCAUUUCAUCCCACGGUAAUCUUUUGACAGGCACGGUUGGUGAUGCUUGAGUAGGUGGCAAUGUUGGCGGUGCACGGUUGGAGGGUGGCUGGAAUAAUCUCUGUUGGCGUGUUAUCUGGUCGUCUUUCAUACGAGCAAGGCUGAUGGCUUCCUUUAACGUACGUGGCCUGAACAUCCGUAUAUCCUCCGUAAUCUCCGGUUUCAAUCCUCCCAUGAAAGUGCCGACCAACGCUUUCUGUGACCAUCCAUGAACUCAAUUUCCCAACCUCUCGAAUUCCUUCUAGUAUUCUCGCAGAGAACCUAUUUGUUCGACCCGAGACAAUGCUUCAUCAAAGUCUACACAAUCCGUUGGUCCGAAGCGCGCCCACAGCUCCUCAACAAAUGUUUCCCAUGUAUCUGGUCAACCUUCUUCUUGGUAAGCCUUGCGCAUCUACUGCCACCAUUGAUUUGCUUUGCCCUCCAAGUGAUAUGACGCUAAAACUACUUUCUGCUCAUCCGUGGUUUCUUGGUACUCAAAAUAUUGUGUUACCUGAUUGAACCACUCCGUUCGGUCGUCGCCGGCAUAAUGGGGAAACUCCAACUUAGCAAGUCUUGUCGGCAUCGGUGGUCGACCUCUUUCACUUUCCUCGCGGAAUUGUCGUGAAGAUCCAAUGUUCUCGUUAGUGCCGUGACUGGCAGUGCCUCUGGUUGCACUAAAAGAUUCAGCCAAUUUGUUCAUGGUAUCCUCCAGACGCUGCAGCUUGUCAUUGAACCCAAUUUCCAUUUGUUCCAUCUUGUUAUGUAAGCUCCCGAUAUCAGCUUCAAUUCGUUCGAUGCGCUCCUUGUUGGUCGACAUUGAUAGCUAACUCUGAUACCAAUUGAUAGGUCCCAGUCAGAUGCUUGCUAAUAAUGAUUAAAAGAUGGUAACAUUAUUAUGCUUUUGGUGAGAACGACCAAAGAUAAUUAAGUUUGAUAAUUGCUCUCCCCCUUUAUUUGCAGCGGAAACUUAUUUAUAAUAGCUAACAUCACAAGUCUUUGACUCUUAGCCAACAAUAUCAGCUAGAAUAUAGUAAGAUAAAACAAAAAAAUAUAUUUAAAGAUAAACCUAGAGACCAAAUCCAAAUCAAACAUGACCACUACGAUUCGAUUCUCUUCCACAACGGCAAUGAAUAUUUUGAUGUGGUGAUUCUCCCGCUAUUGCUUCGACACUCAAACAAACUCAUCCCGCACGUGAAACAACAUUCUAUCACAUGCAUACUUGUAGAUAUGUUUUGCUCAAGAAGAGUGUUUUUGUGUGUGUGUGUAGAUGUUGUUUUAAUUCAUGCAUGAGGACGUACAACAUUAAUACGUACGUAUGAACAUUAAUUAAUUAUAACAUAUUUUAAUUAAUGUGUGAACGUUAAUGUGUCUUUCAAAUGAGUAAUUUAAUAGAUUGAGCAAAAGUUCAGCAAUGAGCAGAACAAAGUCUCACUAGCUCUGAUGCCAAUAUUCUCCAUUAUUCUGCAUAGAUCAAUACUUUAUUCUUUUGAAGAAGCUUUGAAUUGCCUUUUCUGAUACAUUCUUUGGGACAGAAACAUAGCUAGGUUUAAUUAAAUGUAUAACCUAAACUAAUGAAUUAUAUUAUACAAUAUAGUGAUAUUUACAAUUAAAAAUCUAUUGGAACCUAAUUACUUAGUUCUUGACGGCACAUUCUAACCAAAAAAAUCUCAAACCUGUGUUCAAAUAUUUGAAGAAAAUUAAGUUCCAUAGUGUAUACGAAAUGACUCGAAUAAAUCCUUAAUGAAUGGGGUGAGAAGAAAAUCACUACUUGACCAAGUUAGAAUAAUGGUUGGAAGCAUCGAUUUAUCUCGGUCUAUCCAAUUAUUGUUAUAUAUAUUCUAUUGUGGAAAUUUGAUGAUAGAUUUGAAAGGUUUUAAACUCAAGAUUCAGAAAAAUACAAUGUGUAAAUCGGGUUGUUUGUGUACUGAUCUAUUUUAUUCUAAAUUUCUAUGUAAUUUCUAAGUAAUAUUUUAUGUCCAAAAAAAAAAAAAAAAAUGGUUUGCAUUAUCGACUUAAUUAAGGAAGCCAGUACAUGUACAGCCAUGUAGUUUAAAGUUUGCCUUUCAAAGUCAAAUUAAUGGUACAUGAAGCCACCUGCAGGCUGCAGAAAGAUCAAAGAAGAUGAGGCUGUCAAUUAAUUAAAGGGGGUUUAGAACAUUAAAUAUAAUAGUUGAUGAUUCAAUGAUUCAUAUUAUCAUUAUAGCUAGCUCUUUCCAGGAUAAUUUAAUUUGAAGAUGCAGUACCAGUAAUAUUUGAGCAACCACACAUGCAUGUAUAAGAUAUCUGUCAAACCUUUCUAAUUUUUGAUCCAUAUACGUGCAUUUAUUCAAAGAUUUAAAAUUAUUAAAAAGGUGCUAUGCAUAAAUACAUUCCUCUAGUAAAAUCCACCCACUUUCAGUUCACAUGCUCGGUUAAAAUACAAUUUCAGCAUUCAUGGCAGCACGCUUCCUUCUUCAAUCAUGCCUAAUUAAUUAUUUUUAAUUUCGGCAUUCUUUCUUUUCCCCCAAAAAUUUUCCAUGAUAUCAACCAUAAUUACAUAAUUCAUAGGCUGAUAAAUACUACUUGGUUCUAUUGGUCAAAAUUUUAAAACGGUUCAAGAGAUUGGGUAUUUCAAAUCUUGGCAAUAAUAACUUAAUAUCAUCAACCAAUUAAUAUAAGAAAAUUAUUUUGGAUGCAUAAACAUUUAAUUAAUUUAGGAACUAGCAACCAUGGGCAUAUAUACCAAAUCAUCUAAUACCAAACCAUGGGCAUAUGUACCAAAUCACUGCAUGAUAUUAUAGAAAAAUCUUGUACGUGUUGUUGUGCAUUUUAACUCCAAAUAAGGCCUUUGUUGAAAGUUCAAAUUUGUUGAACCUAAUCAAUUAAGGCAGGUCAUAAUCAACGUGUGCCUUUAGAUCAACUUAAAUACCAUAAACCAAAAUUUGGUCCAGCCAUAUUGGAUUUUUUAUCCAAAUAUUAAUUGAGUCACCAUCUUUCAUCACUUGACUUUGAUAGUUUAGCUAUUAAUAAUUAAUAUAUUAAGUACACGAUAUUUAAUUUAUACUUUUAGGUGGUGCCAACUUCUGCAUAUAUACAUCAUUGUUUGUUGGCACACUUCAUCACAUCCAGGAGAACCUACAAUAUUUAUUUUUAAUAUCAGUUAGGAAUAUUGGUUUUUUAAGUAAUAUAAUUAAUUUCAUAGAAAUAUAUAUAUAUAUAUAUAUAUAUAUAUAUAAUAACAAUACUGUUGUUGUUUUGGUUGUGACAAAACAAUAAUGGCUUUAAAGAAGCAGCCAUGCAUUUAUAUAUAUGGACAGCUUUACAUUUUCCUUUUUCAAUUUGCCUUUGUACAGUUGCAACCGUGUCCUCUUGUUAGUUGUUUUGCCUAGUAAAAUUUAUAUUUGAGGACUUACCCCAUAAUCAAUUAUCUACCCGAAUUACAUAACUUAGAGAUGUAUAUAUGUACACACAUUUACUUGAUUAAUAAAUUUGUUGGAUGAUAGAAUAAAUUUGAUGAGAUCUAUCCUCAAGGAGUUAGUCCAAUUGAAAGCAAAAGGUCUAAUCUAUUCUCCUAUCAAUUCUCGGAAAAAGAUAUUAUUUUAAUUAUGUUUUUGUUUUGGGGACGUUAAGGUAAUGCACCAGUUAAGUCAUAGAAUAGUUGCUCAAAAGACCUCUCUCUUGUAUAGCUGAUUCCUUUGAAGUCUAUUUAGGACCUGUUUGGGGCAGCUGCGCUGCCACCGCGCAGCUGCUCCCCAGGCCAAUUUUAGGAGAAUAUUCCCCUAAAAUUGGCCUGGGGAGCAGCUGCGCAGUGGCAGCGCAGCUGCCCUAAACGGGUCUUUAGUUAUUAUCUAUUUUUCAUCAUUGUCUGUUAGAUUUUUUGUUUCUUAAAUUUGAAGUUUUAUCUUAUAGAACUACUAAUUACCUUCCAAAAAUUAGAUCUAAUAGCUAUUAAAGUAACUGUGUGAAGUAUUCGAGUAAUUUUUAAAAAUAUAGAAACUAAAUUGAUAUAAUUGAUUUAAACUAUAGAGACUAAAUGAUCAUUUGUUUAUCAUAUAUUUGUGUAUUUUGUGAAGUCGGGUGUCUGCAUAAAGAUAAAAAUCCAAAAUUAAUUGGUAAAAAAAUUGCCUUUGUCUACGUAACACUAUACGUUAUUUGGAUUAGGCCAGACUGAAUUAUCAUAAUAGUAUAUAUUCAAUCCUUAUUUUGUUAUUAAUCAAGCAUAAUUUUCAUGUAUAUUAUCAAAUAUACAAUUCAUCCUCAUAUAGUCAUCAUUUCAUUGAGAUUAAUUUACAAAUAAUCUUUAUAAUAAACAAGUUGUCAAAUUAUUUUGAUAUUACUGGGCAUACUUUUAAUAUGGAUAUCUCCGUCAACAAAUAACAUGUACUUAUCGAAUUCCGGCUAUAGUUUAUAUUACCUGCCCUCCGCAACCAGAAUUAACUAUUCCAGACGCUUCAUGUAAUAAUAUAUCUCCUACGAAGAUCUAUCUCGUAUAUAAAGAUUUUAAAAAACAAAAUUAAAAAAUUUUAAGUCUCAUUUUGCUUAUAAAGAAAAUCGUUUUGUCACCUAAUUUAUUUUAUUCCUAAAACCUUGUAAUUUUUGGAAGUUUCAAACCCAACCAAACAGGCAUUUAGUUUACGAAAAUCGCAUAUUUUCUUGCGAAAACAAAUUUUUACCAUGAACACAAUUUAUUAGCUGGGGAAGUUACAAUGCUAAUAAAUUUUGAAAUAGUUACAUCAACUUCUUCAAGUUACAGUAAAAUACAAAAAAAUUUUGACCCUUAAAUUUUCAAGUAAUCAUUAAAGAUAAAGAAAAAUAGAAGUUUAAAUGGCGUCAUCUUGAUCGUGAGAGAUAUAUGCACAGGUGAACACAGGCCACAACCCAAGUCCCUUCUUUUGAGUUCGUAAUUGUAGCUACAUCAGCUUCUUAGACAAUAAUUUACUUGCUGGUAUUAAAUGAAAAAAAUUAGCAAUGAGAAGAACAAUAUUGAUAUUAAUAAUAAGAAUGGUAUCAGUGAUUGAUUAUAUCCUAAAAAAUUGAUUCAACCUCAUCAAAAGCAGAUAUUAAGGCAGAAAUUUCUAUAGGUAUGUAAUGGUUAAAGCCUAUACGGUGUUCUAUACAAAGGUGCCUGACUUACUGUAAUGUAUUAGUGAUUACAAGGACUAGAAAAUCAACUGGAAGAUUGAUUCGACAGAGAGUGAGAAGUAUCUGCACGAUUCAGACGUUUCUUUCUGUAUCUCCACGCAACUUGAAUCACAAUAGCAGCACGGCAUCGCCAAUAGGGUGAUUCAUACCUAUUAUGAAAACCAAUGCGAUACAAUUAAAUAUAAAGGAAAUAUAUCAAGAUAUUCUGUUUCUGAACAAAAUGUUGAAGAAGAAGGUUUCAGCAAAAAGCUUGAAUCCAUCAACCCAACAGAAUCAGAUAUAAAAUUCCAAAGUUUUACAACCAUUUCUGAAGCUGAUAAUUAUUAAUUACCAAAUAUAACAGCUGUAGAUGUAAGUAUGUUCUAAAGUUUGCAAAGCCUGCUUGGAUAGUUAGUAUGGAAGUUAAGGAUAAGAAGAAGGUAGAACGGCAAAAUGUCUGUAGUAAUACUCACUAGUAAAAGUUGGGAGAUACUACCGUACAACACUUGAAUGUUACUACCGUCGCAAAAUUCAUCAUCAUUGGUCACAAAUUCUGUGUCAUAGAUUUUAGAUCAUGCUUGUAGAUUUAUGCCCUAACUUGAGAUGAGUAACCUAAAAUUUGUGAAGAUAGUACCAUACAAUUGUUUGUAAGGUAGAUGAACCCAUAAAAUUUAUCAUCGUAAAAGCACCCACCACUGGAAGGCUCAAAUUGAUUUCUAGAGAUUCCAUGUUCGUAAACACAGUAGCAAUCAAAGUGGAAUAGGACAAAAGACCUGAAGUAACAACAUAGGAUCUUACUUGCAGGCUAUCCCUUUGGAACAUUUCAAUAAUUUAUUUUGGGGAAGAUUAGAAUAAUCAAAUCAAAGCUGUAGGGUCUACGCAAAAGGAAGCUUUAACAGAACUAGAAUAACCAUCUACACAAGACACUUUGCAUACACACUGGGUCUAAGCUCAAGCUCAUAAUAGUAUUUAGCAUAUUUCUUUUGUUAAAUAUCAACUAAUUAGCAAUUUUCUUUAUUGAAAAAAACAUCUUUACAAAUGCAGAAUCCAUCUCAAUGGAUGCAGGUUAUCAAAAAAUAAAUAGUGUCAUGAUUAGAAAUAACGCUAUUAUCAAUAAUUUGGAAGCAGGAUGAACUCUCGAGUUGAACCAUUUAAUCAUAUACUUAAACUAGUUCCACAAAGUUCAGGUUUCACAACAAGUCCUUCUUCAAGCCCAUUGAAAUUACAGAAUAUACUGCAGAUUAAUUUGAAAUGCUUUUUCCAAUUUUUUAAUUAGAAAAUGAUGAAGAAUGAAAUGAAUCUAGCUAAAAAAAUAUUUUACAUGAAAAUUAGUCCAAGAUUGUUGUCUCAACAUAUUGCUUAUGUAUGCAAUAAGAUGUAGAUAUUAGUAGAAAUACCUUAUGGCUCCUUGAACACGAGGACUCCGCAAGAAUCUCGCAAAAAGACUGGUUACUUCUUCAAUGUCUGCAGCUCGAAGUGAAAAUGCUUCUACAUUAGUUAAACAUCUUACCGUCCUGUUGCAGAGCAACCGCUGCCCAGGGAUCCUAUAUCUUUUAGCAUCUGCAAUGGAAACGAUGCCCAUGAAUUAUUUUGGCUGUCAUGCUAAGAGAUCUUACAGUGUGAUCAUGUAAGACAACUGCAACCUAGCUGGCCAAAGAUUUUAAAUCUUGAAACAUGCAGUCAGAUUUUCACACCAAGAGAAGAAGUUUAUUAGACCUGGAUAUAAUCGUCAUGAGAAUACCUCUGUUUACUGAAGAAUGUUCAAGACACCAUGUAAGAAGUUCCUCACCACAAGCAUCCCCCUCAGAUAAGCACACUGCAAUCCCAUCUUCUCCAAUGCUCUCCAUUUUGCCACGCACAAUAAAAACCAUCUUCUCUAUCAGACCACCACGAUAUAAAAUUUUGCUUCCGCUGAUGUAUGUCUUUUGUCUCAAUCUCUCACAAAUAGCAUCUAAUAUUGGCUCAUCCAUCAGGGCAAAAAUUCGAACCUGCAAAAAGUCACAUUGUCAAAUUACCUGUCAUUUGCUGGACUCAGUUUUAAGAGCUUAAAAAUCUUUUAACAUUCUUGGCUAUCUAGAAUGUUCUUGGGCAAAAAAGCUUUUAGUUUAUACUCCAAAGAGUUUGGCUGGUUAUUGUAUACAUGCCUAGUCAUCACAUGUGCAUGAAAAAUUAUUCUGACAUGUCUUACAGAACAAUUUUCUCAUUUAAUUGAAUGUCUAUUUUGAUUCAUGAAACUAUAUUGCCAAAGCAAUCAAAUGGUUAGACCCCCAGGGUAGAACUCACGCAAAAGUCUCCUAUAAAGAUCCAGCUCAGCCACUUUUAGCAAGUCAAAGGAUGUUGUCUUGCCUUCCUGCUCAAUACACAGAAUUUCAAUGCUUUUUAUUUUAUUUUUUCUAAUUACGCAUUUUGCUUUCUAUUUGGGAUUUGCAACAUUCUACUGAAGUCUGAUUUUGAAACAUCACAUGACUUUUCCCAAACUAAUCGAUAGCAAGCUCAGUUGGUUCUUAGGUGUACUUGGUGCAUCAUAGGUCUUAAGAUCUGAAAUACAUGAUAUACUUAUUUUAUCCAUAGUACAUGCAUUUUAAAGAAACUACUAAUAAUUGGAAUAGGACAUUCUGUAUCUUACCUUUUUAACAAAUUUGAAGAGGUGGCGUCUUAUCUCUCUCUGAAGAUCUUCAGGCAAAUUCGCGAACAGCAUUUCUUCAUUCACCCCUCGGGUGGCAGCCCAAUUAUAUCGUUCAGCUUCUCGUACUUGCCUAUUCAGAAAAGCAAAUUUUCCGUCAAUAUAUGAUCUGUGAUGAAAGAACUAGAUGAAAAAUCACAAAUUCUCAUCAACUCCAUCUUUAAAGCGCAGAAUCACUUCCGAAGGGAAGGGAAAAGUUGCAGCCUAUGGUUAGUCAGCCAGUAGCUAUUGGAGACUGGGUAGCUCAUUAAAAGGGAAGCCUAGACCAGUCUUCAGGAAUAGGAUAAUGGAGUUGUUUGUUAUACUAACUAGUUUAUAUGAUCCUUUAAUAUAUUUUGACUAUUUAGAUUUUUGCGGCUACAAAGAUUUUUUACUUUGAAACCAAGUGAGAUAAAUAUCUUACUAGCAGAUAAAAAGGGUCUUCACAGUGUACAUCUGUAUACAAAAAUGAAAAGAAAAACAUAUUUUAAUGUGUGCUUCUUCUCCAAACGGUUCUAUUUCGCAUUUGUCGAAUUACACCUCGAAAAACCUACUAAUUUUGAAGUACUGAAGUUGAUUUCAUUUCUGUAAUUCAAACCUAAAUAAAAUUUUCUCAGUGGUAAUGACCGAAUUAGAUGAUUUACAUUUGUUCAUUCAGGUUUUAUACAAGAUUUGCAUACUAAGAAGUGGAAAAUUUGAAUGAACAGCCUCUUUGUGGAUGGCAAAUAUACUUAAAAAUCAAAUUGUAGUCACUAUCCAUAUUAUCAGAUAAUGCAGUGGACAAACUUAUAAAAGCUCCAUAAAGGUGAUGGGGGGUAAGCAUGGAUUACUUUUGAACGAUAAAAUGUAUAGCAUUGGUUCUUUCCAAUUGUAUUAAUGUUGUUCUACUAAAAGGGAAGGCGACAUGUGCCAGAGGGCUUGUAAACUGUAGCAGAUCUUUACCAUGUGGUUGGGCUGCAUUUUGGUCUUAAACUCAAAUCUUACCAAGAAGAAAACAGAAAAGAAAGAAUGUUACAAUUAACAUGAAGAAGAUAACAACAAGAGACAACGAGAAAUCAUUUUAGAAAAUAUAAUAGCGGGCAAUCUCACCAGUGGUGGACCUACAGUUGGCUAUAGCCCGGUCUAUCCCAGGAAAAAUUCAUGAAUGCCCCUUCAGAUUUUAUAAUAUUUAAUAAAAGAAUAAAGUUUUUAUUUUGUUUUUAUAUAUGUCCCCAAUUCAACUAUAGUUUUUUUCAACUGGAGUUAGAGAGUUAUUUUAUAAAAUGAUUAAAUUAUAUAUUUUUUGAAUGAACUGAAAUUAUAAGGAGAUAAAAUUUUAUCACUGCUUUAAUUUAUUAAAAAAAGUAUUAUGAUUUGGUCUAAUUGAAUAUAUAUAUAUAUAACUAGUAUUAGAAAGUUACAAAUAGAGUAUAGUAAUUGUUUGGGGGUAAAUUUAAGACAUUGAUUUGGACCAGUGAACAAGUGACACGUGGUAGUAAAAAAUAAAAGAGAAGAAAAAUCAACACUAUUGAAUAAAGAUAGCUCCAGGGCAAGCUAGGGGUACUCCUUGAGAGGGCAGCUCCAAAAAAAUUACCCCACUUCGAGGGGGUAAAAUUGAAAUUCAAAUAUGACAAUUGGAGUUCUCAUUUGCGUGGGCUACAUAACAUCAGAAAAGAAUAAAUAUCUUUGUCCUUUAGGCUAAAAUGCAAAGGACCAAUAGAAGAAUAAUUAAAUGAGCAUAGCAAUGAGGAAAUGACACGUCAACGCUCCUCAACUAUCCCUUGAUACCCUCAGAAAAGAUUUUGUGUGGGGCUACAUACCAUAAAAAAAGAUUCUGGCCAUCUCAUCUCUUAAAGAAACUUUUUCCUUAUUCUUCUCUUAGAAGACUCUCUAAUCUCUAUAAGACCCACAUUUCCUCAUUUUAUCGUUCAUUAUAAACAACCUUUAAUAAGGUUUUGUUGAUCUUGUAAAGCAAAUUAUGUAAUACUUUAUUUAUAUAGUGGAUUAGAGAUAUGUUACUCAGUAGAUGUAGGCCAAAGUGUUCUUUAUUGUUUAUGCUUAUUUUCUUCUUAUUAUAAUGGUUUUGAUGCCCAUCGUAUUUUAAUAUAUGAGCUCAUUUGAGUUAUCUUAGAGCUCUACUGAAUUCCCUGGACAACCCCCUAAAGCUAUCCUUGAAGAGUUAUUCCCUAAGUUUUCUUAAGCUCCCCAUGUCAACUUUUUAAAUUGACUCCCACGAGCUCCACUGAGCUCUUCAUAAUAUUUCAAACUAAAAAAAAUCCACAUGUCAAAAAAAAAUCCCCAUGUCAACUUUUUAAAUUGACUCCCACGAGCUCCACUGAGCUCUUCAUAAUAUUUCAAACUCAAAAAAAUUUAGUUCACCUCCCAAAUCACUUCAGCUAACCUCCUAGAUUACUUCAGUUAUAUCACCUACCCCGAACAAUAGAAAAACACACCUUGAUUCUCAUUUCCCUUUUCAAUUCCAGUCUAUUCCAAUUCCAAUUAUUAAUCAUAGGGGUGAGCAAAUAACCCGAUACGACCCGAUCUAAAAAAUUUAGGUUUGGAUCAGAUGCAGAUGUAUCAGGUUAACCAAUCAGAUUGUGAUCGGAUUGGUCAAACCUAAUCCAAUCUGGAACACCAUAUACACACAAGCUAUCUAUGACAAAUUUUUUAUUCGAUCCUAUCCGAUCCAAACUAUAUUCGGAUCGGAUUACAAGUUUGGAUUGAAUUCGAAUUAAUUUUCCAAACCCGAUUAUUCGAAACUCGAUCUGGUUGAUUUAAACCCAAUCCGAACCCAAAUUUUCUCACCCCUAACCGAUCAGUAAACGCGCCAAUGUGAUGCCACUUCUCAUUCUCAUAUACUCCACACACAAUUUGUACAUGGGUGUGUGUGCAUAUACAAUAAAAAAGAGCAAGCCAACUCAUCUACUGUCUCUACCCCGUUAGAUUUAUAAUGCAAUGUCAAUCUUUUAAGUAAAAUUUUUACUUUAAAAUAAUCCCACCUUUUGUAUAUAGUCCUCCAUUGCAGAUAUGCAUAUAUUUUAAAAUGCAAAAUCAAGGCUAGACAGUGUCGUCUAAGUACAAGACAAUACCAAUUUCUAAUCAGACAAUGUUGUUUGUCAUCAAGUCCACAUUUUAAAACAUUCAAACAUCCACACUGGAUAACUACUAUAGCCUAGAUAUUGAAAUACCUUCUUAAUUGUUCAGGCAAGCGUCGAUGUCUCAUCCAUUGCUCCACAUCACGACGUCUUAAUGACAUAUCCAACCUCCUGUGAAAGCAAACAAAAUCAUCAAGCAAAAACAUUUAUUUGAAGGUCUUUGCGACAAAUUUAUCACCCAGAACAAAUUUUUUUUAUAACAAUGCAAUUUUGAAAAAUCAUAUCAUAUUUCCAUGUUCUUGGCCUUCUAUCAUAUUAAUUUUCUAAAACACUAAGCGUGGCCAGAUGUUCAAGGUUAACAUAGAUAGAGAAAACAUAAUGGCUCAAUGCAAUGAAAUUAAUGAGUUGUGAUAUUUAUUUGACUAGACUGGAAGUUUAAUAAGAUAGAUAAACUUUUCUAUAACAAGACAAAAAUUUUGAUAGAGUAUCAUUAAAUGAAAUUACAGUUAAAAGGACUAUGGCAUAUUUAUUGUUUACAUAUAGGUCACAGAUGUUAGAAAAUUAUGUCAGUUUUUCCAUCUCUAACAAGUAGGUCAGUGACCUUUUCUAAACUAAAUUGCCAUUGCAAUAUUGAAUUUUGACUGCAGAAUGUGUAGGAGUAUAUAACUUCAGUUAUUUCAAUAGUUUUCAAGGAUCUACCUGAUAGAAGGUGACAAACUGUAUCCUCACUUGAGGAGACGUAAAAAUUAAGGCCAAUGUUAUUGGCCCCAUAAAUGUUUUUUAAGAAAUGUUGUAUGGCAGAGCUAGAAGUCCCUAAUCUAGAAAAAGAAGUUCAAAGCAAUAGAAAAAACAAGCAAAAAUAAUAUGCAAUACUACAUUUCCAAGAUGCUAACUUAAGUUUUGAAUCCUAGGUGAUGUACAUUCAUCCUUUCAAAGGUAAGUUUUCAUAACUUGUAAAAUUACUUAUUACACCAUUGAAGGAAUAAAUGUCACAUUACUUGGAUUGAAAACUUGGUACGACACUUGGAAGAGUAGUAUUACUCAAACUAAUGCAUGAUGACAUAUAAUCCUAAUAUGUUUGGUGGAAAAAAAAAAAAAAAAACCUCAUUGGGCCAAACACUUUCAACUCAUGACAUAUACCCUGAAGUUUAGGAAAAUAAACAUACAAGUGUUUGGUCAGGAAAAUUCCGUAAACCCAAAAGUUUAACACAAAUAGAUGUUAUUCUAUUAAUUUUCAACUCAUUAGAGAAAUCCCCUACAUUUACCCUCUAAAAUUUAAUCCGUACACAUUGUAGUCCAUAUACUUUCAAAACAUGACUUGUAAUUCCUAACUUCAAUAACCAACAAAUACCCCUAUUAUAAUUUUGUUAAACUAUAAUUUUGCGUAAUAAAUCACCAAUAAAAUUUCACAACUUGGAACAAUUAAUUAAAAUAUAAACAUUUUUUCUUUUUCUACUAAAACAAUUUAAGAAUUAUAUGGAAAGCAUUUUAUUUUGUUAAAUAUUAGUAUUAGAAUUUUUAAUAAUAUAUUCAUCAUAAACCAAGCACUCCCAUAAAGUUUAUUUAAGUUGAUGAAUUAAUUUAGUUAUUUACUGUUGAAAUGAAAUUAAUACCUACACAAUAGUACAAUCUAUCUUAGAAUAAGCUCUUUUGUAAGUCUAUUUAGUUUUUAAUUUUCAAUAUAUAAACAUAUUUUAAUUAAUUGUUACAAGUUGUGAAAUAAUCACAUCAUGUUAUUUAUUAAGGAUGGAUAAGAUUAUUUUAUAACUUUUAACAUUCAUCAAUAUAAAAGUUUACUAUUGUUAUUUUAAAGCGUGAGGCUAUUUAACUAAAAUUUUUUAUUUAAAAUUUAGACAUCAAUUCUAAUCCACGUAACACUGAAUGCUACUUUUUUUAUUUUGAAUAUUUCACAUUAGAUUGCACAAUAUCAAUAAACGCGAAUUUAUGUCAAAAUUCUAAAUAAAAAAUUUUAAUUAGACUAGCUUGACCCUAUUUUUAAUAACUGAUAAUAUUUAAUUUCUAAUUUAUUUGACAAUAAAAUUAAUAAAAUCACCAACUUAAAUAAACUUCCGAAAGGCUUGAAUUAAGAUGGGAAAUAUUAUUUAUUUUACAAAUCUUAAUAUUUCGAAAGAAUACAUUACUUUUUGAAUACUACUUAUCUUUUAAGUUUUUUCAGAAGAAAUAAUAAUAUUUUAUUUUGUAAAACUAAUUAUAAUGUAGUGUUAUGGGUAUGUGUUAUUGUAUAAGGUUAGAAAAUACAAAUUAUAUUUUUAAAGUACUUAGACUGAAAUGUGGUUGUACUCAGUUUUAAAGGGUAGAUAUAAGAAUGUGUCAUUUUCUGAAAAUUAAUUGAAAAAAAUUCCAUUAAACAUUUGGGGGCUCAACUUAAAAUUGUACAACAGAACUAAAAUGAUGUUUAGCUUAUAAAGAGGUAGGAGGCAUCUUUCACGAGCUAAAAGCACUUGGAUUAAUGUGUUUUUCAGGCGAAAACUUCAAAGGGUUAUGUGCCAUUACCCUAAACUAAUUAUUCCUAAACACAACAUCCAAAUUAAAAAAUUACAACCAAAUACAUCCCAUUUCAAGGGUUCAUUUUAGGGAGAGAAUAUAUCUAAUGAGUAAUGCUAUACUUCCAAAGUAAUAACUCGAGAGAUUUCAUCCCAAGUGAUGUGUCAUUCAUCCACUGGAUGGCGGGAUGAUUAAAUAAAUAAUUUCAGAAGUUAUAAGACAUUACUUCGGCGAAAUCUCUCGGAUUAUUUCCUGGGAAAUCUAGAAGUAUUGAUAUCUAAAAGGGUAUGAACAAUUCUUUUAUUCAAUUGACAGUAUGAAAGUUCACAAGGAAAAGUAAUAAAAUAAUGCUAUAUGUCUCAAAAAUUAUCUCAAAUGAUGUGGCAUUCAUUUUGUGGAUGGUGAAAUAAUGCAAUUAAUUAUUAUAAAUUGCGAAAAUUUAUCAUCCAUUAGAUGGAUGCCACAUCAUGACACCAAAUUUUGGAUGCAUUUUUGGGCAAUAUUUGGGAUAUGUAACAUUAUCAAAAUAAUAGCCACUUAGCAAUCUUCUAAAGCAACUUAUAGAAGAAAAUUUAUGAGUAAAAGAACUAAUAGUUUAUACCUCUUUACAAGAGCCUGGAGAAAGUUCUGCAUAUUUCCAAUGAGAAAAGCAAAGAGCAAGAGGCCUACUCCAAUGAUGGCCAUGGUAAAAAGGACUUCCCCAACAAAAUAGCUGGGGGUUUGAUUUCCCGCAAGAGUACUGAUUUGCUUCAUAUAUCAACAAAAAAGAUAUGUUAACAAGCUUACUCAGUUAAAUAAAUAAUAUUUCAUUAAUUACCAAAAAAAGAAAAAGAAAAAGCUUUACAGAUACAGAAAGCAUGUGGAUUAACUUGUUGAAGUAUUUCAAGGAAAAAUGGAUAUUGAUUCUUUAAAUAUGUCAAAACAUCAUUACAAUUGUGCAAUAACAGUACAAUUAAGCCUGAGCUUCCAUUCCAGAACAAAAAAAAAAAAAAAAAAGGUACACUGUCAUUCAAGAGCAACAGAUGAUAAAAAUAGAAAUGAUUACUGAUGACACACCUCGCACUAUGAAAUAUGAGGCAAAUUUGUUAGGUAUUAUCAGGCUCGAUUCCCACCUUGAGGUAUAAUCCACAAGAGCUUCAGAAACACACACUCAGUAUGUUACUGUAUGACCACAGGGCAAAUUUUCUUUGAAACACCAUUUGCAUAACUAUUUGGCCUAAAACCAAGUGAUUGCAUUUCUAAGUUACUUAGUGGUAGUUGGUUCAACUUGUAUAACCUCUUGAGGUGGUCCAAAGUUCCCAGUCAUGAUGGGCAAGCUUUUGGGUAGUAACUCAUAUAAUAUUAAAAGAAAAUUAAAAUAUAAAAAUUAGAAGUUAGUUAAAAAUUUUAACAUAAAAGGAAUGGGCAAAACGCAGAGGUCACUAAAAGUUACCUGGAAUCCCCAAAACAGUGAAUACACAUAUCUGGUGAUGAUACUAUUUUCUGUAGUAAGUUUGACAGCUUGUUCAUAAAUUCCAUAAGAAAAUUUAUCCUUCUCAAAACAAUCACUAGCUUGUUGAUUGCCACUCCAGCUCUUCCAUGUUUGAUCUUGACUAUAUUCUGCACCACCAUUCCCAUGGCCACAAUCUAAGAAUUUUUUGCAAUCUUGGAUUGAAGAAUUGUGGCAGGCAUCUCGAAGACAUUGAUUAACCCUCUGGUACAGGAAAGAGUGGGGGAAGGAAGAGAAAUAAAUAACUUUUUAUUUCAUAAAACUUCCAUGCCAUUGCAAUUAUUUUAUAAGAUAAUUUCAACCCCUCCCCCCAAAUUGAGCAACCACAAAUAUGAAGCAAGCAAAACGUCAAAGAUAAAUGAAUAAACACAGCCCACAAUGUCAAACCAAGUAGAACAAGAAAAUAGCAUUGUGUAUAAAAUCAUAAAAGUCAUGAACUACUAGAAUAGCCAAUAAGGCUUAGCUGACAAUCUCUUAAGUACCCAAAUAAUGUUUAGCUGAUCAUAUUACUAGUGUAUCAAGUUGAACAUAAUGAAAUCAAAAUGUGAAAAACAAAUUAACUUAACCAACAGAAAGGUUAAUAUGAUGAAUUGAUCAAGAUUAGGUGCAUGAACAACUUAACAGAAAGGAAUAGAAAAAGAAUUGGGUUUUAAUACUGCUUGUAUGCACUGCUAACUGGAGGUUUGAAUGUAACGGCAUUUAUCAUAUUUUUUGUGUUGGAGAGGUUCCUGCUUCAUUUUAAUUGGUAUAAUGCACACAAUGAAAAUUGAACAUAUCUAUUAGUUUCCACAUUUCAGUAAAAAACAAAGUUCAAGCCCCAUCUACUUGAUGAGAAAUACUCAAUCUUUCAAAACUAGUAAUGAACCUACUCAAAUUUCUUAUUUAUUUUACAUAUGGCUUACCCACAAGAAUUUCAACUUAUACAAAAACAAUUUAUCAGCAACUACAGUAAGAAAUAAGAAAUUAUCUCUAAUUCCGAAGUUACAGAACACCUAAUAUACUGCCAAUGCACUGAAUAAUGCUGAAGAUUUAUCAUCUUCUGACGAGUAAUGCAAUGCAAACUAAGACCUUAAUGGAUUCAUAAAUGUAAUCAAAAGGAAAAUGAUGCAAUUUUUCUGAGUGUUCAACUAUUGCUUCAAGAGAAUAUCGUUCACAGGCCGUGCAAUGCCUGCACUUCUCAUGUCUUAGAUGAUUCACCAAUGUAUUUGUAAAAGUUCAGUAACUGAGAACAUGCAGAACUAAAGUAUACGAGAGGGUAAACAUAAUCUCCAGAUGCAACAAAUGAAAAAAAAAAAACAUUAGAAAGAAACAGCAAAGUUUUUAACCUUAUAACCACAAGUUGCUUACCUGUAACCCGAAGAGGUACCAGCCUGACCCAACAAUGUGACCAGAUAAUGUGAAGGUGAAAAGAUUAAUAAAAAAAUUUGCCCAUGCAGACUCAAAUAUGAAGCCAGUCGAUGACUGACCGGCAAAUAGGGGUAGAAACUUAUACAGCCUGGGAAUGUACUGAAGAAGAAUAGCAGCACGUAAGAGAUUUUUGGCAUAAUUUGCGCCAGAUGAUCCCAAGAUAUUGGGUAGUACUAACAAGAUUAUGAUCUGAAAACAAGGGAAGGAACUACUUCAGAGAGAAACAGUGGAUAUACAUCACAAUAAAGCCUGCAUCAUAAGCCAUGGAUGUAAAUAGCUACAUAGUGAUAUAGAACCAAGCAAACUGCCAUUUAGCAGAUUUAAGAAAAUUAGAGGAUGCAGUUGCCCAUACAAUAGCAUUUUUAAUUGUUCUCCCAAACAUGCAUUUUAAUAAGAAAUGUCAUUUUUUUGGAGCACAAAUGCACAACUUAAUGAAGCAAAAAAAGUUAUAUCUUAUCAUCUACAACACCAUCCUGCAUACAUGGAAGCACAUGCAUACUCAUGCACACUUACAUGCGUGCAUUUAUGUACAUGCUCAGAACUGUCGACCAAUCCUUGGACACCUAUAUUUUGCCUUUUGUUAAGUUAUCAUAAGAUGAGUCGGUUUUCCACAAUGCCAAAUGAUCCCACAGAUUGAACCAUCCAAAUAACCCAAUCCUUGUACAAGUGAAGCCCAUUGCUUUACUUGGAGCAGGGACUCUAUUAUCAUGGUUAAUUAUGAGUCAACCUGCCCUCUGCUCGUGUGUAAGCCAUAAGCUAUUAGAAAUCAUAAAUGCUUCUAUGGUUACUAGAAUUUUCUGUUUUAAUGCAAAUUAGAAAAACAUCAAACAUAAUAUCAUUAUCUUCAUAAAUCCUUCAAACUUAAUCCACCAGUAAAGUCUCAAAAGACAGAAUACAUAAAGGAUUGCAAUCCUGUUCUUUUAUCAACAAGUAAUACUUGAAAAUGGGCUCAAUCAAUUUCUUAUUAUUUAUGCCAAAACAAAAACAAAAUUAAUGUGGUAAUAUGACGGAUUCAUGAAAAAUUGUAGAUAGCAAUUAUUUGCAAGCACAAAAGGUUAUUAAUAAGAAUAAGGACAGAGAAAACAAAACACAAUAACAUGACCACUCUCCACCCUCUCCAUAUCAAACAAUCAAGUACUGUCAUGAUCCCAGAAAUAGCAUUACUUAAAACACAUACACACAGACAAACACAGUGUAUCCAUUUGGUUCUGCUAGGAUUUUUCCCCCACGAUAGGAAAGGGGAAACAGGAAUGAGAAAAAUAUUGACCAGAGAUGAGAAAAAAGAAAUGGGUAUAAAAUAAAAAUGAAAAAUUACAGCAGUAAUAAGGCUAAUUUGAUUACAUUUUUCACAUGAUAAAUUGAACUAACUAUCCCUUUCAGUAAUCAUUAAAAGUUCCAAGCACAAAAUCCUCUCAGCCAUUCUUUUGCUUGCAACUGAGAGUCCUUUUACGCGACCAAAAAAAUCAUGAAGUUCUCUGAAUGUCUAUUCAGCACUAAAAUGGUCAAUCAAACAGAUCCUAAAUCCCAAACCAGAGCUCAAACUUGAUCUUGCAAUAAAGAGAUUUUUCACAUUAACCAUAUAGAUGUAAUAUCUUAAGAGGAAAGCAACGAAAUAAGAGGUUACCACAGAUAGAGGAAGGGGAAUAGAAUGUGGGAUGGAGGAUGAUGAAGUAAACUCACUUGCGGAAGUGGUAAUGCAACAAAGAAGUCGAUAAAAAAGUAUCCACGGAGGUAAUUCAGAGCGAUUUUCUUUGGAUGGUCAACUAACUCCCCAGCACCAACCACCCUAGACUCAGGAGCCACAUAAGCCAAUCUAAACUGAAAAAACACGAAUGAUUAAUCAAAUAACCAGACAGGUGGAUAAUCAUGGGAUUUACUAGUCAUUUGUCAAAGAUGGACUACAGAAGAGCCAAUGACAUCUACUGAAUCAGGCAACCAUAGCUCACAAAAGAUUUAGUAACAAAUUUUAAACGCAUAUUUACUUAAGAUUUGCUUAGAACAUUAAACUAAUCAAAUUAUCUCCACAAAUUCAAUUCUGCUGAUUAAAAUAUGGGCGAGAAAUAAGUUGUAGUUCCUAAGCAUUUUUCUACUUCAGAAGAAUUACAAAUUAGCAAAUUGGUUAUGUUUACUAUAUACAUACAUUAUCAUAUCAUUCAGAUACAAAUGUCAUAGUUAAGAUGUAGGUCUUUAGGCAGAACAUCACUUAAAGCAGAGGAUCUGUAAGAAGUCAACAGUUUAUAAACCUACCUUAAUCUAGUCCCAGCAUAUGAACUUAAUCCAAUCUAUCCAAAUCCAAGAAGACAAUAAAACAGAACAAGUUUUUAUUUUAAAUUUCGUGUGCACAAAUGCUACUGAAUGUCUUAAAAAAAUAAUAAUAAUAAAAAAAAAUUAUAAGCCCUAUCAUAUGACAUUGGGAGCCCUAGAUUAUGUAAUCAAUGCUAUUAAGGGAGAAAUUUCAAAUACCUCCCUCAUGUUUGGACAUUGCUUUACUCACAUCUUUGGCAAAUUAGUCCCACGUCCUAAUUUUUUAGUCAAUGUCAUAAAAGUCCCUAAAAUCCACUUAUAUUGAUCUUUCUCAGAGUUUGUUGUUAAAGAAAAUGUGAAAAAUACUACUUCACCCCUUGAAUCUCAUUUUAGUUUAAAUGUUUUCUAUGAAUUCCAUAUUACCCUUGUUAUGAUAGUAAUAUGACCAUUAAAAUCCUAUUUGUUUAAAAAUGACCGAUUAAAGCUUUUAGAAUCAUUCCGUCUUGUAGUACAAUUUAGUCUAUCACAUCAUCUUGAAACACUAAAAGAUAUUUGAACCGAAAUAACAUCAAAACUUUAUCCUUCUUUUUUUUUCUCUUAGCACAUAUAAUUUAAUAACAUUCAUCACAAAUUGAAACUAAAAUUAUUGCACCAUUUUUUCUUUUUUUGCAUUCUUAUGUGGAUAUAAUGUGAAAUACAUAAUCUAUUGAUGCAUAGACUUAGCAGCCCAAAUUACUGUCAAUUCUUUUUUUUUUUUUUUUUUCAAGUCUAAAGGGGAAAACUAGUUAAGAGAAAAUGUCAAUCUCUUACAUCAAGGGCAAAACUGGCCACUUUUAAAAUCUCGGAUUAAGAUCUUUAUUUUCACAUUAAGAUGAAAGGGUAAAAGCAUGGCUUUUGUGAAGGCUACCCCAUUCUGAGCCAAGAAGUCUACCACAAAAGCCCAAAAUGAACAAGCUUGGUCUUGAACCUAGAAGGUUCCAUUUCUAGAACUCUUAGCUUGUAAAUAUCUAGGAAAUAUUCUAGAUUUUGGUAGAAGGGGAAAUCUCUUGAUCAGGAUUCUCUAGUCUUUGAUAGAUGUGGCAAGCCUCUCCGAUAAAUAGGCUUGCCACUUGGCAUUCUAAACCAAGCAUUUCUUCAAGCAUUCAAGCAUUGUAAUGCAACACACUUGUAAACACAUUCUUGUAAUUAAUAUAAGUCCUCUUCUCAUAGGCUCAAUUGCUCUAAUUCUCUAUCUCUAGCUCUUCUGCAAUCAUUCUAUCUUACCUAGCAGAAAGCUCAAGGCUUACACAGCAUCUUUGGGCAAGAGUUAUCUAAGUGCCGCAUCAGGUUUACUACCCAAAAUAUACAUCAUCCCAUGACAUACUGCUGCCUAUUUCCUUUACAUGUGGGUAUUCCUGAAUUUUCACUAUCCCUCCGGGGUAUCCAUAAAAUAUAUACCCAUCUUAAGAUACAGAAGUCAACAGUAAAAUAAUUAGGUGAUACACUUGUAAAGACGUAGUUAAAUACCCAUUUUUUAAACGUGAACAAGCCCGCAUAAUAUUAAGCCAAAAUUUUAGGUAGUUGAAUGAUAAUAAAACUAAAUAAGUAAAUAUUUAUAUAAAGAAGUAGCUCUAGUUGUAAUUCCAAGCAGCAAGAACAUGGCAAUUUAAUAAUGGUAAAUUUAAUCAAGAAAGAAAGGUUCAAGAAAGAGCAUCCAUAGCAGAGGUAAAAAUCAAUCUACCUGAAGAAGUAUGUUAAGAAAGUAUAUGAGAUCAGUCAUGCUUCUAACGACCACAAUUGCUUUUGUCCACGGCCAGUUAAUAACUAUGCACUUGUUAUUCUGCAAUCAAAACAGGGGAUUAUGUAAACCACGAGGAAUACCGUCAAGCAAUAAACCAAAAAUCUAGAACAAGCCCAUGUUAUAGUUAUUAAAGAAACUCAAACAUAUGAUACCAAAAAUGACUGAUCAAAAAUCAUGAACUAUGGUUUUUAGCAAAAUAUUGGAAGCAAAAGCUGUAUAAAACAUCUAAUCGAACAAUCGAACAGCUGCUAGACACAGAAAACGUUUUUUGAGGUUGUAUGAAUUUUACUUUCUUUUUGAUUUCCAAGCAACUGACAUGUAUUCAAUUCUUGUCCAUGGAAUUGAUUAGGAUUUGCCAAGAAUAAUUAGAUACAUCUCCUGUUAAUAAUCUAUUAUUCUAUUCCCGUUUACUGCAAUUGCACUUUCACUCCCAAAACAAAUGGUCGGGCAGCCGAUUGUAGACUAGGUUGUUUAACAGUGUGUGUACAACUUCGAAUUCUAGGAAUCCUAGGACACACAAGUCAGUUUCUAAUAUAGAUUGGUCUUUAAAAAAAUGGUUCUGCAAUCCAAGCAAUUAGUUGAUCCCAAAAGGCUACAAACAAAUUAUUGAACCAAAUCAAGUGGAAACAAUGUGUGAAGUUAAAAUGAGGGGGGAAAAAAGAAAAAGGAGGAGGCUUCUAUGUCUGUGACGUUUCUUUGAGGUUUAUAUUAAAAGCACAAAGUAUGAAUGUUAAUUAAUUCACGACCAAAUUAGUAUGAUAUUCCCACAUAUAAAAAAUAGAUAGAACCAUACCUGUUGUACAGACAACAAGAAGAAAAACAAGGGGUCCACAAAUAUUGCCACCAAGCAAGUUAUAACAAAAAAUUGCUUCCACUGCUGAACAAUUCUAGUAUGAGGAUUCAUAAUCCCAGGAACAUAUCUUUGCAAAGAAGAAAUAAAUCUCCUGGCCCAACCUUUGGCAUCCCCAUAAAGAGCAUUAUGGAACUGUAAAUAGAAAAAACAGAGAAGAUUGAAUAAAUAAGUUGAAGCAGUACCAUAAGAUCAUUCUAGAAAAUAAAACAUAUAGACAGUUGCAAAUGACAAAGUCAUUGAAUAAAGGAAAAAGACCCAGAGACCAGAUAGCUAUAAAACUAUGUUCUCUUAAAUUUCAAAACAAGAGAAAUUCAAACAGAUGCAUUGAUUUAUCCAUUAGAUUAGCUGAAUGAAGCUCCUCCAAAUAAAGCUGCUGAGAUUAAUAUCAAUUUUACUGUAGUCUUCGAGAUUUCACAGAAUGAUCUUAGAAGUUAGGAAUUAACAUUAAGGGCUAAAAUGUUUGUGUUUGCUUGUAAGGUUGUCUUGUACUUAUUUCUCAAAAGUUCUAUUAAUUAUAGAUGGAUGUCUAAUUAACAGAUUAAAUAAAAUUCAUAUUUAACAGGUAACAGUAUUUAAUGACACUAAAAUUAACAUACUAUGCACAAAAACUUCAAAAGCUUACAAAAUAAAAUGAAAAUUCAUCAGAUUGACUAUAUAUUAUUUCUGCUAUUAUGAACAAAUAUUCCUUAAAAGGCAUCAUAGAACAACUUAAAAAACAAGUGCUACGGUUAAGUAGAAAGCGAGAAAAGAAAUUGCAGUCUUAAUAUCAAUACAGAAGGCAAAAAAGCGAAAGAAAAGAAACUUUCAAGUAAAUAUUAAGACAAUUUAUGGUACAACAAUCAAUAAACUUAUUGAAUAAGUUUGUUUAGGGUCCAUGUAUGAGCAUUAGUAUGUGCAAAAAUAUGUUUCAGAAAUUCCAGCAAAGACACUCAUUAACAAAACACAAUUACGUGUAGAUCUGGCAAAAUGGGUCAGCGAGUCGUGUUCAUGUUGUGUCAACUUUGUGUCGUGUUAAAUUUAGAUCAACCUAAACACGACCCAUUUGAUAAUUGUGCCAAAAUAUUGAGAUCCAAACCCUACACGGAAAAUAAACAGGUUACCCAAUAACCAAUUUAAUAUCUAUUUAUUUAACAAAUGUUACACACACACCCCCAAACUAUUACAAAUUUACACUAUUUAAAGUUUAAAUUAUAUAUAUAAACAAUAUUAUAUAUCGAUAUUAUAAAAUAUACACAUGUAUCAAUAUUUUACACAUUUACAAUAUUAAAGUUCUAAAUUUAUGUAAAAUUUUAUAAAUAAAGCACUGUGUGUAUGUCCGCCUUCCAAAAAAAUUAAAAAGAGAGAAUCAUGUCCAAUAUUUGAGUUUUAAUUACAAGAACCUAAAAAUUAAUUUAAAAUAGAAAAUAUAAUCGUGUCAUUGUUCGGGUAAAUGGGUCAAGAACUGUAAUCCUAAUUCGACAUGGAAAAAAAUCGUGUCAACCAGAACCUAGCCCAUUUAAUAAUCGUGUCAAAUUUGAUGUCUCACACCCAUUUAUUCGUGUUGUGUUCGUGUCAGAUAAUCGAGUCAUGUUAAAUUUUGCCAGCUCUAAUUACAUAAGGACAUCAUCAUAAUCAAUUGAAUGGAACAUCCACAAAAUCACAAAGCUCUACAACAAAGUAGCUAGCUAGAGCUGUAGUGUUAUUCCUUUAUACAGCUGAGAACUACACCCAAAGUACAUAAAAAGAGGCAACAUCAAUACAAAGCAGCAACUCAAUUGCGUGAGAAGGAAAAGUACCUUGGGAUCAAAUAUGCCGGAAGAUUUUGAGUGCUUUGAUUGUGUUGCUUUGUAAUAUGUUGGACAAGUUGUGCAGUAAGGAUCGUUGCACAUUCCCAGUUGUCCAGACCUCAGUAAAUGUUCAUUUUUUGCUUCAUAUCUGUUGUCCAGCCAAUCAUUCUGAUCCAUUCCACUGAAAGAAGGAAACUUUUCUGCCUUAGUUUCCACCAGAUUGACACCUGUAACUCCUUGGUUUCUACGGAAUAUGUGGUCAGGUUUUCGGUUACUGUAUAAAGGACCACUCAUCUGUAGAAACUGUGUUCUUCUUUCAUUCCGUAGAGGACCAGUAAGGCCUACAAGAUUAGCUUCAGGUUCAAAGGAGUCCGUGGAGUUCAUAGUAAUAGACAUCGAUGCACUCCUGGUCCUAGAAGCAAAUGUCUGAAGUCGAAAAUCAAAAUUUCGAUCUGAUGAUUUUGAUUGAGAGUCUGAUAGCAUUGGCAUCUCAUCUUUUUCAUCACCAGCCAUUUCUCAAAAAAUAGACCUGGAAAAGGAUAUAAAACAAAAUAAACAUUAAACUACAUGAUAGUAGUUACUCAAAGGCAGAGAAACUUAACUGAACAUCCAACUACAUGAUAGUGGUUAUUAAAAGGCAGAGGAACUUAGUUUUACUUGUUUAAAUAUUAACAAUUUUCUGGAACUGCAGGACUUUAAUCAAAUGACUAUUCUUUCACAAAAUUCAUUUCUUUAUCAGGGUAUCUCAGCAGAUUGAUAGUGACCAGUAAGGCUCUGUUUGGUACCGUGUUGUGCUACAGAUUAAAAGCCACAAGUACUGUUAAUAAUUUUGACAGAAACUAGUAGAGGUAACAUCACUUUUUCAUCAAACUAUGGGAUAAAUCACCUUUACUUUCAAACUACAGUUGUAAGUGUUCAUCAAAAACAUUAAAGCCGUCGCUAAAUAAAAAUACCAAACAGAGCGCAACUUCCGACCGUCCUAAGCUUAUUCUAUCUCUCACAUUCUUCUCAUGCUGCGGCUAGAACAGCAUCAGUGUCAUCACUUAUCAGUUAAUGUUUGACCUUAAAGCCCACUAAGAAUUCUCAGAUCCCCCAACCAUGAAUUAUAAAGUAGAAGAGAAUUUUCACUCAUUAUGUAUCGUCCAUACUCCAUAAACAGUUGACUGUAACACAAAACUUGAAUGAAGGGUAAAUAAUGUAGUACAUUGAGCAAGGGCAUUUUAGGUAUCCUCUCAAGCUUAAUAAAAGCAAGUAAAUAAAUAAAUAAAAACACCGCAUUUACUCGCAUGUUAUCUACUUCUCCUACCAAAUUUCUACAGCUUUUCAACUCCUGAUUCAUGACAACAUGAAACUGGCGCAUUUUAGCAUACGCUCGAGUGACGAAAACAUAAUCCUCUAAUUUUCUUUCUUUUAACCAAUUGAAAAAAACAAAUUGACUAUGUUUUGAAAAUAGAAAUAUAAUUUAAUCAAAUUAGAAGAAACAAACCUGCUUGAAGCUCAAGAGUCAGCUGCUAAUUCUGAAACUACAAAGGAGCAAUGCCAGCUGAAACUCAGCAAAGAGAGAGAACUGGAGAAGAAGAGUAAGGAGUGUCUCUGCUUCAAUUCGUUUUAUUGGUUGAUGGAAUGAAGACUUGUUGGCGAAGACUUUUAAAUCAUCAAAAUUAAAAUUUAGAAAAUGAGUUUGAAGGAAGACUUUGAAAAGUCAGUUGAGUGGUUGUAAGUACAGUAGCUCUGGAGCCGUCUGAUUGGCAAGUCGCUGCCAUCGUAUUGAAUGGGGCAAUUGUUCCCCCGCUAAAUAUAAAUAAAAUAAUUAGAUACUGCCUUGAUGUUUUAUUUUUUAUUUUUUUAUUUUUUUAUUUUAAGCUUUUAUUUUUUUUUAUUAUUUACUCUGUUUUCUGUUUAUAUUUUUUUUGUUUUAUAACACAAUGUGAACGAUUUUUUUGUCCACUCUCUUCGUCGUUUCUUUCCGAGUUGUUAGCCUUUUGGCGGCUAUUGCUUAUUUGCAACUUUUAUACCACGUCAGCGAAGACAAAUAUAUUAUUGGCUAUUGACGUUGAAUUUUUAUUAUUUUGUUGGGUUAUAUUCAGAAGAAAAUGAGUAAAGAUAAAAACACAAAAUUCUAACAUAAUGAUGACAAAUUUCAAGUUUUUUUUUAAAUUUUUUUAGCUACCCUAGAAUUAUUAUAUUUAUCUUAAUGGUACUUAUGGAUCCAAUUGAUGUUAAUCUUAAUGAUUUUUAAUAGUUGGAUGAUUCCUUCUUUCAUUCCUUCUACAUUUAUCCUUAAAUUUUUUUUUUAAAGUUUUAACUAUAUUUUUAUAAAGAUCUAAAUGAUUAUCACAUUUGUAUAAAUUUAUAAAUUAUAGAUUAAAUCAUGCGUAAAUAACUAUUUAUCUCUCUUGAGAUAUAAACCAAUUUUUUUCUCCAACAAAUCAUGUAUAUAUCUAAGUUAUAUUCCCAACUAAAGUACAUCCCAUCUAUGCCUUCAAAUAGAUAUUGUAAUUCAGCAUCCUGAAUUACAAAGUUCAUGUUAUUAUUAUCCAUUAUGGACAAUUUUGACUCCUAUUAUUUGUAGGUAAUUAUCAGAAAUCUCCCCUGAAGUUCAACGUAUUUUCAGUUUGAUAGAUUGUAUCUGCGUAUUCUCAACCACCUCCCUUGAUGUUUGUGGACUGUUUCGUAAAAGUUGAGUUGGAUGGUAAUAGAACUGUUUAAUGAUAAAAAAAAUUCAAACAAAAUUUAAAAUAUCACAUUGGGUUCUAAAAUUGGUACGAAAAUUUUUAAUAUCCAGUGUGUAAAAAAGGGAGCAUGAUUUUAACCAACAAAUAUUAUCACUAAAAAAAAUGAAAAUUGGCAUCUCCUUACUCCAUUCAAACUGAAAGCUACCAUGAACAACACCUCCGUCAUCUUCUCUGCAAUGCUUUAAUAGAAAAAGUGUGCCAUGAUCUGGAGACAAUGACGAUGAACCCGAAGGCACCAACACCGGGGAUGACUGAAUCACGACCACCGGGUGUAAGAAUGCCGACUAGUGAGUCUUGCCAUCAACCCACAGGCAACCUUAGUUUGUUCGAGCUGCGAGGAGGUAUGAAAAUGGCUUAUUAUGGUGUAGAUCAGUUUUACUAGACGAAUUAAUCAAUUUGGUAAAAUACAAGUAAUGGGUCUCGAAAAUUUUUUUAGAGUAUUUAUGUUGCUUUGUUUUUUUUUUUAUUAUUGAUUGGUGUUAGUUGUAGAUUAAUGUUGCUAUAAACGCAUGUUUACUUGAUUUUGAUUGAAUAUGGCUCGUGAUUUAUUAUGCUGCCUUGUGAAUGAUUGAAAAUGGGUAUGAAACAUUUGUUGAUUGUUUAAGCUAGUGCCACUAAUUGUUGAACAUGGAUGCAUGGUAGUUUUUUUUAAAUUACAUAUGUAAUUUAAUGUUGGAGACAACAUGUUGAGGACAAUUGAUUUUGGGUUUUGUCUUGAUCAUGAUAUGUACAUGUCUUGGGUUAGAAAAAUGUCAUGGAUUGUUGCAUUCUCUCGCACUGGAGCAGUGAGCUUAGGCAAUAGGGUUUAGGAUCAGUGCUUUGUUGUAGUUGUUUAUCUUUAUAAUUCAAGCAAAAUAAGCUUCAGUAAAGAUAUGUUACAUGGUUUAAGUGGAUCAUGCUCUAAAUUGAGGCUGUAAUGGUUAUUGAAUGUGAAACGUUAGUUUGAUUAGUGGCACAUAAAUUGUUUUAAUCUCAUUUUCGUUGUUAUUAUAUUAAAUAUGGAAUUGCAUGUUGAGGAUAGCUUGAAGUGUAUAGUUUGUUUGCUGUCAAAAUGGCCAAAUAUGAUUUUUUCUUUUUUUCUUUUUGUUACAAUAUGGAGUUUACAUCACUUAAUCUAUUCACAACCUAAUCUUACAUAUUUCAAACAUUUACUAAUUCCUUCUCAUUGAACCAUUUUUUCACCUUAUUUACAUGGACAUUGAGGCUGUGGUUGACGGUGAAAUGAUUAAAGUUAGGUCUGUAAUCUCUUAGUAGUGCACUUUGAAAAAGCCGUGGGAGGACAUUAAAGAUAUGAUGUAUGAAAAGCCUAUAAGAUAUGUUGAAGAAGUGAAUUUAAGAUCAUGCUUCCAUGGUAGAAUUUUAAAGAAAUUUUGCACAAUGACUCAGAACUUCAAAAUGCCUUCAAGCAGCUGAGAGACAAGUCAUGCACGUGGGCUAUGUUCACAAUCAUUAAUGAAUUAGAUUCAGGGGCCACUAUCCAUAGAGAGUUUGAGAACCAUGUUUAUGCAGCACUAAGUUAUAUCACCUUGGUUGAAUAAUUCCUUGUUUCAUUGGAUAAGGAGGCUAAAUUUGAGUGGUUUGACCUCGCUGAAGCGAAUAAAAUUAUUGUGCUAGACUUGAAUAAAGCUAUAGUAUAUUUAAAAUUUGAAAACAGAAGUGUUAUUGUAGAGGAUUUAUUCAAAAAGUAGCAACGAAUUGAAACUGCAGGUGAUGUAUCAGCCAAGGAUAUAGAUGUUGAAGAGUAUGAAGGGUGCAAUAAAAUGGUGGAAAGUGAUGGUGGAUAUGAUGCUGAAAAUGAUGAUGCUUGUGAUGCUAGCUUGGAUGACUACGAAUUAGGGGACAAUAAUGGUUUAAAAUUAGAUAUGUCUUCAGAUGAUGAAGUUUAGGCUACAUGUAACAUAUAUGAGGCAAAUUCAGGGGCUUUUGAGUUCAGUACAGAUGGUGAGAACAAUGUACAAGAAUGUGGAUAAGUUUAGAAAUGUAGUGAAAGUAUUUGCAAACAUAGAAUGAUUAAAGUUAGGUCUGUAAUCUCUUAGUAGUACACUUUGAAAAAGCUGUGGGAGAACAUGAAAGAUAUGAUGUACGAAAAAACUAUAAGAUAUGUUGAAGAAGUGAAUUUAAGAUCAUGCUUCCAUGGUAGAAUUUUAAAGAAAUUUUGCACAAUGACUUAGAACUUCAAAAUGCCUUCAAGCAGCUGAGAGACAAGUCAUGCACGUGGGCUAUGUUCACAAUCAUUAAUGAAUUAGAUUCAGGGGCCACUAUCCAUAGAGAGUUUGAGAACCAUGUUUAUGCAGCACUAAGUUAUAUCACCUUGGUUGAAUAAUUCCUUGUUUCAUUGGAUAAGGAGGCUAAAUUUGAGUGGUUUGACCUCGCUGAAGCGAAUAAAAUUAUUGUGCUAGACUUGAAUAAAGCUAUAGUAUAUUUAAAAUUUGAAAACAGAAGUGUUAUUGUAGAGGAUUUAUUCAAAAAGUAGCAACGAAUUGAAACUGCAAGUGAUGUAUCAGCCAAGGAUAUAGAUGUUGAAGAGUAUGAAGGGUGCAAUAAAAUGGUGGAAAGUGAUGGUGGAUAUGAUGCUGAAAAUGAUGAUGCUUUUGAUGCUAGCUUGGAUGACUACGAAUUAGGGGACAAUAAUGGUUUAAAAUUAGAUAUGUCUUCAUAUGAUGAAGUUUAGGCUACAUGUAACAUAUAUAAGGCAAAUUCAGGGGCUUUUGAGUUCAGUACAGAUGGUGAGAACAAUGUACAAGAGUGUGGAUAAGUUUAGAAAUGUAGUGAAAGUAUUUGCAAACAUAGAAUGGUUUUAAGUUGAGGUAAAAAAUAAGAAGAGUAAAUUCGCACUGACAUGUGCAGUAUCAGGUUGAUUUGGAGGAUUAAUUAAAGUCUAAACUGGAAGAGGAAACACUUUUGGGUCAAAACAUUUCGGCCUGAACACAUUUGUGCUAGAGGAAAUGACAACUAUGAAGCAAAUUCGACUUAGAUUGUUGUGACAUUUUAGCCAACCCUUAACUGAAUAUUGAAGUAAUUGCAAGUGAGUUGUUUAGCAGAUUUGGUAUCAGAUGUAGUAACUAGCGGUUGUAUAGGGCUAAGAACAAGGCAUUGGAGUUGUUAGGACAUGACUAUAAAGCCAACUACGCCAAACUAUAGAGGUAUAUGUAUGUAAUUCUCAAUUCUAAUCCUAGUUCAACUGUAACUAUUGAUAGAUAUUGGUUAGGUGGUAAGUUGAACCCAUAUUUUAAGGUUUUUUUUUUUUUAUGUUUGAUACAAAUAGGAGAGGGUUCUUCGAGGGGUGUAGUCAGUUUAUAGAUCUUGUUCGUUAUCAUCUAAAGGGGUUGUAUAAAGUUGUCUUAUUGUCUACUAUUAGUGUAUAUGCCAAUAAUGGUAUACAACCAUUAUCAAUGUGUGUUGUUGAGAGCGAAAAUACUAAGUCUUAAGUGGACUUUAUCGAUAAAUUAUAUGAAAAAAUUAUAACAAUGGUAGUAGGUUGUCUUUUAUGAGCGAUAGGCAUAAGGGAAUUCUUAAUACUUUAGAGAUGGCGUUUCUUGAUUAUUUAAAAAUGUACUAUUGAAGGCAUAUAUAUGCCAAUUUUAAGCAGAAAUUUCCUAGUGCCAGUUAUGGAAUGCAUUCUGGAAAGAUUGUCGAAGUUCGAACUUAGCAGACUUCAACACUUCCAUGUCUGAUAUGAACAAUAUCCAUCAUAUAGCACAUGAUUGGCUUAUGCAUAUUCUAGUUUGCUAUUGGGCCAAGCAUAGAUUUCCAAUGCACACAAAGUGCUCUCAUGUCACUAAUAUGUCAGAGUCCUUUAACAACUGGAACAACAAUUUUAGAGGGUUGCGUAUUGUUAAGAUGCUGGAGGAAAUGAGAAGAAAGGGAAUGAAUCUGAUUCAUUGAAGGUAUGAGCAAGCUAUUCUUUAUUAAGAUGAGUUGCCACCACAAGUUAGAAGGAGAAUAUUAGCUAGGAGGGUGAAGUCUAGGUCUAUGUCAGUUAUAUUCAUGCAUAAUGACACCUCUGAAGUUAUGGAGGAUGUUUCUAAGAGAAAAGUUAUCGAUUUAAAGGCCAAACAAUAUGAUUGUGUGGAGUGGCAAGUGUCUAGUUUGCCUUAUGCUCAUGCACUAUGUUGCAUUAAUGCUAUAAGGUACUAAAUCGGUUAUUUUAUACAUCUUGUACUGAAGAAAAAAGUAUUGAAGAACACUUACAAGCAUCAAUACUAUUUAUUGCCUGAUGAAAGCAGGCAGCCUUUUGAGUUACAUGAUAACAUGCUUCCACCUGUAAUCAUUAGAGUUGCUGGCAAGCCUCAAACAAAAAAAGAAGAGAGGCUGAUGAAAUUAGGGCAUUUAAGAGAAGCUCUAGUGUUAGAUGCAAAAAUUGCAAUGAGUAGGGGCAUAAUGUAAGGAUACGCAAAGUGGAUAAGGGUUCAAAAAGAGGGGAAUAAAGAAAAAGUUAAAGUCAACAAAUGUUACUUUGUGUAAUCAUUAGUUUUCUAGUUUUUUUUUUCAUUUAAAUGUCAAACUUAAUAUUCACUUACUAAUCUAAUUCACUUAAUAACCUAAUGAUUUGUUUACAUUGUAGGUUAGAAGAAAUAGAUUAGGCACCAACAGUAAGGAAGGACAGAUCUUAGGAGCCCAGAAUCAACAUGAGGCAGCAGCUAGCACUGCAACUAGAAUAUAGAAGAUUGUCCAUGAUAAUGGUUUGAAACUGUUGCUUUAUUACUCUAUUUUGGUACUUUACCUAUUUGUAAACUAUUACAUACUUGCUAAUAUAAUUUUUUGUCAUUGAAGGAUAAUUAACCCAAUCUUAAAGAGCUUGUAGAUAAUGAAUCCUAUAGCAGCGGCUUUGGUAGCAAGAAUUUUUUUGUAUAGUAAUGACAGAGCCCAAACUAAUCCCAUACUAUAAUUUUUUUAGAAGGAUGGGAUGAUGCUUCACCUAACUUUUGUAAGCUUUAAAUUGUGUAGAUGUUGUAUCAUAUUUUGCUCAAUCAUAUAGAAAGGUUUGGGUCUUUUUGUUUAUUUUUGUGAACUGUGAGAUACUUAAAUACUUACACCAUUAACAAGGCUUUUUAGUUAAGCCGUUGAUAGUUCUGAACUUAGCAAACUGCUUAAAGUUGAUUUUUUGUAAAUGACUGUUGACAUUUGUGUUGUUGUUGGAUUUUAUUGACAUUGAAAUAUUAUGUUAUUACAUUGGGUUGCUUAUUGCUUUUUACUUUAAAUUUAUGUUGUUAAUGGAUUGGUUAUGUGUAUUAACAUUGUUGAACCAUGUUUAUAUACAUGAUUAAAUGUAUGAGUGAUUCUUUGAUAGAUGCUAAGAAACAAUUAUUUGUUUGCUUUAUAUUGACAGUUUGUCUUUUUCUUAAUUAUACUUGGAUGCUAAUAAUGGUUUGGCUCUAUGUUUAACUUUUUUUUCUUUCUUUUUGAAGUAUGUAUGAGCAGCUUCAUUUCAUUGCAACUAGGAGUUAUAAAUGUAUUUCACUUAGAAAUUACUUUUGCAUUUGAGUUAUAAAGCAACAAAUACAUCAUCACUGGUACAUUUAGUUUAUAAAGUAUUAAACUUAGUAACACACUACAUGAGGUACAUCACAACAUUAAAUAUAAAGAACAACACAUUAAAUACAACCAUAACCUUAGCAACAAUUGCAUCCUUUAUAGAUUUUUGUGACUUCUUCACUAUGGUCUCGAUUGCUUUCACAUUAUUUUCAAUUCCAAAUAAUACCAAAUAGCAUACAUUUGUUGACACACCUCCUUCAAAUAGAGCUCUAUUGUUAAAAUCAUCUCUAUUUGGUGCCCACCAUUUAAAAUAUCUACAACCAUUUGUUUUGGCACAAUGGUAUUAAAGCAUAUGUGGAUUGUCAUCGGAUUCUAAAAUCUUCAAAUUAGCUCUUAUGCAGCAUUUGCAUAUCUUGUUUGAGAACUUAAUGGGCUUGCAAUUGACUGUAUUCCUCCAAAUUGGCUCAUAAAUUGUGUUUGAUUGAACCGAAUUGUUUGAACUUUGUGAAUCCAUUGAUAUGCAAGAGGGUUCCAGCUUUGAAUGAUGCUUAAGAAAUGCUGAGUUUUUAAAUUGAUUAUUGAAAGAUAUAUCAUAUAUUUUGAUAUGGAGAUACAGUGAUAUUGGCAAUGUUGGUUUGGUACCUUUAAAGUGAAAUGAAAGCUAAAUUUUUUCUUGAGUUUAAGUUGAAAGAGUAUGCUAUCUAUUGAGCUUAUUUAUGGCAAGCUAUAUAGCCACUAAAACUGGCAAUACAACCGUUAAAUGCAAUGGUAAUAAUGUCAGGUUUUUUAAUAAUGUCAGUAUUUUCUAGUUAAUUUUUAAAUUUUGACUUCUAAAUUCACAUCUUUUCCAAUAAAAAAUAAUUGAAAUUACUUUUUUUUUCAUCCAUGCCAUUUUGGAUAACCUCUGGGGAGCUAUUUGGUAUUGUCAAUGUAAUCAUUUUAGUUUGGCGCCAAAACAGACCCAUAAUUACUAACCAACAAUUAUUUAAUGUGUAAACAAAGCAUUUUCUUUCAAACUAGGGGUAUUUUGGUCAUUUUACCAAGCAAGACAUGGUGAAACAAAUGGUCUAUAGACAUCAGGGGAAGCGGCUGAGAAUACAGAGAUACAAUCUAUUAAACUCAGAAUACGCUAAACCUCAGCGGAGAUUUCUGAUAAUUACCUUAUCAUUAGUUUUACAUCUAUCUUAAAUUAUUUUAAGACUGAUUAAUAGGGAUUCCAUUAAUGCCAUCAUAUUUUUUUCUUCGAAUGAAUCAAAUAUUUCUCUGCUAUCCUCCAAACUUAUCUUUUUUAUUUCUUUAUACAAGCAUUUGCUCGUAAUUAAUCUAGUUUUAACAAUAGAGAUUGUAUAAAUGACUUAAUGUUCUUGACUAGAGUAAUUAUUAGUUGUAUCUAAAAACUUGUUGACAAUUUUUUCUAUUUUUAUGAAUUUGAGUUACUUUUAUCAUUUCCUAUCUUAUAAAAUCCUAGAAAAUAAACAAGGCCCAACAUGCUUAAUAUAAAAUCCAAGCUUAUCUCUUUUUUAUUUCUUUAUACAAGCGUUUGCUUAUAAUUAAUCUGGUUUUAACAAUAGAGAUUGUAUAAAUGACUUAAUAUUCUUGACUAAAGUAAUUAUUAAUUGCUUCUAAAAACCUGUUAACAAAUUUUUCUAUUUUUAUGAAUUUGAGUUACUUUUGUCAUUUCCUAUCUUAUAAAAUCCUAGAAAACAAACAAGGCCCAACAUGCUUCUGUUUGUUGCUAAAAUAUAAAAAUAUAGUUCAAAAUUACUAAUCAGUGUACUAUCUCUCAGUAUUCUGGAAUCGAUUCACUAAUUGCCUCCAACCAUAGAAAGGUGCACGGUCAACACCAUCAUAGCUCCAUACAUAAUGCAAGAUCACUCCAGUGAUUGUUUCACAUAGCCUAACACAACUUAUAACAGACUGGGAUAAUAGAUUUGUUUAACUGAAUUUUUUGCAAUUGUCUUUAGAAGAGUGCUUAGUAAUAGGAAAUUUUCUUCGUUUAGAACAAGUGUUGGCAUAUGAAAUUCUUGGUUAAUUUCUAAGAAUAUAUAAGAUAUAUGGAAGAUGAUAAUUUCACUCAAAAAGAGUUUUAUUUAUUUCAUAACUGGGUUUUUUACAAAGGAGAGAUUUAUAGAAAAGAGAAUACAGAUGUGGGUGAAGGAUAGAGAUCAUUCUUACGUGAUUCUAUUCAUAAGCUUGAAGAGAUAAAGUUAUCUCUUCUUACAUGACAUUUACUACUUUCUUGUGGUAGAGAGUGGAUUCCCUAAAGAUAAGGUGACCCCUCCUUCUAUCAUUGAAAUUGUUGUCUUUUUCUUCAGUUGGCUGACAGCCUUCACAUGGCUCUAAUAAGCUUUAUCUUUUUGGAAUUUUUUCUUUUGAGUUAUUGAUGCUUUCAACGAGCAUAUUUUUCCUUUUCAAUGACCUUUCUUACAUGCCUAUUAUGAGCUCCUCAACUAGUGACCUUUCUUCCCUACUAGAUUCCUCUUUUGAUCUUUUGUACCGAUAGCCACAUGAUGAUUGAUGCUUUAGUACCUUACAUACCUCGUGGUGUGUUGGCAAGUUAAAUUUGGUAAGAUUUCAUAUAUUGCCUUCUCCUUUUUCAAUAUAGCUCGCUUGGCAAAUAUGCUUUCUUUUCUGCUCAUAGAAAAAAUUAUAUGUUCUUUUGUGGCUUUAUAAAGCCACACUUUUUCUUUAGUUAUCCUCUCAAGCAAUUCAGAUAGGACUUUCAUCCCAAUAUUCCUUUUGCUAUUGAAAGAUUUAAGCUCAAAUAGUUCUGGAUCAUAGUCCUUGUAGACUUAAUUUAGAUCAAUAGUUGGACUAAUGUUUUUGCUGCUAACACCAAUUUUUAUCAUGUGCUAUGCCGGGUACCACUUAUUAUCAUAGUUUUUAGGGCAAAUAGUGAAGAAUCUGAUAAAAAUAAUUUCUUUUGUCUUGGAUAUCCUUUUGAGGUCAUUAACAACAUCUUUAGUUUUUCCUGGAAGCUCUUCGAAUUCCUUGCACUUACUGUUGACAUAAACAAGGUUAAGCAAACCAUAUUCACACAUGUUUUUUUUUUGUCAAUUUUAGAUCAACUCCUAAAACCAAGUUAAUCAUUGGGUAUAACUCUGAAUGAUCUAGUAUUACAGCCUAGCUAGGACGAAUUCCAUAGGUCAUUUUACCAAUUCUUUUAUAAUCGUAAGCGCAAUCACUUUUUAAUGAGAUUUUAACCAUAGAAAUAAACUGCCAACUUUUGUUAGAUUGAGGUCUUAAGCUUACUGAAGAGCAUUGAGAACUUCCUUUCUUUAUAUAUUGCUCUUUAAGAUCAUUAAUUGUGAGAAAUUUCUCUAGAUGUGUGAUAUUUGAAUUCUGUAAAGAAUUCUGGAUAAUCUACCCAUCAAUUUGAUCCUUGAAAUGGACCUUUUUCAGUAUAUUGCUAAUAUAUUGUUUUGAAGUCUGGCCUUCUAGAUGAUUUUGCAAACUUUUCUAUGGACAAAGCUUACUCAAUUCUUUAUGGGCAUCAUCUAUCAUAGCAAGCACAUUAUAAAUCAUUUCGUUGCCUUUAAGAAGGAACUUUUAACGUUUAGAGAUAUCAUUUUGCCCUUUAUUAUUUGGAAAAAGUCGUUUUUCUCCAUUGUAUUCUUUAUUCAAGAAAUAUGCAAUACAAUUGUUAGAUUCUUUAAUAUAUUCAAUUUUGAAAUCAUAUUUUACAAAGAAUUGUUACCAUUUAAUUAAUUUUUUAUAUUGAGGUAAAUUAAGCAAUUUAUUAAAUAUAAAUCCUUUAACUUGAGUGUUAUCAGAUCUUACGUUAAAUUUCUUUGGUAACAAAAAAAAAUUAAUUUAGCUAUCCUAUUUUUAAUAGUUAAUAAUUUUUUUUUGUUACUAUGAUAAUUUUUUUCUUUCUGCUUGUAUAUCUUUAAAUCUUUUCUUAAUUUGUUUUUAGUACUCAUCCCAGUGAUUAUUUGAAGGACCAGUUUGAAGAAUUAGGUUAUCACUAAUAGUGGAAAAUCCUAAUCUUAGUAUAUUUUUACAUUUUUCUUUUAAUCUUUUUACAAACUUAGUAUGGAGAUCAUUCCAAAAUUUUGUAUUAUUCUUUUUCAAUAAUCCUUGUAAAGGUUGUAUUUCUUUAGCUAAGUUUUCUAUAAAACCUUUAGCAUAAUUAAGACAUCCUAAGAAUCUUUGAAUUUGAUCUUUAGAAUUAUUGAUUUUAUGCAGAUUUACGUAAUAUAGUUUAGAUUCUAAUUUAUUUCGAAAUAAUAUAUUUUUUCAUAAAUAUGAUGUUGCAUCUCAACCCUAAAAACUCUAUCCUAGGUUUCAUUAUCUCGGCUUUCUUGUUAGAAAGUAAUAUUCCAUGUUUUGUGCAUUUUUCUGCAAAAGAAACAAUAUGACUAAUAUGAUCAACUCCAUUAUUUGAAAAUAUUAAUAUAUCAUCCACAUAAACAAAUGCAGAAUCCAUGAAAUUCUUUGAAAAUUUUAUCCGUCCAUCUUUGAAAUAUUUAUGGUGCAUUUUUCAAUAAAAGGCAUCACAAUAUAUUGAUACUAUCCUUGAGGUAUAUUAAAGACAGUAAGUGGUAUACCUUCCUCAUCAAUUUUGAUAUGCCAAAAUUCGGGUUUACAAUCAACCUUGCUAAAUAUCUUUUUAUUACUUACAAAAGUAAUUAAAAUAUCUUUAUAAGAUAAAAAAAAUCCAUCAAAUUUAGUAUAUUUAUUAAAUUCUUUGUAGUUAAUAAUUAUACGAGCUUUUCCUCAUUUAAUUCUUGCAUGAUUCUUAACCAUAAAGGCUGGGCUAUUAUGAAACGAUCCGCCCCAAAUACCAGGACGAGUCUAUCUAAUCUCGCCAAACCGAAUUAAUAAUAAUUCUUAUAUCUAAGAAUUCUACCAAAAUUUCGGCAAAGUCUUCCAUAUAAUUAUGAUAUCCCCAAAACUGCAAUUUAUAAAAUUAACACUUCUAAAAUAAUUCAAUAUUCAACCAAUUUCCACAACCAACUUUCUCAAUCAAUAUACCAAAUAUCACCCUAGCAUUUUAAUGUUAAAUACAGUAAAGCACUCUUAAUCACAAAUGUGUAAUAAAUUAUACAAUCCAAACAUCCCAAUAAAAUAUCUAUAAUUCCUAGCACCAUCACGUGGCCAUAAUAUCAAAAUAACUAUCGUUGCUGGGUCGAUUGAUGUACUUGCAAAUCUCUUGCAGGGGAAAAAUAUAAUAAAAACGGAGUGAGUAUAAAAACUCAAUGAGCUCAGUAAGUGGAUAGUAGUUUUUGAAAAAAAAAAAUAUUUAAAAUGAUUUAAUCUUUCCCAAAUCAAUUUCAUCAAAAUAUUAUAAAAACUUACAUAAACUUAUUUAAUUCAAAUCAUGCACUGAAAUAACAAUAUUACGUAAUUCUGCAUAAAAUCAAUGAAAUCACAACAUUUAAAAUAUCAAAUACUGAAUACCAAAAACUAUCACUAAACAAGUACCCAGGGGAAUAAUCUUAUCAUAUCCGGAUCUCGACGGAUGGGCAAUCAGGGAACCAUCAUGCCCGGGGAGCCACAACGAAUAGGUGAGGAAAUGUCAUCUCAUAUCUAUAUCUCAUCAUAUCUGUGCAUGCAUAAUCUGGUCCCCAAAGGACAAGGCGCCCAAGCACACGAUCCAAAACCUUUGUGUGUACUUAGACGGGCCCUAAAGGCCUAUAUCUCAUAUGUAUCAUCAUAUCUCAUCUAUAUCAUAUGUAUCUCAAUAUCUGUAUCUCUUUAAUCAUCAUACAACAAGCAUAUGCCCCCAAAAGGCAAAAGCGCCCAAACACACGACUUAAAGCCUCUAUGUGUGUUCAGACGGGCCCCAAAGGCCUCUCAUCUCAUAUUAUAUGUAUCACUGUAUCUGAAGGGAAAUGGUACUGUCCAAUGAUUUUGCGAACAACCUUUUAUACACAUGUACAUAAACAUAUAAUCACAUCUGAAAUCUCAUUUCAUUUCUAUAUAACAUACUUCAAACACUUUAUUCUCUUUAAAUCUAUUACCAUGCAUUUACUCAAAAACGAUAGUAAAAUCAUUAAACAAACUCAUUUUUAAUAAUAAUAAAUAUCAACACGCAAAUAAAAAUUCAUUUUCUAGAAAAUCAUUAAAUCGAAGCAUCAAAUACUUAUUUAUCAAAACAUGUUGUAUUGUAUCGUAAAAUCAUAAUAUACUAUAAAAAUAGGUUUUGUAUAUUCCACUCACAAUGACAAUGUUCGAACUCGGUAUCGUUAACGUCAACGUCUGCAGGUUGAUUCUCGUUCGUGGAUCCUCCUAAUUCAAGGAAACAAUAUAAUCAUUCUUCGUAAAUGUGAAAUACAACUAAUUUUAUGCAAUAAUUCCUGAAAUGAAUAUCUAUCCGCAAUACACUAUUCAUGUAUGCAUAAAAUUACCAAAAUACCCCUGCAUGCCAAAAUUACCAAACUAGCCCCCAACGCCAAUAUUUACCAAAUUAUCCUCAAAAUCCUAAAUUACCAAGCUGCCCUCAAUUCAAAUCACCAAAAUAACCACAAUGUUAGAAAUUAUGAAAUUACCAAAAUGCCCUUAAUAACUUGAAUUACCGAAUUACCCCCUAAAUCACAAAUUACCUAACUGUCUUAGUCCAAAAUUACUAAAUUAUCCACCGAUUCCAGAAAUUACAAACUUAUCCCCAAAGUUUAUGAAAUUACCAAAUUGCCCCUACCGGUCAACGGUGACCGAAGUUCAGUCAAUGGCGACGGAGGCGGAUCGAGCUUGCCAAGCCGCGAGCUUCCAAGUGGCCAAUUGACUGUAAUUCGAUCAUUUCAGGUGACGAGGCUGGUCUAAAAAUGAUGAGGGCGAGCUGAGGAAUAAGAUCCAAGCAGUGGCGCAGCCUAAUUCCGAUGAAAUCACGGCUAAAUGAAACAGGUUCUUGGCCUCAGAUUUUUCGAGCUAAAAACGACGGUGAUCUGAGCGUUUCCAGCGACGCGCACGGUGGGGAUGUGAUGGCUAGUUCACAAGCUUUGAUUUGGUACUAAGCUCGUCUGGAUUGGUGGCCAGAAAACAGAGAUCCGAACGGGCCAAGGUCGCGGGUCAGGUCAAGUCGGGUCAAACGGGUCUCUCUCUUUCUAUUUUUGGAAACCAAUCAUUUCUCUUUCCAUUUAUAGAAACGGUUCCCUCUUUUUUCUUUUUUCUUUUUUCUUUUUUUAAGCUUAAUACAAAUUAAGCUAAUACCAGACCCGUGAUGAAAAUAAAAAUUCGACUAUAAGACCCUUUUAUCACGUUCGAUUUGUCUUGAUUUAUAUCGUGACAAAAUUUAAAUUCUUUUCAAAACACGAUUCAUUUAUUAACUUAACCCAAAUCCAUUAAUUCAUGAUAGGAAAUCAAGCCACAUCAAGUUUACCUGUAAUAAUUUAUAACAAAUUUGACGACUUUAAAAAUUAAUACCGAAAUGUAAAAUACAUAAUACACUUAAUUAGGAAAAACUAAGGUGUAUAUGUUACAUAUUAUGUGACUCUUAGUUUCUUGAAUAACCUUGAGUUCUAAUAAUUAUUUAAUCUAUUUAUCAAAUUCUAGUCUAUCUUCUUGCCUAUAUUUUAUAAGUUUGACUCUUACAAUGACAUUUAGAUCUUUUAAUUCUAUUUUGGCAUAAGUUUUAUCAAUUUCCCCUAAUUGAAUUGGGUUUCACCAAUAUUUUUAUCUAGUUUUUCUAAGAUUUUUUUAAUAAUCAAAUAUGUUUUCAUCGAUUUUUUUAUUUAAAUCACCACGCUGGCUACUUCGAACAUGUAAUUUUAGGAUUAUAAAUCUUUGGUUUUGAAAUGAAAUGAUUAUAUGGUGUUUUAAGAGUAAUAGUUUGAUUAGUCAUUAUAUAAAUGAACUGACGAAGAAAAUUGACUCCUAAAAAUAAAUAAGCAUUCAGAUGAUUGAAGACCACAAGAUAGGUAUACUUAGAAUAUAAUCCUCAAUUUAUAUUAAGUUUCUAAUCUUACAUAUUUCUAAGGUGAUUUGUUCACUAUUUAUUCCUUGUCUUGUUAAGGGCUUACAAUCUUUCCAAUAAGAUUUUGGAUAAAUCUUAAAAUUAGCUAAACUAACUCCUGAACCAAUAUCAAUUAAAGUAUAGAACCAUUCCUGCUUCUGCUUAUAAUAUGGUAUAACCACUUUUAGAUAUACUACAAAAGAAUUCAUUAUACAAAAAUGACCUUUACUACCACUUAGUUUUUUGAUACUUUAUGAAAAGUGUUAAUAAUUAUGUACAUAUGCACAUUUUUCCGUUUCAGUAUCAUAAAUUAUUGAUACUAGUGUGUAAGUAAAUUAAAUAUCAGAAAUCAUUGACACUAAAGUAUCAGAGGUUAAAAAAAAUCAUUAGAAUUUGUAAAUCAUCCAACUCGAACUCAAGACUUGUAAAAUUCAAAAUGCUUACAUUUGGUACACAAACCAUUAAGAUGAAAAUAUUAGAAAUCAUUAAAGAACAAAAAUUAAAAAAUUAAAUUCCAUCUCCAUCGAUCUCUUUGUCCCUUUCGUUAUAUUGUGAAUCAAAACAUACAGAACAAAACUUACAAAAUCCUUAAAUCCACCGCACCGCUGACACAACCAAAACCUCUCUCGUCAUUGUUGUCACUACUUUGGACUAGCCAAUGCCAUCAUCUCCCAUGCACCAAAAUAUGGGCUCUUCUUUUGCUACUGUCAUUGUUGUGCAAAUUUUAAUGUACUCGCAAGCGCACGAAUCUGUUGUAGUAUAGAUUAAUGGUGACGAGUGUCGAUCCCACGAGGAGGUGGAUUUUAAUUGUGUAGAAUUAAUUUUGUGAAUGGGUGAUUAGAUUUGUGGUGGAAAUGAUUGGAAUAUGCUAAAACUUAAAUUAAAAUGGAGAGAAUAAAUUCUAAAAUUGGUAUUGAAAUGGUGAGAAUAAAUUGAAGAGAAUUCUAUUGAAAUGACGUACUUGGGUAUCUGGAUCCGUAUCAACAUGCAUCAUGGGCUAAAUAUUCCUUAUUAAUGCCAAUUAAAUCAUGAGGGGGGAAUCCACACCUCAUGAACCACGCUCUAAUCAAUAUGGUGCUAAGGGCUUAUCGUGCCAAAUAAUAAUAACCUUGUACUAGAGGGCCGGUGUAACCAAGGCGGUACUAGACAAGAUUAGUAUUAUUUGUCGACGAGAAGUCAAAACAUCCACAAAAACUAGAGGGGAAGAGAAAAUAAAUUUACCAAAUUAAGCCCAUGACACAUGUUGAGACUUCACCUUCAACCCAAGCUUGAAAGAAAAUUAGCCACUCAUAAUUGAACUAGGGGCAAAAUGGAAAUUUAUUAAAAUACGAAGAAACUACAAGAUGGAGAGGGAAUUACAGAAAAUGGAUCCCAAAAAUGGAUUCAGAGAUAUCAAAUUAGGGGGGAGAGGCCCCCUUUUUAUAGAUACAUGGAGUAAAUCAUGGCCAUCGGAUUAAAAACAGUUUGGACGCUCAGGAUUGCGCCACGUCAUCAGUGAACAGUCAACAGUCCACGGUUUGACCACGCGGAUGAACAGUAACACGGUUUGACCCGACUUUGAACAGUAACGCGGUUUGACCCGGAUGAACAGUAAAGCGGUUUGGUUGAAAAUAAUCCUGUGUGAUGCAUGCACCGUACGCGAGAUUUUUCGUCCACUGAUAUGUUGCCACGUCACCAUCAACAGUACAUAAGAAUUUUAGUCCAACAGGAUCGUGACACCUCAUCAGUCAAUGCCACAUCAUCGGUCAAUGCCACGUCAUCAUCCGUCUAUGUGAACAGUGUCGUGAACAGUAACGUAUACAGUACCGCAUACGUGAAUAGUACCGUACAUGUGAAUAGUGCCAUUUUUCCUUUUAUGCUCCUCCUAAGGUUUUUGACCGUCCUGAGUUCAAAAGUGAUGUCCGUUUUACCGUCUGAUUUCUCCUUUAUUGUGAAAUGACUAUAAUGCCCCUAAAAUACAUAAAAUACUUAAUUAAAAUAAAACACAUGUAAUUAAAUCACAAGAAGGUUAAAUACAUAAAAAUAAGGGUUGUUAGUAAGACUUGAAAUGUAAAAUGACGGUUUUCUCCUUUAUAAAUAUGCAUUUUCUAACACUCAACACACCCCCUAACCAGCUUAUUGCUAGUCCCUAGCAAAUAAAGCGAAAAUAAAAUUCAAAUUCAAAAUGAUUUUUUUUUUUUUAAAUUUAGAAACACUCGUGUUUAUUCAAUGAGAUUAAUGAUAGCAAUCAAAUAAAAGUAUAAGCAUUAUCUCCAGUCUAAAGCAACAUCACACCCACAUCAACCAUCCACAUGAAUUAGCCCAGUAGACUUUGUUAUAGCUACUUUCAAGAAUGACAUGUCAAACCCCAAAAUCUCACUGGAAGUAGUGACACUCUCACAAAUAAAUUAAACCCAAUAAAAAUAGUCACUCCAAUGAAUGGUAAUUGAGAGAGAAAAUAAUAAAGAAGUGAUAUCAGAUGCUCUCACCAAGAUGAAAUAAAUAUGUCCUCAGCUUAGAAAUAAUACGAUCUCAAGUCAAAUAAAAUGUUAGUCAACCCACUUUAUUUAUCUUUUUUUUUUUUUGAAUUAUGCAUCACUACAUCUUUUUAGCCCAUAUAACUAGCUUCUACUUCAGAUUAUAGUUCCCUAAAAUCAGGAAGGACUUUUAUUAGGAUGUAACGUAGGCUAGGGACAUGGUUAACAAAGAAAGGAAAUAAGGAAAACAAAGUGUAUGUUUGAGAAAAAUGCAGAGAAUUUUUUUUUUUUUUUGAAAGUUGCAAGGUGGAUUUCACCUAUUAUUGUUAUUUUUAUUCUUUUGAAACAACAACUUUUGUUUUGUUGUUGUUUUUUUUUUUUUUGCUUUUUUUUUUUGUAUAACUUCACUGAACAACAUAAUUAUUUACAUUUUCUCAAACAUAAAUAGGUGAUGGAACUUAUAAGAUAUCGGGUAAUACUCCAAAUCGGAGUGGGUCAAGAUGAUAAGUUGACAAAGAAAAUGUUUUUUUUUUUUUUAAAGGCUCAAAAGGGUUAACUAUGGAUAUUUAAUAAAAGGGAUGGCUAGAAAGGCUCAAACGGAUCAAAGAUGGCCUUUCCAUCGUCUUUUAGGGCUCUAAAUAACCUUCCAUAUCUACUAGUUAGAUGGGCCUCCAAAUGUAGCAACACACAUUUUUUUUUUUAUUAAGGGUUAACUCAAAAGAAAUCUAGAGAUCGUGUAUACAAUAAUAAACUGUUAAGCUGUAUAAAGAAUGGGCAAAAGGGUUACUCUCCAAGAAAAAUGAUGGCUCAAAAACUCACUUGGUACUUAUUAUGACAUGUUCAUUCCUUCAAGCAACUCAUAUAUGUCUCUGACAUCAACAUGUAGAGUAGCAAACAUAAUGUAACAUCACUUAAGACCAAAGAUAAUACAAAUACUAAAAUUUUAAUCAUGUCACCCAAUGUUAAAACAAAUCACACAAAUUUUUUUUUUUUUAAACAACAUUCUACCCCCCAACCUAUUUUAAACAUGAAAGGAAAAUAUGCAUGCAGAAAUGUGAAAAUGAUGCAUAAAAACUAAUUAGAAAAGUUACACGUAAAAUGAUAGAAAACGAAAAUGAUUUUUUUAUUUUUAUUUUUAAAGAAGAUGCGUUUCUAGAGGAACUACACUCCAUAUUCAGCCAUCUUCGACUCAAAAGUUGGAAAAUGUAUAUUUAUAGAGGAGAAAUUAAAAAGAAGAAAAAUAAACAUAAACACAUAAUAAAGAAAAAAGAAAAUGUCUGAAUUUUUUUUUUUAAAGUUUUUUUUUUAAUUUUUUUUUAAACGAUGAAGAUGCGUUUCUAGAGUCACUACACUCCAUAUUCAGCCAUCUUCAACACAAAAAGUUAGCAACAGUUAGUUUCUACAACAAAAAAUUAGUAAAAACUUAACCAAAAUUCCAUAAUUGUCGACUAUUCCCUCCUCCCAACCUGAACGAAACAUUGUCCUCAAUGUUUGAAAGGAAAUAAGUAGAGUUUAGAAGACAUCACCUGGGUGGUGCAACACAGAAGAAAAUAUUUACAGGCGGAGAGUUAAAUCUAAUUUGUACUUCUUACUGCGGCUACUGUUACCAUCAUUAGUUGGUCGCUCCAACACAAAGGUCCAGGGGUCUGGCUCCGGUUUAUAAGCUUGUAACAUAUCAAGUAGCUCAUUAGUAGUGUGAGCACAAAUAAAGAGUUUUUUCACAUUAGAAGGAAUGAAAUAGUUUUUUAUUGCAUGGUUAAGAAAUGCGAUAAAGCCAUCAUAAAAGUUAUUGACAUUUAACAAACCGAUGGGUUUCUGGUGAAUGUGUAGAUGGGCCCAAGAUGCUAGUGUCAUAAGUGCCUCUAGUGUUGCAAG